AUAUUCGAUUUAUUUUUAAUAUUUUAUAAAAUAAUAGUUUAUUUGUUACUUCUUUUACUACACUAUUUAGGUCCCGUUUGGUUCAGAAAUAAAAUGAAGAUAAUAAAAAUUAUCCCCACUAUUCUGUCAACGAGGUGACUUUUGGCUGGAAUAUUUAAUUUUGGUCAAAUCUUAUUAUUUCCAGUUUUCUCGAAUACUACAACAAAAUUAGAUUAUAGGGACACAUAUUUGGGACACUUUUGAGUAAAUGUCCCAUUUAUGCUAAAACUUAAAAACACAUCUACUAAUGCCUAAAUAUAAAGCCCAAUCCAACCAAAAAUAAAAGAUUACUCUACUCAACCCACCACACCCAGUGCAUUUGGCCCGAUUACAAACAGAAAAGAAAAAAAAAAAAAGAAAAAUCAAUUACCAUUUUUUCUUCUCUCUUCACUCAAUCCACUGAAAUUCUAGACGAAGAGCCUUUACUGUCGUCCUCCUCCGCCACUGCAGCCAACAAGAUAGAGUUUCGGCGGUUGCUAAAUACUUAAAUAAGUGUUGGUAAAUUAGCAGCACUCUUUUAGGUUAUAGCGACACUCUUUAACUGUCACUAUAUACCUAACGACCCCACAUAUAGCAAUACUUUUUAAAAGUGUCGGUAAUUUUAGCUAGCAGCACUUUUUUGACAUGUACCUACAUUUAAAAGUGUCGCUAUAGACCGUUUUUGUUGUAGUGGAAUAGCUCCGUAUAAAUUAUUUCAUCAUUUUGACGGAAUAGUACUAUUCCGUAAUUUAACUUUUAGCUUUAUUAAGAUUAUAAAUUAAAUUAAAAUUAAAUUAUAUAGAUCUAAUAUCUUAUAUGUUAUAAUAAAAAUAUAAUUGUACUAUAUAAAUACAUAUUAUUUAUAUUUAAAUACUGUAAUAUAUGAUUAUAAUACAUUAUAUUUAAAUAUUAUAAUAAAUUAUUUUUAUUAAAUAUUAUAAUAAUUUUUUUUGCAAUAAAUUAUUUUUGUAACAAUUAUUUUUAUUAUAUUAUAUUUUAUAACAAAUCUAAUCAUCACUUUUUUUUCAUUAUUCUCCACUAAUCCAAAAAAUUAACGAAAUACAAUUUUAAUUAUUGUUAAGAAUAAUAGUAUUACAAACAAAACAUAAUUUUAUUUUAUUCCUAUCUAUUCUGAAAUAGUAAGCUAUCUCAGAGAUAGAAAACUUAUCUCANCUCCUAACUUUCUAACCACCCAUCAAGUUGGAUGGGUGGUUAGAAUGAGAGAGGGAGGAGAUAUUGAAGAGAAAUUGGGUGUUUCAAUUUCUCAUCUCCUUGAAUUUCUCUUCAAUAUCUCAUCUCUCUCUCAUUCUAACCAUCCAUCAAAUUUGAUGGGUGGUUAGAAUGUUAGGAGCACAAGGGCUGCUGUGCUCCUAAUAGCACAGUAGCCCUACUCUAUAUAUAUAUAUAGAGCUAGGCUACUAUACUAUCGGUAGCAUGGAGCGCUCCGUGCUAUCAAGUUGUUUUCGAUGAUGCGGCUUCCAAAUCAACGAUCGGCUCCGUUAGAGUUGAUCCACACUAUUGAAAGUAUUUAGAAACUAAAUUUCAUAAUUUUUCGAUAUCUUUUACCUAUCAAACAAGUAGUCUAAAAUUGAACGGCUGAAAAUAAAAAUCUCAUAAAAAAUGAUGACAAAAGAUUUAAAUUCAAGAUCAGAUAUGCUGAUCUUACUCUAAAUAGUGAAAAGAAUUUUCUAUAAACUUUUCAUCGCAUUUGAAUUAUUUUACACCGUUAAACUCACAAACACACCACAUCGGCCAUUAAAAUUAUCAAUUUUGAAAUCUUUUGAUCACUAGUCAAAUGAUGUUGAAAAAAUUUGAAAUUUAGUUUUCAAAUAUUUUCAAUACUGUAGAUCAAGUCUAACGGAGCCGAUCGUCGAUUUGGAAGCCGCAUCAUUAAAAACAACUUGGUAGCACGGAGCGCUCCGUGCUACCGAUAGCAUAGUAGCCGGACUAUAUAUAUAUAUAUAUAUAGCCGGACUCUAAAUUUUACAAGCACCAUAGCCGAGUUCUAUAUAUAUAUAUAUAUAUAUAUAUAUAUAUAUAUAUAAAACUAGGUUGGAAUGCUUUCAAUGGUGUUAUUAGAUUUUCGGCACUUGGAUAAAAAAAUAUACGAUUAGAAUAAUAUAAGGCCCCUAGAAUUGAGUGAGUUGUUGGUUAAAUAAUAUGAUCUACAUGUACUUCCUAAUGUGUUUUUUUUAAUCCAAUAGUAUUAGAAAAUCUGCAAUAGCGAACUGUACAGGGCGAAUUUUUUGUAGUCUCGUGGGCAGGAUUUUCUGCAUAGCAUGUGGUUUUGCUGUCUUUCAUACAUGAAAAUAUCAAGAUAUUUAGAUGCUAAUCAAAUUCGAAUGAUAUUUUCUUCGUGUGAACAGACGGCGAGAUCAUUUCGUGCGGCAUUAAAAAAAAAAAAAAAAGGAAAAAUCUGAGUUUGUGUGAUGAAGGGUCUCUCUCUUCUGGGCUGUGGUGUAGCUGCCUGUGAUGCGCGCUAUUGGGUUUGUGGGUAGACUUUACACCGACCACGACAUCUUUCGGUGGUGGUGGUGGUGGUGGUCCCGGCAGAAGUGAUCACCACAUAUUUUUUAAAAAAAGGAAAUAAACGCAUGGAAGGGAAUGGUCCUCAUUAGAGGGAAAAAAAUCCCAAACUUUGACUUUGUAAUAAAUAUAAACCAUAAACUUCAAAUACCAUUCCCGUAAUUUUAUAUUUUUUCAUUUUAAUACUAUGUGAUUUAAAAUAUAUCAAAUUACUAUCCUGUGAUUCCAUUUUUCUCUUUUUGUCAGCUCUUUCGUUAAUUUUUUAUUAAAUUAUAUAUAAAAAACUUUUGCUAUCCUAUUUAAGUUUAUCGAAUGUUUACUCUCGUACCCUUUAGCUUUAACUUUGUCACUAAUUUAACGAACACAAAUUAAUGGAAUGGAUAAUAAAAAGAAAAAAAUGGAAACACAAGAUACUAAAUUGAUACACUUUAAACCAUGGGGUACUAAAGUGAGAAAAUACGAAACCACAAGGGUGGUAUUUAAAGUUUUCUCUAAAUAUAAAUAUAAAUGUCUAAACUUUUAAUUUUAGUAAUUGAAUAUUCUAUAUUUUUUCAAAUAGUUUGAUAGUUCAAUUUUUUAAUUAAAGUUAUUAAUUAUACCGUCGUGCUAGUUGUAUAUUUUGUAUAUAAAUUUUUUUUAAAAAAUAGAAAUAUAUAAAAAAUAUUUUCUUCAUUCUAUUCUACUGUAUGAAAAAGGUAAUAAAAAUUAAAGUUGUGUUCACCCUAUACAUCAAUUUUCAUAUCUUCUUUUUAAAUUGAAAGAGAAAAAAAAAGAAGAAGGUGUUUUUAUGGUCUGAAGUUUUACAAAAUUAUACUAAUAAUAUCCUAUCAAAACAAUUAUUUAGUUAAUAACUUUGAUUGAAAAGAGAAAACUAUAUAUUGAACUAUGAUUGGCAGUCAAAUUAUCACAAAUAAAAAAUUUAGAAAGCUGUUUACAACAGAACUAAGAUCAAAAAAAAAAAAGGGUACAUUUUUCCCUUAAUAAAACCUGUGAAUAAUUUGGAUCCUCGCAUCAACUGUUCUCUGCAUUUAAAUAUUUUGAUGAGGGACAAAGCUACCAUCUAAUCUGAUAGAUUCUUCAUUUUUUAACACCACAACAAAUUUAAGUUCCUGAUGGGACAAGAUAUCCAAGAUUCCAUUGCCCUAGCAUAAAAUCUUGUCUUAAAGUGGGUUGUUGCGUUUCUCACAUUUUUAUCUGUAUUUAAAAAAGAGCACUAAUAAUUUAUGUGCAUUUCAGAAGAGAAUGUACAUCUCAUAUUUUCUCAUUUAAGGAUCAAUAAUUAAUUCCUGUCUUAUCAAGUAUUUUUUUUUGAAAAAAAUACUAAACUUUAUUGAAUUUUUUAUACUCCAAAAUGAAGAGGUGUAAGAUAUAUAGAGUUGAGCUAAAAUACUAUCGGUAGUAAACGAGCCGUUUUACUACCGAUUUGUUUUCGAUAAUAGAACUUCCAAAUUGACGAUCGGCUCCGUUGAAUAUGAUCUAUACCACUUGAAGUGUUUAGAAAUCAAAUUUCAAAUCUUUUCGUCAUCAUUUGCCUAAUGAUCAAAGGGUUUCAAAAUUUAUAAUUUUAAUGGUCGAUAAGAGACAUUUUCUCGUUUAACGGCGUAAAGAUAUUCAACUCAAUUGAAUUUUUGUUAGAAAAUUCUUUAAAUUAUUUAAAACAAGAUCUAUACUCUUGAUCUUGAUUACAAGACUCCUAUAAUUAUUUUUUAAAAAGUAUUCAUUUUCAGCCAUUCAUUUUUCUCUUUAUUUGAUGGAUAAAAGAACAAUAUCGAAAGUACAUGAAAUUUGAUUUCUAAGUAGUUUAAAUGGUUUAGAUCAUAUUUAAUGGAGCCGAUCGUCAAUUUGGAAAGCUAUCCAUUUGAAAAACAAACGGUAGUAAACGAACUCGUUUUAUACCGAUAGUAUUCUAGCUCAACUCCAAGAUAAUAUAUAUAUAUAUAUAUAUAAUAAUAUAUAUAUAAUAUAUAUAAAUAUAUAUAUAUAUUAUAUAUAUUCAUUUUUGGUGAUCUCAUAGUAUUUCUGAUUUAAAAUAGGCUUUUGAUGAUAAACUUAAAAGAAAAUAUGUUUAGUUUGCUGUAGUUGUACAUACAACAUCACAGUUGACAUUGCCAAAUUAAAAGUAAUUACUGUAUUUUGAUGUACCUUCAAUUCCAAUGUAAAGCUUGUCAUAGUUUUGUUUUUUUUUUUUGAGAUAGAUGGUACGCUACCCGCUUCAUUUAUUUCAUUUAGAAAUAAAUUUAGCUAGAAAUGUGAAUCAACUAGGAUUCGAACUUAGGUCUUGGGUAUCAACCACCAAGCCCUUUACCACUUGCUCUAGGGACGGUCGGUGUAAGCUUGUCAUAGUUGCAUAUAAUAAUAUUGCAAUUGGGCAUGCUAAGUAAAAAUCAAGUUGCCGCAUAUUCCAGCCUACCUUCAAUCUGGACGUAAUUGUUGUAGAAAGUAAUUUUACAUAAAGGUUAUUGUCAGGAUAUUUCGUUCCUAACUGUAGUUUUGAUAUUGACAGCUAAGUUAACUUCUCUAUCAGACAUCUCAAAUUCUCGAACGAUCUGGAUAUAAAGUCUUUUUUUUUACUAGAUUAACAUUGUUUUGCUCAUUAAAUUAGAUAAGAUAUUUCACUUUAGGCCAAUAAAUAAGUUUUUCUCUUUUGUAAUCAAUAAUCAAUUUAUUAGUAAAGAAGUGGGUUCUUUUUAAUGCUUUCUCCCUUAAGCUAAGUUAGAAAAUGAGAUCCCCUUCCCCGUUGAGCGGAUAGGCGUCUAACAAAUAUGUAAAAUUUAUCUAUCAAUAUCAAAACUAUAGUUAAGAGUGGAAGAUUCUAAUAAUUUUAAAUCACAUUAAUAUCUUCUUUUAUAAUAAAAAUAGGAGGAACUGACAGUAGUAAUGUUUUUUAAACAUCUAAUGAUAGAUAAAGCAACGAAAUAGAUAAAGAUGGUGAUGACGGCGAAAGAGUGAUCCGUAAAGAUGCCGACAUGGUACAACUAGUGGAUGUGGCGAUUGAGACACAACCAGAGACGCCGAUAGAGAAUGAAUGAUUGGUGGUGGCAAUGGGAGAGGAAUAACAGGUGGAGGAGAUGGUGGAGGUACUUACGGAGGUGACAACUAGUUAUGCAGAGAAGUUAGGAAUUCUAUUUGUUGAUCCAUAGUCCGCAAAAUAGUCAGAUCAACCUCAUGACAAAGUUUUCAACCGAAAAUUCGCUAAUUGAGAUUUAUUCACAUUGAUUUGCAAUCGUACUUUUGGUGCUUAUACACAAUAAGGCACCAUCUUUCGGUAGAAAAUUUUAUCAAAAAGUUUUAAACUCUUGCAUCGUCUGCAAUAUAGAAGUUUUUAAGACUUGAAAUUAUUGAUUUUCCCGUUACUCUGUAAGUAAAGAUUCUCAUUAGUGAUUGUACCAACUAUGUUGCAAGUACGAAGAAGUGUAGUCUUUGCACUACAACAGAAUUAGGUUAUAGGGACACAUUUUUGGGACACUUUUGAGUAAGUGUCCCAUUUAUGCUAAAACUUAAAAAAACAUCUACUAAUACCUAAAUAUAAAGCCCAAUCCAACCAAAAAUAAAAGAUUACUCUACUCAACCCACCACACCCAGUCCAUUUGGCCCGAUUACCAACAGAAAAGAAAAAAAAGAAAAAGAAAAAUCAAUUACCAUCUUUUCUUCUCUCUUCACUCAAUUCACUGAAAUUCUAGACAAAGAGCCUUUCCUGUCGUCCUCCUCCGCCACCGCAGCCAACGAGAUAGAGUUUCGGCGGUUACUAAAUGCUUAAAUAAGUGUUGAUAAAUUAGCAGUACUCUUUUAGGUUAUAGCGAUACUUUUUAACUGUCACUAUAUACCUGGCGACCCCACAUAUAGCAACACUUUUUAAAAGUGUCGGUAAUUUUAGCUAGCAGCACUUUUUUGACAUGUAGCUACAUUUAAAAGUGACGCUAUAGACCGUUUUUGUUAUAGUGUUGACACAAGAAGGUUCGAUUUUGUUACUGAGAACUCGUGUUACUUACCUCCUGUUGGUAGCCGAACUCUCCCUUCUUUGACCUUGUCAAAGAUCUUCCUCGGGAAUGAUGCCGGGAUGUGACGCGGCUAUGAUAAUGACCCUCGAAGUUUGCGCCCUUCGACUGGAUCAAACGAUUAGGCUGAUGAGGGAUCGGAUCAGCCGAGUUCGGAACCUCUGAUAGAAACUCGGUUCGGCUGGAAGAGCCGAAUGUACGGAAUGUGCAGAAUGUAAAGUCGACCGAAGAGCCGAAUUGAUGAGAGAACACAGAAAUUGGUCGGCUUAAAGAGCCGAAAGCCUUUAAGAUAUAUUUGAAAUUACUCUCGAGGGAAAGUACAAGGGUUGAGUGUGCCCGAGGGCAUACAGACUCGGUUGAUCUAUUCUAAUUCUACUCUUAGGAAAACAGUAAAUGUUGAAAAUUAAAGGGUUACAAGUAGACUACUCCUAAGAAAUGCAAAAAAUUGCAAGGAAAUAAGAGUGGUCUUCUGUUCACGGGGAAAAGACCACUUUUUUGGGCGUUAUUGGCCAAUUUAUAGAUCGCCCAUGUUGAUCAGUUAUUACUUAUCCAUGAUCGGCCACUAUUCCCUAAUUUUUCGGGCCACUUCCAGCCGAUUGGAACCGCUUGCAACUGCUCGCGGUUGCUGUAACUUCCCUUAAUUCAUGCGGGUUCACUUUUUGAUGCUCCCGGUGCACAGCAGAAACAUUACUUUCUUUUAAACAAAACUGCUAUGGUGUACCGGGUACCACGUGUCCGCGUCUUAUUGGCCCAACAAUUGCCCCCUCGGCAGCUUCCAAACUACCGCUUCGAUAGCUGGCGUAAUCCGAGGCGCGACUUCCGAUCCGAUUAAAAUUUCUUUUAAGAUUUCGCCUCAGCCGUCCAUUUCUCUUCUACGGCCACGAUCUUGCCAUCAUUUCGAUAACUAGCGUGAUCCGAGGCGUGACUCUCGAUAUAAUCAAUUUCAAAUUCUCUGCACGAUUUCGUUUCAGCCGUUCAUUUCUUUUUCAAGGCUACGAUUCUGCCAUCUCUUUUUGUCUUAUAUGCGGCAUUAAUUAGGUCAUCUUAAUUGCCGCCGUCUUUUGAUCGUUAUAGCCGAUCUCGGGAAUCGAUUUUCGACGCGACGGCUCUUUUUCUUCCCCGCCAAUCUUUCUUUUCUCUAAUUUCUAUUUACCUCAGGCCUCGUCUUCUCCAUUUCUGAUCUAUAGCUUUGGCUCCAUUUUCUUUUCCUUAUCGAUUCGUAAGGCUUCUUCUCCCUUCUUUAGCAAUGGCACCGGUUCCAUCUCUUCCAUCUUCUUUGUCCUUAGAUUAUAACAUCUUUAGACAACUCACCGACUCAGAUCCAUCUCGCUUCAUUUUAGGUCCUUCUUUUACAGACGAACCAACGCCUAGCGACUCCCCAUAUUCCAGUGAUGGCCUUCCAUUUUCAGCCAGAACUACCCACCUCCAAUCUUGGUAUUCGUCAGCUUCAACAGGCAAAAGUUUUCGAACCUGGCCAAGUGUUUCGGAUGCAUACCUGGCCUGGUUAGACCGGGUAGAAGUUGCCUAUGGUGCCUCUUGGCGGGAAGUAGGUAUUUAUAAGGCAAUCAAAUUAUCUCGGCAACCCCCAAUAGCCGACAAUCUCCUUUUAGCCGCUGCUCUCUGUUUCUGAUACCCUGUUUCUAACGUUUUUCUUUUCAAAUGAGGACCCCUUACUCCCACUCUUUUUUAUGUUGCUGCCAUCGUUGGCUUACGCCCCCAUGGAGUUACCCUCUCCAUGUCCUACAAUCCUAAUGGCAUGUUUGAUUUUAAGGCUUAUCUUGAUCUCAAUGACUUGGCUUACUCUAAGUUUCUCUGCAAAUUUGCCGGUGAGUCUUCUGCUGCGGUUACAAGGAAGGAACAUACAGACUUCCUCCUAUAUUGGUUAUACCACAACCUUUUUUACACUCGUUCGCAAAAAAUUAAUCCGGAUUUCGUCCCAAUCGCCGUAGGCUUAGCCAACGGCGAAAAAUUAGCUUUAGGACCCUAUAUUCUUGCUUUUGUUUAUAGGAAAAUUUUUGAUUUUAUCAAACCACUGACCUCUGGAGAUGGUGUGACCAUCGGUUCUGGUUGUGGUGUUUUUUGGUUCUUGCAAAUAUUUUUGCAAUUUUAUUUUCCCACUCUGUGCCGAGAUCCUGUAGAUCUAAACUCGGUUGCUGAACAUGACUCUUAUAGGUUAGCUCUCAGCUGUCUACAACCGAAAACCUCAGGUCACCCUUUUGAUUUUCUUACUUAUUUUAAAACUUUUUAUGAGUUGCGCUAUAGUUUUGCUAUUUCUUGGUCUCUAUUUGCUGACCGUCUCACUUGUCCAUCUUGGUUCCUUACCCGAUACGAGGCCCUUCACAGCGAAUUGGCAUCUUCUCAUGCCAGUGAGUAUUUAGACGUCUAGUACUCCUUUUUGGCCACAAGGAUUUGCAUGUGGGGCUAAAAUCACGUUCGAAACUGCUGCCGAGCACCGAAGUUUACUCCCCCCAAUUUGCAGCGUGUCAGUUUGGGUUGAUACAAGCGGUUCAUGCUCCAACCAAGUUUUUUACUGCCAAUACAGCUGCCAUCCGGCCUACUACCAAGGGCAUAGCCGAAGCCGAUCAGAUUUCGGCUAUGGGGAACCGUCUCCGGCCGUUUUACAAGUUAAUAAGCUUCAGGUCGAAUUCCACAGGUGUGGCGCUAUCUAGUUAUCUCACAACUUGGGGACAAUUCACUGAUAUAGUCUACGGUUUAUCUACCCCUCGGGCGUAUUACAAGACUAUUCAUCCAUUUGUUUCAGUUGAUACCUCUGCUCCAUCAACAUCGGAAAAAGAAUCAGAAGAGACUUCCGAUCAUACCUCUGAUGUCCCGCCUUCUUCUUCUGUAAUAAACUUUAUUUUUAUUUUGACUUUCUUUUCUUAACAUGAUUAAUACUUACUUCGUCUUUAUCCAUUUUCAUAUAUAGUCAAUCCCGACUUCUUCAUCGGUCCUAGCUUCAGAAACUUCAGAAAAAAGACCGAUCGAGACUGAACCUCCGCCGCCUUCGAAGCGGCGUAAGUUGGUUGCUAAAAGACCACAUUCCAAGCAAGCCGAAGGCAUUUCUUCGGCUGACGAUUUGCAGAAAAGGGCAGAAAAUAUACCUUCUAUCACACCCCGAGACCGCUACCAAUUUGGUACGGUUUGGGCACGUCGAACAUACACCGAACGGACAGCACCUCCCCUGUCCGUCCAAGGCUUGACAACAGAAUCAUGUACAUAGAAUUGCCCAGGAAUAAUUCAAUUACAUACAUGAUAAGCACGGAGCACUACUAGUGCUAACAAGUGAGAGCAAGAUACAAGUAUACAAUACAAGUGAAUAUAUACAAUGUUCAUCCAAAAUACAUAAGCAACUCCCUCAAAAUACAUCACAACUCUCAGGUACAUGGGUACUCUAAUGCAUAGGGUAGCUGCUACUAAGUUAGGGCGCGAUGCCCUUACCACGGUCCUCGCCGGGAGCACUCGAACUCGGCCCUACAAUAAAGUGGGGUGAGAACUAUUGUCCAUAGUUUUCAGUGGGUUCGGCCGCUGACUCCGCCGAUCUCCCCACUAGGUCUAAGCAGGCAUAAGCAGAUAGAUAGAUAGAUAUCUAAAAGUAAAGCUGAUGCAUAUUGAAAGAAUUGCACUAUUCUACUAUGCCUUGAAAUUCAGGAAUGAACAAGAUAGCCAUGCAAUUACUAACAUACUAUAGUACCAACAUCAAGUAUGGAUGCAACUCUACUAGCUCAUUAUGCUCAAUGCACAUGAUUCUUAUGAGUUUAUUACCCAAUCCUUUGGCUGGCCCAUAGGCGCGCUCUGGACUCACAUCUCAAAUCCGUCUAUGAUGGGGGACUCGAACCACCCGAGGGAUCGUCUGCGGGAACCCAAAUAGGCUAUCCCAAUCAUACAUGUGCCAAACUCCGGAGCGCACUACUUGUGCGGAGCGACCGCCACAUGCGCUGAACAGACUAUGUGAGUAUGAUCCAAUCCUUGUCACAGAGGAUAUCCUGUCACUAGGGUCAUCACUAUCGCACUGAUCUCAUGCAAGGUGUCAAGUAGGGAGACUCGUCUAUCCCCUAAGUCAUCAUGUCACUAGUGUUCUUUUAACACUAAGUUCUAAUGCCACUCGUCAAGUUGUUUACUUAGUUUACAUGCCACUCGUCAUGAUGCAAUGCCUCGACUAUACUAGUCCUAUAUCAUCAACGCAAGAUCAAAUUAUUAUUUAACUUAUCUCUAUAGGGUUCUAUGUCACAAAGCUCAUCCUCAUGCACCCUAUCUCACUUGCCAAGCCUACUAUGCCGCACUACAAAGGGAACAUGUAAGAAUAGUAAUUGCAACAUCUAAACACCCUAUCAUGCAUGAAGUAUACAUAUAGAAUAUGAUCAACAUAGAGAUACUUAGACAUAGGGAGGAGCCCAGUUGCUUCGGGAUGACACCCUCCACCUCUUGAUAACGUAGCGAGGCUAGGUACUCGACUCCGCGAUCCUUGGUCGCCGCUUCAACUCUUCGGGCCAACACGAAGCCUCAAACGCUCGUUUCGGCAAUAUCUUUGUACUGGCUCGACGAAUCAACGAACCGACCUUUCCAACGCGUUUAAACACCUAGCAAUUAGGUUAACACAUGAUCAAUUUAGAUCAAAACCCUCUAUUUUCAAAAACUCCAAUUUGGGGCCCUAGGUUUCAACUAAUGCAAGAAUCCCAUCUCAAAUCCCUAGAUUCAAGCAUAAACCUUCUAUUUGGCAAGCUAGGGUUCCAACAAAAUCAAUUCUAGAAGAUAAAAAUCCAUCUAAAGGGAUUUACCAUGAAAGCUCUCAAAGCUUACCUCAAGAAACUUGCUCUAAUGGUGGAGAGGAAGAAGAGGAAGAUGCCAAUCCUUCUUCUUGCUUGCUCAUCCACCAAAAUCCCCUCAUUCUUCACCCUCUAGAGAGAGAAAAAGGAGUUUAGAGAGAGAGAAAGGGAGCUAGGGGUGAGGUUGGGAGAGAAAUGAGAAGAAGAGGGCUCAUUUCCCCUCUAUACCCCUUCACAAGUGCACAUUUGCACAAAACACCCCUCACUUUCCAAGUUACACACUGGCCCAGCCUGGGCAGUUUCUGGCUACGGGGACUGGUCUGUCCUUGGAGGGACCGGUCCCUGAGAGCAACUUUUGCGGGCAGAGCUUUUCUGCCAAUUUCUACGUGUACGGGGACCGGUCUGUCCCGCCAGGGACCGGUCCCCGAGAGCAAAUAUUGUGCGCAGAGUUUUCUCUGCCGCACCCCUGCUUACGGGAACCUGUCCCUCACACCAGGGACCGGUCCCCGAGAGCAAAAUUCUGCAACUCCGAGGCCCUCAUACUUCUGCAGAAUUUUGCAAAAUUCUGAAAAAUUUUGCAAAAUUUUGCAAAAUUCUGCAGAAUUUUCCUACUUCGCUCUCCGAGGCCCUCCUCGAUGCACUUUUUGAAUUUUUGACGCCUUCGGCCUUUCCGAAGCGUACCCAAUCGACAAUCAGUCGAUUCUAAACGAAGUUCAACUCUCGCAUUUUGAGAAUUCACUUCCUUACACCUUCGGCCACUAUUCCAGAAGGAAGAGCCGAAGAAACACCUCCGGCUGAUGUCCCAAAGCAAGACUCUGUUCUUAGUGAGCCCAUUGAAAUUGAGAUAAAUCAAUUUAGUUAGCCAUUUAACUUGUUUUGUUUUCAACUUAUUUACUUAUUCUUUUUCCAAUAAACUAGUCUUCUCUUGAAAACAAUUCAAGAGUCCGUUUUGCUUUUUCUUUGAAGACGCAGAUUAGUAGACAAGUUCGUCGGGAGACUCGUCUUGAGAAAAAGCAAGAAGUGGAGAGAAAAAGGGGUGCUCGAGAAAUAAGCAAAGAUUUGCCGACAAGUGAUGCGGCACCAUCCUUAUCUACUCCAGUACCAACAACAGAGAGGGAAGAUGCAAGCACACCUUUUAAAAAAGGUGCUGAGGGAGCAAGCACAGUGCCUCACUCGAUUCCUGAAACCUCAUCCUCUGCUCCUGAAGACCCCCUGUUUGCCAUUCUUCACUCUCUAUUAGUUUCGAGCCCUAAUUCUAAUGAAGGAGACGACUCGACUACUAUUAUGAUGUCUACAGACUCUCAACAAAAAUUUGGUGAGUGUCUACGAUUAUAUAGUCAAGGCAUUCCAUCAUUGGCUCAAAAUUCAGAACAAUUCGAUCGAUUGUGUGCUUUUUUUUUGAUUUAGCCGAUCAGCCAGACAUUUCUUCUGUUGGCAAAUGUUUUGUAAAGUAUUAUCAUCUCAACUUUCUUCUUUCUUAUCUCGGCAACAAUCUUUGGGUGCCGAGCUUUUAUCUUUGGAUCAACAUUUCCACAAAGUUGAUCAUUUUAAAAAGGCUAUACCUGAGAUAGCAGCUUCAAUAACUGACACAAGCCGAGAAGAUCAACUUUUGGAAAAUCAGGAUCAGCCCUGCAGCAGCGGAUUUUCACUCUCAAAGAAGAAUUAGCUGCGGCUGAAUUGACUUUGGCUCGCACCUCUGAACGUCGGUUCCAACUGCAAGAUCAAUUGAAGAUGAAGAAAAGUGAAGGGAUGAAACUUCAAGAAAAAACUUUCCCAACUUUACAAAGUGCAUCCCUUGAUGAAACGCAGGAGAAAGGCCGUUGAAACUGCCUAAGCCAAUUUAAUAACCGAAUGGAACCAGCUCAAGGAUUUACUAUCUUGAUUUGGCUUGUAAUACCUUAACUCUAACUUUGAUUAUUCUCCCACAUGGAUGGGUAAUACUUCUUCAGAUAUUUUUUAUUGAUCGGCUUCUUAUUUUCUAACCCAUCUAUGUUUUUUAAGUAAUAUGCAUUUCCCUUUGUGACUCUGCUUAUUUGAAAUGGUCCUUCCCAACUCGGAGACCAUUUUCCAUAUGCUCGGUCUUUUUGACCGAUUGGAAAUAUUAGUCUAAGAACUAAAUCACCAAUUGCAAAUGAUUUAGCUCUAACUUUUUUAUUAUAUGCAUUGCGUACUCGGCUUUGAUAAGCUUGCAAAUGGUUCAAUGCCAUCAACCGAGUUUCAUGUAUUUCUUCUAUUUCUUCAUUCAUCAAAUCACUAUAUUCAUCAACCGAUAGUUCUUUUUGCUUUUCCACUCUUAAAGAAGGAACUGUUAUUUCGGCUGGUACCACGGCCUCGUGGCCGUAUACUAAUUGAAACGGUGUCGUCCCCGUUGUCGUUUUCACUGAAGUUCGGCAUGCCCAUGGUAUUUUGUAUAGUUUUUCAUUCUAUUUUCUUGGAUAUUUUCCAAUAUGCCGCUUCAUAAGAUUUAUAAUUAGCUUAUUUGUUGCCUCGGUUUGUCCAUUGGCUUGAGCAUAAUAAGGUGACAAAUGGAGUAGCUUAAUCUUUCGAGAUUCGACGAACCGAACAAACUGUCCUCCUGUGAACAUUGUUCCUUGAUCGGUUGUAAUCGUCUCGGGAACUCCAAAAUGAUGAAUUAUAGAAUCUUCAACAAAAUUAAUGAUUUCUUUUUGAGUGACCAACCGAGCGGGUUUUACUUCUACCCACUCAGUAAAAUAAUCAACGGCCACUAUUAAAAACUUAUGACCAGCUGAAGAAUUCGGCUGAAUUUCUCCGAUUAAAUCCAUAGCCCAUCCUCGAAAAGGCCAUGAUUUAAUUAUAGCAUACAUCUCAGAGGUAAGAACUCUUUGUACUGAGUCAUGAAAUUGACAAUCUUUGCAAUCUUUAGCAUAUUUUAUGCAAUCAUGAUGCAUAGUCUGCCAAUAAUAUCCUAAAUGCCGAAUUGUCCAUCUUAAUCCUUUCCCUGCCAAAUGGGCUCCACACAAACCUUCAUGUGUUUCUCCCAUCACUAAUAGAGCUUCUUCGAGUCCUAAACAUUUCAAUAGUACUUCUUCGGCUGUUCUUUUGUAAAGUUGUCCAUUCAACAGACAAUAGCCGAGUGCUCUUCUUCGAAUAUUAUAAUCGGCCCGUUUAUUGGAGUCUUCUAAAUAUUCGAUUAUGGAUUUUCUCCAAUCCAAUCUUUUUUCACCCCUAUGGGGGCAAUAAUCGGCUCUCGAAUAUGAAUCGAAGGUAACAAUCUGCACUCUAUUUUUACUAGACUCCUCUCCAGCUCUCUAUACCCUGAAGCCGAUUGGGCUAAUGCAUUAGCCUUUUCGUUUUCUUCUCUUGCUAAGUGCUUAAACUCAACCUCUCCAUAAUUACAAAGUAAUUCUAUCGUCUUUUGCAAAUAGUUUUGCAAAUUUCGGUUUUCACAUCGGUAUUCUCCAUUGACUUGUUUAAUCACUAAUUGUGAAUCACCGAUGACCUUGAGUUAGUGAACUCCUAAUUCUUGUAAAAUUUCAAGGCCAAUUAUUAAAUCCUCGUAUUCGGCUUGAUUAUUAGAACAGCCAAAAUCUAAUUCAAAAACAAAUCGAUAGGUAUAUCCCUCAGCAAAUCGAUAGGUAUAUCCCUCAGGAGACUGUAUUACUACUUCAGCUCUCGCUGAUACGGCUGUUCUUGAGCCAACAAAUUAAAGUAUCUAAUGUUGACAGCCGAUCAAAUUUUGCUUUGGCUCUUCAAUUUCAACAUAUGGGUAAUCAGCCAGAAAAUCAGCUAUUGCUUGUCCUUUAACAGCUUUUGCUGGAACAUAAUUAAUAGAAAAUUCAGACAAAGCCAAUAUCUAUUUUUCGAUUCGACCUCUUAAUACUGGCUUGGAUAACAUAUAUUUUACUAAGUCGGGUUUACAUAUUACCGACACUUCGGUUGGUAAAAUAUAAUACUUCAAUUUUGUACAGGCAUAAUAUAAAGCUAAACAUAGUUUUUCAACUGCCGAGUAUCAUUUUUCGGCAUCUAAUAAUCGCCUGCUGAAGUAAUAUAUGGCAUGUUCCUCUUUUUCUUCAUUCACUUGGGCCAACAAGCAUCCUAAAUUUUCCUCUCCAACCGAAAUAUAUAGUUUCAUCGGUUGUCCUUGCUUAUGAGGCAUAAGGACCGGAAGAUUUGAUAAAUAUUUCUUUAUAUUUUCAAAAGCUCCUUGUUGUUUCUCUACCAAAAUAAAUUCUUCUUUACUUUUAAGCCGAAGUAAUGAAGUAAAAACUCCUAUUCUAUCAGCCAAAUUUUAUAUGAAUCGCCGCAGAUAAUUAAUUUUUCCCAAUAAACUCUGUAAUUCUUUUUUACUCUUUGGUGGCGGCAAUUCUAAUAUAGCUUUCGCUUUGUUUUUAUCGACCUCGAUCCCUUUUUUAUGCACUAAGAAUUUCAGAAAAUUUUCUGUAGAAACUCCAAAGGCACACUUCAAAGGGUUCAUUUUUAAAUUAUAUUUUCUCUUUCUUUCAAAGGCGAGUUUUAAAUUCGCCCAAUGUUUGGCUUGUGAUUUAGAUUUUAUAACUAUAUUAUCGAUAUAAACCUCCAACAUUUUGCUGAUUAAAUCAUGAAAAAUAAAAUUCAUUGCUCUCUGAUAGGUAUCUCCGGCAUUUUUUAAACCGAACGGCAUGACCAUCCACUCAAAGGUCCCAAUAGACCCUGGGCAUCUAAAAGUCGUUUUAGCUACAUCUUCUUCAGCAAUAUAAAUCUGAUUGUAACCUGCAUGUCCGUCCGUAAAGAACAAGAUUUCAUUACCGGCAGCCGAAUCCACUAACAUAUCGGUUAUUGGCGUUGGAUACUCAUCCUUAGGUGUAGCCAAAUUUAAGUUCCUAAAAUCAAUGCAAACUCUAAGUUUACCAUUCUUUUUACAUACAGGAACUAUAUUAGAUACCCAAUCGACAUAACAGGCUGCUCUAAUAAAACCGGCCUUCAAAAGAUUUUUAAUUUCGUUCUUAAUUUGAAGUACAAUAUUCGGCUCAAACCUACGAGCUGGCUAUUUGUAAGGCUUAUAUCCCUUUUUAAUAGGUAGCCUAUAUUCUAUAAUUUUUUGGUUUGAACCUAGCAUUUCUUUAUAGCUCCAGGCAAAGCAGUCCUUGUACUCCAACAGCAAUACUUUCAGCUCCUCCUGUUGUUGAGCCGAAAGUUUAGCACUAAUGUAGGUCGGUCUAUUGUCUUCAUCAGAUCCCAAGUUUACUUCUAUUAAUGGAUCUUGAGUUUCUAGCUUCUUGUCAUCGACUUUAAUAGGCGAUUCCUCCAUAUUCAACUCGUUUGUUGGCCUCCUUAAUUCAUCUGGUCUUUCUUCAUUAGCAUUCAUUGCCAAUUUCAAUACUUCCUUAUCGACCUCCACAACCGAUUUUGAAAACUCAUUAUCGGCCACCUUGGCCGCCUUGCUAAAUGUUAAAUCAUCGGCUUGAUUGGCCGAAUUACUUUAAUAACCGAUCUCGUUGAUUGGCUCAUUCAGCCGAAGCUCUUCUAAAGCUUCGGUUCCUGAUCUCUGAUAUUCCAUUUUAUCUAGUUUGGUGGCUCUUCGGCUGCCACCAUAGCUCCUUCGUCUUUAGAGAGAAUUAAUUGUACUCCCUCUUCAGUAACUCUUAUAAAAGAAAUUUGGUCCGGAUCAGCAUCGGCCCAAUUAAUAUGGCCGAUUUCUUCUGCAUUGAUGUCCACCAUUUAGGGCCAACCUUCAGCCCUGAUUUCUUCUACUCUUUCUCCAACCCACUGGAAUAACUUUCCAUGGAGUGUAGAAGGUAUGCAUUCGUUUAUGUGUAUCCAGUCACACCCGAGUAGCAGGUUGUAAUAACUAUCUCCAUCUACUACAGAAAAUGCAGUGCGUAGAGUUUUAGAACCUAUCGUUAUCUCAGUUGUGACUACCCCUCUAGCUUGUUGACUGCUUCCAGUAAAGUUGGUCAUGAUUGUAUCGAUGGGCUUCAAUUCAUCUUCAUUCUUGCCCAAUUUCUUAAGAAUGAAGUGGGCAUAACAUUGACCAUUGCUCAACUGUCUACCAUGACUCGACCUACGGGUCGUCCUUCUAUCAAAGCCCGUAUGAACAAAGGCCUCACAAAUCUUGUCUGCAUGACCGAUGGUUUCUCAAAAACCACUGCAUCGUCCGACUUGGCAACUUCUUCGUCUACCAUCUUCUCGUACUUAAUAUACUCUGUCUUGAAAGAUUGUGGCAGAGAAUAUACCAUAUUGACAUCGACUGGUCCUUCAUCAGCCGAUUUUCCUUGUAUUCUUUGUUUCUUCUCUUCAAACUCCUUUGCCGUCUCGGCUGAGGAGUCACUUUCCAUCCGUGCCUCCCUCUCCUUAGGAGGCCAUCUCUCUCGCUUGAUGAUUGUCUCGAGGGAAGCUAUUUUUUCUUCUAAUUCCCUUCGGUAACCUUCUUCUCUGGUUCGACCGUGAUUGGCCGUUCUAUCUUUGAUUUUAACCAAGGGAGGGUGAUGAACCACCCAUCUCAUGAUCAUUCUUCAUUGGACGAAAAGGGUGUGGUAGCUUAUUGGGUCGUCUCCACAUGUUCAGCUUCAUCCCUUUUGCCUCCUCAUAGUGGUGUCUUACCUCAGCUUGCAUCCUCUGCUGCCGACGCUUUUGUGUUUUCGUUAACAUCGGCCCUUGCUACUUGGCCGAUGGUCUAACCUCAUGCCAUUGAUCAACCGGCACAUUUACCCGUACUUUAACCGUUCUCAAAUGAUUCUUCAAAAUUUCUCUCCUUUCCCAGGGUCUUGACCAGGGCUUAUGCCGAGCUCGUUGACUAGUCUCCGACCGAGGAGCUCUAUAUCCCUUUCAGUCAUUCCUUCGAACUCUGGUUCUGGUCUCGGCCUGGCUUGAUGCUGCCAAUGUGGCCAAUACCCAGGGAAUCUCUGUUUCGAGCCGAAUGGUUUAUCUGGGUAACUCCAUCACCUGUUAUGUUCUUCUUUCCUGCUAUUGUAAUAAUCAUACAGGACUUUCUGCAUUAAUAAAUUCUUCUUGUUUUGAACCGAAUCAAUGUCCGGUUAAGAUUCAUUGGAGGCUUCGUCUGAGCCAUCCUCUGAUUGAUCAUCUCUUUCGAGAAUCUCCUCCCAUUCUUCGGGGAACGCCAUUAAUUCUCUCCAUUCAUUACUCCUCUUCUUCUCGUUGAUUACGGCUUCCAAAUCUUUCUUUGUCAUUUCGACUUUACACCUUAUGCAGAUCCGAAGAGUUCUCUUGACAUAGGCAACGUGCUCAGCGGUCUUCUUGUCCGCGACUGCCUUUCCCAUGACGUCCACCAUAUUUACCUGCGAUGAAAAUGAAUUCUUGUCAAUUUUUAUAUUUUUAUUCUAUUGAUCGGCAAAUAUGAGCCGACCCUUAUUUAUUUUUUUUGAAUCUGUCUUUUAAAGGCAGUACAUUCAUUCGUUUUAUGGCUCCACGAAUGGUGCCAUUUACAGUAUUUUCUUCUUUUUAAUUCUUCUCCAGAGGGUAUGGUUUCACCCUCCUGUAAGUGAAUCCGUCCAUCUUUUAAUAACCGUAAUUAGAUCGGUCUUUGAAACGUCAAAAGAAUAAGUAUAUGCCGAAACCCGUGCUUUUGCCUCGCUUGAUUUAGAUGGCUUCAACAAAGUAUAUUUAUAUGGUUGACGGUUUCUAACCAUCUCAGCAGCAUAUAUUUCGGCUUCACCAGCCGAAUCCUCGAUCUCUUCAGAUGAAUUCGUCUCCUCAUAAGCCGACGAUUCUUCAAGGAAAAAAAUGUUUUUCUCUUUUUCUUUGUUCCACUCUUUAUUUCGGCUCUAUCUGGGCCGAUUCUCACUAUUUUCCUUUCGGAAUUGCUCGUAUUAAGCAAUCCGAACUCCCAAAUCAAAAAGAUUUGGAAAGUAUUUAUCUUCAAAAUGAUCUUUAAUUUUGAAGUGUAAGCCGUUGAAUGCCAUUUUGGCAAAUUCUGACUCUGGCAUCCUGACGAAACAACGGCCCGUGGUCGUUUUAAAUCGGUUCAAGUAUUCUUCACCGAUUCGCCCGUCCUCUGUUUAAACUGAGCCAGAUCAGCUACUGACAAUUUCGGUUCUGAUCUAUAAAAUUGUUCAUGAAAUUUUCCUUCUAAUUCGUCCCAAUCUCGGACGGAAUUAGCCGGUAAACACGUAUACCAAGUAAAAGCCGUCUUGGUUAACGAAGUGUUAAAUAACCUCAAUUUUAAAAAUAGAUCUGCCGCGACUUCUCGGCAUUGUGCUGUAAACCGUGCAACAUGUUCAACCGUGUUUUCGGUCUCAUCACCGAAAAAUUUGUCAAAUUUCGGCAUUUUUCAAUUUGUCGGGUAUGGAUGCUCUGCGUCUAUAUUCGCAGGAUGGGGUGAUCUAAAUACAGGUCGCAUUGUCGGCCUUGCACCUACUCCGAAAGUAUUUCGGAUGAAUUCUUCUAUUUGUGCAUAGAUUUCAUUAUUGUUCCCCUGUAAGGGAACUUGUGCUUGUACUUGUGCUAUAUUUGGUCCUUGUGGUAGACCGAAAUUUUGUACCACAGGGUUGAUCCCUUGUACAUUUGGGGCCUUCCCCCUAGCCCUAGCCCCUACAUUUUGGGGCUGAUAUACAGUUACUGGUUGAGGAGGUGGUAACCCCCAUGCUAUGUCUGGCAGUUGACCGGCAUUAACAACAGCCGGUCUAUAAGCCGCUUAAAAUUAUGUCCCCAGGUGUUGGGGCUGACCAUUUGCCGGUGUUAUAGGAUUUUAUAACACUGGCGUCAUCACAGGCCCUUGUAAGCCUGUUGCUGGUUGCUCGUUUCGAGUCAACAAUUGCCCUAUUCGGGCAAUAUUCUUAUUUGAGGCCGUGGUUGCGACCAAUACUGCAUCUAAACGUGUAGUGCUUCUAUGACUAUUUUGGUCUAAAACUUGUAGGACUCGAGUCAUUUGUCCAAGCGUCUGAGCCAAACUAGGCUCCUGUUGGUCGGAUUGCCCACUAGUCUCACCCUCGGCAGGUAAGACUGCUUAACGCUCUCCAGCGUUAUCUGAAUUGCUGGAUAGUUGAUCGCUCCUAGAACUUCUAGGAACGACCCUAUUGCGCACGUUCAUGGCAUUAUCAUCAGCCAUUAUAUCUUAGUAAAGAGUAAAAUUACCUUGAAUGGUCCCACCGGGUGAGCCAAAAAUUAUUGGUAGCUGAACUCUCCCUUCUUUGACCUUGUCAAAGAUCUUCCUCGGGAAUGAUGCCGGGAUGUGACACGGCUAUGAUUAAUGACCCUCGAAAUUUGCGCCCUUCGACUAGAUCAAACGAUUCGGCUGAUGAGGGAUCGGAUCAGCUGAGUUUGGAAUCUCUAAUAGAAACUCGGUUAGGCUGGAAGAGCCGAAUGUACGGAAUGUGCAGAAUCUAAAGUCGGCCGAAGAGCCGAAUGGAUGAGAGAACACAGAAAUUGGUCUGCUUAAAGAGCCGAAAACCUUUAAAAUAUAUUUGAAAUUACUCUCGAGGGAAAGUACAAGGGUUGAGUGUGACUGAGGGCAUACAUACUCGGUUGAUUUAUUCUAAUUCUACUCCUAGGAAAAACAGUAAAUGCUGAAAAUUAAAGGGUUACAAGUAGACUACUAAGAAAUGCGAAAAAUUGCAAGGAAAUAAGAGUGAUCUUCAGUUCACGGGAAAAAGAUCACUUUUUAGGGCAUUAUUGGCCUAUUUAUAUAACGCCCCUCUUGAUCAAUUAUUACCUAUCCAUGAUCGGCCACUAUUCCCUAAUUUUUCGGGCCACUUCCAGCCGAUCGGAACCGCUUGCAACUGCUCGCGGUUGCUCUAACUUCCCUUAAUUCACGCGGGUUCACUUUUUGAUGCUCCCGGUGCACAGCAGAAACAUUACUUUCUUUUAAACAAAACCGCUAUGGUGUAUCGGGUACUACGUGUCUGCGCCUUAUUGGCCCAACACCUCUAUAGUAAGCCGUCUAUCUCAUCUUUAUAUCAUCUGAUUCAUCAGAAUCGGUUCUCAUCAUAAAAAAUAUUUAUUUUUCUUGAUAUAUGUAACGGUGGAACUAUGAGAGAAGGAGAGCAGAAGAGAUUAAGAUGACAAAUUAAAUCCAUCCCUAUCGAAUAAAAGCAGCCGAGUUAGAUUUAGUAGUAAUCGGGUGGUCAGACUAUCGGCUCGGGUAAAAGGGCGAUGUUUAGAUCCGAACCGGACUCUAGGUUGCCAACAAAUAGGGCCGUCCACAGUGGGGCUGGACGAAGAUCGGCCCAUAUUGCCUCGGAUCCUUUUUUAGAUUUUUUUUCAAUUUUAUACAUAAUAUUUUUAUUUUUAUUUUUCAAAUAAUUGUUUUUAAUUGGACAGACAUUUGGAGAGAUGUUCCAAAAGCAACAAAUUUUUUUUCUUUUUCGCUUCCAAUGUGGCCAUAAAAUGUACAUUUUUUUAAAGUCAAUUUUUUAUUUUAAUUCAAAAUUUUAAAAUGAGUUUAAAAGUUUAUAUUAAAAUAUGAAAAAAUUUUAAAUGUUCUUACAGAUAAAAAGUUGAAAAGAAUUUAUACACUUUAUUUGUCAAAUUAAACUGCUCUAUUCCAAUGGAUUCGCGGCGUCCCCCACUUUGCCCCCGCAAACGAAAGUACUGACGGAUAACUUGAAUAUCGAACUGCUCUGUACCAAAUUGUUAGAAUAUUUUUCCUCCUAAUUAUAGUUUUGAUACCAUUAGAUAGAUUCUUGCUUAUGGUCCUCAUUCACGAUCUGCAAAAGAACGGAACAUUUCGAGUCUAAUUCUUUUAUCCCCGGAGAUGGAGCCGUCACAGUAAUUAGGAUUAGGAUUAGACCGGGACUCUCGUGUGUUAUAUAUUUAUAUAUAACUUGAUAUAAAGAUGUUCAAUCAUGUAUUUUCAUCAAGGACGUGUCUAGAUACAUUCUAGCCGUUAGAUCUACUGUAUCUUUAUAGAUUGACUUGAAUAGACCGAUUGUAUCUUUAUAAAUCGUUUUGAGUAAAUCACAUGGGCCACAUCUAUAUUCUCUCACUUGGCCUAGUGAUAUAUUCAUACCAUAUAGUAGAUACAAAACUUUAUUAGGUAUCAACUAAAUUAUACAGUCAAGGCAUGUUUGGUUUGCUUCUUUUUCACCUAAAAUUGGAAGCGAAAUGGAUGAAUCCGUUUGUGGGCGUUUGGUAUGCGGAAGUCCCAUUUCGAUUCCGAUUCUUGAGUGGAAUGGGACUCUCCCAAUCACCUCUUUUUCCAAUCCGGCCUAGGAGGCCGGAUUGGAAGUUGAAUUCGGACGGAAUGAAUAUUUAUUCGGAUUAAAUUUAUUUUUUCAACUUUUUUAAUUAAAAUAUGAGUUUAAAUUUAGAAAUUAAAAUUAAAAUUUUAAAUUUGAAUUUGAAUUUGAAUUAAAAAUUAAAAUUUAAUCAAGUAUUUUGAAUCAAACUUAUAAAUUUGAAUUUAAAUUAAAAUUUAAUUUAUAUAAAGUUUUAUUCAAAUUUUAUUUAAAAUUUAAAUUAAAUUUAUAGAUUCAAAUUAAAUUUUAAAUUGUAAUUUUAAGUUUGAAUUUGAAUAUAUCGAAAUUUAGGACAAAAAUUUUAUGGGCAUAGGACCCAAACUAAUUAGUUUGGGGACUAUGCGGAUCGGCGCCACGUGGCCGAUGGCCAUGUUUCUCAAUUGCUUUUGCUCUCUCUCUCUAUAAACACAGGAUUUUUUUUUUUCUUUCCAUCCGUGGCCGUCGGAUCGGCCACGUGGCGCCAAUCCGCAUAAUACCCAAACUAAUUAGUUUGGAAAUUAUGCCUAUAAAAUUUUUGUCCUCCCAACAAUGCUGUUCUUUUAAAUUAUCCACUCAACUUUAAAGUUUAAUUUUUAAAAAAAAAUUGAUUUAAAAUUUUGACAUUAUUUUAAAAUUUUGAUGUAAAUUUUUAAUAUUUAAUUUUCAAUUUGAAUUUAAAUUAAUAUAUUAUAAAGAUAAAGUUAGUAUAUUAAUUUGAUUACGUUUUUUAUAUCUACCUGAACCAAACACCGACAAUGGAAAUAAUUUAUUCCGAUUCCGAUUCAGGUAAUGAACCAAACAGAAUUAGGUAAUGAGUCAUUCCGAUUUAGAUUUCAGCUUAUUUCGAUUCCGAUUAUGAUUCCGAUUCCAACUUUGAACCAAACGCGCCCUCAAAGUCUUCCACUCAACCAAAAAAUCACAAUACUUUGAUCCGAGUGAUUAUAUUCCAAAAGAAGAACACUACCUUUCAUAUAUUAAAAACACGUAUUCGUUAAUCAAAUAACUUUAUGAGUUAAAAUAGUAUGAACUUAUUAUAAGUUCAACUCAAAGUCCCACUUUAGUUCACAAUAAUACUUUAUGCACAUAUGUGUAAAAACCAAAAUGUGUUCUUACUCAAAUAAAAAUAGUUCUUAAUGUUUUUAUACAAGAAGAAAAAUACUUAAACUGUAAAUAAACUCAAGAUACCCAUAUGAUUAACAUGAUUCUUGAACUUGUUUGAUAGUGAUGGUUUAGUCAUAGGAUCAGCAAUAAUCAUUUCGCUCCCAGCAAGAUACAUUGUAUUGAUAUGUUUGCUGCGAUCUAUAAUUCGACUAUUCUUGACACAAAACACUGCAGCAAAAUUGUUGCAAUGAAUUUUAAUUGGCUUUGAGAUAGAAUUGACAGCUCUUAAACGUGAGAUACAAUUUCUCAGCCAUCAAGCCUAUGACGAAGCCUCAUAAUAAGCGAUGAGCUCUAUCUCCAUAAUGGAUGUAGCAACUAUAUCUUACUUUGUGCUCAUUCAAGAUAUUGCACCUUGAGUAAGAAAGAAAAUAUAUUCUGAUGUAGACUUUCUAGAAUUCACACAUCCAAUAAAAUCAGAGUGCGAAUAUCCAACCACCUCAAAAAAAUUUUUGCAGCUUUCCAAUGUUUAAGACUAGAGUUGCUUUGGUAUCUACCCAGCAUCCCCACUGCAUGAGCUAUAUCAAGUCUGGUACAAACCUGCGCAUACAUCAAGCUUCCUACUGCAGAGGCAUAGGGUAUGCUCUUCAUAUACUGUCGUUUAAAUCAUUCAGUGGGCACUGUUUCUGAUUGAACCUAUCACCUUUUACAAUAGGUACAGCUGUAGGUGCACAGUUUGCCAUAUUAAAUUUUUCUAAAACUUUUUUAAUGUAUUUCUGAUAUUGACCCAAAAUCUUUUGAGAUCUAUUUCUAAAAAUCUUUAUGCCAAUGACAUAAGAAGUUUCACCCAAAUCCUUCAUCUCAAUGUUCUUAGAAAGAAAUUCUUUGGUCUCUUUAAGAAAACAUAAAUUACUACUUGCAAGCAGAAUGUCAUCUACAUGUGGGAUUAAAAAAAUAUACUUACUCCCAUUAACCUUAAGGUAUAUGCAGUGGUCCACAAUAUUUUCUACAAAAUCGAAUAUAGUAAUUAUAUUAUGAAACUUGAUAUAUCACUGAUGGGAAGCAUGUUUAAGUCCGUAUAUAGAUUUCUUUAAUCUGCAAAUAAAAUGAUUAUUUUCAUCUAUACUAAUACCUUCGGACUUGCAUAUAGAAUAUCUUCUCUAUUUUCCCAUUUAGAAAUACAACUUUCACAUCCAUCUAAUGUAGCUCCUGUUGGAUUUUAUUGGAUUUUUGGUUAUUUAAAACUUGUUAGGCCUCUUAGACAGCCCAAUACUUAAUAGGCCUUGCCUGGAAACCCAACUAAAAUUUUCAUAUGUGAGAUUUAGUCCCACAUUGGAAACUACAAGGGUGUUGCUGGUAUUUAUAUAUCCCUUUAUUCUCAAGCUAGUUGCAUGGGAGAAAAUGAGAGUUAUACUAUCGUUUAAACACACGCACGCACGGCACGAGCCCGAGCCAAGCCGAUUUUCGCAAAACCCUAUCUUCUACAUCGUUUUUUCUGCUUUCUCACGAUUGAUCUUUUGCGCCGACUUUCGCCAAGCUUUCUCAUAUUUUGCUGGAUCUGAAGCUUGUUGGGUUCGUUUUGCGCCACCUCGAAAGCGUGUCGACGGGGUGGAACGUGGUCAUUGUAUCGCUGGAAGUAAUUGUAGGGAAGUCUUGCCCGUAGAGGGACAAUUUCGCUUCUAGUACAGUGCUCUACACGCCUCGAUCCACAGACCUUCUCUAAUCCUUUCCUUUACAAUAUUUGUUAUUUAAUUUCUUUCUCGAAAUUUUUCUAAAACUGAAAUUAAGUUUCAAAUUAUUUUUAAAGAAUAUUUUAAUAAAAGAUCAGAAAGAUUUUUCAACAAUUUAGAAGCGAAAUAUUUAAUUUAAUCUUUCUGUUUCUUUUAUUAUACUAAUUAAAAUAUUUCUUCUCUACAAAUCAAUAUAUAUAUGUCACGCCCCGGGGCCCCUUUUUAGUUUAAAGCAUAGCGGAAAAGCGUCUGAAAUUUUUUUUUUUUUUUUUUUCGAAAACCUGACCCCAGGGUAUGCCAGAUCCGCCACAAAUANNNNNNNNNNNNNNNNNNNNNNNNNNNNNNNNNNNNNNNNNNNNNNNNNNNNNNNNNNNNNNNNNNNNNNNNNNNNNNNNNNNNNNNNNNNNNNNNNNNNNNNNNNNNNNNNNNNNNNNNNNNNNNNNNNNNNNNNNNNNNNNNNNNNNNNNNNNNNNNNNNNNNNNNNNNNNNNNNNNNNNNNNNNNNNNNNNNNNNNNNNNNNNNNNNNNNNNNNNNNNNNNNNNNNNNNNNNNNNNNNNNNNNNNNNNNNNNNNNNNNNNNNNNNNNNNNNNNNNNNNNNNNNNNNNNNNNNNNNNNNNNNNNNNNNNNNNNNNNNNNNNNNNNNNNNNNNNNNNNNNNNNNNNNNNNNNNNNNNNNNNNNNNNNNNNNNNNNNNNNNNNNNNNNNNNNNNNNNNNNNNNNNNNNNNNNNNNNNNNNNNNNNNNNNNNNNNNNNNNNNNNNNNNNNNNNNNNNNNNNNNNNNNNNNNNNNNNNNNNNNNNNNNNNNNNNNNNNNNNNNNNNNNNNNNNNNNNNNNNNNNNNNNNNNNNNNNNNNNNNNNNNNNNNNNNNNNNNNNNNNNNNNNNNNNNNNNNNNNNNNNNNNNNNNNNNNNNNNNNNNNNNNNNNNNNNNNNNNNNNNNNNNNNNNNNNNNNNNNNNNNNNNNNNNNNNNNNNNNNNNNNNNNNNNNNNNNNNNNNNNNNNNNNNNNNNNNNNNNNNNNNNNNNNNNNNNNNNNNNNNNNNNNNNNNNNNNNNNNNNNNNNNNNNNNNNNNNNNNNNNNNNNNNNNNNNNNNNNNNNNNNNNNNNNNNNNNNNNNNNNNNNNNNNNNNNNNNNNNNNNNNNNNNNNNNNNNNNNNNNNNNNNNNNNNNNNNNNNNNNNNNNNNNNNNNNNNNNNNNNNNNNNNNNNNNNNNNNNNNNNNNNNNNNNNNNNNNNNNNNNNNNNNNNNNNNNNNNNNNNNNNNNNNNNNNNNNNNNNNNNNNNNNNNNNNNNNNNNNNNNNNNNNNNNNNNNNNNNNNNNNNNNNNNNNNNNNNNNNNNNNNNNNNNNNNNNNNNNNNNNNNNNNNNNNNNNNNNNNNNNNNNNNNNNNNNNNNNNNNNNNNNNNNNNNNNNNNNNNNNNNNNNNNNNNNNNNNNNNNNNNNNNNNNNNNNNNNNNNNNNNNNNNNNNNNNNNNNNNNNNNNNNNNNNNNNNNNNNNNNNNNNNNNNNNNNNNNNNNNNNNNNNNNNNNNNNNNNNNNNNNNNNNNNNNNNNNNNNNNNNNNNNNNNNNNNNNNNNNNNNNNNNNNNNNNNNNNNNNNNNNNNNNNNNNNNNNNNNNNNNNNNNNNNNNNNNNNNNNNNNNNNNNNNNNNNNNNNNNNNNNNNNNNNNNNNNNNNNNNNNNNNNNNNNNNNNNNNNNNNNNNNNNNNNNNNNNNNNNNNNNNNNNNNNNNNNNNNNNNNNNNNNNNNNNNNNNNNNNNNNNNNNNNNNNNNNAAUUAUGCUACUAUACUAUCAAUAGUACCAAGCCCUUAGUACUAUUGAGUUUUCGGCCGUUGGAUGAAAAGAUGUGCAGUUAGGAUGAUAGUGGUCUCCGGUUAAAUUGAAAGUGGUUCCCUAGGGUUGAGUGGGUUGUUGGUUUAAUAAUAUAAUCUAACGGGUGGAAAUGAUCAAAGGGUAAAUCUAACGGUAGAAAACUCAAUAGUACCAAGGGCUUGGUACUAUCAAUAGUAUAGUAGCCGGACUCUCUCUCUCUCUCUCUCUCUCUCUAUAUAUAUAUAUAUAUAUAUAUAUAUAUAUAUAUAUGUUUUUUUAUAGUUCUAGUGCUAGCAAAGUCCAUCUGAUCCACGACAUAUAUAUUGGUUGAACAGUACCAUAACUUAAAUCAGUGUGCUCGCCGGCUGUAUUUGUGCGUAAUUAAUUAGAUGAUAUAUAUCAUCAAUAGAUAGUGAUAUUAUUAUAAUAUUACUAAUGGAAUUUUGUUGGGUNUGGGUGAUACUUGUGUGUUUUUAGCCCUUGGAUGGAGAGAUGUGAGGUUGAGAUGAUGGUGGUAGGUGGUCGUAGGUGGUGGUAGGUGGAAUAGUGUUUAAUUCAAGGGCUAUUAAUAAUCAAAAAGUAGAUCCAAUGGCUUAAAACCUAAUAGCACAAUGAUGGUGAUACUUGUAAAAGUAUCAUAGCUCAACUCUAUAUAUAUAUAUAUAUAUAUAUAUAUAUAUAUGGGGCAAUUGCUUAUAUACUCCUGAAAAGUUUUUGACUUUCCGAUCCCCUCUUAGAAGGCUAAUAUUGAAAAUACCUUUUCUACGUUCCAACAUAUUUCUAAUAUACCCCUAGAGUUAAAAUCUGUUAAUGAACUCUGUUAUCUCUGUAAAAUUACUAUUUUGCCCUUUCAAAUAUACCCUUCUACCAUCACUGACUUUCUUAUUUGCUCUUAAAGUCAGGAGUACAAAAAGUAUUUUGACUUUUGGUCAUUUUCAAUAUACCCCUCUACCGUCACCAACAUUUCUUAUUUGCCCUUAAGUUAAGAACAAAAUUGGCAUUUUAAUUUUUUUUUAACUGUGGUAGAUAUUUAACUCACGUUUAAACCAAGUUAAUUUAACAGGAGAUAACUGCGGGGAUAUUUUGUAAUAACGGUGGAACAUAUGAGGGGUAUUUUAGAAAGAAGAAAAAAGUAGGGGUAAAUCAGAUAUUUUCAAACGUAUGAGGGAUAUAUAGGCAAUUAUCCCUAUAUAUAUAGAGUUGGUCUAGAAUACUAUUGAUAGCAAAAAGUAAGUCUUUUUUGCUAUCAAGUUUUUAGCUUUCAGAUCAAUUUCUUUCAUCAUUUCUAACCAUUGGAUUAAAUAUUAUAACUCAGUGGGGACCACUCAACCGUAGGGGGACCACUCAACCCUAAGGGACUAAUAUCAUCCUAACCCUACAAUUUCUCAUCCAAGGGUAAAAACUUGAUAGCAAAAAGGGUAUUUUGCUAUCAAUAGUAUUUUAGCUCAACUCUAUAUAUAUAUAUCGUAAUCUUCCUGAGUAACACGUAGAAUAUCUUACUGUUAUUUUUCUGAAAUUCAAAACUAUUUUGUGACAUAACAGUAGGGUUAUUUGUGAACAGUUUUUUUUUUUAUUAUGGAGGAUUCGGCGAAAUCUUUUACUUUUGAUGGUCGUAAUUUAAAAGGUGGCAGAACCAAAUGAGAUUCUGGGUCACCACACUUGGGCUAGUUUCUGCAUUCUCAGAUUCUGCCGAGAAUGGCAUUGGAUCUAAACCUGAAAGUGCAAUCUAGACUGCGGUCAACAGACCAGUUACUUGAAGCUAAGUCCAGGCUAGAUCUAGUCCUCCCUCCACUAAAACUGCAAGUACAUCUACACCCAAAACUGUACCUCCUGUUGACCCUAAUAUGAUCAACUAUCAUUAUUUAAACCAAAUUCUUAGUACCUGUCACGCCCCAAGCUCCACCUAUUUGGUCGAAUUCGGGCACAUGAACAGACGCCGAACAAACAGCACCUCCUCUGUCUGCCCAAGGCUCCAACAACAAGUAUAAUCAAGCAAAUCAAUCAACGAAAUUGCAAUUAUACAAGACUUGCACGAGGACAAGCAACAACAAGUAGUGAAAGCUCUGAGUUACUACAUACAAUCACAUAUAUAAUAUUUGAUUAUAUUUUAACCAAAUAUAAGUAAACUAAAGUUAUUACAUUCAUUCUCUUUGCAUUCAUGUUUAUACAUCACAUAGUCAUCCAACCCAAAAUACAUGGAUCUAAACAUCUCUUACAUCUCUUAUUCAACAAAAUAAAAAUUGAAACAUAAACAAAAGGAAUGACUAUAACUCUGGUGGCUGCUAGCUACGGCGUUAAACCCUUAUCCGGAUCUUCCGCCACCCCGCUCGCGCUCGGAUCUGUAGGGUUAGUGGCGUGAGAACUACAACUAAGUUCCCAAUAUGUUCGGCCGCCGACCUCGCUGAUCUGCCCACUAAGUCUAUUCAAGCAUAUGUAAUUCAAGAAAAGAUAGAUAACAAACCAAUUAAUGCUACUACUAAUACAAUGCCUGCAAGAAAGCUGAUCAAUAGAUAGAUAAUCAUAUGUAUGAUACAUAUGCAUGCAUGCUUUUCCACAUUCACUUUGACUUUUACCCAAUUAAUCCGGUUAACACUCGUUAACCCCAAAACUCACAACCCAAAAUCCCUCUCAAUCGGGGGACUCGAACCUCCCGAGGGACCGUCUUAUGGGGGGACUUUACCUCGCCCAGUGGUGACCAACUUCGAAGCGCACCGCUCGAGGAGGAGCUACCUCCCUCAAGCCAAGACUCAAAGUGAGUAUGAUCCAAUCCCUAAUUUGGGAAUGUAUAGCCAAACUUGCUACUUUGCUACAAGCCACCAUGCCACAAUACAAUAACAGAUUUCUACCUCGUCAUAUAUGCCACUCUCUAGGCCACACUUGUCAUGAUACCACAAUUUGUUUAACCUUGUUUGGCAAUUCAUCUCUCAAUGCCAAUUUCGUCGCUAAUGUCAAUGUCACCUUUGUUUACUAUUAUCAUAGUCCAUUUCUCACAUUCACACAUAGGGGUGUAAACGAGCCGAACUCGAGCGAGCUAGAGCCAGCUCGAGCUCGGCUCGUGGUCUUCAAGGUCGGCUCGUGUUCGGCUCGAGCUCGUGACAAGCUCAAAAACUCUGGCUCGUGAUUAGCUCGAAACUUAAUAGAGCUGGCUCGUGUUCAGCUGGUUAGCUCGAGCAAUUUUGCUUCUUUAUUUUGAAGAAAUCAUGGAGGCGGAGCGAGCGAAGAAGAAGAAGCGAGCAAAGAAGAAGAAGGAAAGAAGAGGGACGACGGCGAUACAAAUCACGGCGCACCGUGUUGGGAAAAAGCCCGGUCCACGAGGCUGCGAGCGAAGAAGAAAAAGGGAGUAAAGAAGAAGAAGAAAAUAAGAGGGACGAUGGCGAUAAAAAUCGCGGCACAUCGUAUUGGGAAAAAGCGCAGUCCACGAGGCUGCACUCAGCCUUGUGGACCGCGCGGGGUGGACAGAUCUGUUGGAAAAAAGCGCGGUCCACGAGGCUCACUCAGCCUCGUGGACCGCGUAGUGGACACCCCGGUUGGGAAAACGCGCGGUCCACGAGGCUCACUCAGCCUCGUGGACUGCGUGGUGGACACCCCGGUUGGGAAAAAGCGCGGUCCACGAGGCUCACUCAGCCUCGUGGACNUAUAUAUAUAUAUAUAUAUAUAUAUUAUUUUAUAUUAUAUUAUUUUUAUAUUUAUAAAAAUUAUAAUUAUUUAUGAUAAUAAUAUAAUCGAGCUGUUAUCGAGCCGAAUACGAGCGAGCUGACCCUAGCUCGUGUUCAGCUCGUUUAUUAAACGAGCUGAAAAAUCCAGCUCAUGUUCGGCUUGUUUACUAAACGAGCGAGCCCAUCUCGAGCUCAUUUUGAGCCGAACACGAGCUGGCUCGUGAACAGCGAGCUGGAUUGCCACCCCUAUUCACACAAGUAUAGGGUCCCAACAUACAUGUCUCAUAUGGUUCUAUAUCAAUCACUAUGUUCAUAUACGUUAGAAGCAUACAAUUGAAUCUCAACCAACAUCCAUAUGUAACUACCCUAUCAUGCAUGAAUGUCACUAUUCAUAUAUGCUUAAUAAAAAGGCAACAUAAACAUAGAAGGGAAUUCAGAGAUUCCGGAUAGCACCUUCCAUCUUGUAGGAACACCAAGAGGCUACCGGUCAAUUUUCAUGAUUUUUGGGCGCCUAUUCUCUCGUCUGCGGCAAAACGAAGCCAAAUUAGGCUUUUCUCUCAAUAUCUUUAUAUAGACUUGUCAGAUCGGUGAACUGAGUCCACCAAUGAGUUAGAAAUAUCCCCAAUUUAGUUUCUACAAGGUCAAUUUACCUUUAAACCAACUUAGGACAAAAACUCCAAUUUUGAUGCCCUAACAAUGUCAUCUAGCCAUAUAUCUUGGUUUGAUUUUAGAACUAAGCAAAAACAAGCUUAGAACCAUCUAAGAAUCCCUCUAAAACUAUUUCUAGGUUAUUCAAACCAUUCCUUGAGCAUAAAAACCAAACCCUAGAUUUCUACCAUGAGAGCACAUGGAGAAACAUGAGUUUUCAUGGAUUCCAUGGCCUUUACUAGAUUUCCCAUCAUGUAAGAAGAUCAAAACCAAAAAAUUUAGGGCAUAAAACCAAGCCCUAAUCUAGUUCUAACAAGAAACCUCACCUUAGUCUACAAGCUCACCAAGGUCCACAUUGUAGGAAAGCUCUAGAUCCUUCAAAACUCCAAAUCUCCUCCAAAUCCACCUUUUGAUCUCCUCCUUUAGCCUUGGGAGAGAGUUUCUAGAGAGAGAGAGCGAGAGAAAUGAGAAGGAGUGAUGUUCUCAGCUGGGAACAAGAAAAAAGAGAGGGUGGGGUACUUUAUAGGUUGCUACAGUAGCAAAUAGAUCCUCAUUUUUUUCAUAUUUGCAGUAGACUAUCCUGCUGAUUUCGCAGCACUGCGUACCGGUACGCGGGUGGGUGUCACCGGUUUAACGACUACGCAGCAGCCAAACCCGAGAGUUGCUCUUUCGGGUAACAUACUUGGUACCGGUACGCACCAGGGAUGUCACCGAUUUAACAGCAUUAAACUCUCAAAUCCGAGAAUAGCUGUUCUCGGUUGCCUGCCUGGUACCGGUACCACUCCAAUGCAUUACCGGUUAACAAUGCUCCAGACUGCAAUUUGCAUUGUUUCGACUCUAGUUCGCGUCGAGCAAUGCUAAAACCUUUCUGACUCUCUUGAAACUCAACUUUAAUCCUUCCAACAUUGUUGGAAUAUUAAAUAGACUUUGUCCAACUAUUCAUCUCGCACACUUUGGUCGAUUUGACUAAAAUUCGAUAUACUCUACCGAAGUUUCGGUAUAUUACAGUACCCUAUCUGAUAAAUUGUAUGACAUUUACUAUAGUGCUAAAAUAACUAGAAAACUUUGGACAUCCUUAGAAAAUAAAUAUGCUCAGGUUGAUCCUACCCAGAAGAGAUACCAGGCUUCUAAUCUAAUUAAAUUUAAGUUGGUGAAUAAUAAGUCUAUAUCUGACUAGCUUUACGAUUUUGAGUAUAUAGUUGAGUAGCUUAGAUCUAGUAGUGUAGAUCUUGAUGAGAGUUUCUUAAUUGCUGCCUUAAUAGAUAAGUUGACAUUCUUUAGGUCAAACCAUACAAACGAUCUUAAUCACAAUUGGAGAGAGCUAUCCCUAAAUUAUGUCCUAAGAUCUAUUAUGAUAGAAGAGUUCGAACCGAGCUAAGGAUAAGAAGCCCGGUAAAUCUACAACCCAAGCCAACCUAGUAGAGAAUCCUAAAAAUAAGGAUAGAAAUUUUUAGCCUCAUAGGAACUUUAAGAAUAAGCCUUUCCACCGUAGGAAGUUCAACCCAAACUUUAAGAAACCUAAAUCUAAUGAAAGUGGAGGCAACUCUGGCUGCUUUGUGUGUGCGAAGACAAGUCAUUUUGCGAAAUAUCGCUACUUCCGGUAGACUCGACCUUUCGUACCAAAGAAGAAGAAGAAGGCUCCAUUGAGUGCCAGAUGAAUGUGCUGACUGGUGGGUUUGACCCUUCUAACUCCACUAUCAGGUUAGGAUCUAGUUUACUGAAUGUUAACCUUACCUAUAGUUUUUUUGAUUGGUGAAUAGAUACUAAAGCUAAUGUUCAUAUUUGUUCUAAUCGUUCGUGGUUUUCCACCUAUCAGGACUCAUUUGGAGGAUCGAUAAAUAUGGGGAAUGCUGCAUCUUUUCACGCACGCUAGGGACAGAUCGAGUGGACUUGAAGUUGACCUCCGGGAAGACCUUAACCUUGCACGAAAUCUGUCAUGUUCCCGACCUUAGGAAGUUGUGGUGCUUAAAAUGUUACUAUAUAUCAUGUGCAUAUAAGAAAUUUUUUUUUCCAAUCAAUUUUAAUAAGGUAAAGACAUCUUUGCCUUUUAGGCAAUUUGAAAUAACUUUUUCAAUUUUAACUUUUUAGUUAAAAAAGUUAUUUAUAGAACAAUUUUCAAAACUAUUAAAUAUGAUUAAUUUUUAAAUAAAAUUAUUAAAAUAAUAUAGCUAUUCAAAAUUAAGAAAAUAUUAAUACUAAAGUUAUUUUUUGUAAUGUAUAUAACACUAUUUUAUAAUUUUUUUAUUUAGUUAUAAUAUUUUUGUCUUAAAAUUUUAAUAAUUAUCUAUAGAUAUAUUAAUUUAACAGUUGGGUCACAUCAAAAGCCCUCAGAGCGACACGCAUCCUUUUUCUUCUCCCUCCUCUACUUCAAUAAUAUUGCAUGCACCUGGUCUAUUAAAAUAUCAUAUACACCAAGUCUCUUUUUAUUGUUAAUAUUUUAAAAUCUAUAAGAUAUAUAAUUUUGCAGUUCCAUCACAUCACAAAAAAUUUUAAUACUAAUUAUCAGAUAUUCUAUCAAUCAUCUAAUAUAUUUUUAUGGUGUAUGAAAUAUUAGUAUACAUUAGGUGCAAGAUUUCUCCUCUUUUUCCUGAAAUUAUAAAUUAAUGCACUCUAUUAAGCAUUCUCCAUGCCGGUUGUAUAUAAGAACAUACACAACAUACUUAAAAUAUUUAAUAGAGAUUUUAAAAUUUAAUUCAGUAAACAUAUUUAAAUUAUUAAAUUUUGUAAUUUAAAUAUAUUUAACUAAGAUUCGAUAUUAGAAAUUAGUCCUUUAAUAUAAGUUGUGGUGUAUAGUGUGUUAAUAUAUACACCAGGUGCAUGUAAUAAUUUCUUUUUUUUCAAUCAAUGUUAACUAGAUAAACAUAACAUCAUAUAUUUGCAAUUUAGAAUAAGUUUUCUAAUUUAACUUUUUAAUUAAAAAUUUAUUUAUAGAAUAGCUACUAAAACUAUUAAAUUUGAUUGAAUUCUUAGGUGAAAUUAUUAGAAUACUUUAACUCUCUGAAUAUUGAAAGUUAAAAAAUAUUAAUAAAAAAAGAUUAGCUUUAUAAUGUAUAGAAAGCUAUAUAUUUUUUUAUUUUUUAUUAUAAUUUUAAAUUUUAAAAUUUUAAUAAUUAUAUAUAUAUUGAUUGACUGAAAUGCUAUCGAUCAGCCGCGAAGCGCGGACCCUGAACUAAAGAGAGAUCUAGAGAGAGAGAGAGAGAGAGAGAGAGAAUCAACCCAUGUGCCAAACUGUCAAUAAGUCAAGCCCAAACCUUCACCGUGGGACAAUCCAAGCCCAAGAAUUGGUGCCGUGCCGGAUUUGUUUUGGUAAAUUUUGGGCCAAUCCACCGUAUCAAGAACACACAUAAACACUACAGUUUCAAAACAUCUAACAUCAAAUUAAUUAACCCUUACGAGCUAGCUUUAAUUCACGGCCAAACAUUCACUACGGGCUAGACCAAAUAUGAGGCCAGAAGAUAUUUUAUGAAAAGCACAUAAAAUGGGCUGAUCUUUUGGGACCAAAGGCAACAUAGUGAAGCGCCUCACCACUCCUGCUACAUAUGAUGGUUUAGUUCUUAUAUAUCUUGUUUUCUUUUAAAUAGUAGAAAUUUUAAAAAAAAUUUUAAACCCUAGGAUGCAUGCAUGGGAGAGUUUACAUUAUAUACCCCUUUUGGGAUUUAUAAGAAGCAUUUCUCAAAAUAAAAAAGGUUAAUUGCAAUAUUUCAUAUGUAUCCCUAGAAAGUUCUAGUUUUUAAGUAUAUCGAUCCAUCGAUCCAAAGUUGCAUAGUUUAUAGAUAUAUGAUCCUUCUCCGUUAAUUAACUAGUUAGAUAUCGAUCUUCUCCGUUAAUUACUUAUUUUUUGCCAACAGAAUAAUUAUUUUACCUUUGAAUAUAGUAUUUAUUAUUUGUAGUAUUUUUAUUCCAAUUUUUACGUCAUUUAUGUGAACCAUACAUUAUAAAUCUUGAAAAGAAAUUCAGAAAAACUAAUUUUAUAAGGGCAUAAUGGUCCAAAAAUAGAAAUUUAACAAUCGACCAAUAGUAGUCAAUAUUCAUAGAUAAAUUUGCAUAUUUUAGAUGUUUAGAAGGAUAUAUUUGAUAAUUAAAACUUUACAUGAAUAUAAUAGAAUUUUGUAGGAAUAAAUAUGUAAUGUUAUUGUUUUGUAUGGAUAUAGCACACAUGCAAUUUCCAUUCUCAUUCUUCUUUUAAUGACACUACAGGUGUUUUGCUGCUUCAAUAAAUCAGCAAAUGAGCACUUAUUAAAGGGCAAUAAAUGGAGGUUUUGGUGGGUGGGCGAGCCCUAGCCCUAUAUAUUGUCACAUGAUUAUAUAUAUUUAUAUAUAUAAUUGAGCUUCUAUAUUUUUAAAAUUAUAAAGUUUUUGGUGGACUUGUAAAUUUUUAACUCUUGGAUUAAAAGAUGUGCGAUUAGAAUAAUAGUGAUCCUCUAGAAUUGAGUUGGUGUUUGGUUGAAUAGUAUUAUCGAACGGAUUGAACUAAUUAACUAAAUAGAUCUAACGGCGAAAAACUUACGAGCACCAAAUAGUUGGUGCUUUUACAAGUAGUAUAGCCGGUCUCUCUCUCUCUCUCUCUCUCUCUCUCUCUCUCUCUCUCUCUCUAUAUAUAUAUAUAUAUAUAUAUAUAUUCUUUGUGCUCUGUAGAGAAGGGUCCUGGUUGGUCUAAGAAACCACAUGGCUUCUGCAUCCUCUCUCGUGGGGUGUAGGCCCUGCUAUAAUGACUGCACAAAGAAAAAGAUAACAUAUCGUCGGGUGCACCUGGUGCAUACGCACACAUUGUGCACCGUCCGCCCACCCCGCUUUCAUAUUUUACAUUUUAGUCCCUACCAUCCACCGAAAAAAAUCUUCUUCCUAAUAUUUACAAUAAAUAAGCUACACCAAAAACCAAUUAUUUUUGUACAAUUAAUGUACUACUUAUAAAGAGUCUCACAAAAGAUAAUAUGAUAUAUAAACCUUACUGAAAAGUUAUAUGGUACGACCUGUUUGUCCUUGUUUAGCUUUUCUUUUUCUUUUUUUUCAAAUAGAGUUAGUUGUUAGUAACUGUAAGCUCGACAAUCGAUGAAGUCUAGAAUUUAAUUUGUAGCAAAAUGGAAGAAAAACAUAAUUUAGAAAACCGGUUAGCAGAAAUUUGUGCUUCUCAUCUACUAAUACAACUAAAUGAUCUAUAAUUCUAUUAGGAGUUGUAAUAUUAUGCUUCUUCUUGUAGCGCUUUUAGAUAUAUAUCAUACCGAUAAAAAAAACAUACACUGUAUCCUGCAAUACAAGUGGGAAAAAAUUAAACUCGAAUGAAUUAAGGGCGUCUGUAUUUCGUCAAUUUAUUGAGUUUUUUCUAAAUUUGCCGCACAAUACGAUCUUGAGACAAUGAUAUCAAAUAUUUAACUAAAUUUAAUUAAACAUCAAAAUUCAAACACACAAUCGACGAUCAUCAAGUAAUCAAAUAAUUCCAGCGAAUUAAGCAUCGUUGUGAUGCUCCUCAGUAAGAUCCUACGAAAAUGGGGAUGCUCGUAAUAAUUCUAGAGAGAGAAAGUGAGAGUACGUACCCCACAGGACAGAGGCAUCACAAGCCAAACAAUAGCAAACUACCAAAUGGUACUGUCGAGUACGUACCCUCUCCUCUCUCUCUCUCUCUCUCUCUCUCUCUCUCUCUCUCUCCUCUCUCCUCUCUCCUCUCUCUCUCUCUCUGAAGUGUCCAAAGAAACAGAAAAAGUAGCAACGAAAAACUACUUCUGGGGUUAAAGGGAGAAAAGUAGAAGGGGUUGAUGUUGGUAAUAGGAAGAGAAAAUAUGAUAGUGGAAAGCCGCGCUUUGUGGACACAGUGCAUGGGAGCAGUUAAUGCAUACUUUUACGAGAACAACAAGAGAAAAGAUCAUCAUCUUCUGUGGUUGUCAUUGGCUGAUACUGCACAGAUCAUCUGUCGAGGAUUGGUCGAGUACACUACAGUAUUUAUACUACACACUAGUACUGUGCCAACUAAAGGACCUAUAUAUGUUUACUUUUACUCUCAGAAAUAAUAAUGUUUUAUUAGGAAAGUGAAAAGUGUUUCACAAAUAGAGAAGCAAGCAUGUGGUUAGCUUCUACUGUUAGAAGAAGUAAUGUAAAAAUUUGAGAAUAGAAAUAAUAACUUCUCUUAACUAUUUACUUUUGAUUAAGUAUAACAUAUGUAGGUCAUAUUGGUCGAUCUGUACAAGCAGUAAAAUGGGGUAAAGAUCCCUAUAAUUUUUCAACAGAACCAUUUCACACCCAACUAAUUCUGUAUAUACUACUUCAUAUUGACAACUUCAUUCUAAUCUUUAUAACUCAUCUAAUAAGUAGAAAUACAAUUUCGCUGUCUCAAAAUCAAAAGUUUUAAUUUGACACUUUUUAUUAUGCUGUAAGACCAUAUAGGAACAGGCUGAAGGUUAACCAAGCAUAUGUCAAACUCUCCUAGUAUAUGAGCGUAGCGAAAAACUGAAUCUUUUAUAGAGAAAUUUGAUGAGAACAAUCGAAAAAGUCAAUUAUGAGAAUAGCAAAAUAAUAAAAAGAGUAAGAACAUAAAAAUUUAUGUAGUUUGACCAACGGUGUGUCGACCGAUAUUCACAAGCCAAACAUUAAUGCUUCUUCGAUUAAUCAAUGAUACAAAAUACAAGGAGUAGAUUGAAGAUAAGAAAUCCCUCUUACACCACUCUGCCACAUUUUUUGUCUCAAGUAGAAUUUUACAAUGGAACUUUAAAGCCCUAAAUAUGAAUUACAAAGUUCUAUCCAAAGGUGUACCGGAACCUACACUUUCAUAGUGUCUUGUUUUGGAACCCAGUUCUUGUGUUCAGGAACCUACACUUUCAUAUUGUGCAUAUAACAAUAUGUGGGUUCCGGAACCUGCUGUAAUUCUCACACCAGAUUCGGCCUCUUCUAUUUCUAUGGAGCACCGCCAAAGGUUCUCGAAUCUAACAUCCAAUAACCUGUAGAUUCAUCACUCAGAAAUCAACUCGAAAAAUGGCUUCCACUUGAUCUAACAUAAGAAACCAUUCAGAAUAUUCUUAUAUUAGUACUUCUUCGAAUGUAUACAUACAUAACACUUCAUCUAGAUUACUAGUUCUACACUCUAUAGCAGAGUCAUACAGACCCUUAUUAUAUUUCAUUUCUUCACAGUAAUUACUAAAAACAGCAACAAAGGAUGUUAGAAUUUAAUUAGAAUGAUCUCUUGCAAAAGAUCGGGAAGUACCAACUGCAUGCUAGAUUAAUAAAGUCUCAAUCACCGACCAUCCCUAGAACAGUUGGCAAAGUGCUUGAUAAUAAUCUUCUAAAUUAUUAGUUUUAGCCUUAAUUUAUUUGGAGUUUCUUCUUCUAAGUAUGUUAGUAUAAUUUGUUAAGAGGUAAUGCUCACCUUGAUUAAGAGUCUAAUUAGUGGAGAUUUAAUUAUAGUAAGAAACUAUGUUACUUUUAAGUUAAAUGAAUUUUACAGUAAGAUACUAUGUUACUAGAGUCAAAGUAGAAUUAUAGUAAGAUACUAUGUUACUUUAAGUUAAAUGAAUUUUAUCUUUAAGGUGAUUAAAUUAUCAAGUAGAGCUCUAUUUUUUGUACAAGCUAGGCCGGUAUACUAUCGGUAGUACGGAGGCCUCCGUGCUAUCAAGAUCCGGUUUCCGAAUCGAUGAUCGGCUCCAUUAGACUUGAUCUACACUUUUAGAAGUAUUUGGAAACAAAAAUUUUAUAAUUUUUCGACAUCAUUUGGCUAGUGAUCAAAAGGUUUCAAAAUUGACAAUUUUAAUAGUUGAUGUGAUGUGUUUGUGAAUUUAAUGGUGUAAAACAAUCCAAAUCUGAUAAAAUUUUUAUAGAAAAUUCUUUUCACUAUUUAGAGCAAGAUCAGUACCUCUGAUUUUAAAUUCAAGUCUUUUUUCAUCAUUUUUUAUGAGAUUUUUACUUUCAGCCGUUCAUUAUUAAAUUAGUCGUUUGAUAGGUAAAUGAUGUCGAAAAAUUAUGAAAUUUAGUUUCCAAAUACUUUUAAGCGUGUAGAUUAAGUCUAACGGAGCCGAUCGUCAAUUCGGAAGCCGCAAUAUUGAAAACAGCUUGAUAGCACGGAGACCUCCGUGCUACCGAUAAUAUACCAGCCUAGCUCUUUCUUGUGCUAUAUAUAUAUAUAUAUAUAUAUGAGAUGAGGAGCAGAGAGAGAGAGAGAGGAGAAGAGAGAGAUGAGAGAGAAGAGAGUAGAUAGAGAGAGAGAGAGAGAGAGAGAGAGAGAGAGAGAGAGAGAGAGAGAGAGUCCGGCUACUAUGCUAUCGGUAGCACGGAGCGCUCCGUGCUACCAAGUUGUUUUCGAUAAUGCGGCUUCCAAAUCGACGAUCGGCUCCGUUAGACUUGAUCUACACUAUUGAAAGUAUUUGAAAACUAAAUUUCAAAUUUUUUCGACAUCAUUUGAAUAGUGAUCAAAAGAUCUCAAAAUUGACAACUUUAAUGGCCGAUGUGGUGUGUUUGUGAGUUUAACGGUGUAAAAUAAUACAAAUGCGAUGAAAAUUUUAUAGAAAGUUCUUUUCACUAGUUAGAGUAAAUUCAGUACAUCUGAUCUUAAAUUUAAAUUUUUUAUCAUCAUUUUUUAUGAGAUUUUUAUUUUCAGCCGUUCAAUUUUAAACUACUUGUUUGAUAAGUAAAUGAUAUCGAAAAAUUAUGAAAUUUAGUUUCUAAAUACUUUCAAUAGUAUAGAUCAAGUCUAACGGUGCUGAUCGUCGAUUUGGAAACCGCAUCAUCGAAAACAACUUGGUAGCACGAAGUACUCUCUGCUACCGAUAGUAUAGUAGCCUAGUUAUAUAUAUAUAUAUAUAUAUACACACACACAGGGGCGACACACUAAUUAGAUGAAGCAGGAACCGAACCUGAUAUUAGGAUGGCCAUGUGUGUAAGCACCAUCAUGUGCUGCUUUAUCUUCUUCAAUAAGUUUUGUGCUUCCACCAGAACGUCCCAAAAUUAUUAGUUUUUUCUGUUUUUUUUUCCUUCCAUUUUUCUAUUUAUUUGUGAGAGAUCUUUAAACACCAUAAUAAGCGCAUAAAACGUGAUUUAUUGGAGACCCGCCACCAUCACAAAUGAUAGAUUUAUUGCAGAGAAUCGAUAUUAUAACGGGUAGCAAAUUCCUAACAUAAUUUAGGGCUCAUUUGGUAAGUCAUAGCAAAUGUAGAGGGAUGCUUCUCUGUUUUCUGGCAAAACUGCAAAACAUGUAUUAUUACGGAUCCAUUGUAUAUGCACAACGUAAAAUAACGUACGGUAAUUAAGAGCUAAGUAUUUUUUUUUCAUUAUACUUUGCCAUUGAUAUACCAGAAUCUCCCUACAAUCUCAAUCAGAGCCUUAGAUAACUAGAAUAUCAGUUUGCCACUGACUUCAAAGUAAAUAGGAAUUGUAAAAAAUAUCUUAAAAUCACACGUUGUACAUGGAUAUGACUACAGAGAUGGUGAACUACAUCAAAAGCGUGCACGGAGGAGAGGAAGAACAUUUUGUUGUAAGCAAAUCCUAAUUGCUACCCAAAGAUCAAACAACUUCUUGUGAAAGCAAAAGCUUGUUUGGCUAGCAAGUGGAAAGUCAAGGAACGUAUACACCACACUAUUCACAGUUUUUCUCACCAGAAACAGAAGGAUGCUCAUGCAUGCAUCUGAUAUGAAUCAUAUAUCAAAAGCAGAAAAAAGAUUUUAUAGGUUAGAGACAUAUUCAUGUAUUUGAAAGCUGUAACUGUCAUCUUGGUGUAAUUUUUGGAACCAUGGAGCUAGUUAAUUAGUAGAUGUUUGACAAAAUAAAUAAAUGAAAAAUAUCCGAAGAUUUUGCUAUUACAGGAAGUUGAAAUGAUGUUUAACUCAAAACUUCUCCUAUAUUAAAGCACUAAUUUCUAAUUUGAAUAAGUUUUAUCUUAGACUCUCUAGCAUAGAUAACUCAUUAAGCCCAAAUUACUAGUCCAAAAUGUUUAAACCCAAUGUUUUGUUGGAUAUAUUAUUAUUAUUGGAUAUUUUGUUAUAAUAUAAUCCAAAUAAUAUGUUCACAUACAAGCCCAAUAAGUGAAAGCGUAUUAAGGCCCAUAUCUCUGGAGCCCAAUAGCUUAUUUAAAAAUCUAGGGUUUCCUACGCUGGAGGUAACACUGUUGAGCGUUCCAAACUUGACGUCUCUUGGUGUAAUACUUUAAGCACCCAAAAACCCUAACCUCCAACAUGUUUAUUAUUAGAGCCUAUGAUUCUUAUAUUUAAAUACAAAAUUUCUUUUUUAUUUGAUGCAGGACUAUUGUUUCCGAUUAUUGGAGCUAAUCGUUAAGUCCAAAGGCUCGACUUACUAGAAAUAUACAAUUAAUUCAUUUAAAGCGUACAAACAUAGUGCCCACAGAUCUUGACUGUAACUAGGCCGAAGCAACCUCACACCACUUCGAACAUGACUCGGCCUUAGCCGAUUUCUGUCGUUUCGAACGUGACUCGGCUAUUUUGACCUCUAGUCACAGGACAGGAUACUUAUGAUUUGUAUGAUCUUAUUAUAGCUGGUGCAAGAAGUGAUGUUUAGAUAAUAUUAUUGAAGAAACCCACUAUUAAUAUACUUUUGACAGUUUCUUUUUGCACUGGAAUCAUAAUUACUACUUCAAAAUCGACCAGUGCGCCCCUGUGCCAAAUGGUCCCCCCAUGCACAAAAUCCUCUUUGAAAGCAAAAUACGCAUAUGUAAUGGUGGGGGAUAUACACAUGGUAUAGGGCCAAGUGUCCUCAACAAGUGCAACAUCAGGGUUAAAUCUUCGAGCCCAACAUGUUCUUUCCAUCUCAACACAUACCCUAACUCGCCCGUGGCAUGUCCUUCUUUCUCUCUCCUCCCCACAUGCCUUGUUCCUCUCUCUCCCUCUCUCUCUCUCUCUCUCUCUCUAACCCCCUCCCUCUAUAUAUACCUCUUCCACCCAUGUCACUUUCCACUUAACUCUCUCUCUCUCUCUCUCUCUCUCUCUCUCUCUCUCUCUCUCUCUCUCUCUCUUCUAACACCUCACAAGGCCACAACCUCUCCCUCCCUCUCUCUCUCUCUCUCUCUCUCUCUAACAGUGCACUUACUCACUUCUUGUUACAAGCCUCUAAUGGCCAUAAGGAAGUGCUCCUCCAACAAGCUCCCACAAGGCACAACUCUGAAGCAGAUACUAAAGAGGUGUUCAAGCUUAGGUAGAAAGCAAGGAGUAGGAGGAGGAGACGAUAAGCUCCCCCAAGACGUACCCAAAGGCCACUUUGCGGUGUACGUGGGGGAGCACCGGAGCAGGUUCAUCGUCCCCAUCUCGUACCUCUCCCACCCCGAGUUCCAAACCCUGCUUCGGCGCGCCGAAGAGGAGUUCGGGUUCGACCACGACAUGGGUCUUACGAUCCCCUGCGAGGAAGUCGUUUUCCGCGAACUCAUCGCCUCCGCAGUGAUGUAGAAGAGAAGUACGCAGAAGAAGAGAAGAUCAGAGAAGAAGAUACAGAAUUAUUCUGUUUUUCAAUAUUUAUCUCUCUCUCUCUCUCUCUCUCACUCUCUCACUGUGUUUCCUACUUUUGUUUUGGGGGGAUCUUUGAUUAGAGUAGGGAACUUAAUUAGUUAGUGUUGUAGUGAUUCUAACACAUGAGUUCGAUUUGUACAUCUGUGGAGAAGCUUUUUGCUGUUGCGAGAAGCACUGCGAGAGCUGAGUAGUUUAGGAAGAGGAUCGAAGAGGGAGGUGAUGAUGUACCUCCUAUGAAAAAUAAUAUGUAACUAUAAGCAACUACUCUUGUUCUAAUUAAUUCUUCUUUGGGACAUCUUGAGUUAGCUUCCUCUCUCCCUUUUCUUUUUCUUGCUGGUUGGUUGUUGCUGUUCAGAUCUUCAUUAAUUAUGAAAUUUUUUUUUAUUUUUGUUUUUAUUUUUUUGGGCUUUAAAAAGCUUUCGCUGAGUUAUUUCAGCUGCUGUGGCCAUUAAUUAGAUCAGAAACAGUACUAGCUAGAAUGAGUUUGCAGUGCAUUUCCGGUUAAAUUUGUUUUACUUGUUUUGUUUUUUUUUUUCUUUUCUUUUGGAUGUGUUUUUCUCUGUGUCUGUGUGUGUGUUCAUAACAGCACCCACAUGCAUGAGAAAUGUACAAUAAAUUUUAUGACCUCUCAGCUAAGAGUCAAAGAAGAUGUCAAACUAAGAUAUAUGCUAUAUUUUUCUCACCAAACGUACAUUUUUUUGGGAUCUUCCGUGGACAAAAAUUAUAGUAGUAAUUUAUUUUGCUAUCCAAUUCUAAAUUUUAAAUUUUAAAUUUCAAAAUUCAAAUUUAGAAUUUUUAAUUUUUAAACGUAAAUUUUAAAUUCAAAUAUCACAUUCUAAGUUCUAUGUCAGAUUUUAAGUUCAAAUUUUUAAUUUUAAAAAUUAUAUUUAUUAUUUGUAAAUAAUUUUUUUUUUACCAAACAGCUUUAUAAAAUUAUUUUAAAAAAAUCACUUUUCUACUAGGCUUAGCCACACACUUACCACUUCUAACUAAAAUUAAUUUCCGAACCAAAAUCAAUUAUCCGAAAAUCACUUAUAAUUUCAAAAGUUAGGCUAAACACCCCUUAUACGCUGGAUGCUACUAGUAUGUGGGACAAAUAUAUAUGUAUAGUUUUACGUACAUGCUACAUGCAACAAGUUCGUAAUCAUCGAGCCAGCCAUAAAUGAGAAAUUAAGGUCGAUACAACCUUACACGUUAUAUACAGGUCGAAAUUCUUAUAUUUAACAUAAAAUUUAUUUUUUAAAAAGAAUUGGAUGAUUAAUUGGGUUGGCAUUAUUAGCUAGGCUAAAGGUGACACUUAGAACAAUGAUAGUUUAAGAGUAGCUAAAAGAAUUUUAAUUCUCUUAUGCACUAAUUAACCAAAUCAAAGUGUCGACAAAUCGAAAGGUACUAAUCAGAAUGACUAAUUAAUUAGGGCCAUUUUGUAUGGAAAGCAUCAUGGUAUACUGGUCAAAAAGUGUUAACAAGAUAAAUUCCAAGCAAGGUUUAAUUAAAACUAAUAAUCAUGGAUCUAUGUCAUUGUUUAAUUGUUUAACUGGUUGAACCAAUCGAAUCAGUAACACAUUAUUAAUAAUAACUAUAAUAUCGCGACAUUCGAGCUAUGCCACUAAAAUUUUACAAAAAAAAACAUCCAAUGAGCAAAGGGAAUAAUGGAAUUAAUUGGACUCUUAGUGACUUAGUCAAGCAUUCAUCAUACAUAUGUAUAAAUCAACUUUAUUCUCAAACCUUGGCCAUUCAAUAAUUGGACUUUAUAUAUAUAUGGUCUCACCAUGUGUGUUCCCUGUGGCAUGUUUGCCGCUUUAGGUUCUUGGUUAUAAGAAAAAUAAAUGACCUUUUCACUUCAAAAGUAACAAAAAGAGUGCGACACAUAAAAAGUUUUGAGCAUUUUUUAGUAAAAGAAAGAAGAGGAGGUGGAAUCCUCAACCUGCAUAGUUCUAUAGACAAUUUAAUAUAUAUAUAUAUUAUAUAUUAUAUAUUAUAUAUAUAAUAUAUAUAUAUAUAUAUAGAGUGAGGCUACUAUGCUAUCGGAAGCACGGAGCCUUCCGUGCUUCAGCUCGUUUUCGAUGUUGCGACUUUCGAAUCGUGAUCGGCCUCUGUUAAACUUGAUCUAGAGUAUUUGAAGUACCUAAAAAAUAAUUUAUUAUUUUUUCGAUAUCAUUUGCCUAAGUGAUUGAAAGGCUCAAAAUCAACAAUUUUAAUAGCCGUAGUAAGCCGUUUGCAAGUUUAACGGUGUUAGAAAUAUCCAAAUCACGUAAAAUUUUGAUAGGAAAUUUUUGAUACUAUAUAAAAAGAUCAUAUCUUUGAUUUAAAAUUUUUAAUGUCAUAUUAUUAAUUUUGUAGAAUUUUUUUUUCAGCCGGUUUGAUAUUGAGCCCUUCGUUCACUAGGCCAAAUGAUACGCGUAAAAUCAUAACAAUUUAUUUUCUAGGUACUUCAAAUACUCUAGAUCAAGUUUAACGGAGCCGAUCGACGAUUCGAAAGGCGCAACAUCGAAAAUGAGCUGGAAGCACGGAAGGCUCCGUGCUUCCGAUAGCAUAGUAGCCUCACUCUAUAUAUAUAUAUAUAUAUAGUAGGUAUUAUAUGCUAUUACGAGUACGGAGUUCUCCGUGUUCCUAUGUAAGCCGUUUUCGAUAAUGAAGCUUUCGAAUCGACGAUCGUCUCUAUUAAAUCGACUUGAUAUAGCGUAUUUGAAUUAUCUAAAAAAUAAAUUUUAUAAUUUUUCGAUAUUAUUUACCUAGCGAUUGAAAAGUUUCAAAAUCAACAAUUUUUAAUGGUUGAUGUAUAUGGUUUGCAAGUCCAACGAUGUAAAAAUAUUGAAAUUUGAUAAAAUUUGACAGAAAAUUCUUUAUACUAUAUACUGUAAGAUCAAUUCUCUGAUCGAAAAAUUUAGUAGUUUAUCACCACUUUUUGUGAGAUUUUUAUUUUCAGCCGUUGAUUUUAAAACCCUUUCGAUCUCUAAGUAAAUGAUAUCAAAAAAUCGCAAAAUUUAUUUUUUACAUACUUCAAAUACGCUAGAUCAAGUCUAACAAAACCGAUCGUCGAUUUGAAAACUCUACUAUUGAAAACGGCUUAAAAGCACGGAUGCCUCCGUGCUCCUAAUAGCAAACAAGUACUACUAUAUAUAUAUAUAUAUAUAUAGUGUAGCGUUACUAUGCUAUCGGAAGUAUAGAGAAUUUGAUACUUUCGAUUUUUUGACCCUUGGAUAAAAAAUUACACGGUUGGAAUGAUUGCGGUCCCCCUAAGGUUGAAUAGUACUUCUAGGGUUGAGUGGUCCCCACAGAAUAAUAGUAUUAAUUCAAAAAUUAAAAAUGAUUUAAGAGACUGAUCCAAGGGACAAAAAGCCAGAAGCACCAGAUUUUCUAUCACAAGUUGAAAGAUCAACCACUAACAUGAAACGAGUAGAGCAACCAAUUUUUUAUUACAUGCAUUCUAUUAUUCAGAUAAACCAUGGUGGGCGAUAUUAAAUUAUGUUACAGUUUUACGGAGUUUUUUUUUUCCCCUCGAUUCUAUUUACUCUAUAUACAAAUCCUUUCGUAAGGUUUAGUAAAUCAAAGUUUCAAUUCUCCUCAAUCCAUCUAAACUUUGAAAAUCCUCUCAAAAAACGGCUUUAAUUUAUUACGAACUGCAUAGUUCAGAUAAUCUUAUGUUGCUUUUGAAAAUUCUGUUGAUGAUGUUAAAUUAUAUUAAUGUUCACGUGGUCCUAGAGCUUUUUUUUUUUUUUUUUUUUUUUUUUUUUUUUUUUUUUUUUGGCUGUUUCCUUCUACAAAGCUUAAUUUAAGAACCAAAGUUUCAAUUCAAUCCUACGUUAACGGAAACAAAAAUAUAAGGGUUAAUUUAAUUUAUAUAGUUUUUGUAAACACGUCGAAUAACAAAUAUAUUAAUACAAAAUUCAACUUCUAUAUUUAUUCCUACAAAAGUUUAAUAAUAUUCAUAUUUGUCCUUCUGAUAUGUACUAAUGUUAGAGGGCUAUUUAUUUUUUAAUAAAAAAUAAGUAAAAUGAUAUUUUUGUCAUCACAAAUAUGUCUCUCUUAAAGUUCUAAUUGUUAGAACUAUAUAGAAAUAUUUCUUUAAUAAUUUUCGAUGGUCAUAUUACUCCUUUCUACCAUCACAAAUAAUAUAAAAGGGAUAAAAAGUAAUUUAAUUUAUUCACUAAUCAGAAUUAAAUAUUUUAUCUAUAGUUAAUUAUAUAUUUUUUUAAUGAAUCCUAAUAGCAGUGAUAAAUUUAAAAAAUUUAAAAUUUUUACAAGAAUAAAUAGAAAAAAUUAAAUUUUAUAGAAAUAUAUGCAAUUAAUAAAAACUCCUCCGUACAGUUUUUCCGCUUUUCAGGGUCCUUGUUGCCACUCUAUUAAUAGGACCACAGGAAAAAGGCUCCUCUCCAGUUUCUACUCAUCUAUCUCUCUCUCUCUCUCUCUCUCUCUCUCUCUCUCUCUCUCUCUCUCUCUCUCUCUCUCUCUAAUAUUAAUUAUCAUCACCACAGGAGAGAGGCUAAAAUGUAGAAAAUUUCACUAUAAAUAUUCACUUUUAUAUUUUAUUAUCCUAUUUUUUUAAAAUCACUACAAAAUAAUAUCGGUAUUAGAUAAAGUCUACAAUUUAAACUUCAAAGAGGCUAAAAUGUAGAAAAUUUCACUAUAAAUAUUCACUUUUAUAUUUUAUUAUCCUAUUUUUUUAAAAUCACUAUUACGCCUCUUUGAAGUUUAAAUUGUAGACUUUAUCUAAUACCGAUAUUAUUUUGUCAUUAUUUUAUACAUAAAUUUUGUAGUAUAGCUAUUGAAAAAAAUUUUCUGAUCUUUUAUUAAAAUAUUUUGUAAAACAAUUCGAACUUUUAAUUUAAAUUUUAGAGAAGAUUCGAGGAAGAAAAUAAAUAAUAAUAAAUAUAAAUACUGUCCUACAAGCGAAAUUGCCUCUUCACGUGCGAGGCUUCUCGACAAUUAGUUUCAUCGAUAUUGUCGGAUCGUUGGCGCUAACCAUUAAUCCCAAAAGCUCGAGCUGUUAGAAAUACGCAACCAAUUCACUUAAAGCNUUAGCUUAGAGCUUUCGCUUCCGUUGUUGCUUGCCCUCGUGCAAGCCUUGUAUUAUAUUUGCAAUUCUCUUGUUAAUUGCCUAAUUAUAUGUAUUGUUAGAGCCUUGGGCGGACAGGGGAGGCUCUGUCCGUUCGGCGUCUGUUGACGUGACCCGAACCCGACCAAAUUGGCGGGGAUUGGGGCGUGACACCACUCCUGUCAGGUGAGGCCUUGAAGGGCCAAGUGAGAUUUUCGGGCCUAGGCGAGUGUCAUAACUGCCGACGCCCAGGCCACUCUCUCUACUUAGGACACGAGAGCUGUUGCGAGUAUCUCUACAGAGACGGCACUGUGAUCAGUUACAACCAUGACUUCUGUGGGGCUAUUAGGGUGUAGCCCAGGGUUUGGUAGCGGUCGUUUAGGCGACUGCAUUGUUAGUGUUUCUUCCGCAGAUCUUUGGGUAGGGUUGCGAUGCCCACCUCUCUUCCUUGAUUGCUGAUUGGAAUCAGCGGUUCGAAUCUUUUGACCUUUACCUCGUUCAUUCUUCCUACCAGAGUCGUAUUGACACAGUUUUGGUGUCAGGUCCCUGUUGAUACAUACAUCGUAUCCGAUUGUUCUAACACCUAAAUUGGUGUCAGGGGAUAGUAGAUGGUUUAGUAAGAUCCGUUUUGACUCGAGUUAUUCCAAAUAUUGCCAGAAUUCUCGGAGCUUUGAUUAUAGCUCGGUUGAGGUGCGAAAAUCGGUUAGAGAAACUGUUUUCUAGAGCCUCAGUUGGUACAGUUCGCGGCUUAGUGUCGCUAGUAACUUUCGGAUGUUGAAAGUUAUAGGACUCCCUGUGAGUCGGUUCAGGUUCGUUCUGAUUUCGAAUGUCGACUUGUAAAGUCGAUGUUUCGAUAGUAUUGGUUGUGAGCUUCUGAUUUAGUUAAGAGGUAUCAAGAGGCUUGAUACUUCGACGUGUUGCGCUUCCAACUGGUUGUUGGUAGUGGAUCUUCGGAUAUUUCGCUUUUCUUUUGAUAAGUAUAUUGGCUGCAGACAAUAUACUGUCGAAAGAGGGACGAAAUACUAUUUUCCCGUUUAGGACUUAUGGAUUGGGUCAAUGUGUUCUCUAGACGGUUUUGUGGGAAAAGCUAGAAUGAUAGUCAUCUUUGACCACGUAGCGAGCCUUGGGUUAUUCCUUGGCAGGUUUUGUACAGUUGACUGAUCGUCACUGAUAAAGGGGUUUUGACUCUAGUUCGAGUCCGGGUGUUCGUAGCUCUUUAGUUGUGCUUCCCACAGCUAAAAGGUUUGUUUGGUUAGUAGUCUCGGUCUAUUGUUGAGAGGCUCAGAAUCACAAUUGUGGAGUGACUUGAGCAUGGUUGUUGGCUUUGAUUGUCACCGUGUGUGAUAGCGUAUAAGGUUUGCGGCUCGGCUUAUCGUGCAAACCUUGGAAUGUUAUGCUUGUCUAGUCAAAUUGGUGACAAGUGCGCCUGGGUCUCAAUGAGACAUGCUUUUGGUGUUGCUCGGAACAUCAAUCGCUAGGGUCCCUGGUAGGACAGCAGCGACAGGGUCUCAUGGAGACAAAUGUUGAGCAUCGCCGACGGUUAGUAUCGCUUUUGCGAUUGGCGACCUGUGCAUCAAGUGAUGGACUUGCAAAGAGCAUUUGGUGGUCUGUUGGUACCGGAUUAAGUUUGAGGAGACAAAAUUGCCUAGCCGAAUUGGUAUCGUCAGUUGGAUCUUUUGGUCAGAUGGAAAGUAAAGUCUUGGACCUAGGACUAUAGAUUGUCGCAGGUGACUUUCGGUUAUUGGAGGUUUUGGCAGUUUGUGUAGUUACUGGUGGAAACAGUGGUCUCCGAUGUAAGUGAUUUUGACUCGGAUUUUAGAAUAACGUUUCGUUUUCGCUCAUGGUGAGCAGGUUGACGUUGUUGGAUAGUUGGAGUUUUUCGUUUCAGUCUACGUGAAUAGACUCCAGAUUAAAGUGGUUGUCUCGUGACUUUUCUACGUGAACUUGCGACGUAGUCGAGUCGGUUACGGCUAUGCAGACCAAGGUAGAGUGGACCUAAAUUUCUGGAUGUUGAUUAAUUAUCUCAGAAUUGGCAAUUUGGGUUCGGAUAAUCCUUGUCGCGAGACCAUUUUUGUCCGCAGGUUAUAGGAUGGUGUUAAUCCCGGUAAGUUUUGAUCCAUAGAUUUUGGGUUCGUACGUUUUUCCCUCGUUGUUGUCCGAGUAGAACUGCAGUCCUAUUCUUCCCUUACUUGGAGAUUGAUCUGUCCAAAUGCAUGAAAAUGUAAUUGACCAAUACUCAAAGGUAUUACCACAGUGGUGGAAGUAGUAUCCGAAUUCGAUUUCGGUGGGUAUGUGGUCAAGUUUCGGGGACGAAACCUCUUUUAAGGGGGGGAUAAUGUAGGGACUGAGAUUUUGACAGUGCAACUAGAGUCUCUGUUGACGAUGUUUAUGUGUGUAAUUUAAUUACAUAAGCACUCGUCAAGUUUCAAGAGAAUAUGAGCUAGAAUGGAGAAGUUACGCGAUUAUUAGUUUUCUUUUAAGUGAAUAGUAACUCCGGUUUUUCGGAGAAGCCACGGAGUAGAGUUGGCUUUCGGCGCGUAUCGGACUCCGUUCAUAGCGAUCCAAUAGCUCGUUUCGAUCGGUUCAGCUAUUCUGGAACCAAUGGCACUGACAGAUUUCUGAUCUGAUGCACGGUUUUCGAGAAAAAGGAGUUUUACCGAAAAGAGGGUUUCCGCUCUUUGCUUUUCUGUGCAUUCUAAAGCUUCUCAUACUCCGUGCUUGUGACCUGGAGUAGGGUGAAGAAUGUUUCGAGUCCCUAUUAGUGGUAGGGAAGUCAAUUUCUUAUGCGAAAGUUGGUUUAAUGGGUUUACACAUUGGUAUAUGUGCGAUAUAUGGAUUAAUUAGAGAGCGGAUGGGUUCCGUUGCGAAUCCGUGACCAUAUCUGACGAAAUAAGAUUGUAGUUUUGAUGCCCCCGACGUGCUGAACGCAAUGGUGCUGUCGGAUCGAAAAUCCGACGGACGGAUCUCUGGUAAUUGCGAAGUUUUCGUUAAGAGGUCGAAUGUGGCAAUUCGGAAAAUUCGCGAAAGGCGCGACAAAUUAUGUAUCGAAUCGCGUGAGAUCGGACGUGGAGGUACGUACGCACAAAUUGUACGCCCUGGCAGGGGCUGAGGUUUAAAUAUUCUGGGUUAGAGGGGUUUUCUGCAAAUUGUCCUCUUGUAUAUAAUUAGCAUCUAGGGUUUCUUUGCACGAAACCCUAGAUCUAGUCGACCUUGUCUCCCAACUGUGCCCUAACCAACUUCAGCAGGUUCCUGCCCAAACCUUGCGCGCACCCCGGCCGCCGGCAGGUGCCCCGGCCGCCGGAAAGCUUGAAACCCGACCACCCCUCCAACCUUCUCUCCCAACCAUCCCUGCCGUGGGACCAAUCUGGGUGACCAUAACCCUCGGGCACCACCUCUGGGAGCGGCCCCGACCUCCGCCGUCCCGCCGUGCCGGCCGCCGCCGUCCCCACGCGCCGCCGUCGCGGCCUGGGCGCCCUGCAGCCGAGCCUGACCUAGCUCAGGCCGAGCCUGGCCCCACACCGCCUCCACGAGCCGCCGUCGCCUUUGGACGACUAUGCUGCCUUCCCCGGCGUCGUCACCGCCGGCCCCCGCCGGUCCCGUGCGCCGCCGGCGCCGUUUUGGCCCCUGCGGCCACUUGCGGCCAAGUCGGGCCGAGCUUGGAUGAUCCCUGCCUCCGCGCGCCACCACCGUUCCCCGCCAGUCGCGCGUCCUCCCACGGCCUCCCGCGACCUCCCGCUCGCCGCCGCUCGCCAUCCCGGCCAUCCCCGUGGACCGCCGGCCGCCGCUCCUCCAUCCUGCGUCCGCCCUGACCCGUGCGGGCUCGGUUUGGUCCAGCAUCGCCGCCGCCGUCUUCCGCCGCCGUCCGGCGUGAGCACCGGCUCCGCCUGGCCGGCCGCACUCGUCCGCCGCCGGCGCCCCCGCCGCCGGAGCUUCCUGUCGGCCGAACUAGGCAUGUGCCUUCCUCGGGUUUGGGUGACUAGGGCAUCAAUGCCUGCCGUCGCCGCCGCCUCCCGACGCCGACUGAAUCAUCCCUUGGCCUCCCUGCAUCGCCUGAACCCUCCUGCCGCCGGCGCUCCCGCCGUCCGGCCGCCGCCGGGCAGCCCUAGCUCUCCCCUGGCCGGUAAGCUUGAUUUCAGCCUUUCUGCGCAUAGUUUUCUGUUUGGAUGACUGUUCCGGCGACCCGAGGCUGUUCCGAUGCCUCCGGAAGUGAGCACGGUGAUCUUCAAUCAGUACUGAUCACAGUGCUCACGUCAAUUGGGAUCAGCGAGCCCCUGGUUAGCGAGAUAAGCAUGUUUUUCAUGCUGUGCGCGCAGUUCAUUGAAUUUCGCGUCGCUCGUGCGCUCCCCACAGUGGCCGGAAUUGCUCCGAAAGGUGAGCACGGCCUCCGGCAUGCCGAGACCUGUCAGUAGGUGUCUCGGUUUGGCUUAAUGACUCCUAGUUUGCGUGGACGGACCAUAAAAGUGCCGAAAUCGCAUGAAAUAAUGCGAUUUCGGGUAAUCGGGAGGGCUUUUAUGUAUUUUAGGUUGUUGCGGCUGCUGUUGGCAGCAUGGGUGAAUUGUGGGUAACCUCUGGACUGAUUGUCCAAGGCCCCGGACCUUUGCGAAGAUCGAAAAUGUAUUUUCGGUGCGUUUUCGGCGAAAUCCGCCGACGGAACACGGGUUCGGUUCGGAAUUAUUCCGACGGUGCUUCGUGAGCUUUUGUGUAGUCGCUGAGCCUUGUUGCCUGGUCACUCGCGUCAUUUCGAGAGUUCAGAAAUGACAAGUGAGCGACGGUGGGUUCCGGUGUCGAAAUUGACACUUCCUGGAACCCGGAUCCCAACAAUUAUCCACCAAUAGUUGUUUGGUUGUGUAUCCUUGUGUUUGUUGCCAUGUCACACUAAAAUAAGUGUUUAGAGGCAGCGAUUGACUCGUGGCAUGAGUCGGUGCCUUUCGGGAUAGUUAGUGGGUCCCGGCGGAGCCCCGGUGCGAUUUUCGGGACUUCCGGCGAGUUACGGUAAUCGGUAUUGGGAAACCGAUCUCCGUGGGAUUGUUGUGGGUUAUGCUUUUAGGGUUUCUUAGCUGUGGGUUAGACACUAACCCAGUGGACCCUCCUUAGGUCCGGUUGACGUUCUUUUGCAGUCAGGAGACAGGCGCGACAGUUGUACAGGUGGGUACUUCGAUCCGACGUCGGUACAGUGGUGCACGCUCGGUGAUGGUUUCUUACCUUUGUUCUCCGUUUUAUCUGGAUAUAUAUAUAUAUAUAUAUAUAUAUAUAUAUAUAUAUAUUAUAUAUAUAUAUUAUAUAUAUAUAUAUAUAUCUUGAUAUAAAGUGUUGAGCCUGCACCUGCAUUUAUAUCUGCAUUCCUCUACUCACGUUAUUUCCAUGUUGAUAUCAUGCCGUAUGGAGUAGAGUUGACUUAUCUGUUCACUAUAUCUGUAUUGGUUGGGCGUAGAGUUGACUUGUCUGUUCACUAUAUCUGCAUUCCUCUACUCAGUUAUUUCCAUGUUGAUAUCAUGCUUAGGAGUAGAGUUGACUUAUCUGUUCACUAUAUCUGUGAUUUGGUUGGGCGGUUCCCUAUUUUGAUAUCUAUGACCUAUUCGGUCGAGUUGCAUAGUUCUAUCUAUAUCUGUGAUUUGGUUGGCGGUUCCCCUAUUUUGAUAUCUAUGACCUAUUCGGUCGAGUUGCUACAGUUCUAUCUUGACAUACGUAGCCGAUUAGUUGCUGAUGGCCUAUACGGUCGGUGUGCCCUGAGGGCUGGAUUGUCGGUAGUUGCUGAUGGAUGAUCUUUGAGCAUACUACAUUGAUCGCCACUGCAGGUACGCAUUUCACGAACACAGCGGUCUGAUCCACCGCAGAGGUGUUCUUUUCCGAAAAGUGGUUGGAUUGCCAACCGUGAGCCCAGGGGCUUUAUUGCGAGGUAUAUGUUCUGAACCAGCGGGCUUCAUUGCGAGGGUCAGGUACAUGGUUCUGACCCAGGGCUUCAUUGCGAGGGUCAGGAACAGGUGAGCAGUGUGGCAUGGGCCUGAGGUCCUCGCGACAAUAGGGAGCGAGAUGGUUAUUUUGAGGUUAUCGUCAGUUGCACGCAUGCAUACAGUAGCUGUAUGUUUAUUCAGUAAUCUUAUUUUGUUUAUUGGUUAGCUAGCUGUUUUAUUUACCUGCAUCUAUACUUGUCAGCUCCUUACAUAUCUCUUUCGUUUACUAUUGUUCCUACUGUAUUUUCACUGACCCGUACUGUUGUUUAGCUCUUCCUGAUCUGGUGAGUACUCCUCGCCUUCAUCGGCUUGCGGUACCCACUGGGAGGGGAGACAUGUUUACAUGUUCUCACCUCCCCCACCAUUUUUCAGGUAUCGCAGGCGAUGGGUAUUGAGACGAGACGUGAGGCACGUACGUAGCGGUCGUUAGAUCUUCCGACCCAGGUUAUUCGGUUUAGCUUUUACCCUUAUUAUUUAUGUUGAUAUAGAGCUUAGUUGACUUAUAUGGUUCAGUAUUUUUAUUACAUUUGAAUAUGUGGAUUUUCAUGAAUGUAAUAAAAGGAUUUUUGAAUUUUGUAAAAUAAAAAGUUUUCUACCCCUCGUGGUAGCGUUUUUUAAAGAAUAAAGGUUUCCGUGUAGGGAACAGUUUUCAAAAGAAUUUUCGUGGAUUUCUGUUUAAACAUUGAAUGUAAAACUGUGAUGUGAAUGUAUGAAUGUAUGAAUGUAUAGUUAUCUUUAUAUUCAUCUAGUUGUGGUUGUAUCCUGGUUGUACUUUUGUACUUGUGCGACGCCGUGCAAAUACAGGGGAGACUCUGUCCAUGUGAAUUAACAGUGGAUACCCUGUAUUUGUGGCGGAUCUGGCAUACCCUGGGGUCAGGUUUUCAAAAAAAAAAAAAUUUUCGCUGUGUUUUUAAACUGAAAAGGACCCCGGGGCGUGACACCAACCCAGCCUCACGCCAUUUCGAACAUGACUCGGCCCACAUGAUCUCCCGCCACAGGGCAGGAUGCUGGCCCAUUUAAGCCAACAGAUAUAACGACCACGUUCUACCCCGUCGGCACGAUUAAAAGGUGGCGCAAGACGAAUCUAACAAACUUCAGAUCCAGCAAAAAAUCGAUAGAAAAGAUUAAUGGCGAGAAAACAGCGUAAGACGAGAUAGUGUUUAGGUAUGCUUGGGUUCACCUCGAACUCACACAAUCUCCUCCAAUAUAUAUAACUGAUACGAGAAUCUUGAUUCAACGCGUCAAAUUCGUGUAGAACAAAAUAAGUCUAAAAUUAUACGGAUAAGAAUUAAAAUUAAUAUAAAGAUAAAAAUAAAACCGAAAAAAAUAAAAAUAAGAAUAAAAUAAAAUAAACCGGGUGUAUGGACCGUGCGCACCGCCGCCCGUUCGGCCCGACUCGGCUAAUGAUCGUGCCGUGCGUGUAUUUAAACGAGAGUAUAACUCUCAUUUUCUCCCAAAUAAUUAGCUUGAGAAUAAAGAAUUAUAUAAAUACCAUCAACACCUUUUUAGUUUUCAAUAUACGACUAAAUCUCAUACAUGAAAAUUUUAGUUGGGCUCCCAAAUAAAAUUCAUUAAUAAUUAUUAGGCUCCAAGAGGCAUUAAUAAAUUUUAAAUCAUAAAAAUCUAAUAAAAUCCAAGCCAAGGAUGGAGAGAGAGAGAACCAAGCCAAAGAUGGAGAGAGAGAGAGAGGACAAGAGAAAAAGAUGAAGAAGAAGAGAGAAAGCAAAAUAAAUAACCUCCAAAUUAGGAGGUGACACGUGGCUUGAAGGUGAUGUGACAGGAAUAAGGAUCGAGCAUUCAUAGUGUUUCAUUUAUUACGGGACAAUUGCUUACAUACCCUAAAAAAUUCCCUUUUUUUUUAAAUCACCUAGAAGAUUAAUAUACAAAGUAUUUUUUUAACGUUCCAAAUUUUAUUAAAUAUAUAUUUAGGCUUCGUUUGGUUCGGAGUUAAGUAAGAACUAGUUAUUUUAAAAAUAGGGUUAAGUCCAGGAUUAAGGUGGGGUUAGAGUAAUUUUAUAUUUGGUUGAGAAUUGAGUUUAGUUUAGGUAUAAGUAAAAUAGUGUUUGGUUGGAAUAGAUGGAAUAAAAAGAAUAGUGGGUUGUUAUAAAUAGAAAAUAAUAAUUUUGCUCUAAUUUUUAUAUUUGAAUUUAAAUUUUUUAUUUUAUAUUUAAAAUUUUAAAUUUAAAUAGAUAACUUUUAAAAUUAAAAACUUCAAAAUUAAAAUCUGUAUUUUCAAAUCUCAAAUUUAAAAAUUUAAAGUUAUAAAUUUUAAAUCAAAUCUAACAAAUAUAAAUAUUCACAUAUAAAAUAUCAAAUUUAAAAUUUAAAUAAUUGAAAAUAACAAUUAAAAAUUUUAAAUUAAAAAAUUUAAAGUAUAAAUAUAUAUUUCAAGAUUACAAAUUAUAAAUUUUUAAAAUUUCAAAUAUAAAAUAUUAAAUUUAUAAUUUAAAUAAUUAAAAAUAACAAAUUUAAAUUUAAAAUUUAAAAUUUUUAAUUGUUAUUUUCAAUUAUUNUUACAAAUUAUAAAUUUUCAAAAUUUAUAAUUUAAAAUUUAAAUUUAAAUUUUAAAAUUUAAAUUUUAAAAUUUAAAAUUUAAAAAAUAAAUAUUAAUUUUAAGAGUGCAAAUUACACAUUUUUAAAAUUUCAAAUAUAAAAUGUGAAAUUUUAAAUUUAAACAAUUUAAAAUAAAAUUUAAAAUUUAAAAUUUAAAUUUUAUAAAUAUUAAUAUUAAUUUUAAAAUUACGAAUUAUAAAUUUUUAAAACUUAAAAAUUAAAAUUAAAAUUUUAUAUUUAUAUUUAAAAAUUAAAUUCGGGUGGGAUUAACUUAAUCUCCUAGAAGUUAAUCUCACUCCAAUUCUAGGGGAUGGGGUUUGUUAACCCCACCCUAAAGGGGGUUUAGGGGGUUAACCCCCCUUUUACCCCCAAACGGGUUUAGGGGGAUAACCCGUUAAGGGUGGGGUUAACAAACCCCUCACCCAUUUGUUUCUGUUUGGGGGUAAAAGGGGGGUUAACCCCCUAACCCCCCUUUUAUCCCCGAACCAAAUGGUGUGGGAUAACCCGUUAAGGGUGGGGUUAACAAACCCCUCCCCCAUUUGUUUCUGUUUGGGGGUAAAAGGGAGGUUAACCCCCUAACCCUCCUUUUAUCCCCGAACCAAACAGUGUGUUAGAGUUAAAUUUUAUUAAGAACUGUUAGGAACAUUAGUUAUAUAUGUAAAAUUAUCAUUUUGUCAUUUCAAAUAUAUCCGUCCAUCGUCACAAAUUUUUCUUAUUUGUCUUUAACACUAUAACAAAAACGGUAUAUAGCGACAUUUUUAAAUAUCAGUACAGGGCAAAAAAAAUAUUACUGGCUAAAUUACUGACACUUUUUAAAAGUGUUGCUAUAUGUAGGGUCACUAUAUGUGGGGCCGUCUCGAUGUUUGGCACCCACUCCUCCAGCGACUUGUGGCGGAGGGACACGUGAUGAUCAUAGCCUUGUAUGGUCCUUACGAGAUCCUUGCUACCGAACUCUAGUCGGCGGAACGCUAUAUGUGGGGUCGCUAUAUGUGGGGCCACCUCGAUUUUAUUUUAUUUUUUCUUUUCUAUUUGUAAUCGGGCCGAAUGAGCUGGGUGGAGUUGGUUAAGUAGAGAAAUUUUUUAUUUUUUGUUAGAUUGAGCUUUUUAUUUAGGCCUCAGUAGAUUUUUUUAAAAAAAUUUUGGUAUAAAUGAGACAGUUACACAAAAGUGUCCCAAAAAUGUGAUUGCAUAAUCUAAUUCUGUUGUAAUGUAAGUUAAGGGCAAAAUAAAUAUUUUGACUUUUUAUUCUGUAAAAUAUAUCAUUCUACUGUCACCAACUUCUCUUAUUACCCCCAAGUUAGGGGUAUAUAAAAGAGAUAUUUUGAUUUUUUUUAAAUUUUAAUAGGGAUUUAACUUGAGUUUAACCCGAGAUAAUUUAACUGAUACUAAUAGAGAGAGUAUUUUUGAAUAAUGGAGAACUAUACGAGGGCUACAUUUAAAACAAAAAAAUUAUAUGAAUAUAUAAGAUAUUUAAGAAGUUUUGAAGGGUAUAUAGAUAAUUGUCCUUUUAUUUAUAGGUAGAUGUUAGGAGCUAUUUCCUCUCCAACCACUCCAUUUCUCACUUUGGAAUACCUCCAUUUACAACUGGGCUCUCCACUUUGAUCCCUUCCCAACUACCUACUUUAUAUUGUACAUGAAUAAAAUUAAAAAAGAAAAAAAUAAAUUAAGCAAUUUGUAUUCUAUAUGUUUGUUUGUUUAAUAGAUGCAUGGUAUUUGUUUGAGAGAAGUGAAUGGUAAUUAAGUGCAUGUCCUUAAUUAAUUUAUUAUCUCCUAACGCCUAGCAUUGAGGAAGCCUAGCAAAAAUGUUGCUCUAUAUACGAUUCUCCAACUUGGAGUGUGUGGAAUAUAAAUAUAUUAAAGUAUAUUCAUAAGUUUUUAGAGUAUAUAAUUGGUGCGGUAUCAGAAUAGAAUGUUUUGAGUGCAAUUUUAUCGAUAUUUUAAGUAAUAUUCACUUGACACUUGUUCCUAUAUAUAUGUGGGCCGAAUUUAUUCGCGAUUCAACAUGCAAUUCAUUUUAUUCAUUUUGAAAAUGAUUGAAUUGCUAAUUCAAUCGUAGCUCCUGCAGAUUAUGUUUACCAAUUGUAUGUUUGCCUAAUUAAGGUCGUCUAGUUAUCUGCAGCUAAUUAAUCGUAAUUACAACAAUAAGCUAUAUAUCAUCAUAUAUUUAAUUACGACUUGCAAAAUGACAGGGUAACCAAAACGCAAAUAAUUUACAAAAUUAAUUUACUUUACAUCUUCCAUGCAUUUAAUUUGUGUCGACAAACAAGUAGUUAAAAGUUUGCAACAAUUAAUGCAUACUGUUUUUGUUCUUUUAAGCAUUUUGGACAAAUUGAAUGAUACAAGCUACAAGUCAACUUUUGUAAAGAGCCAUACUUUGAAAUCGGCAUUUUUUUCACUAGACACUAACUACUAAUGGACGACUAAAUGGCCGAUAAAUAAACAUAGUAGUCUAUAUAUCUUCAGGUAAAGGUUUUGAAUUUUUGUGCGUGCGUAAAUUUGGGCUCAAACUCCAAACUUCAGGUUUAAUAUAUAUAUAUAUAUAUAUAUAUAUAAUUGAGCUUCUAUGCUAAUAUACUAUUAAUAGCACCAAAUCAUUGGUGCUAUAUAGUGACCCUGGAAUUUAGCAUUUGAGGCUUGUCGACAGCUCUGGAGAGUGUCAGGACGAGUCCGAGUCCUGUUGGCGCGAAAUAGACGUAAACUGGACUCAGCGGGACGCGAGAGGAGAGAGUUAGCUCUGCAAAUUGCAGAUUUUCAGUAAUUGGUACCGGUACCAUACAGGGGCGUACCUAUACCCAGUGCAUGUUUCUGUGCAGACUGCUCUCGGGUUGCCCAUUCUGCUGCGGGGUACCGAUACAACAUUGGACUAGUACCGAUACUCCAGGGUAGGUAAGAGGUCUUUCGGUCUUUUCUUGCCUCGAUUGUGUCACCCUUAUCCCCACUACUCUAUAUAGGAUAGAAAGAGGCUGAGGAGGAGAUUCUUUGCUGUGCUCUCUCUCUAGUGCUUGGCCGUACACAACAACGAGGGAGGCUUUGGGCGGAGUUGGAGCGACGUUGAUGUUGCGCCGCGGUGCCGUUCGAGCGCGUGGACGUCGUAAUUGCGCCGAUUGGAGGCCGUUCGAGCGUGCGGUUUCGCUUCCUUCGACUUCUCGCCGUAGUUGGACGUGCUUUUGAGGUGGGUCAAAAUGAUGCUUACCGGAUUCUACUGGUUUCCUCCUAAUUCUAUAUGUGUCGACAACAUAUAUUUUUAGCUUUGUUUAGUAUAUUGUUUAGCUCGAUUCUUGGAAUAGCAUGCUUUUGAACUUGAAUUGGAGCUUAGAAAAUUAGCUAAAUUAUGCAUAUUGGAGUUGGAUUUUACUUAGGAGAAAACUGACGUUUCUACACCGUCAUUUAAUCAAACUACCAGAUUUAGCUCUAGAAGCCGUAGUUUGUUUGUAUCGCCGCAGUUUGUGGGCGGUGGAUACCUUGGAUAGUGUAGAAUAAUAUUACGCUCGUGCUGGGAUGCCGAGCUUAUUUUUACAGUACUGUUCAGACUGUUCUAGACUGUCGGGUGCUGUUGGGGUUGACGAUGGACCCAGAUUACGGUUUUUGCAUCAAAUUGUGCCGAGGGCACGUGCGUCUUGGUUGUUAGACCAGUUAGAGCCCUAUUUACUUGACUAUAGCCUGCGAGAGUCUGAUUGAGCUCGACAGAGACACGCUUGCAUACUCGGUUGGGUAGCGCCCGCGAGUGCCACUCCGGAGUUAGGCUAAUUUGUGCUUUUGUGUUGGUGUCAUUUUGUCCUGAUUGGACUUGCUAUCCAAUUACGACCUGGUAUAGUGUCAGAUUGUGUAGCUUCGACAAGCGGGACGGGUGUAUUCACAGUCCCUAGGAAGAUUGAGUCAUGUCUUACUAUUUCCUACAGUUUGUUGGUGUUAGACCGAGAUAGUAUAGGUGCAUAUAUCUGUAGAUUUAUUUUCAAAUUUUUUACUAUACUUGUUUACAUCUGUAGACUUAGUAGGUGAGCAGUUAGGGUCGGUAGCGGUACCCACUGAGAACUACUUUUUGCAGUAGUUCUCACGCCCAGUUGUUGAAAUCUUUUGCAGAGCCUUCUUCUUCGGCUGCUGCUGCUGCUGAGUCUGAUUGUGGAAGGGUGUUACGAGUUAGAGCCCUUCCUGACGAGUUGCUGAGCUAGAGGAGUACCAGCUACAGCUAGUUGUAGUUUUUGAGUUCUUAUACAUACUUUUGUUGUAUCUCGCUGGGCGAGCGUUUUGUACACCUGGUUGUUGAUGUAUGUAUAGUAAACUUCUGUUUUUUUAUUAUAUCUCAUUUCCUUUAACAGCUCUAUACUACUAGUGGUAGUAUUGUAUGAUUUCUGGUACAGCUAUCGCUUCGUAUACAGAAAAAAUUUUUUUAUAUACGGCGAGUUUGUCGGCGUGCCCGGGGAAACGAGUAAUCCGGAGCGUGACAUGCCACCAAAUUUUUGGCCAUUGGAUUAAGAAAAUGUGCGGUUAGAAUGAUGUGGGCCCCCUAGGGUUGAGUGGGUGGUUGGUUGAAUAGUAUGAUGUAACAGGUAAAAAUGAUCAAAAGGGUAGAUCUAACGGCGGAAAACUUGGUAGCACCAAGUGCUUCGUGCUAUUAAUAGCAUAGUAGCCGGACUCUCUCUCUCUCUCUCUCUCUCUCUCUCUCUCUCUCUCUAUAUAUAUAUAUAUAUAUAUAUAUGUGUCCUUAGUGUUGGAAACCUGAUCCAUACUUAUUUUUAUACUAGAUUUUGAGAAUUCACAACUUACUCUGAUACCGAUAGCUGUUGAUCCGGUAUUCAUUCCGAUAUCGGUUAUUGGGAUUUCGUAUUGGAAGCGUCAAAUUACAUUUUUAUCAUACAUUCAUCUUAUCAGUGAAAAACUAUUCCUAGCACAACCAUAAAAAAGAGAAUAAAUAAAAAAAAAAUGCAAAUGAAAUAAAAUUAAGUAACUAAGAGAAGAAUUACAUCCGACUCCUCCUUUAUAUAGCGUACCUUCAACGCGAACUCUUUUUUCCGAAUCUCUCAUCCUUUCUCAUCCUAUGCACUAGUACACAAGGUAUGCCAAUGAUCCAUAAUUAAUCACGAAAGCCGCACACGUCGAUCAUGGAGUGUAUAAAGAUUGUCGAAAAGUUAAACAGAAGAACAAUUACUAUAAUAAGAGUUUUGGGUACAUGCACUAGUAAACUACAGGCUAGUUAGAAAUUUGGUCCUUAAAGUUUUGCUCAAAUUUCGAUUUUAAUAGUCCCAAUUGUGGUAAUCUAGCUCUUUCGUUUUAUGAAACAAUUAAUUAACUUUUUUUUUUUCUUUUAUCUAGCGUCAAAAAGAAGUUCUACAUGGGUACCACCAUUACGUAUUCUUGUCUUAAUAUUUAAAACUUGACGCUGAAAAUGAAAUCGAAGUCAAAUGUUUGGGUCAAACUGUUAAUUAAACUUUGGAGAAUGAAUUUGAAAUUAGGGUUAAACUUUUGAAAAGUGCUAGUCACAAUCAAAACUUUCGGUGGUAAAUAGUCACAGUCAAAACAAUAUUCCAAGGACAACAUAGAUAGCCAAGUCAAAGGUCUAAAUUUGUACUCAACCCAAACUAGGAUACAAAACAACACUAUUUCAAUAAAACAAAAAAAAGUGAAAACAAAAAAAAAUAUAGAAAAAAUGGAAGUGAAAAUAUAGAGAGAGACAAAACCAAAACUAAAAUCCUCUAUACAUGUUUCUCCAAGUAAAACUGUAUAAAGGGCACUGCAACUGUAGUUUGUAUUAACGACUGUAUCUAGCACAGUUGACUAAAAACUUGAUCAUGAAUAUUUGAUAUCUCAAAUUUGAAAUCUAGUUACUUCAUAUUUCUAGUUAAAAUAUGUAGCUUGCUACUUUUUUCUCAGCAAAACUAUAGUCUAUAUCGAAAUGAUACCCUCAUCUUUUUGUUUUUUUGUGUUAAUUGACACAUCCUUAACUUGAUGAUUUCAUCAAAUUUAGUAGUUGAAACUACUUUUUGCAAAUGAAACUAAAAAAAUUUAAUGGUUGGUAGCUGAGAAUUCAUCACAUUGACGAAAAAUUUUAACUAACGUAGAAGAACAACUCAAAUCAGAAAAAUCAAAAGUAAGAAGGUAUUAACUGAAAAAUCAAAAGUUUAGAGGUCAAUUUCAAAAUCUCUGUCCCAAUGGGUUUUAACUCAACAAAUUAGAAAAAUAGGAAUUAAUGGACCACUCUUUACACAAAGCAAUCACAAGGAAAACAGUAAAUAUACUACAUUCCAUGCAUCAUCCACACCCUACAUGUGUGUAAAGAGAUGCUAUGGUAGAUUUUCUUUGUGUCCUCUUUAAGCUCUUGCAUAUCUUCGUGUAGUGUGGGACUCCAUGAAAACCCUGCAUUUAAUUCAUUUCCCCAACUCUCCUAGGAUUUGUAGGCCACUUUGGAGUUAUUUAUGCCUCAUUAUUCAAGGUAGAUUUCAUGGAUCUUCUUCCCUUGCCAUUUUUCUGAAAAAGUAAGGCAGGUUGGAAGGGUAAAUGCAUGUGAUAGAUAGCAAAUCAGUUGGGUUCUGCAAUAGGAGAGAGAGAGAGAGAGAGAGAGAGAGAGAGAGACUUUAUCCAUCUAAUUGAUUUGAUACAAAAUGGUCCCAGAGUAUUCUUAGCACUCAUCAACAUAGUGGAGAAAAAAAAUAAAACACACCAUGUGGAUUGGCAGCAGAAGCAACUGCUGCGCAAAAGAAUGAUCUGAUAGAAAACAGGCUCAAGAAUAUUAUUCAUAACACGUACCUCCUGCUCAUGUGCAUGAUAAAUAUCUCACCAACUAUAUAACAUACAUGGAUCGAUUACGCAGAUAAUACGAGAGACUACGAAAUAAUAGAAAGGAAAUAUUAUGGAAGAGACAAGACAAAAAUAUUUAUUACCAAAUGGUGGAUGUGGGAUUCGAACUCGAGUCCUCUUAAGUAGAGAGGGACUAAGAACUAGUUCGGAUAUCAUGUUAUUCAAAAUGUAACAAUUAAACCCACUAGUACUACCAAAUUAUUAUUCACUUAAAACACUUGCACCAACGGGCUGGUCAUAAUAAUUAAUUAGUAUCAAAUUAAGCUAGAUUAUCCGCCAAAGUAUGAGAUGAUGUAUUAAUUCUAGAUUAUGCAUAUAAUUAAGCCUGACAAAUGUAUUAACUAUGGCACCUCAAUGAUCCCACGUGUACUAGUGAUUGUGGGUUAUAUGUAUAAUUGAAGCCUGACAAAGGCAAAGGCAUAUGGAGUUUGUAAUGCCUCAAUUGUUGCAUAUUCAUCAGAUAAUAUGGGAGAGUGAUAAAAUUUUAUAUAUGGCUAGUACAUUAAUACUAAUAACUUGAGUACUAGUUUUAAGUAUUUAAUAAUAAUAGCUUGUAUUUUAGCCCAACAAUUUAUUUGUUACUGGGUUGGAUCAUUAUAUCGAAAAUCGAUUUCGGGAAACAAGCCUAGGUAUAGUCUUAGCAAUAACAAAAGGAGACAACAAACAAAUAGUAGACAGAAAUUUAUGCCAUUAUUGAUCUAAUUUUGCAGUUGAGAUGAUUGUGAAAUCGAAUUUUAAUCCUGAACCUACUGCAACGGAGAGGGCAUAGAACCAACCUCAAUGCUAUGUUAUCAAAAGGAUCGAUCUAAUGUUUGUACUCGGGAAUAUGGGUGUAAAAUGAUUCUAAUAUCAUGUUGUUAUAUAUUCUCCUUAAUUCGGUUGGUCUUAAUUUCAUUUGCCUAUCAAAAAUAACACGUACAAUUAUUCCUUGCAAAACCCAUUAAUAUCAAGGAGAGUUGAUGAACUUAAUUUAUUAUUGGAAAAUCAAUCUGUGGGAUACCCGCGUAUAAUACUAAUAAUAAUAAUAAUAUGCAGGGUCAUGAUUAGUUUAUGUAUACUUUUUCUUCUAAAAACAAAGAAUAAUUAGAAAUUAUUUUCUUUUUUUAAUUUUUUCAAACCUGGAGUCGAAAUAUAACCCCUCGCUCCAGUAUGGGAUUUGUCCUGACCAAUCCCAUUAAACCAUGUGAGAUUAUAGAGAUCAGAUAAAAGCAAAUUGCCAAAAAAAAAAAACAAAAAACAAAAAAACAAAAAAUUAAGAAUGUAUCCGUAUGUUAGCCAAGAUCGAUAAUUUUUUACGGCAUUUAACGAUGCUUAAGAGUGUUCCAAUAAAUUCUACCAUCAUAUUUCAAAGCAUCGACAAAUUAAUAAAGAAUCUCUGGGUAUAUACCGACGCUUACACUAAGCAUCGGAAAAAUAUAUUCCGACGAGCGUUAGGAUUUUUAAAAGUUCUGACUUUCUAAUGAUAAAAUAGACAAUUUAUAUUACAACGCUUUUUGAAGUGUCGUUAUUUGCUAUAUUGUAGAGUUGCUUGAGAAUGCUUUUCUCAAGCGUCGUCUAAAAAACGUUCUUAUAAUAAGAAUUUCUUGUAGCGAUAGUAACUUGCAAGCUGAAUAGAUAUUCAAAAUAAAAAAAUUAUACUCGUGUACUUCGCUAUAAAAAAUAAGGUUAAUUGCAUACAGGUCUCUACAAAUAUAGUGAAUUAUAAAUAUAUCCCUAUAAAGUUUAAUUUUGUAUCGUUCCUGCAAAAGUCAUAAUGUUUUCAAAUAUGUUCCUACCAUUAGAAUCUAUUAGAAAAAAAAUUAGUUAAUCAUAGAUAAAAUACUUAACCCUAUUUAGUUAAUGAGGUGUAUUGACCUUUUUACCCCUUUUUAAUUAAUGGUUGGGAUUUUUGAAAGAACAUAUUUAGGUGUAAUGACAAUUAAUGCAAAAUUUAAUGACAUGAUAAAAAAAAAAAAAAAAAAAAAUCAGGCCCACCACGGCAAAAGUUCAGUUUGGGCUUUUUCGUUGGGUUGGACUUGCGCUGUCAUACAAAUUUAGGUGUUAGGCUGAUUAGGCCGAAUCCUGAAACAAUUGAGGGCCAAAAUCAAUUUCGAAAAAGCCUAGAGCUAUGGUUUCAAACGUGGCCUUAAUGUAGGGUACCAAAAAAAAAAAAAGAAAAAAAAGAAAAAAAAGAAAAAGAUGCAUUUCAAUGAGAGACCCUAGCUUCUUCAUCGUCUGAUAAUAGUACGUAUGAGAGAGGCUAUCUCCUUGUUUCAUCUCCAAGGACCUCUUUUCUUAUGCUUGCAUAUAGGCAUAUAUAUAUUUUUGUUUGUACUUGUCUUUUAUAGAGAUCAUUAUACAUGUACAUAGAUGUUCAUCUUGGGCUUGUACUUGUACAUGUACUGGUACCAUUUUGAUCUGCACUAGUUAUAUUUAUUUUCUUGUUUCUUCUACUUAAUAUAUUAGGGUGACCGUCUUUUCUUUUAUAAUUAUUUGUUGUUAAUCUUGUUUGUUCUGCAUGAAUUUUUUAUUAUCAGCUAAGCUUAAGAUAAAUAAAAGCCUUAUAUUUUUUUAUAAAUUUAAAGUUUAAAUUAAGUUUGACCCUUGUGAAGGUACAGCGGCCAUGAUUCGAAUAUGGAGGCACUGGAUCAUGAUUCUACAUUAAAUUUGGUCACUAUUAAAUUUGACUUAGUAACGAUCUUAAUUAGUGUCAAAUUCUUGCAUUGAUUUAUAACGCUCCUUUAUGAUUAAUUAAAAUGUAAUGUCACUACCUAAUUUUGUUGAAUAAUUUAUUGAACCAUUUGAAUAAGUGCUUUUGGCCACAGCACUACAGUGUGUUUCGCAGAAGAAUCACUCUAGUGGAGAAAACAGACCCAUAAAGAAGAGACUAAGCGCUUGAUUGGCCCGACGGUGCCGCUUCAUGCAAAAGCAAACAAAAAGGUGGCUUGUAUUUUAAGAGCAAAACUUGAAAUUGUACUAUCUAAUUGGCUUAGGCUCCUCAGUAGCAAAGUAGGUGACCUCAACUUUCUUUUUAUUUUAAUACAGAAACCAAAAUCCUUUGUUUGAGGAAGUAGAAGAAUCAAUCAAUCAAUCAAUCAAUUAGCUCUAUCAAUUAGUCAACUGGUGCCCCGUGACAAGGUCACUUUAAGGUCUCUUACAUAUAUAUAUAUAUUUACCCUAUAAGAAUCACAUAGUUAAUUACGUACAUAUUCAUUUCACACACACACAUACAUUUAACUUAUCUAGCCCUACAAGAAGUUACUUGCGCUUUCGAAUUCAGUAUAACACGUAAGCUCCUUCGAGAUACUUUUCUCCUUUUCUUUUAACAAAAAAAUGUCUUUAUCAUACAUAUAUUAGAAAGUUAAUCAAUUUGUGAAAGAGGUGGCUCGGCUGAAUUAGUCAAAUGUUUCACAAAGUGGCCAUCUAUGUUCCGAGUAUUAGAAUGGCGUAUUUGCAAAUUCAGUUUAGCAAGGAUACAUAAGUAGUGAUUUAUUUAUGAAUUCAUUUUCAAAUUUGAGAUAAUUCGAUCAUAUUGUUUGUGCAGAAGGAACAUUUCUAAUGUUAAGGGGCGUGAAUCUGAUCCAAAAGCUUUCGCUGAUAGAUCCUGAUACCUCAGCCUUAUAGAGAUUAGAGUUUGUUUUUCUAUCCAACAUAGACUAUUGUCACUUGGAUAUAAUAAGAGGCGGAAUCAAUAUCAUAUUUUAGAAGCUUGUACGAAAUAGUAUUCUACUUGUAUCAAUUGUGAUUCUUUUCAAAGCUUAACUAGUGAAUUGUUUCUUUAUCCAGUGCAUCAAUCCUUAAUUGUGUUCCAUCCACUACUUUGCAUCAAUCUUUUUAUCUUAUCUCGUAUUUUGAUUUCAGCCAUCUAGCAACCACAUAUUUAAUGACAAGUAUCUGUCCAUAUCAUAAUUUCGCGACAAGAAGGGAUACAUUUGUGACAGUUGACCUAGCUAGUUGAUGGUGAGCUUAAUUAUUAGAAAAAUAUUUAGGCAAUUUUUACUUAACUAAACAUAUGCUUCCUUAUACUUAAUUAGGCUUUGGUAUUGCUAAAUUUGGUUUAAGGAAUUUAUCCCCAUGCCUCUACUAAAACCAAGAGCAUUUACGGUUUGAGUGACUGAUGUUCUAUUGAAUAUUCUAUUACGAAUAACUUUUUGGGACGAUUAUAUAUCUUUUCAGGACGAUAAAUAUUUUCUAAAAAGUUUUUUUAGUAUCGUAAUUUUAAAUUAAGUUUCUAAAAUCAUUUUUAACUAUAAUAUUAUGUUUUGUAAUAUUAUUUUAAAAAAAUUAUAAUAAUUUCCCUAGCUUCUAUUAAAAUUACAAAAACUUUUCUAAAUUUAUCUAUGCCAAAUCCGUUAUUCGUGAACUAUCUUGGUUUCAGAAGAACACGUGUUAUUUUGUUUACUAGUAAUGAGAAAGUAAAAUUAUUAAGGUUCAAAAUAAUUUACUUAUACUACCCAUAUUCUAAUUUAUUUGCGGAUAAAAUAUUCUUUUAACGUUUAAUUGAAUAUGUUUUUAAUUAGUAAGUGAUUUGCUGAAGCUAAACAUUUAUUAGCAAACUAUUUUCAACCCAAAUAGUUUAGUUAACUAUUUGCUGAAGCAAAAAUAUUAAUGCAAAAGUACAAGCGCAGUUUAUUGUAUUAGACCCUGAUUUAGCUUCCCUAAUUAGUGAUUAGUACUCUUUUCCAUUACAAACCAAAAAUUUAUGUUAGAAGCUAACUUGCUUUUUUUCUUCUUUUCUAAAAAUCUAUAACUUUUGCAAAUUGCAAAGGACUUAUAUACUAGGUUCCUUUUGUUUUGGCGGUGGAUUCAGUCAAAGGAAACUCUUCUACACGAGGUAUCUAAAUAGAAUAGAUAGGAGAGUGCUUGAAAGCACCAACAGCAAAUGGUUUUUUUUUUUUUUUUGGAUAAAUAGCUAGCACGCUACCCGCUUUGUUUAUUUCAUUUAGAAAUAUACUUAGCUGGAAAUGUGAAUCAACUAGGAUUCGAACUUGGGUCUCGAGUAUCAACCACCAAGCCUUUUGCCACUUGCUCUAGGAACGGUCGAUCGCGAAUAGCAAAUGUUGAAAGCCAGAAUCAGACAAUUCUUUCUAUCAAGUUUAUGACUAGGGGCAAUCUAAAUAGAAAAGGGAAGGAAAAGAUUGUAUCUCACUCCUUACGGAUUCUAUUCAAUUGAAAACUUAUUCAUUAUUAAAGAAAAGUGAGUUCAGUUUCAUUGGGAAGGAUUUGUCAGAAUAGACUUAGAAAUUGAAAUUGGAAGAAAGAAGAAGAAAUGGAAUGGAUGUUAUCGCAACCCGAAUCCAAACGUGCGGAUUUACUGAUGCUAAACGAGUAUAGUUUCAAAUACGGAUAUAAAAAUAAAAACCUAAUGGAUUUGAAUCGGGCUAUGGAUUUUAUCUGUACUCAAUCCGAAAUCGAACACGAUCUGAGCCCGAAUUGAUUUUCCAUUAUAUAAUAUAUAAUAUAUACAUAAAUGAGUGAUGUUAUAUUUGAAUUUGUAUUUUAAAAUUUUAGAUUUAAUGUAAAAUAUUUCGAAAUAUGGUAAGGAGAAAUAAUUAUUAUGGAUCUGGGUUUUCAGAUCUGGAUUUGGAUUCCAGAUUUUUGGUUGGAUUCGGCUAUGGAUAUGGAUUUUUAAAUUUUCUCGGAUUUGGAUUCUGGUUCAAAUUUCGAAUUUGGUAUUCAGGUUCGAGUUUGGAUUUUUGAAAACCGACUCCGAAUCUAACCAAUUGACAUCCCUAGGACUGAUCAAACGAACAUAAAUAAGUUUUUAAAAUUAUAAAAAAAUUAAAUAUUAUAUGUAAAUUUUCUUAAUAUUUUGGCAUGCGCUUUGACAUGUGAUUUGCAUUAAUCCUAAGACUCCAUCUUGUAAUUAAUGAGGGGUACCUAAUAUAUAUAUUUUUUUUUUUUGAGAGAGAGAAAGGCAGCACGUUAGCCGCUUCAUUCAUUUAGCAGAUGGUACCUAAUAUUAUUAAUGUUAAAUUUGGUUUAGAUUUAUAGUUAUCUAAAUUGAGGGUAAAUUCUAGUCUAAUUAGGAUAAGAUAAUAUUUAGAUUGAAAAUAUAUAGAGCAAAAUUAAUGUCACGCCUCGAAUGUCUCGUUCCCCGGGCACGCCGACAAAUCCGCCGUAUACAAAGAAAUUUUUCCUGUAUACGAAGCGACAGCUGUACCUGUAAAACCAACACUACUACGAACAGUAGUAGAGAGCCGCUAGAGAAAUAUAAGCUAAACAAACUGAGUUUCAUAUACAUAGUCCAAAUCCAAAAUACAGAGCUACUCGCACUGGCGAGUUAAGUCUACUAUGUAUAUAAACUCGAAACAAAACAUCUACCUUCAGUAGGGGCACCUCAAGCUCAGCACGCCGGGUAGGGCUCUAACUCGCGACGUCCUUAUCUCGAUCCUGAUCCGCAGAAGGGGCAGCAGCCGGAACCUGUGGCUCUGCAAAAACAUAGGUAACAACUGGGCGUGAGAACUACUGUAAAAACAAGUAGUCCUCAGUGGGUGCCGCCCAAACAAUAUCGGUCCACCCACUAAGUCUACAGAUAGGAGCCAGGAUAGUAGGAAAAGCAGGAAGUAAACUCUACCGCUAUCAAUCACUACACUAUCAUGCUCUACACUAACCAACUGUAGGAAAUGUGAAAUCUGACCCAAUCCAAUCGGAACUGUAAACCUACCCGUCCCUAGGACUGUGAAUACACCCAUCCCUGCCCAGUUGCGACUAUCCAGCUACCUCCACACUAACUGGUCCGUGGAGAGCAAGUCCAACCGGCAUGAGCGACACCAACACGCUCAUGCCGGUUUAAAUCAGGCAGUUUAAACAAGUGACAGGUCCAAAUCGCAGGUUUUCUCCUAAGUCGAAUUCCAAGUCCAACAUGUAUAAACUAUUCAACUUAUUACCACAUGCUCUAAAUUCAGAUUUGCAAUCUACAAUAUAAUCCAUGAAUUUGAGCUAGAAUAGACUAUACCAAAAUCGAAAUUAUACAUGUCGACGAUUAGAACUUAGGAGUCAAAACCGAUGUAACCCAUCUCAAGAAGCUAGCUCCUGGCAGCGAACGAAGCCUCGCACCAAAGUGACUCCUGCUGGAUCAACUGGAACCCUCCAAGUCUAGCACUCGAGCUAACUCCAAGCUCUACGAUCAAAAUCCACCAAUUCAGUCCGAAUUUCGCAGCAAUAGAGUAGAAAAGGAAUUCGACCAAGCUAACAUUCACCAAAUUCGGCAAGUAAGCGCUUCGUGGAUUCCUCUCGAAGUCCCGAAUCCAACGAACCAAGUCUCGACGAAAUCCGAUACUCUUACGUCGAGUACGAGCUGAAAUACUAACAGUCGACGAUGAAUUUCAGCAACAACAUCAUUCCGAGUUGAAGUAGUAAGAACUUGCCCAAAAACAAAGGAAAUGCUGAAUUACCCACCUCGACAACACCAAGCACCGGUGCGCAGCAAGAACGGAGAAAACCUACGCUCGCCCGGCCUCCUCGCGCUACCCCGGCGUCAAACACGUGCUCGAACGACUCCGCGGCGCGACGUCGGCGACGAAAUCCGAACUCCACCCGAGCUCCACCGUGCGCAAGAACCCAGCUAGAGAGAGAGAGGAGAAGAAGAAAAAGCUCCCUCUCUCUGCUCUACACAAACCUAAAUAGAGAGAGAGGGAAAGGGUGAUAUGAACGAAGUGGAAAAAAGACCAAACCACCCCUUACCUACCCUGGUGUACCGGUAUAGAGGCUAACCCGAGAGCAGCCCACGUGUAGCUAGCUGAAGUGUACCGAUACACCUUGAUGGCUGUACCGGUACAGCAAGCAGAAAACCUGCAAUUUUGCGGAUUUUCUCGCCAAGUGCUACGUUCACGUCGCGGGGAGUCCGUUUUGCAUGCAUUUCACGCCAACGCGACUCAAACUUGUCUCGACACUUUCCAGAGUUGUCGGCAAGCCUCCACAGCCGUACACCAGGGAUCUCACAAUUAAGCUUAAAUAGAUUAAAAUUGAGACCCGGUUUAUAAUGAGUUGGCAACCUGUCAUUAGUUACAGCUAUAUUAAUUUUGAGUCUCUCAGGACUCAAAUUAAUUUCGUAGUAUCCAACUCUAAUUAAGGCUCUAAUAUUAUAUAUAGAGCAUUUAGGAGCCGAAUCUCUUUGGCCAAGUAAUACUCUAAUUAAUUAGCCUACGAUGCUCUUGGUGCUCGGCUCUCAAGACUCCAUUGAUGCUCAAUUAAUUAAGGCAACCCAAGGUGCCGUAUCUUGUGUGUGGUGACCCAAGACGGACGUGCUGUUGAGGAGACGCCGUAUGCGGUAGCGUGUCAAAUAUAUUUAUUUUGGUCUUGAGGUCUUCUGAGACAUUAUUUUUCUUUUCUGUCUUUCAAUAUUUAUAAAUUAUUUUCUUCGUCUUUGCUCGUGGACAUAGGCCGUUGGCCGAACCACAUAAUUACGGUGUGCUCUUUCCUUUUCUUUUUUCUUGCUGUAUUAAGUAAUUUUUCUUGAUUUAUUUUUCACUGUUCCGAUUUUAACACUUAAUUUAUAAAAAUUAUGCUGAAAAAAGUAACAAAAAUUCAAGAUUUUCUAUUUGUGAUGAAAUUAUAAUAUUUAUACCUCAAUUAGAUUAAUUUGAUUUGUAUAAGGGGCGGCUUGGUUCGGCGUAGAACGAACUGAAAAUUAAUUUUUUUUCACAAAAAAUUAUUUUUCACGGUUUAUGUUGAACCAAACAGACCAUAAAACUAAAUAAAAUAUAGUUUUAUAAAAUAAUUUGGCACAUCACACUAAUCACAAAACAGACAAAUCUUUAUUUGCCUAGAAAUCUGGAAAAUGCUUUUAUGCCCUCCACUUAUUAUUAGGGCUGGCAAUUCAAUUCGAUGUCCGUGAGCCAGUUCAAGAUAAGUUCAAAAUGAGCUCAAGAUCAAUUGCUUAUUUAAUAAAUGAGCUGAAUAUGAGCUAAAUGAUUCAACUCGCAAUCUUAACGAGCCAAAAACGAGCUGUGGUCAGUUUGCUCGUCUUCGACUCGAUAUGUCACGCCCCGAGCCCGAUCCCUUUGGCCGGUUCGAGUGCGUCGAACAGACGCCAAACGGACAGAGUUUCUCCUGUCCGUCGAAGGCCCAACAACAGGUACAGAUAGAGUAUAAAAUGUGCAUAAGCGGAAGCAUACACAAUGACUUGCACGAGGACAAGCAAUAGCCAAGGUGAAAGUGCUAACUAAUCAACAUACAAGUACUAUGAUUAAAUUUAAAUCACAUACAUGCAUUCUAGUUUGGAAUAUUUUAUAACUUUUGCAUCAUUUCUUUUUACAUCUCAAGUUCUCCAAAAUAUGCCUUUACAUUUAACAUCAUUAAUAUCUUUAUUACAUUUGCUUCAAAAGUCUAUAAUCAUCAAAAUAAAAAAGAUGAUGUAAGAGGGUAUGCAACUACAAAAUGUAAAGUAUCUCGGACGGUCUCUAUCUAGGGCACGAUACCCUUACCGCGAUAGUCUGCCGGCUCGCUCGGUCCCGACUCUGUGGAAAAUGGGGUGUGAGAGCUACAACAAAGUUCCCAGUGGGUUCAGCAACCAACCACGCCGACUUUCCCAUUAGGUCUAAAUCAGGCAUAAUAGAAGAAAAGAGAUAUAGAUAGUAACCAAACUAUACAAAUACAGCUAAUAUGCCUGAACAAUAAUCAAUGCAAUGCUCAAUAGUAUGCUCAUGAUGAAUGCAAGAUCACAAUCUCAUUGCCUAAUCUCUUAGCUAGCCCGUAGGUUUCGCCCUCAAUAGACUCACCAACUCAAAUCCCAAGUAUCGGGGAGACUACUACGCCCGACGGGACCGUCCUCUGGGGAGACUACUACGACCCAGUGAUGACAACUCCGGAGCACAUCGCCCGAGGGGGAGCUAUCACCCUCAAGUAAGGACUUACAGGUGAGUAUGAUCCAAUCCUUAACUAUAAGGAUGUCAAGUUCAAUCCAUUCCUUAACUAUAAGAAAAAUCAUAUUCAUAUGACCCUUAACUCUAAGGUUGUUAUGUCAUAAUGCCACAAUCCAUCAUUUUCUUGCAUUCUUUACUUUCACUAGUGUCUUAUACACUACUUUGUUCUUGUACUUAUUCACUAAUGCCACACUUGUUUUCUAAGUGUUCAACUCUAGCAUUCUUGACUCAUCAAUGCCAUUUUCUACAUUCAUGUCUACAUGUCACAUUUGUUCUCUAAAUCCACUAAGUUUUUGUCAUUUAUCAUGCAUACGUAGGGUUAAUAAAAUUCUCACAUUCUUACAAGUAUUUCACAUGCAUUUGAACUCACAACAUGCAAUAAGAAGCUCACAAUUACCCUACUAUGCAAUAUGCUCAAAUAUAUACAAAUGCUCAAAUAUGACACUUUAGACAUAAAAAAAAUUUUGAGAUCCUUGGUAUGCACCACCCACCUUAUAUGGUUGCAAAGGUGCUAUGAUAAAUUUCUUGAAAUUUUUGAAACCCUACUUUAUCGCCUACGGCAAAACGAAGCCAAAUUAAGCUUUAUACUCAGAACUCCUACUUAGUCUUUUCGUAACGUCAAACGGAGUUAUCCCACACGUCGGGAAUACCCCUAAUUAGGUUUCUACAAGGUCAAUUUGCCUUAGAAACACUCUAGAAAAAAAUCCCCAAUUUUCAUGCCCUAACAACACCAUUUGCUCAAACCUAGGUUUUGAUCUCUAAAACAAGCAAAAGAGACAUUGUCCUGCACCUAGAAGUUCAUCUAGAACCAUCUAAACCAAUUCUAGGGAUUAGAAUGCAAACCUUAAAAAUCCACCAUUAGAGCACUUAAAGAAAACAUGAGUUUUCAUGUUUUCAUACCUACUAGAGGUUUCUACACUUGUAAAGGCUCCAAAACCUAGCUUUCUAGAGUACAAAACCCAAACCCUAGACUCAACUUUCCAUAAAACCUCACCUUAGUCACAAGCUCACCAAUGUCCACCUUAUAGGAGAGCUCAAAAUCUUCUCCAAGCUCCAAAACCCUCCAAAAAUCUUUCUCCUCCUACUCCUCCUUGCUGCUUGGAGCGGUUUCUAGAGAGAAAGAGAGAAAUAAGAGGGAGUGAGGUGUGGGCUGUGAAAGAGAGAGGGGAGGGUGUUUGGGCUAUUACCAUGUUGUAACAAUUACAAGAAACCCUCCACUUCUUUCUAUUUGCAGCAGAUUUCAUUGUUGCGGCCAGACUAAAGUGUACCGGUAUACGGGAUUUUGUACCGGUACAAUUUCUGCGCAGAGACAACCCGAGAGCAAGAUUCUCGGUUUCGUAGCAUUUGUACCGGUACAUUUUCAAAGUGAACCGGGACACUUUCAGUUUUUCUCUCAAUCCCGAGAGCACACUCUUCUCAGGCUGCAGGGCUGUACCGGUGACAACUCGAUGGUUGUACCGGUACACUUUGCCCAGAAUGUUGGUUUUGCGCCGUUUUUGAUUCGAUUUCGCGCCGGUCGAUGCUAAAACCCUUUUAACACCUCUUAAACUCAUUUUUAGCCUUUCCAACCUUGUUGGAAUGCUAAAUGGAACUUGUCCAACUAUUUCUUUCGUAUUGUUCACUUUUAAAUCACGCCGAGCAAUGCUAAAACCUGCUUAACACUCUCGGGACUCGACUUUGAACCUUCUAACAUUAUUAGAAUGUCAACUGGAGUUUGUCCAUCCAUUUCUCUCGGUACUUUAACCAAUUUGGCUAAAGUUCGAUAAUCGCUAUCGGGAUUUCGAUACGUUACACGAUAUAUAUAUAUAUAUAUAUAUAUAUAUAUAUAUAUAUAUAUAAUAUAAUAUAUAUAUAUAAUAUAUAGCCAGGACUGAUGUGCCUCAGGAGCACGAAGGCCUCCGUGCUUCUAGCCGUUUUCGAUGAUGGAAUUUUCGAAUCGACGAUCGCUCCGUUAAAUUUGAUCUAGCGCGUAUUUGAAUGUUCUAGAAAAAAUUUUUGCGAUUUUUCAAUAUCAUUACGUAGCAUCGAAAGGAUUUAAAAUCAAUAAUUUUUAACGCUGAAAAUAAAUAUCCUAUAAAAAUGGUGAUAUAGCACUAAAAUUUUCGAUCAGAAAUAGUAAUCUUGUGUAGAUAGUAUAGAAGACUUUCUAUCAAAAUUUUAUCUUAUUUGAAUACUUCUAACACACCGUUAAACUUGAAAACGGCAGAUAUCAACCAUUAAAAUUAUGGAUUUGAAUCUUUUGAUCACUAGGUAAAUAUAUCAAAAAAUCGGCAAAAAUUAUUUCUAGAAACUUCAAAUGCGCUAGAUCAAGUCUAACGGAGCGAUCGUCGAUUUGAAAAUUCCAACAUCGAAAACGGCUUCAGGAGCACGAAGCUCCGUGCUCCUGAAGCACAGCAGCCCUGCUCUCUCUCUCUCUCCUCUCUCUCUAUAUAUAUAUAUAUAUAGAAUUAGACUGAAUACUAUUAAUAGUAAACGCUCUUUUGCUACAAGUUUUAACCCUUGGUAAAAAUUGUAGGUCUGGAUGAUAUUAGUCGGUUAGAGUUGAGUGGUCCCCUGGGUUGAGUGGUCCCCACUGGUUAUAGUAUUUAAUCCAAUGGUGAAAAUAAUGAAAAGAAUUGAUCCAAAAGCUAAAAAACUAGUAGCAACAGAUGGAAUUUGCUACUAAUAGUAGCUCAGUCCAACCGUUAUAUAUACUAAUAUAUAUAUAUAUAUAUAAUUAAUAAUAAUAUAUAUAUAUAUAUAUAUUAUAUAUAAGUACUAUAUAUAGCCGGACUCAUAAUUGUUUUCGAUGAUAGACACUUCCGAAUCGACGAUAAUAUUAUAAUAUAAUAUAUAUAUAUAUAUAUAUAUAUAUAUAUAUAUAUAGUCCGGCUACUUUACUCUUAUGAGUACAAUCGCCCUCGUACUCAUAAGUUGUUUUCGAUGAUAAAACUUCCGAAUCGACGAUCCAUAUCGUUAAAUAUUAUCUAGAUCAUUUAAACUUCUAGAAAUUAAAUUGUAUAAUUUUUCGAUAUUAUUUACCUUACUAUCAAACGGUCACAAAAUUGAUAAUUUUUAAUGACCGGUAUGAGAUAUUUGCUAGUUUAACGGUGAAAAAGAAUCGAAAUAGGUUGAAUUUUUGAUAGAAAAUUCUAUUCACUACCUAAAUAAAGAUCAAUAACUCCGAUCUUAAAUUGAAGGAUCCGAUCAACCAUUUUUAGGAUGUCAUUUGAUUUUAACCGUUCAGUUUAUACUCGCUUGAUGGACUUUGUAAUGAUUUCGAAAAUUUAUGAAAUUUAUUUUCUAGAAGCUUCAAAUACUCUAGAUCAUAUUUAACGGUGUGGAUCGUCGAUUCAAAAAUUCCAACAUCGAAAACAACUUAUGAGUAGUAAGGGUUCUAUACUCAUAAGAGUAUAGUAGCCCUACCUCCGUGCUUGUAAGUUGUUUUCUGUAACGACCCAGCCCACUAGCAAUAAUAACUCGUUGGGCCCAACCAUAACCCAAAAUGCUUAAGCCCAGUUAUUAUUACUAGUGUCUAAGUCUCUUAUAAACCCAAUGACAUCCCCAUUCCCAUCCGAUGUGGGACUAUUGGGAUGUGGGACUAUUGGGGUGUCACAUUUUCGAUGAUAGGAUAUCCGAUUCGACGAUCGGCUCCGUUAAGUAUAAUCUACCCUAUUGGCACUAUCUAGAAACCAAAUUUUAUAAAUUUUUGACAUCAUUUACCAAGCGAUCAAAAGGUCUAAAAAAUAACUAUUUUAUUGGCCGAUAUGGCACGUUUUUAAGCUCAACGGUAUAGAAGUAUCCAAAUUACAUAAAAAUUUAAUAAAAAAAUUCUACAUAACAUUAAUAGCAAGAUCAAUACUUCUGAUUGGAAAUUUGAGUCAUUUAUCACUAUUUUUUAUGAGAUUUUCAUUUUCAGCCGUUCAUUUGAGGCUACUCGUUCACUAAACAAACGAAGUCAAAAAAUUAUGAAAUUUGGUUUCUAGAUAGUUAUAAUAGCGUAGAUCAUGUUUAACGAAACCGAUCGCCGAAUAGGAUGUCCCAUCAUCGAAAACAACUUAUAAGCACGGAGGCCUCCGUACUUUCAAAAGCAUAGGAGCCUAGCGCUCUCUCUCUCUCUCUCUCUCUCUCUCUCUCUAUAUAUAUAUAUUACAUUUGAUUUGUCUUUUAAAAGUACCAAGUGCAUUAGUGCUUGUAAGUUUUAGCAUUAGAUUAAGUGAUGUGCGAUUAGGGAUGAUGUAGACCUUAGGGUUGAGUGGGUAGUUGGUGCAUGAAUAAUAUGAUCUAACGGAUGAAAAUGAUCAAGAGUGAUUAACGGAAAAAAUUACAAGACCCAGUUGCUUUGGUGAUUUUACAAGACACAUAGCCGGACUAUAUAUUAUAUAUAUGAUUAUAUUUAUAUAGAGAAGAGAGAGAGAGAGAGAGAGAUGAGAGGAAGAGAUGGAUGAGAGAGAGGCAGAGGCAGGAGUUUACUGUGUUUUAGAGCACCGCCUUGUGCUAUAACUUUCUAACCACCCAUCAAGUUUGAUGGGUGGUUAGAAUAAGAGAGGGAGAAAAUAUUGAGGAGAAAUUUAAAGAGAAGAGAAAUUGAAACACCCAAUUUCUUCCCAAUAUCUCCUCCCUCUUUCAUUCUAACCACCCAUCAAACUUGAUGGGUGGUUAGAAAGUUAGGAGCACAAAGGCUGUUAUGCUCCUAAUAGCACAAUAGCUGUAACGUAUCGAAACCUCGAUAGAAAAUAGCGAACUUUAGCCAAAUUGACUAAAGUGUGCGAAUGGAUUAAUUGGGCGAGUUCCAAUUAACCUACCAACAGUGUUGGAAGGGUUAAAAAUGAGUUCUAGAAGUGUUAGAGGGGUUUUGGCAUCGAUCGGCGCGAAAUAGAAUCGAAACGGAGCCAAAAACCAAAUCUGGGCAAAGUGUACCGAUACAACCAUCGAGUUGUCACCGGUACAAACAAGUGUACCGGUACAAAAUAAAAGUGUACCGGUACAAAUGCCCCAAAUCCGAGGGAGCUGCUCUCGGGUUUGGCCAUAUGCGAUCGUGUUACUGGUGACACCCUAAAGUGUACCGGUACACUUUGGGCCUGACAGUAGGUUAGAAACUGCUGCAAAUAUUAAUAAGUGGAGGGAUUUUUGGUAAUUAUAGCACCUUAUAUAUAACCCCAACACUCCUCUCUCCCUCUCCCACAGCAAACACACACCUCCCCUCUCAUUUCUCUCUUUCUCUCUCUAGAACUCUCCCCCAAGAGCAAGGAGGAGUGGAGGAGGCUUUUGAAGGUAGAUUUUGAGGCUUUGAGGGUUUGGGAUCUCUCCAACAAGAAGGACCUUGGAGAGCUUUGGGCCAAGGUGAGGUUUUCAUGAAAACCUAGGCUAGGGUUUAGGUUUAUGUUCUAGAAAACUAGGUUUUGAUCUUCUAAUGAAUAUAGAAACCUAGUUGGAGCUAUAGAACACAUGAAAUCUUAGUUUCUUCAAGGUGCUCUAAUGGUGGAUUUCUAGGGUUUACUUUAUAUGCCCUAGAAAUGAUUUGGAUGGUUCUAAAUAAAUUUCUAGAGGUUAGACAAGCUCUCUUUUGAUUGUUUUAGAGAUCAAAAUCUAGGAUUUAGCAAAUGACAAUGUUAGGGCACCCAAUUUGGGGCUUUUGUUUUCGCAUGUUUCUAAGAAAAAUUGACCUUAUAGAAACCUAAUUGGAGGUAUUCCCGACGCGUGGGACAACUCCGUUUGACGUUACGAAAAGACUAAGUAGGAAUUCUAAGUAUAAAGCCUAAUUUGGCUUCGUUUUGCCGCAGGCGAGAAAGUAGGCACCCUAAAAUCUCAAGAAUUGAACCGUAGCAUUCUCUCAACCAUCUAAAGUGGGUGGUGCAAUCCGAGGACCUCGGAAUUCCUUUUAUGUCUAAAGUGUUAUAUUUGAGCAUAUGUGUAUUGAGCAUAAAAUUGUAUAGUAGGGUUAUAUUUGAGCAAUUUAUUGCAUGUUGUGAGUACAAAUGCAUGUGAGUCACUAGCAAGAAUGUGAGAAUUUUAUAAACCCUAUUUAUGCAUGACAAGUGACAAGAACUUAGUGGACUUAGUAAACAAAUGUGACAUCUUGAUAUAGAAGUAGAAAGUGACAUUGAUGAGUCGAGAAUGCUAGAGUUGGAACAUAGUAGUGUCUAUGACACUAGUGAAAGUAAAGAAUGCAAGUAAAAGUGUGAUAGUGACAUUAUGACAAUUUCAACCUUAGAGUUAAGGGUCAUAGUGCAUGGCUUCCUUAUAGUUAAGGAAUGGAUUGAACUCGACAUCCUUAUAGUUAAGGAUUGGAUCAUACUCAUCUGUAAGUCCUUGCUCGAGGGUGGUAGCUCCCCCUCCGGCGAUAUACUCCGGAGUUGUCAUCACUGGGUCGUAAUAGUCUCCCCAGAGGAUGGUCCCGUCGAGCGUAGUAGUCUCCCCGAUUUUUUGGAUUUGAGUUGGUGAGUCUUAUUAUGGGCGAAACCUACGGGCUAGCCUAGAGAUUGGGUUCUGAGCAGUGACUUUGCAUUCAUCAUGAGUACUUUAUUAAGUAUAGCAUUAUUUAUUGUUCAGGCAUAUUAGCUGUAUUUGCUUUAGCUUAGUUACUAUCUAUCUGUUCUUCUAUUAUACCUGAUUUAGACCUAGUGGGAAAGUCGGCGUGGUCGGUUGCCGAACCCACUGGAAACUUUGUUAUAGUUCUCACCCUACUAUUUCCAUACAACCGGGACCGAGCGAGCCGGCGGAAGACCGCGGUAAGGGCAUCGCGCCCUAGAUAGAGACCUCCCAAGUGAGUUUCCAUUUUGUAGUUGCAUACCUUUAUACAUCACCUUUUUGUAUUUUGAUGACUAUAGAUGUUAAAAGAAAAGAAUAUGAAUGAUGUAAAAGACAUUCUAUAUUUCAAUGCAAGAACUUAUAUUUUGAGAUCAUGUGAUAUGAAAGAGAAGAAAUGAUGCAAAAAUGUAAAUGAUUUCUUAAGUGUAAUUUACUACUUUCACUAUUGGCUAUCGCUUGCCCUCGUGCAAGCCAAUGUGUAUACUUCCGUUUUGUGUAAAAUUCAUACUUUAUUUGUACAGCAUGUUGAGCCUUGGGCAAACAGAGGAGACUGUCCGUUCGGCGUCUGUUUGACGGGUCCGAACUGGCCAAAUAGGACCAGGUUCGGGGCGUGACGGUAGCCCUACUAUAUAUAUAUAUAGAGAGAGAGAGAGAGAGAGAGAGAGAGAGAGAGAGAGAAUAGGGCUUCUGUGCUCUUAGGAGCACGGAGGCCUCCCUGCUCCUGAGUCGUUUUCGAUGAUGGAAUUUCCGAAUCGACGAUCGACUCCGUCAAACUUGAUCUAGCGUAUUUGAAGUUUGUAGAAAAUAAUUUUUGCGAUUUUUUGAUUUCAUUUACCUAGCAAUCGAAAGAAUUUAAAAUCAAUAAUUUUUAACGGCUGAAAAUAAAAAUUCUAUAAAAAGUGGCGAUAUAGCAUUAAAAUUGAAUACUUCUACACCGUUAAACUUGAAAACGACAGAUAUCAACCAUUAAAAAUUAUUGAUUUUGAAUCCUUUUGAUCACUAGGUAAAUGAUAUCAAAAAAUCGCAAAAAUUAUUUUCUAGCAACUUCAAAUACCCUAGAUCAAGUCUAACGGAGCCGAUCGUCGAUAAAUUCCAUCAUCGAAAACGACUCAGGAGCACGGAGCCCUCCUUGCUCCUGAGAGCACAGCCCUUCUCUACCUACUAUCAUAUAUACACACACACACACUACUCACCACUAUGCGUAUAUAUGUGUCAUAUUUAUAUAUCACACCACACAUAUGUUUAUAUGGUUGAUGUAUACACACAGCAUAUCUACUAUGUAUGUAUGUAUAUACCACACAACAUAGCUAUGAUACUGUAUGUAUGGUAAUAGUACAACAUACAUACAGACAUACAAUAAAUAUAUAUAACUUAUAUUAUAUAUAUAUAUAUAUAUAUAUAAAUUAUAGUAGUAUUUAUAUAUAGAACUUUGCUACUACUACUAUAAUAGUAGUUAAGCUCGUUGCUACUUUGAGUUUCGGUCGUAUGGAUGAACUAGAUAUUACUAGAAUAUAUGCUACUAUUACUUAUCAAUAGUACCAAGCUCUUUGGCUACUAUUGAGUUUUCGUCGUUGGGAUGAAUAGCAUGUGCGGUUAGGAUGAUAGUGAUCCCCGGCCUAAAAAUUAAUAGUGGUCCCCUAGGGUUGAGUGGGUGGUUGGUUUAAUAGUGUAUAAUCUAAUGCGUAAGACAAAGAAUCAAAGUAGAUCUAACGGUUGAAAUCAGCUCAAUAGUACCAAAGGGCUUUGGUACUAUCGAUAUAUGUUUAGUCGGACUCCGUGUACGUCUAGUACUUAUAAUGGGCGUGCGGGUAGUAUAGUACUAUAUAUGUAAUAUAUAUAUUAUUAAGAAAGAUGAGACGCCCGCUCCGCCGCCCUCAACGCUCCCGCCUCCCGCUUGCCGCGCCCGUCCCUUGCUCGCGCCCGCCUCCGCCGACCCGCGCUCGCGCGCCUCCUCCCCUCGGCCCCUGCCGACUCGCGCUCGCGCACCACCGCGCACCCCCGCGAAGCGAAGCAGUGCGGUUGCGGUAUGGCCGUGGGCGCUGGGGGCUGGGAGAUGGGUUGACUCUGGAGGUCUUCGGGGAUUGUUGCGCAAAGCGGACCUGCGUAUGAUGGUGGGUUACAGUGUCGUCGUUCCUGGGACGCGGGGUGGGACGCUUGGCGUUAUGUAUAUUGGACAGUCUGGGAGCUGUUGUGAUGUCUUAGGGUAGGAGUUUGGAGCAACACCAUUGGCUUAGAGUAGGCUCUCGAGGGAGGAGUUUGGCUGCGAAAGGGAUGCACUAGCUUGGUUGGCACUCCCAGGUAUUGGGCUUGCUCGUUCGGGACCGUCGAGGAGUCCAACGAGUUCGAUUCAGGGAAGUGUCCGGGGUAUAAGUCUCGCACGAGGGAGCUUGGAAAAUGCUUGGAGUUUGUUCGGUUGUUAGUAUUGCAACUUAGGUCGUAGUUCAAGGACGGUUGGGAAGGCUGAGCUCGGGGUGUGGCUACUUGAGCGCUGCCGUUUGGGAAUUUUUCAAGGCGAAGUAGUUAUAACCGUGCGUACGCCGCUUCUCGUUCCGUAGACUCAAGACUCUUUGAGAUUGGCCUGGACUUCUUGAUACCAAUGCAUGUAUUUGAGGGUCUCCUCGUGCUCUUUUCUCUGCUGAUAUUUCUCGUCAACCCUUACCGUCUCUGUAUUUAUUUGUUUUAUUCUUCAUACAGAAGUUCCCUUAGUCUUAAGCUCUUUUCUCCGUCAAGGAUUUGGUGCUCCAGCGAGGAAAGACAUUGGAUGACUUUAGGUUUGACGCGGUCGCUGAUUCACCGCUCGCGAGUUACUAAUCGCGGUCCUUUCUUGAUGGUACAACUUUGGCCAUCUGUUGCCUGUUUUAAUCCAAUCUUACUUCUAUAUGGGUUUUAUGCUUCGGAUCUAUAUGGUUUAUCCAGAUAUUAUAAAUUUUUUUUUACGCUUUGUGUUUAAGUCUCGCUGAGCCAAUAUAGUUGUAUCUAGCAGACGUUUUCAGGAUCAUAACGAUUUUUUCUUUCAUUUGAGAUUUGGAUUUUCGGAUAACUUUCUCUUCAUGGAGAUUUGGGAUCAGGCUUGGUAGGUUUGCGUCCUGGACAAGACUCAGGUAUCAGUUUAAAUCUUCAAUCUUCGUUGGCCAAACGAUGAUCGUUAAACGAAGAUUAUGGAAACUAAAUUUCGCUCACUGACAUUCAAGACCAUUCGCGAUAAAGAGUUCGGCCUAGGACACCUCCUGAGGCUUAUCUGCAAAUACUUCAUUAUGGAAAUGAUUCCCACAAGCUAGUCCAGCACAUCCAUGCACCAAGUGAGCUUCCAGCCACCAAUUGUACGAACACAUAUUCUAUCCGACGAAGCGGAUAGGUUUUUCAGUGAAUAAGAGAGUUAUUGCGACUUUGGAAAUUCGGAAAUUUGGUUAGGAAUUCCGGUUGGUUUUGACCUGACGGGGAAGAGAGGAUAUGGAUGAGAGUAAUGUUCGGACUGCGGCUACUAUUAGGAGCAAACCCCUUUCCAUGUGUGUUGCUACCAGAAUUGUGUUUAUUUGGCACUUUGAUCAUGCUCCUUUUCGUUAUUUCUAACCAUUCGGAUUAAAUACUAUUAAACCUCAGUGGAGAGUUACUUCUGAAUCCGUGUUAGGGAGAACAUCCACUCAACCUAAUCCACUAAUGGUCCAUGCUCGAGCCCUACAAUUCUUUAUAUAUUCUUAGAGAAUGGGUUUGAGAAAUUGAGGAGCAAAAAAGAAGGAGGUCGUUUAUUAGCAUAGGGUUCAAGUAGUAUUCCAGUUGCCGCCUGAAGAGCUUAUACUACCUAUAUUUAUAUACUAUAUAGUGCGGAUAUGAAUAGGUCAAUUGGGGGAGUAAUAAUAGGAGUGGAGGGCAUUACUCUUGACUGCUAUCGGCAAGUACUGGAGCCUUCCGGUCUUCCAGCUAACGUUUGGUCGAUGUUGCUGACUGUUUUCGAAUGCGAUCUUCAAGAUUCGGCUCUUGUAAAUAAAUGUUUGCUUCGAGGUAAGGAAUAAAUUGUGGAUUUCUUCAGUAGAUAUGGAAAAUAAAUUUUAUUAUUUUUCGGAUAACAAUUUGCAGUGACUUCGGCCAUGGCUCAAAGAUCAACAAACUUUCAAUGGGUCGGUAGUUGGCACCGUUUGCAAGUUUAACGGGUUGAUGGAUAUAAUGGACGAUGAAAAUUAUUUUUUAGACAGAAUAUGCAUUAUGUAUACUGUAUAUUAAAAUCAAGGGAUCUCGGAUUGGUGUUGUUCAAUCAGAGUAAGCAUUGACGAACCUUUUUAUACGUGUCACGUAUGCGGUGCGGAGAGUGAAUAUUCAUCGCAAUGUUUGGUAAGAUUUUGUGGGUUUUUGGAGGCGGUUGAUUUCUCGCCUUCGUCAUAGGGUUGGCAUUAUGUGCUAGGAAAAAUCCUUGAUCAGAUUGUAUUAAGAAUCAUUGAAAAAAUUUUUAUUAAUAUAUCUAGGUACCUUCAAAUAGCUGCUAUAGAAUCAGGGUUCUUUAGCGGAGCUUUGUACUUGGGAACGAAAUUGGAAAGUCGGGAUAAAAAACUCACACAUGGACUGAAUCGACGCGUGACAUCGCAAGCUAUUUGCUAAACAAAAAAACCAAAACGCUCUCCAGGAACCUUGAACCAGGAUAAUCGCAUUUCUACAAGGGUCAAAGGUUUAGUUAAGGAUGGGAAAAAAAGAGGAUGAAAGGGUUAGGUGUUUUCAUAUUAUUUUAAAUUAUGGGUCUAUUUUAAUGCUUAUGGUGAUAGGAGCAAAUGAUGUUAGUAUGCAUGUGAUAAAGCAUUUUGAGAUUGGGAAAGUCUAUAAGAGCAGUGACAGAUUAAUUUACCAGUGGAUUGUAGAUGUGUAGAAAGAGUUGAUGUAUAAUGAUUACUUUACAACAUUCAAUGUGUCUGAUGUGCAAUUACAACAUCAUACAGAUGAAAGCACGAAUUGAGCGAGACUGUCAUAAUUCUAUUCAUAAAAUAUGUUAAGGGAAUACAAUUUUUACAGUUUAACAGGUCUCGAGUUUGUGGUUGGGCUAGGUAGAUUGCUAUCCAUAAAUUGUAUUAUUACUGAUAGCCUGAUAGAGGGUCUUUGGCAUGCUUUUAGGGGAGGCAGCGAGAGGCCUCUCUCACAGUUUUAAAUGUGCCUCAAGCUCCGUUUUCGACAAUCGAUGUAGCUUUGCGAAUCGAAGCGAAUGGCUGCCAUAUCUGGUUUAACUUGGUUGUUAGGCGUAGUUGAUGUGUGAGGAAAUUAAAUUUGUAUAUAUGCGAACUUUUUUCGAAUGGGACAUUUUACUUAUGCUGAUAACGUGAAAGUGUGUAAUAAUGGUUAGCCGGUUAUCUGAUUAGAAAUAUAUAUCCGGUCUCAGUAUUAGGUGUAGAUGUCGUUAAAUUUGAGCUCUAUAAUGUUAUAUCGAUACUGAUGUUAGUAGAUCAUUGCCGCUGUUAACCCUUUAUGGCUUAUACAUCUAGAGAAUUAAAUGGGAUUCAUGUCUAUCAACCUAUUAUUUACUUCUCAUUGUGUGUGUACUUCUAUGUACCAAGCCGUUUAAACUGUGCUUUAGAAAGAUUUUAUGAUAAAAUACGGCUACAUUAGUUUUCAAAAUGUUCGAGCUUAUGUUGUAUGCACCUGUUUUUGAUCGUAGAAAGAAUGAAAUUAUUCGAAAAAAUCGCGCAAUAAUUUUCAUUUAUUUUGUAGCAUCAUAUGAUCAAAAUUAUUUUUCGACAGAAUUGGUUAUGAUCAUAGUUUCUAACAGAGCAAUCUGAUUCCGAUUGCAAGCUGUUUUUAUAUAUAUUCGAUAUAGUAACGGUAAAGGUGUUAUAUACAGUACUUACUCGAGGGCCUUCCAUGUUGAAGUGCUAUCCACGGAGACCAAAACACAAUCACUUUUAAUGAUAAAUAGUUCGAGUGUUUAGAGAAUAGAAUGGAAGAACUUGGGAUAAAAGUAUUUCACAUAACUAUAUUAGGUAUAUUAAUAUGGUAUACGAUCUAGUAAAAGGUUUAUUUUUAAAUUUUACAGAUAUUGUAAGGUCAUGUAAUCAGAUAGGUGACACCGCUGAAUUGAAAUGGUAUGGAUAGAUUGGAUCUUGAUUUUGAAAUUGGUUUUGUAAGGAGGAGAUUGGGGUAGAAUGGAAAUAAAGAAUUGAAUCAAAAAGGAUGAAGUUAGGUGUUGAGUUGAAGCGUGCUAUUAAACUAAAUAAUAAAUCGGUUUUUUUCAGUGUUGGAAUGCUGAUAUGAUGAUAGGGAGUGGGGCAUUCUUUAGAAAUUGAUCUUCUAUGUGGUUAAUAAAAUAGAUUCAGUAGGCUCAGAUUAUGAGGUGUGGAUUUAUAAAGAAGGUUAUGUUUGGAAGGUGGCUAGUAUGUUUUGUGUGAUUUGAUGUGGGGUUAAUACGAUUAUCAUAAUGUGCACGGCGUCUCUAUGCGGAAUUAUCCGAGUUUUUUCUGCGGGUAACGCAACAGACGCAUCUGUUAAUUGAUUUUUAUACAGGAGAAAAUUUCUCCGUAUUUUAUACGGAUGUGUAUUUUGUGGAUUGAGCUUUUUGUUUAUUUAUCAGGCGUAUCCUGUAAUCUCAAUGUAGCAAGUAACUACAAGCCAGUAGUAUCGAACUGCUGAUAGCUGAUCACAAAUGAGGUGCGGGUUUUGCAGACAGUCUCUCUCAGUCAAGGAAUUCUUUUGUCAACAUUCACAUUAUUUGUCUCACUGGUGCUGAACCAUACCAUACAAGUGGAACUCUUAUACUAUAUUUUGGUUAGCAUAUCUUAUUGAUAGUCCAAGAAUAGUGAGAGGAUCUCGGGGUGGACCAGGGGUCGAGAUGACGAUUUAGAGAUAUGGAGCGGUAAGCACUGUGUUGCUAGACCAAUUUAUUCCAAUGUCGGUUAAGGAUUCUUUCCCUUGAUAGAUCUUCCUUCACGCCUGUCAGAUUUCUAUGGUAGGUUCUUAUACUUUUCAAUAACCAUGCCAUCUCAACCACGUAGGGGGGCCACUCAUUGACCUGAGGUUUCACCGCCAACUAAUGACUCUUAAGAAUCCAUGAAAUGGAGCUCAAGAAGAUCUUUUUAUUGGUGGUUGGACUCUUGAAAUAGACUUAGGUUUUCGAAAGUUUUAAUGCGGAUUGCUCUGCAGUGGGUACAUUACAACACCAAUUGGAGGCUCGAGGAUCUACUUUUUUAUUUAGAAGUGCUUUCGUGUGUAAAUACUUUUAGUGUAGGAGAUAAUCCUCUACGCCGUCGGAAAUAAUACUUGCUAAAAUUAAUGGCGAUGCUUACGCGGUACUCUCUCUCUCUCCUCAUUGGGUAUUGUGGGGGUGCUGUAAUGAGAUCCCCGAGUUAAGACGCAUUACUUUUUGUGCGCCGCGAAAUGGCAUCACUGUCAUAGCGCGGAUAUAUUAAUCACGAAAGAGUUUUUUUACUUGUGGGAUAUAAGAAUAUCAAAGUAAAUGCUCGUACUUUUGACUUACGAAUUAAUUGCAAACUAAUUGUAGUGGGUUUGUAUUGUCAACUUUGUUGCCUUGUCCACGCAAAAUAUGACCUUUUUUUCUUGUUCGUAUCUUAACCUAACACAGAUGGAAAUGCAGAAUGGAGGGAGUGAUGGAAUACACACAUCGCCUCCCCUCGUCUCUCGCGCGGGGGUGAAUUGCUUCAGAUCGCAUCGCUCUCAUCCUAUCUUACGCUCUCGGCGCUUCACCUCUGUCGCUCCUUGAGGUCCCUCCGCCACUUCGUCUAGGGCCUCUCGCGCCGCAGAGUGCUUCGGUGUCCUGCUCAUGUCGUUUAGCGCGGACGUUCGGCUCCAUUUUUACUCCUCUCUUUGACCUGCGGCAACUUCCGCCUCACGCUCACAUUUUCGGUGUGUGUGCCCAGGGUCGCCUCUCUCCUCUUCGUCGAGGAGGUCGUUGAGUUGUAUGUCCGUUCGUCGCUUCGUCGAGCGCCUCUUUCGCGAUCCUUCCGCUGGGUCCCGGAGCUGACCCCAGCACGUAGGUGUGAUGUAUAUAGAGGCCCUCGCCGCGUCGCACUCUUCUCUCGGGUACCGUGUACAUUCUCAUUGGUUGUUGCUCGGUUGCGCCGGUCUCCCAUCUGUCCACCAUAAUAUGCCCAUAAAAUUCCUCCAAGCCGAGCGUCGCGCGGCAAUCCCUCUUCAAGUGCGCCGGGGUGGAGAAAACUGUGAGUUUAAGUCCUAGUUCGUAUUUCGAUCUUGAAACACAUUCAUUUUGAUGCUUUGGAGCCCCCAAAAUCCCUAAAGCGCUUUAGAGCUCCACUGCUUUACAAAAUGGCAGUGGGAAUUUGGGGAUUUUGGAGACUUCGGACUCUAAAGAAUCAAAGUGGUUGUGCUCAGAGGGCGCAUUCGAAAUGAGGCCUAAGUGUUAUUUCUUUUUUAAUUUAGUUUCUUUUCUAAUUUAUCACAUCAAGUAGCUUGUGAAUAAUGAUUUGAUCUGAUAAUGUAGGGAACUUUCAAUGAGGAUGUGUGAGUUGACUCUUGUUGACCAUGCAUAUCUUGUUUUCAAGUUUUUUUGGAAAAUUAGCUAAUUAGCUGAUACCAGCUAUUUCUUCCCUUUUUUGUUUCGUGCUUGUCGUUAUUGCUUUCCUCUCAAAGCAUUACUAUUGUUGAUGUCAUUUUACUUUUAGGCAAGUGUGUGACAAAAUUGAUGUCUGUCUCAUGAAAUAAAAUAUUCCUCAGUUCUAUAGAUCGAAUUUGUAACUCUUAACUCAAAUUGAAGGGAAUGGAGAUCAGACUUUGCUUGUUCCUUUAGUCUGAACAUGAUUUCAGUAGCCAUGAUAAAGUUCAACUUGUGUACGGGUCUUUAUCUUGGAUUUAGUUAAGUGUUAUUGUUCUUUGGUUGCUAAACAUGUUAAGUAUACUCAAAUGUGUGAAAUUGGCAUGAUGCUGAAUUCAUGUUUUGACAUGUGUUGACAAUAAUAUGUAAGUUUGGUCGUUUUACUUGAUUAAAUUUCUAUGCUAAACAAUUUCUUCGUCAAAUGACAAAAUCGUGUUAGUCUGCACAAAACUAUAAUGAUUUCCUUCUAUUUUCACUUGAGAAUGUUCUUUGCACAGGGAGCUCAUUCUGCUUCUUGCUAGGUUUGUUUAAGUUAAAUCACGAGCUAGAAACUAUUUCACCAGCCUCUUUGUUGAGUUCUUCAAGUUCUUACUUUAUUUGUUAACGAAUUUGCGGUCCAGAGACUACUUUGAAGCGAUCCUUGAACUAGGUACUAUGAUGACGGACCAAACAAAGUUUCUAUUGAUUAAUCAGAAAUAAUGUCCUUCAACUUUGAAUGGGUCCAGUAUUUGUGUUGCUUGAUGUAGAAGCAUGAAACUUGUUUAGAUGAAGUUACAUGAUAAAUGUCUAGCUGCGCAAUGGUUUGGUCAAUAAGAUUUCAAGAGGACUUUGGAACUUCUUGUGGUAUUUACUAAUUAAAAAACUAGUAGGGUUUUUCUGAAGAAUCUACUCAAAGAGCAUCGAUUUCUAUAGAAGGCCUAGAUAGGGCCCAAGUUUAUGAGUCUAAGUUUUGAAACAUAUUGUGAAUUAGAAGUAGUGGCAGAGCCUGUCAACCUCCAGAUUUUGAGAAAUAGUUUAUGCAAAAUGAAGCAAAAUAAUAGUUAUAUCUUAAAAUUUGCAUUCAUUUACCCAACUAUCCUUCCGCUAUUUGAAAAACAUGGUCGAGUAAGAAAGGUAGUUGAUGCUGAAUUUUAAUAGACCACACUCUUCUUUACAAAAGAUAGAUGCUUAAAUUAUCUGGAAAGCAUGAGAAGUAGGUGACAUAUUUAGGCCUUGUUUGGUUAUGCAUCAAUUUUACAUUUUUCCCCCCCUUUUUUUUUCUCUUUCACUUAAUUCAAUGCUUUGCGUAGUAUGAUGACAUAUUGUUUGCAAUCUCUGCAACAAUGGUGUUUGUUUUUUAAAAAAAAUAGUAGGAACAAUUAUCUCUAAGGCCUUCCCCUCCUCGGCGAGUGCUACGAGCACAAGGGAUCCGUCGAGGCUGCACGGAGCNUUCUAAAGAAUCUACUCAAAGAGCAUUGAUUUCUAUAGAAGGUCUAUAUAGGCCCCAAGUUUAUGAGUCUGAGUUUUGAAACAUAUUGUGAAUUAAAAGUAGUGACAGAGUCUGUCAACCUCCAGAUUUUGAGAAAUAGUAUGUGCAGAAUGAAGCAAAAUAAUAGUUAUAUCUUAAAAUUUGCAUUCAUUUACCCAAGUAUCCUUCCGCUAUUGAAAAACAUGGUCGUAUUAAAAAGGUAGUUGAUACUAAAUUUUAAUAGGCCACACUCUUCUUUUGAAAAGAUAGGUGCUUAAAUUAUCUGGAAAGCAUGAGAAGUAGGUGACAUAUUUAGGCCUUGUUUUGUUAUGCAUCAAUUUUACAUUUUUUUCCCCUUUUUUUUCUCUUUCACUUAAUUCCAUGCUUUGCGUAGUCUGAUGACAGAUUGUUUGCAAUCUCUGCAACAUUGGUGUUUGUUUUUUUUUUUUUAAGUAGUAGGAACAAUUAUCUCUAAGGCCUUUGCCAUCCUCGGCGAGUGCUACCAGCACAAGGGAUCCGUCGAGGCUGCACGGUGCACCUUCGACCCUGCCAUUUGGAUCGACGCCUGCUUGGAAUUGGCUUGGCAGGACCUGCAGAGGCUAUCCGGAUCCAGAGGCAGACUCCCACAUAAGGUUAAUUGUUUGAUUGAAUCUUCCAUCAUAUGUCAUUCCAAUCUUAGCAAGUUGCAGGUAUUGACUGCAGAAAUUUUUUUGUUGUUCUACCAACUAAUUAGCCACCACCUUAUUAGGAAAGUGCUUAAUUGAAUUAAUAUGCUUGAAGUCCUUUUUCCAUUGUUCAACAAUGUAUUUUGAUAGAAUUUCAACCAUACCUUAAUAAUUUUACACCGAUAGCACAUGCCUAUCUAAAAUAUCCUUGAAUUGAAAAUAGCAACAAAAUAUAGCUAAAUUCAAACUCAUUUUCACUGUAAAGAACCUCAUAGCUCUUUUGCUAUAAGGCUAAACCAUCUUUCAUUCUUGUAUGGUCUAUUAUCUCAAAGAAGGAAACUAAUCCAACAACUUUCACUAGCGAAGGGGUGCAAUAGGUCAAAGUCUUGAUCUCUUCUUGGAAUGUUAAACAUUUUCAAUAUUGUGUAAAUCUUCAUGUAAAAUUGCAUUACUAAUUGAAGGCCUAUACUCUAUAUGCAUAUGAGAAAAAAGAUCUGAUUUUUUUAGUUUGUAGUGUUUAACGUAGUGAGCUCUUUUUAUAAAAAAAUUUGCUUUAAUAUAUCCUAUAAAAUAUAUUUGUCACCUAAGAAAUGUUGUUGGUUGAUAUUUUUACGAAAACAAGAUUACUUAGCAUUUUUUUUAUUUGGUACUUUUCUACAAAUCCUAGAUUGCCCUUAAAUUUUUGUUUGAGACGUGAAGCUAGCUAUACAAUUAGUGUUUAAUUCUAGAUAAGCUCUAUCAUGUCAAACAUUUGAUUCACAAGUAAUAUUAGACUGCUAAAUAAUAGUUUUAAAUAUUUUAUGAAUACAAUUAUUCCUAACCAACACUAUUGAAGCAUCAAAUCAAACCACAUUGAGCCAGUUCAACCAACUUACUAAAUCAAAAUCAAUUCGGAAUCAAGAGGACAACCGAACCACACCAAACGAUCCAACUGCACCAAUCACAACUUGAUAGUUUUCAAAUUUAUAAAUUUGUAUUCUUGAGAGUGUAUGGUUGUAACCUCCUCCACAAUAUAGGAGUAACCUCCUCCACAAUAAGUGUGAGAAGUUCUCCUUUAGUUGUAUAAGUUUCCCAAUCGGACAUUAAUGAAGUGUAUGAGCUUCCAAUUUCUUUAAACACCAUCAGCAUUGUUACCGGCUCGACAAGCUCAUUGGUAAUAGUUAGUCAAAGCGAAAGUUUUGGAUAAGGAGCUUCAAAAUUCUACAGUGAGGAGAGCAAGAUCUUCUUGGUAUGAUAAAGCUUAUUAUUUUGCAUAUUUUUCUAUAUUUUUCUUCAAUUUUGUAGUAUUGUUUUCCUCUUUAUUGACAUAGGAAGUCGUAAAAUUUCUUAAUUUUAAUUUGCAAAUAAACUAUGAUCUUUCUUUGUUAUUAAUUCUUUUCUUGUAUUGGUUGUAGAUGAAUUCCUUUCAUAAUUGCAAUUGAAUUUAAAAUAACCAUAUAAUUAAUAAUCACGGCAAAUUAAAUUAUGAGAAUCAUCAUUUAUAAUUAUGGAUUCUAAUUGAUUUGUUAUUUUUAAAUUAAUUUGCAUAUUUUUGAAAGUAAGUGUGUUAAUUGAAGUGCUAAAUUUUUUAGUAAGAAGUAUUAGUGUCUAGAUAUGAAGUUUAGAAUAGUCCAUUAUUUAUGAUUUUUGUUGUUGGGACUUGUUAAGGAUUUUAUAGGUUGGCGAAUUUCGUNACAAUGGACAAAAGUUGGAUAAGUAAGCCGAGAAAUGAUAAUGCGUACAUUGAUGGUGUUAGAAAUUUUAUUAAAUUUGCUAUAGAAAAAUCAUCGAUAAAUGGCAAGAUCUUAUGCCCAUGUCGAAAGUGUUACAACAAUUCUUCUUUUGUCCCAAUUUUGGACGGAAUUGGCUGAUAAACUUGUAUACCAAAUAAACGUCGUUUUAGUUUACGACGUGUUAAAUAAUCGAAGUUUCAAAAAUGAGUCAGCGGCCGCUUCUCUACAUUGGGCCGUGAACCGGGCUAUAUGCUCGAUCGUAUUCUCGGUCUCAUCGCCCGAGAACUUGUCAAACUUCGGCAUUUUUCAGUUUUCCGGAUACGGGUGCUCCACGUCGAUGUUCGCGGGAUAAGGAGAUCUAAACACAGACCGCAUUGCCGGCCUUACGCCAAUUCCGAAAGUAUUUCGGAUGGCUUCUUCAAUCCGUGCAUAUAUUUCAUUAUUGUUCCCCUGCAAAGGAACCUGUGCUUCUACUACAUUCGGUCCUUGCGGUAGACCGAAAUUCGGUAUAAUAGGGUUAAUUCCUUGCAUAUUCGGAGCCUGCACCCAACCCUUACGUCCAUGUUUUGGGGCUAGUAAGCUAGUAAAGGAGGUAAACCCAAUGCCAUCUCCGACUGCAGGCUGGCGUUUAUAUUUGCCGGCCUAUAAGCAGCCUGAAAAUGUGCCAUUUGCGGUUGCGCCUGUGAGACCGCCGGCGUGAUGGGAUUUUGUUGCACCGGCGCAGUUAGCGGCCCCUGUUGCCCCCCGUAAGGUUGCUCGUUUUGGGUAAAUAACUGUCUGAUUCGAACAAUAUUUUCAUUGUAGGCCAUGAUGGCGGCCAGCACCGCGUCUAGUCGAGCGGUACUUUGAUGGAUAUUUUGAUCUACAGUUUGCAGGACUCGGGUCAUCAGGCCGAGUGCCUGAGUUAGACUUGGCUCUUGAUAAGCUACUAGUUUCUCCUUCAACUGGCAAAACUACUUGGCGUUCACCAGCAUUGUCUAAAUUGCUAGGUUGAUCACUCCCAGAAUUUCUAGGAACAACCCUAUUGAGCAAAUUCAUGGCAUUAUUAUCAGCCAUGAUUUCAAUAAAUAAUAAAAAUUACCUCAAACGGGUCCCACCGGGCGUGCCAAAAAUUGUUCGUGCCGAAAAUCUUCGAUCCUCGACCCGAUCAAAGGUCCUCCUUAGGGAGCUUGUCGGGAUCGAAACCGCAUAUGGUACUGACCCUCAAAGUUAGCGCCCUUCGAUCGAUCAAGCGAUUCGGCUGAUGAGGGAUCGGAUCAGCCGAGUUCGAAGACUCUACAGUAAAUCCGGUUCGGCCGGAUGAGCCGAAUGUACGGACCAAGCAAGAGCUGAAGUCGGCCAAGGAGCUGAAUGGCUAAAGAACACAGGAAUUGAUCGGCUUGAAGAGCCGAAUGCCUUUAUAUAUUAAUAAAGCAGAGUGUGCCCGAGGGGCAUACAGACUCUGAAAAUCUAAUCUACAACAGAGUGUGCCCGUGGGGCAUACAGACUCCAGAGAUCUAACUUAAAAGCUACUCCUAGGAAAGCAGUAAAUGCGGGUAAAAAAGAUUACAUGUAGACUACUCCUAGAAAGCGAUAAAUGCAGGAAAGGAAAGAUAUGAAAAUGCGAUGGUCUUUUCGUUCAGGGCAGAGAAAGACCCCUAUUGCAGGAUUCGAAAUUACUAUUUAUAGUAAUAUCAACCCACAUUAUUGGUUGGUUGAAAGUAGUUGGGGGAGUGGCUGUAACCAUGAUCGUGGAAGUUACGCCCCACUUCUCAACCGUUCCCGCCUAAACGGUCUCAACCUUCAGGCACUGUAAGGACUGAGAUUUUUGCAGUGUAGCUAAACUCUCAGUUGACGAUGUUUUUGUGUGUAAUUUAAUUACAAAAGCACUCGUCUAGUUUCGGGCGAAAUCGAGUUAAAACGGAAAUUCUACGCGAUUUCCAAGUUUCACUUAAAGUGAAUAGUAACUCGAUUUUCCGGAGAAGCCACGGUGAGAAGUUGGCUUCUGGCUCGUACCGGACUCUGUUUAUAGCAGUCCAAUAGCUCGUUUCGACCGGGUCAGCUAUUCUGGAACUAAUGGCGCUGACGGAUUUUGAGUUUGACGCACGGAUUUCGAGAAAAUCCAAAAAUACAUGUUUUAUAUGUAUUUNCCUAGCACAUCAUGGCUCAAGUUGAAGCUUGUUUUUAGGUUAGAACACUUCUCUUACACUCUAUUUGAGAGAUUUGCUAGAGAUUUGGAAGAAACCUAGUUUUUGAAAAAUUAGGAUUUAUUUUGGGAUUUUGUAAGGACUGAGAUUUUGGUAGUGUAGCUAAACUCUCUGUUGACGAUGUUUUUGUGUGUAAUUUAAUUACAAAAGCACUCAUCAAGUUUCGGGAGAAAACGAGUUAGAACGGAGAUUUUACGCGAUCUCCAAGUUUCACUUAAAGUGAAUAGUAACUCGGUUUUUCGGAGAAGCCACGGCGCGAAGUUGGCUUCUGGCGCGUAUCGCACUCCGUUCAUAGCAGUCCAAUAGCUUGUUUCGAAUAGUUCAAUUAUUUUGGAACCGAUGACGCUGACGGAUUUUGGGUUUGAUGCACGGAUUUCAAGAAAAUCGAAAAAUACAUGUUUUAUAUGUAUUUGUGUGUCACUUUGUCUGUAGGAAAAGAGAACGAAUUUCGUCGCGAAUCCGUGACCGAUCGAGGCGAAACGAAAUCGUAGGUUUGUUGCCUCAGACGUGCUGAUCGCACUGGUGCGAUCUAUUCGCAAAUUUGACAGACAGAUCUGCGGAGAAAAUGCGUUGUUCGAGGAGAGGUCGGUGAUGGCAAAACAGUAUUCUCGCAAAAGUUGUGACAUUUUAUGAACCGUUUCGCGUGAAACGCAUGUGGAGGUGCAUUUGCGCAUUUUGCACGCGCUGUGAAGGACUCAAUAUUAAAUAUUGAGUUUUGAUGUGUUUUUCUGCAAAAUGGAGCUAUAUGUAUUUAAGUCCUCUAGGGUUUCACCUUGGAACCGAACCCUAGAUGAUCCAUAGCUAACCCUUGUCGCCCCUAGCCACCUUCACCUCACUCCCCUGCCCUAGCCGCACACCCCCGAUCGCUGCCGGCUGAGCCCGGCCACUGCCGAGCCAUCAUCUUCCUCCCUCUCCAUCUCUCUCUCCAUUUCUCUAUUUUCUUCUCAGGUUAGAGCCCAGGCCGAGGCUGCAUUGCCUCCAGUCUCUUCCUUGGCAUCUUCCCGGAGCCCCGGCGACCCUCCCCGCCGGCCGCCGCCGCCCCGAACCGCCCCUAGCGCCGCUGCUGCACCCUGCAACUGGCUGGGCCGAGCCCUGGCCGAGGCAAGCCUACAGCCUUUCCCGAGUGCCGCCGCCACAUUGGACCACCACCUGCCGACUUCUCGGACCCCUGGCGUCCCUCCCCGCUGGUCGCCGCCGCCCCUGCGGGCCGCCACCGCCAUCUUGGCCAGCCGCAGCCGCCCCAGACCCGCUCGAGUCGAGGCAAGGUCGCGACUCCUUCCCUGCGCCGCCGCCACUCGGGGCCGCACCCGAGGCACCCCUCCGGCCUCCAGCAACUCUCCGCCGCCGUCCCGGAGCUCCCCAGCUACCGCCGUGGCCACCAUUGCCCAUGGAACCAGAGCCCUAGCUGGUACGGGGUCGGUUUGCUCCGCCGUCGCCGUCGCCGCCGCCGCUCUCCGCGACUAACCGAGGUGAGCAGUGUGCUCCUUCCUUCCCCCGUACCCAUUUCUGGCCCAUGCGCACCCUGUCGUGCCGCCGGAAGCCGGCCGGAGCAAGUUUGCUCCGGCCAAGCCCGAAAUAGGGCUUAGUUGAGUGGGUUUGUUGUUCUGAGCUUCCCGAGGCCUCCCGAUCAAUAUGGAAGGGAGCACGAUGUCAUGGCAAAUCGUUAAUCAUCGUGCUCACCUUGGUUUCUGUCGGAAAGGCCCCGUUCUGCUAUUUUGGCGGUGUCGACCCUAUAGAGCCUUUUUGGCUGCUGUUUCAGGUUUGCGCGUGUUUUUUCGGCGAUCCGAGGCUGUCCCGAUGCCUGCGGAGGUGAGCAUGGUGAUUGUUGGUCAGUGCCGAUCACAGUGCUCACCUCACUUUGGUUCAACGGAUUCUGGUUAGUUCUGUUCGGCACGAUUUUCCCCGACUGCGCGCUGUUCACAGAAAUUUUGGGUUGCUCCCACGCCUCCCACAAUGAGUCGUUGUGCUCCGGAUCAUGAGCACGGCCUCCGACGCAUCGAGACCUGUCAGUACCUGUCUCGGCAGACCUUGGAAGUCCUCGGUUUGCGUGAACGAGCCACUUGAUCGCUCAAAUUACAUAAAAUGAUAGGAUUUUAUGUAAUUAGAGGGACUUUGUGCAAUUGUGCACCUUAGGGCUACUGUGGGCAGUGUGUAUGCAUGUGUAGUGACCUUUGAAUUGAUUGUCCAUGAUCCGAUAGCCUUCACGGAAAUUAAAGAGUCGAUUUUGGUGCGUUUUUUGGCAAAAUUUGCCGAAAGAACGCGGUUUCAGUUCGAAUUUCUUCCGACGUCAUUUGGUUACCCUGUGAGUUGUCGCUAAGCCUUGUUGGCUGGUCAACCACCAUCACAUUGUAGGUUUGGUGAUGAUAGGUGAGCGACGGUGGGUUCCGGUGUCGAAAUAGACACUUCCGGGAACCCGGAUCCGAACAAUUAUCCGACAAUAAUUGUUCGGUUGUGUUACCUUGUGUUUGCUGCCAAGACAUUCAAAUUGGUGUGUUUUGUGGCAGCGGGUGACUCGUGGUAUGAGUCGGUGAGUUUCGGGACACUUAGUGGGCCCCGACAGCAUCCCGGUGUGGUUUUCGGGACUUCCGGUGAGUUACGAUGAUCGGUUUUGGAAAAUCGAUUACGGGGAUCUUAUGUGGGGGGUUUAUGAGUCUCGUACUUUGGGUUAGUGGUUUGGAUACUGACCUGGUGGAUCUUCUUAGGUCCGGUAGACUCUGUGCGUACCUAGUGUUCCGACGCUACAGUGACAUGUGGGUGCUUCAAGCUGGUAGUCGGUGAGAUCGUUUCACCCUUCCUCUGUUCUUUCAUUCAGUAUCAUAGCCUCUACAUGUCAGUUAUUUGUUUAUCAUUGUUUAUCGUAUCUCGUUGAUUGCAUUUGGAUAGUUGUGGAUAGACAUAUAGAGUAGGCUUGCAUUUGUAUAUUGCACCUCUGUGGACCUUGGGUCCAGGCAACACAUCGACUCCUUUGUCAUGUGUUUCGAUCUGGUUGAUCGUGGUUCGGCGUUGUACGCUCUUAUUUCUGGCUUCGGCCUAGGCACCGGCUUCAGUCGGUUUUUGUUUGAGCAUACCAGCAUGACUUAGUCACAACACUUGGAGGUAUUCAAGACACCGGAUCGGUUUGGCCACCGAUCGGAGGUGUACCUAUCCGGAUAGAUCGUCCUGUGGGGAGGAUGGAUCAGGUCGGUGCAGAUUAGUAACAGGCAGCGCUUGAGGUCUGUGGACCGAUAUAGCAGGCACCAGAUUGGGUACAGUUUUGGUUUGUUUACAUUGAGGCAUUCUCGUAUUGUUUCUAUACAGUAGCAGUUUACUUAUUGUUUCUUAUCAUAUCUGUUAUAGCUACUGUAGUUCAUUUUCGUAUAUCAGCAUAUAUAUUCGUUUACCAUAUCUCCUUUGGUUUCCGGUGAUUACGGCUUGCCUUCGUGGCUUUGUCGUACCCACUGGAAAACUAUGGUUGCGGUUUCUCAUUUCCUAUUCCCCCAGGGUGACAUGGACGAGGAGUUGAAUUUUGGGCUCGACGGGAGGACGAUCUAGCUAGUCUGGUAUAGCAACCGUCACCCUAGUUACUUUCAUUUCGGCACUUAGUAGUUUUAAUAAUAAAUGGUUCAGUUAGAUGAUCAUUACUGAUGUUUGAAUGUUUGAAUGAGUUGGUUUUCCUCCUAUGCAUGAAAUUGUGGAUCUGAGAUUAGAGAUUUGCGGAUUCGUGAUUUUGGUUUUAUGGAUAGUUGAUUCUCGAUUUAUAUAUUUACGAAUUUAUACAUUGUGGUUUUCUACCCCUUGAGGUAGUCGAUUUUCAAAAUAGAGUUUUCGUGUGGAAAAUAGUUUUUACAAUGUUUUCAAAUUGGUUUUUGUGAAUGUUUGAAUUAGAUUUUUAAAAGCAAAGCUUUCGGGUGGGGAGCACUUUUAAUAGGAUGACUGUUGUAUUAUUCAUUGCAUCAUCCAGCGCCUAAGGAGUACUUAGAGGUAUGCAUUAUCUCUAAGGAUUGCUAGCUGUAUGAAAAUGCAUGGCAUGAUGAUUGUUGAUUGGUAAAUAUAGAUUGUGGUUGAGAUUCUGAUGUACUGUUGGUAUGCCGUGCAAAUACAAAUGAGACUCUAUCCGAGUGGGUAGAGGAAUUUUGUAUUUGUGGUAGAUCUGUACGACACGUGGGCCAAGUUGGAGAAAAAAAGGCACGUUUUUCGCAACUCUGUUUUAAAAAGGCUUUUAAAAUCGGCCCGGGGGCGUGACAGGCACCUUAUUACCGACUCCUGGUGUACCACGUGUCCUUAUUUCUUUGGCUCAUACGUAGGGUAAGGUCGGCAUAUUAAUUUUAAUUUUGGCAUCAACACCAAGAUUAAAAAGAAUUUAUAUGUCAUCUAAAAUUGCUUCAUUAAUGAGAUGGCAUGAUAAAGGUCGCAUUAAAUAUGGACUCUUGAGACACCCAGCAGAUGGCCUCGCGUGGAAAUCAUUUGAUGAUCAUUAUCUUGAUUUUUCUUCUGAUCCUCGUAGUGUUAGACUUGGUUUUGCUAGCGAUGGAUUCAAUCCUUUCCGAACAAUGAGUACCACUUAUUAAAAGCACUUGGCCGGUGAUAUUGAUUCCUUAUAAGUUACCUCCGUGGUUAUGCAUGAAAUAAUCAUCAUUCAUCCUAUCAACAGUCAUCCCUGGUGAAAAAGGUCCAGGUAAUGAUAUUGAUAUUUAUUUGCAACCUUUAAUAGCGGAGUUAAAACAAUUAUGGAAUGGUGUUGAUGCUUUUGAUGCUUCUACUAAGCAAAGCUUUAUCAAGAAAGGAGCUUUUAUAUGGGCUAUUAAUGAUUUUCCUGCCUAUGCUAAUUUAUCCGGUUGGAGCACAAAGGGGCGUGUUGCUUGCCCUUGUUGUGGGGUUUCAAUCGAUUCACGUUGGUUGAAGCAUAGUAAGAAGUUCUGUUAUAUAGGCCAUCGUCGAUGGCUAGAACCAAAUCAUUCGUUUCGAUAUCAACAAAAUCAAUUUGAUGGUACUAUAAAGUUGCAUUUCGCUGCAAUAUCACCAUCUGGAAUUGAUGUCCUAAGGCAACUAGAGGGCACAAGUUACAAAUAUGGCAAAGGCUCAAAAUCUUCUAAGAAAAGGAUAAGAGAGGAAGUUGCUAGUUCUGCAAAUCAAGUAGUGGAUGAAGUUGGCACUACAAAUCAAGUAAGAGUGUUUGAAGAUGCCGAUGAGUUCAUUGGGGAUGGCCAUGAUUUUCAUGAAGUUGGGAAUGAUAGUGAUCCAUUAGAUACAUCAACACAAAGUGUAGUGAAAAAUUUUUGGAAGAAAGAAAGCAUCUUUUUUGAACUGCCAUAUUGGAAGUACAAUCUUCUUCGACAUAAUUUAGAUGUCAUGCAUAUACAGAAGAAUGUUUGUGAUAACUUUAUUGGAACCUUUUUGAAUAUGCAUGGUAGGACAAAAGACAAUUUGAAUGCACGAAAGGACCUAGAGGAUAUGGGCAUACGACAUGAUCUACAUCCCAAGUUGCAAUCGAACAACAAAACUUACAUACCUCAUGCAAUCUACACUAUGUCUACACAAGACAAAGUAAAUUUUCUGACAGUUUUAAAAAAUAUUAAAGUUCUAGAUAGGUACACAUCGAAUAUCUCAAGAUGUGUAAAUCUAAAAGAACGGACGCUUUCAAACCUCAAGAGUCAUGAAGAGUCAUGAUGGUCAUAUUUUACUGCAGGAUAUUCUUCCAUUAGCUUUGAGAGCAUCUAUGUCAAAACAGAUUAUCACAAUUGUUUCGAAACUAUCAUUAUUUUUCAAAUCAAUAUGUUCCAAAUCUCUUGAUCCAAAAGCUCUUGAUCAGUUGGACUCAAGUGUUGCAUUAACACUAUGCCACAUUGAGAAAAUAUUUCCCCCUAGUUUUUUCACUAUCAUGGUUCACCUUAUUAUUCAUUUAGCAUCGGAGGCCAAAUUAGGUGGUCCUGUACACUACAGAUGGAUUAUCCCAUUGAAAGGUGAGAAAUUUAAAUCUAAAUAAUUUAUGUAUCAUUAGUUUAUAUAUUUGACCAAUUUAUUACUAGACUAAGCAAAUUAACAACAUAUAUAUUAUGUUACAAAAUUUUAUUAUGCUAGGUACUUGGUACGGCUAAAAUCUUAUAUACGUAACAGAGCUAAACCAGAGGGCUCGAUUGCUGAAGGAUACAUUGCAGAAGAAUGUUUAACAUUUUGUUCAAGAUAUUUGGAAGGUGUGGAAACAAUAUUCAAUCGACCACAAAGAAACUAUGAUAACAUAGAUAAUGCGGAAGUUUAUAUGUUUUUAUCCGGUGGGCGAGUAUUAGGGAAUUUCGAAAGCAUUGUGCUGGAUGAAAUCUCAUUAGCGCAAGCACAUCGCUAUGUGCUACUUCAUUCUGACAAAAUUUCUUCAUAUCGUAGGUGAAUACCAUUUUACUAGUUUUAUUCAUAAUAUUUAUUUUUUUAUUGUACAAAUUUGAGUCCACUAAAUAGUUAGCCAUUAACAUAAUAUAGAGAAUUUUUGGUGGCUCAACGAAGAGCUAAUCGUGCGAUUCGAGCUAAUCAAAGUAUUGAGCAAAAUUGGCUAGUAGAAAAAUUUUCUGAAUGGUUUUAAGACAGGUAAACAAUAAUUAUUGAAUGAAAUGUUAUAUAUAUUUUACUAUAAAAUAAUUACUUAACCUAUUCUUGAUCAUAGGUACCAAAACUACAUGAGAGCAAUUGUUCAGAAGAAAUCAUUGCAAUGGCAAGAUGUCCAAAUAAUAUUACAAAAAGAUUUAGUGGUUUUAUCAUAAAUGGAUUUCGGUUCCACACAAAGGAUCGUGAAAAGUUUCGUAAGACUCAAAAUGGUGGAGUUAUGGUAGAAGCAGACGAGCAAACUUAUUAUGAUGCACUCACUGAUAUUUUUGAGCUAGAUUAUUUUGGGAAGUUUAAAGUUGUCUUAUUUCGUUGCGAUUGGUGGAUGUUAGGUCACCAAGGAGUUUAAAGCAAGACAUGAAUGGAUCAACUCUUAUUAACUUUUCCAAGCUGAUACACACUGGGCAAUUUUUGAAAGAUGACCCAUUCAUAUUCUCAUCUCAAGCAAAACAAGUGUUUUAUGUGCAAAAUCCUAGAAAUGAAGAUUGAAAUCACGUUAUCAUCACAAAACCAAGGACACGCAACGAAUAAACGAGUAAUGACACGUGCUAAGGAUGUAUGGAACUUGCCUAAUGGGCAAAGAAUUGUAAUUAAAUGUAACAAAUUUGGGCAACCAGUGAAGAAAAGGGGGUGGCAUCCUUGGAGGUUGGCUUGGGACUCUUUCACGAAAAGGAAAUUUCUGCUCUCUUAGCUACAAUAGUUGGAAAAAUGUGCCUAACACAGUGAAAACAGAACUUAUUCAACUAACUCGGAUAAAACCAAUUGUACUAAUCUUUUAGUAGCACAAAAUUUAUGUAUACUCAAUGGUUGCUGUAAGAGUUAAUUUUUUUUAUGAUUAGUAGCGAUCUACAUCUUGUUCUAUUAAUCUCAAUAGCUGCUGUAGGAGUUAAUUUUUUUUUAUGAUUAGUAGUCAUCUAUAUCCUGUUCUAUUAAACUUACCGUAUAGUUAUUAUUAACAAUGAUCAUUGUUGAGGUAUUACUAGAUCAUUUUGUAGGUGGAACCACUUGUGAACGAAACAGGGUGCAAUUUUUUUUUUUUAAGCGACAAACUUCAUUUAGUUAUAAAGUUCUUAGUAUUAUAGAUGUAGUUUGCAACUUAAUUUUCAGUUAGUGUUUAAAACUUUUAUAUUCCUUUUAAAAUUUUUUAUGCCUAUAGUUUAAAAAUAUCUCAAGGAGCUUAAAUAUCAUGAUAUUUUUCAAUAAUAGAUUAAAAGUAGUUCAAUAUUAAUUUUUAAUGAGUUUCAGUGUUUAAAUUUUGACUACAUUUUUUUUUUCUUGUAGACUAAAUUUAAACUACCAAUGGACAAUAAUGUCAAUGCAUGGAUAUUAAAAUCAGUUAGUUGAAAAUGAAAGAAUUAUAAAUGUGAACUCAAAGCAAAAUAUACGAUAGAGGACUACACAGAGCAACAAUUAGUGAAUGUUGUUCCCAAAGAAAUUGUGCCUCAACAGUGGGUAGACCUUGUGCAUUACUGGUUUUCGGAAAAAAGUCAGGUAGAGCAUUUUUAUACAUUAAAUGGUUAUUCCUUGAUGUUACAAAUUUUAUGGUUCUUAGCACAAUUUUUUUUUUGACAGUUAUAUUCUCGGAUAGGGCGGGCAUCACGUGCAAAACAUACAACUCCUCACACAACAGGCUCUAUGUCUUUUGCUAGGAAAAGACAAGAAUUUGUAUGCUAAUUUUAUUAUUACUUUAGUUUUUAUAAAGUGUAGCUUUUUAGUUCCUUUUACCCUGAUAUAUACUUGGUUUGGGUGCAAUAUUGCUCUAUUAGAUUACACUUUUUGUUUUUUAUUCCUAAGCUGUUAAGUAGUUUUAACUUGUAUAUUGGGACUAAUUUAUUCACUGCCAUUAAUUACAGGAAGAGAAAAAUCAAAGAGAACCUAGACGUAUUGAAUUUUUUGCAGUUACUCACAAAUCAAAAGAUGGGAGUUAUAUUAAUACUGCAGCAAGUAACUUCAUAGUGCGUAGUAAAAACACAUUACUAUGAAUACAUAUACACACAAAUAUAAUUUUGUAUAGUUGAAUUAAGUUUUCUUUUAUUACUCUAUGCAGAGUGAUGCCAUGGUAAAAGUGAAUGCUAGUAUCACUUCAGAAUCUUCAGCUUCAGCUAUUGAACUGGAGAAUGAUGCUUUCAUUCGCACGAAGGGAAAAGAUCGAUAUGGUCUAGUAAGAGGGUAUGGGAUUGGUGUAGUGCCAACACAAGUAUUUGGGCCAAAAGCAUAUAUUGGAAAUGUUCGAUAUGAUGAUAAUAUGGAAGAAGUACAAAGAUUGAAAUCAAAGAUACAACUGAUGCAAGAUACGUACGAGUCAAGAUUGGUUGAAAUGCAAGAAGAAUAUGAAUCGAAAUUAGACAUGAUACAUCAAAAUUAUGAAUCACGCAUGAGUGGGAUGCAAUCUCAGUUGAAUGAAGUCACCUCUAUUUUGUUAAACUUUGUCAUACCGUCUGAUAUUUUAGGUGCCGAGCCGAGGGGUCGUACAUCAACUUAGAGAAUUUUGUUUAGCUCCUCAUUUUGAGCUUUACUUGCAUUAAAACUCAAAUAGUUUAUCAUAUAUAUGUUGUUAUGUUGAUCAUUUUGGCUUUUGUAUUUAGUGAAAUUGUUAUGUUGAUCAUUUUGGGUUUUGUAUUUAGUGAAAUUGUUAUGUUGAUCAUUUUGGGUUUUGUAUUUAGUGAAAUUGAAACAGUUCCGUAUCACCUUUUGUUUUAAAUUUGAAUUGUUCAAAUGUUAACUAGUUGACUUGUGGAAUUGUUUUGAAUUCUUCUCAUAAAUUUGCUUAUGUAUAUUUUUUUUUUCCUCUGGAUGUUUGUUCUUUUUAAUGCUGCAAUUUGUAAAGUAUAUAGUUUGCAAGUUUUAAUAAAAUGUCCAAUGAAAAAAAAAUUAAUCAAAAUUUUAAAAAAUAUUUUAAAAAUUGUUUUAUGCUAUUUUAAAUGCUUGAAAAAUAUAACCAUGGUAUUGAGAUGACGACGCAUGAAAGCGCCGGCAAAAAUGCCAACGCUAUAAAAAGUUGCUAUAUUUUUAAAAUUUUUAUAAUAUUUUGAAACUUAGGAACGCAUUGAAGCAUCGCCAAAAUUAAAUUGACGACGUAUGAGAGCGUCGGUAGUAAUUAACCAACGCAUGCAUAAAGCGUCGCCAUUUCGUUACCGACACUGCAUUUAACGACGCACUUGCCGACGCUUUUCUUUGCGUCGGUGGACAUUUUGCCGACGUUUAAGAGCGUCGUAAAGUUUAAAAAAAGGGGUAGGUAGAAACCCUUUUUGUUGUAGUGUUAUAUAUAGUAUAUUAGCCUAGUUCUAUAUAUAUAUAUAUAUAUAUAUAUAUAUAUAUAUAAUACUUAUAUAUAUAAAGCUUAAGGGGCGUAAUGGAGGAUCAAGUGAUGAUACACUUACGAAUUAAUUAUGAUGAAUCAAAUUUAAAAUCAAGAGUCUACCAAUUAUGACUAGUAUUCAAAUCAUAAGUAAUUGUGAAAAUUUAAGAAUGAUAAUCUCUCAAGUAUGGCAACCAGUCCAAAUAGAAAAUAUUUGAAUUCAAAUAUUGUACAUUUCUAGAAUGUAAUUAUGUAAAUAUUGCAAUUUCAAGAAUAAUGGGAUUAUAUUUUGUAUUUAAUAAUUCUAUAUAUUGAGAGUUUGUUUUGUGUGUUCUCCUUUAAGGAUAACAACCAUGUUUCCACUAAUUAUAAUUUUCUUCAACCACCGCUAAACCUAGGGAACUACUAUCAUCUCAACUAUACAUGUUGCCUCCUUAACUAACUGUUAUUUAAUUAUAAGAGUUAGAUUAAGAAAAUAUUUUACAGAAUAAUUUUAAAAAAUAUUCAGUAGCAAUUAAUACAGCUGUUCUCAUUUUAGUUUAUCAACUAGAGUUUUGUGCACGAUGUUAAGACAAAUUUGAAUCAUUUACUACUAGAUAGAUUGAUCUUUCAGCUUAAGACGAUAUUAAAGUCACUCUUAAAAAUUUGAUCUUUCACUAUUUUGUAGCAUAUAUAUUUCCGGCUAUCAUUUUGUUGUCUUUUUCUUAACAUCUUCAAUAAAUCUAAAUGGUAUAUAUGGUUCAGCGAAUACCAACCAUGUAUGUGCACCUAAUUGUUAAAAUAAGUAUUGAUCAUUUUAUAUUAGAAUAAGUAUUGAUCAACUUUUUAGAUAUCGAUCUUAUAAUUUAAUUGAACUUGGCAAAAUUUUGUCAAUUGGUAAUGAUCGAGUCUCAUAAGUUAUUCUAUUAAUAACAAGAAUCCGUAAGUUCUUCUAUUAAUAACAAGAACACUUCGUGUCUAGUAGAAAAAAAAAAUUAGGUAAAAACGUAUAAAUUUAUUUGAAUUAUGAAUUCUUGUAAAUCAACUAUCCAAACUUUUAUAAUUCUAAUUUUAUUAUUUAAAUUUUUAAUUUGUUUGAUUUUAAUUAGUAAAAAAUAUUCUGAUUUUCAAAUGAUCCAAAAAUAGUGCAGAAAAAAUUUAUGCGAUAUAACCUAAAGUUGGAUAUGAGUUAUUAAAGUUUCUGCACAUUCAAAAUAUAUGGAAACAACUCAAACACUUUGCAUUAAAUAUGCUGACUCAUUGAUAAUCAAUGUCAGCAAAACUCUCUUAAAUAAAAAAAAAACUUUUGCAGCCUUGCAGGUACUCAUUAUAAAAUUGAGUUGGAUUUUGUUAAUAAUAUCAUCAUGAGGUGGAGCAAAAGAAAAAAAAAAAAAAAUAAAAAAAAAAAAAAAUCUAAAAGCAAUUUCUAGUACAUCUUGCUUUAUUGGUUUGAGAAUUGAAAUCCCCAGAGAAAAGUACAUCGUUUCUCUCUCAUCCUUAGUACUAUGCUAUCAUUAUAGUCUCUCUUUUAGGACACGCUCACUUUUCCCCCAUCUGGGUUGUUUCAAGUAAAGUGAACAUUCUCUAGAUCAUGCACAGAUAUGUCACAGGUCCUUUCAACCAAAUAGGGUUUCAUUGAACUUUUUUACACUGAAUUUUAAAGGUGUUUUCACCUAUAUAUAAAGUGCAUUAUUAUGCUUUCCUUGAUUUUUAAGUUAUUGCUGAACUUAGGUUUUGUAACUGAUGAUGCAUAUGAUUAACACUAGUUUGAAUCUCCAUUCACUUGGUCUAUUAAUCAUUCUCUCAAAUAAUACAAACUAAAUCAUCUAUUCUUAAGAACACCUCAUGGAAAACUAAAAGAACUAAAAAACAAAAUCUCAUUUUGAACCUUUUAUCAUCGAAUUUUGAUGGAAAUCUCAUAUAAUUAAAACUGCUGUUAAUUUGAAUCAGAAAUAGAUCUCCUACAUAGUGAUUAAUGAAAACCAUAAACAACACAAUAAUUCAUUUUGAAAUUCUAUUAUUUGUUGAUGAAGUGUUGAUUCAGUAGACACAUCCUGAAAAAAAUAAUAAAAGGAAAAAAAAUUACAGUACAACAGUUAAAAUUACUGUUUGCUGCGUAGUCUAAUUAGGCCAAAGACAAUGAAAGACGUGUAUUAAUUAACAAAAUCCUCAGUUCCACUAAUUAAACCACAAGUAAGUAAGUAACACUCCACUUCAAAAUCAUAAACCACAUGAUCACAUUAAUUCUAACAUAGCACAUCAGAAAACAAAAUAAACAAGAGCACAAAUUCAGUUAAUUAAUCCUGAUUAAGCGUAAUCAGAAUGAUUAGAAGGGCCGUCGGCCGCCGCCCCAACCGUAGGGCUCCGACGGCACCGGCACACUUCCGCCGAGGAGGUUCUGCGGGAGCCCGUGGAAUGCGUUCGCCUCCGCUGCCGCCGCCGCCGCCAAAAGCUGCUGCUGCUGCUGCUGUGCUUGGCCGCCGAGCAUCGCGGCGGCGGCGGCGGCGGCGGAUGGCGGCUGGUCGUCCUCCUCGAGCGGCAGGCGCUCGUAGGCGGCGUUGGCGAAGGACGCGGCCAUUAUGAUCACGGGUCCAGACGCGAUGAGCGACCCGACGACGCUCCCCCCGACGACCUGACCCUGGCCGCCGGAGAGGUAGACGGUGAGCCCGGUGGCCUCCGGCGGGGCCGGCGGGGGGAGGAAGGAUCCGGAGAGGGAGAGAAUUUCGAAGUGGCCGUGCAGGUUCAGCACGGCGCCGCUCUGCGACGACGCUGCUGCGGCUGCGGCGGCGGCGGAGGCCGGGGGCUGCCGCAGCGCGACGUUGGUGACGGUGCCGACGCCGCUGAGAACGCAGACGCCGCGCUGGCGCCGCCGCGCGAAGGCCGCCACGCUCUCCGCGACGUCGCACCCGCCCGCCACCUCCAUCACGUGCGUCCGCAGCGCGUUGGCGCUGUCCCGCGUGAUCACGAUCGGCGGCUUCGCCUUGUUCUUCGACCCCGCCGGGCGUCCCCGCGGCCUCCGGUUCACAUCGUUACUAUUAUUAUUAUUAUUAUUAUUAUUGCCGUCGCCGUCGCCGCCGCUGUUGUUGUUGUUGUUGUUGUUGUUGUUGCUGCUGUCGUUGGCGUUGUCGUCGUCGUCGUCGUCGUAGUCGCGCUUCUUGCCGCGGCUGCGCAGGUCGUCGUCGGAUUUGAGCUGAGGGUGGAGGUGGUGGUGGUGAAAGUCUUGGAAUAAUGGGGGAAGAUGAUGGCCAUGUGUUGAUGCUGUUACCGGAUCCAUAAACUUGCCCUAAUUAAAUUUCUUUCUUUCUUUUUUUUUCUUCUUCUUCCCUUUUAUUUUCCUUUUUAUUUUUCCCCCUAAAUACAAAGAACAGGUGGGAUGGGGCAAAACCUAGGAGAUGGAACAGUGAAGAGAAAGCAAAGGGGGAAGAACCAAAGAAAAGGAGAUGAGAAGGGAGAGAGAGAGAGAGAGAGAGAGAGAGAGAGGAGAACAAUAAUUUUCAUUAACUAUUCAAUUAAGAAAAAAAGAAAAAGGCUAAAAGGAGGAGAAGUAGAGGAAAGAUCAAAAGAAAGACGGCGCCCUGCCUCCUCCCUUUUUCCUAUCUCUCCUUUCUUUUUUUGAAAAAGAAAAAUUAUAGUAAAUAAAUAGAAGAGUCAUAUACCACAACCAAUGCUACUCCUCACCAGAAACAAAAUGGAGGCAUUUCUCUUGUCACCCACCAACUUCUCAGCUGAUUCCAAAAUUAAGCAUCUUAUUAUAACCCCUCCUCUCUCUCUCUCUCUCUCUCUCUCUCUCUCUCUCUCUCUCUUUCUCUUUUAUUUUAUUUUUAUACCCCUCUCUCUCUCUCUCUCUCCACCCUCCUCACAAAGCCAACUCGUAGCUACCAAUAAUUGUUAGCACUCCCCUUUCUCUCUCCUGUAUUAGAUUUCUUUUGAAAAGAGGGCAUACACGGGAAGUUUUGAGGAUUGGUUGGAUUCUCAUUGAGUAUGGUUUGCCCCAGUUAAAUAUGGACUAAUCAACUUCUAGCUUAUUCCUUUCUUCUUUUGUGAGUGUUAUGUUUAUGCUAUGGUCUCUUUUAUUCUAGGCCAGUUAUUAUCAUAUGUGUUAACACUAUUUCCAUAUUGUUCCUAUCAUAUCAAUCUUUUGAGCUAGUUCUGAACAUCUCUCGAUUUCAAAAAGUUUUAAGUUCAGUUUCCUACAUAUACUCUUCUUGAUAUAUAUCAAGAGUCAAAGUGUUUGGUGGUUAAUAUUCGAAGUCCCAAGUUCGAAUCCUAAUUGAUUCACAUUUCCAGCUAAGUUUAUUUCUAAAUAAAAUAAACGAAGCAGAUAACAUGCUACCUAUCUCUCAAACAAAAAAAGAUAUAUAUAUAUCUACCGAGCGUAUAAGCAGAGAAUAAAAAUUUUAUGAUGACAGUCCCCAAGGCGAAACCAUCAAUGAGAUCCAACAGUCAACUUAUAUAUGAAAUGCAUGAAUCAUUUCUCAAAGAAUUGAGAUUGGUAGCGAUUGGAUGGUCUUAUAUUGGGAACAGUCUGAUCAAUUAGAAUUUUCUUCUCCGAAUAGGGGUGAUUACAUACGAUAUAUAUAUGAGGUCAAUCUUUUGGUACGAUCCAGGCUAAUGGAAUAAGGGCAGACUACUUAAUCACCUUGUGUGCCAUGGGACUAGAAAAAAUUCUAUUUGUUUACCGCUUAAUUCGAUUAUCUCAGAUCUACACUACAUCUUGAGCUAUACUUAUUAUUUAGAUGCUCGGCACAUCUUAUACAAUCUUUGGCUAAAAAAUAUAUAACUUACUUGAACUAGAGACCAUUUUUGAAUCGCUUAUCUAGCAUUUCAAAAUUUUAAUUUUACCAUCCAACUUUUCAAUUUGUUUGAUUGGGUCAGUCAACGGCACUUUAAAAUUAACUUCAAAUUCGUACGUGUCGUUUAUCCGUCUAGAUUUUAUUAGUAUAUUUCAUAUAAUUCUCGCAACUAUAAAUUUAUUAAAAUAAGUAAUUAGCUGGCUGACUAAAAAUCUAAUAAAUUGCCAAAUUUUUAUUGGUCGGAUUAAAUUAUUAUGGAUAAUAUGUUGGGUGCGUUCAUUGGCACAGGCCGGAGGGGUAGGUGGUGAGCCUGCGGUCGCGCCGUACCCGUCGCUACCCUAAUAAUAUUUUACUAUGCCAUUUUGUGUUGAGACAUUUCUUACCUGCACUGCACUGGGCGUAUAAAUACAUCUCAUACACCAAUAUUUUGGAAACCUACAAUAAGCAACUCUAAAAUUUAAUUAUAGCCUUUACUUUUCGGCUUAGGAAAUUACGACCGAAAAUAUUUAAUUUAUUAUAAAUAGUAAUUUUAGACGUUGUUUACGUCGCAUCUAUUGAAUUUAAUUUUAAUUUAAAAUGUAAAUCGGCAAAUAUCAUGAGCGGUGCACAGGGCUGUUCAAUUGUACACGCGGUGCACGUGACAAUUCCUCUCGUGUGCGCGUGGGGGACGUCGCUGUCGAAUAAGAAGAGCCAGCGAGCUCCCCACGUCGUUGAAUUAUAGCCGACCUAGCGGUGGCAUAUUCGUAAAUAAGUAGAAUAUCAGGGGCGUAUGUGUUUACAGGGUGGGGUGUGGCAUGUGGGUCUUCGGAAAUCGCGUUGUCGCAAACGACGUGGGAGCGGACGUGAAACCGGUCCGUGGACACGGUGCACCGCUACGGCAUCAUGGACCGACCCCUGAACCAGGUCUAAAAUUAGAAAUAUAAUAAUUUGUUGGAUGCGAGUGGUGUGAUCAACAAAAUUUCAAAUGCCCCAAGAUAUGAUCCCAAAAGAAAAAAAAAAUCAUAAAUCAAAAAUUAGGAAUUUAACUGUAUAUAAGGUCCAAACGUAAAAGAGCUUUAGUUUUUUUUUUUUUUUUUUUUUUUUUUUUUUUUUACUUUUUAAAAAGUAUUUUAUCAAACGGUACAUAACUUUAACAGAGAAGCUUUAAGUAGCCCUUACCUUAGUGCCAAACUGGCUUGAGAGACCGGUCCACAUUGGACCAAGUCCCUGCAAAAUGUUGUCCGGAGCAAUGACGAGAAUCUUUUGAAGCGGUGUGAAUGAAUUCAGGUGGGCCCCCACGAGGACACGUGUCAGAUGCUCCGCGAUCGGGGGCUGCGACCGAGGCCUGCGAGACUGGGACCCCGUCGCGGGUCCGGCGGGGGCGAGGUCGCUCAGCCUCGGGGCGCGCGGAGACCGACACCAGCCGUCCGAUCGGUGUCAGGCGAGCGGGGGAGGGAGGGGAUCGGGCGGCUCCCGAUCAAUCGAUCGCCGUGCGUGCGUGCUCGCGGUUGGUGUGUAUUUUUCCCUUCUCUUAUCUCCUCCCUCCUCUUUAGUGCCCCCACGUGACAACCAUUAGAUCUGCCGCGGUGGGCCCCGGCACGCGCGCGGGUCCGAACGGGUCGUUACGGUUUUUGCGAAUCCGAGGCGGGAUGGGGUGGUGCCCGCACGUGUCACGGGAACGGUGUUUUUUAAAAAGCGGAGCCACCGCGGGAUAAAACAGACCCGUUUGCUCUAAGGACCCGUAUUGUACCUGCGCCUAUUUCAAUACAUUGACCUUGUUUGGAUAAAAAUUCUAAAAUGCAACACUAAUUUUACUAGAUCCAGUAAAUUCUAUCUGUAUCAGUAUAUAUUUGCAAGUUAUUCAUAAAUUUAUUGAUAAAACGUGUGGAUAUCCGUUAAGUUAUGAAUAUUUUGGACAACCCACGAAUAGUCGUGGAUCGAUAUCCGUAUAUUUUUUUAAUUAAAAAAAUAUAUUUUCUACGGUAUUGACUUUAUAAUCAUUAAAAAUUUUAUUAAUUUGUAUUAUAAAAAUUUGGAACGAUAUAUUAUUUUUAUAUUAUGUAAUUUAUGCGCUUUAAGAUUUUAUAUUGUUUAUCAUAUAUUAUGAUAUUUCUAACCGUAACUUAUAUUAUACUUUUAAAAAUUAUAUUUGUAUUUUGCGGUUGGAAAGUGUUAGGAGCUGAAUUUCGUCCUCUUUGACCCGAUCAAAGAUCUUUCUCGGAAAGCACGUCGGGAAGCGAAACGGCUACGAUUAGUGAUCCUUGAAGUUUGCGUCCUUCGAAUGGAUCAAGCGAUUCGGCUGAUUCGAUCCCUUAUCAGCCGAGUUCGAAAACCUUUACUGUAGAAUCGGUUCGGCUAUAUGAGCCGAAUUAAUAAAAUGCACAGAAUUUUGGGUCGACUGAUGAGCCGAAUAUAUGGAAUACACAGUGAUUGGUCAGCUGAAAGAGCCGAAUGCUUUUAUAUAUAUUAAUAAAACAAAGUGUGCCCGAAGAGCAUACAAACUCUAAAAAUCUAGUUUACAACAGAGUGUGCCCGUGGGGCAUACAGACUCUAGAGAUCUAAUUUAAAAACUAUUCCUAGAAAAGCAGUAAAUGCGGGUAAAAAAAAUUACAUGUAGACUACUCCUAAUAAAACGAUAAAAUUACAAAGGAAAUAAAGGUGGUAUUCUAGUUCAUGGGGGAGAAAGAUCCUUAUUGCAGGCUUCGAAAUUACCCACAUUAUUGGUUGGUUGAAAGUAGUGGGGAGAGUGGUUGUAACCAUGAUCGUGGAAGUUACGCCCACUUCUCAUAAAAGUUACGCCCCACUUCUCAACCGUUCCCGCCUAAAUGCUCUCAACCUUCAGGCGCCUUAUUGCUGAUUUCUGGUAUACCACGUGUCCUUAUUUUUUUAGCACAUACAUGGGUUAGGUCGGCAUAUUAAUUUUUUGGCAUCAACUGAAAGUAUAUGAACAAAAAUUAAAAAAAAAAGCUGUGAAUAACCCGCAUAUCCACCAUCUGCCCGUAGGCGGCCGGAUAUGGAUAAAGAUGUUAAUUAUCCAAAAAUUUACGGAUACAUUUUAUCCAUAUCUAUAUGACCCGCGGAUACAAUAACCUGCUCACGUGUUACCGAACUCGUCCAUUUACCAAAUCUAUUAAUAUUACUAAUGUGGUGUUUACAAUCAAUCAAAAAAUUUUCUUGUGGUUCACUUAUCCCAACAUAGUUAUUAGAAAAAUAUUUUUAUUGUACUUUUCUUUCAAAAAAGUAAUAUAAUUAACUAGGAUAAAGAGUGGUGUAAAUGUUAUACACUAGACUUUCUCCUUGUUUGGUCGCCCCUAUGGUAAUUUAUUCAAUACGAAAAAUAUCUCAUGUGAGCGCGAGUAAAAAAAUUUAGGCAUUAUUUGAUACGGUAUUUAUGUUUUAUUUUUUAAAAUAAAACGUUGUAUAUAAAAAUGAGGUAAAAUGUUUAAUUUUUGUUUCUUGAAAGUUUUGUCAUUCAUGAUUUGAUAAUAUAACUUAUUUCACCUAUAAUGUGAUUUAUCUUUUCCGAAAUAUUAACUAGAAAGUAAAAUAUGUUGUUCCAUACCAAAUACUAUAAUUUCUUGAGUAAAGUAAAGAUAUAUUUGGAAUAAGAUUUUCAUGCAUCUAAUCAGAGCCAUAGAGUAUAAUAAAAUGUUUAGAAUGGAUAAUAUACUCGACCUUCAAAUUAUUUUCUCAAAAUAAGAUAAAUUAUCUUAUAGAUAAAAUAUAUUAUCUUACCAAACCAUAAAUGUCAAGGCCUUUUAAAGAGAAAUAGCCAAACUUCAUGCUUUCAAUCACACAAGGAAAUACUCUACUCCGUCCAACCGAAGGCCUAAAUCAAAGAGAGAGAUCAAGCACGAUAUUCAUAUGCAUCCAAAUGGGGGAGUGUGUUUUUUUUUUUUUUUUUUUUUUUUUUGAGAGAUAGGUAGCACGCUACCCGUUUCGUUUAUUUCAUUUAAAAAUAAACUUAGCUAGAAAUGUAAAUCAACUAGAAUUCGAACUUGGGUCUCGAGUACCAACCACCAAGCCCUUUGCUACUUAUUCCAGGGACGGUCGGUGGGGGUGCUUGUUGUUGUCAUAAUAUAUGAACAUAUUAUUCAAUAUAUCUUUUAUUUGUUAAAAAAUUACAGUACUUAUAAUAAGAGGAGUAUAACUAAAUGUCAAGAAAGGCAUAUUAUAUUCAACUUUUAAAUAAUAUUUUUAGAAUAAAAUAACCAUCCCGUAAAUGAAAUAUACUAUAUAUGCUACUAAAUUACGAAUGUCAAAAUAUUUCUAGUUAAAAUCAAACUCUUAGGUUCCAAUCAUACAAGAAAAUCUUUAUACCAUAAUGUUAUCAUUAAAUAUUUUGAUCUAACAUCGUAACAAGGCUACAUAAAUAUCUGCAUGUACAUUUCUUUCACUUAUUUACAAAGAUUGAAAUAUUUAAAAUAUUAGGAGUAUAGUCAAAUGUCCAAAAAUGUCUACUACAUCUAGUCUUCAAAUCAAUUUAUUGAAAUAUACUAAAUCAACUUGUAGGUGAUAAACACUAUAGCUAGCUAAUUAAUCAUGACUAUCAAGUCCAUUCAAAGAGCAACCUAACAAACUCUUUAACUUACAAUCACAAAAAAGAAAAAAGAAAAAAGUAAUACGUAAGUUAUUACUGGAUAACACGAUUUUAAUAUUUAUGUCAUAUUUGGAAGUUGUAACAUGUUAUUCAAUGAUAACAUAUUAUUGUAGAAAUAGUUCUUUAUAAUUGUCAUCUAGAAGUCUGAAUUUCCAAGCAAGUUAGUUCCUUACAACUUAGAAGACAAACUUUUUGGAUAAUAUAUAAAAGAAAAAAAUGUACGGAGACUCCUUGAACUUCGGCUCUUUAAUUUGCAAAUAUGCGCUAGAACUUGUAAUUUUGGUAAUUAUAUUUUUUAAAAUUUUAUCAAGUAAUUUAAUAAGUCCAUCUUCUUAAGUGAACUUACUAAUUAUAUAGCAAUUUUAAUUGGAUGUCAUGCAUAUAAUCCUAUAACACUCCAAAAUAUGUAGAAAACUCUUUUUCCUUUUCCAACUUUUGUUAUCAAGCAUAAGAAUCAAAUAAUAGAUUGAACAGAACUUCAAUUAAUCUUUUUGCUUUUUUAGCAUAUUGGAAUACAAUUUUUUUUUCCCCCUUGUGUGUUUUAAAGUUUAAUAUAUCUAUAUGCAUUGCAUAUGCCGAAAAUAAUUGAGUAAUUAGUAACUUUAAUUGAAAAGAGGAGUAUAUUGAACUGUUUGAUAAAGUUGAAGGAGUUUAAUUGCCAAAAUUAAAAAUGCAAGCACUUGUUUACCAAAAAGCGAAAAUUUAGGAAGAUCUAUGUACAUCUUUUCAUAUGUUAAAUCCAUCUACGAGAAAAUUGGUCUAUAGCCCUAGCUAAUUGACUUGGAGGCUAAAUAUAAUAUGCUAUUGUAAGCAUUUAUUCUUACUAGGCUACAAAUUACUAUAUAUUUUCAAGCAAAAGAAAGAGACAUACUAAACAAAAUGUCAUGCAUCCAAACGGGCCUAUCGAGAAAAUCUUUGAAUUUUCAAAAAUAUAACCUUUAUGGGUUGUUAAUAUGUUGUCAAAUUGGUGUGGUACUAUUAGUUAGGCUGCGUAAAUCAAUCAAUUUAUAUCAUAUGUAUCAAUACACCAACAAUAUAUAAAAUAAUAAUUUGGGAUACUUGCCUUGAUGAAGCCAUAUUUGGAUUUUAUAACAAAUUAUCACCAUACCAUAAUAAUUUGCUUUUGGUCCAUUGCAAGUUGUUGGCAGCCUGUAAAUUGUUAGUGCAAAAAUUUCAGCUCCACACUACAAAAAAAUUGUGAUUUAGCGACAUUCAGUUAUUGCCACCAAAAGUCAAAAAAUUGCUGCAAAAACUAUUAGCGGCAUUAAGCUUUUAAUGCCACUUAUAUUCGUGUUGGUAAAUCUUCUAUCGAUAUUUAAAUAGAUUGCCGUUAUAUAGUAUCCUUUUAUAUAUAUAUAUAUAUAUAUAUAUAUAUAUAUAUAUAUAUAUAUUAGUAUGGAUGCCACGUGCCCCCCCCAAUUCAUGCUUAUCCAUUUAUUUAAUCGAGGGUUGCAACCUACACCUCUUUAAUUAAUUUUCCUUCCUCUCUUUUUCUCUGGAGCCGUACGCAAGGAGGAGGAGAAUCCGGUUGGAGCUCGUGUGUCGCCGACGUCGCGCCGCGGUACCGUUUGAGCGUGUGUUCGUCAUCGUAACAUCGCGAGAAGGCCGGGCGAGGGUGCGUUUACGUCGUUUUCGACGUCGCGCUGGAUUGGAUUUUGCGUUUGAGGUGGGUUUAUCAUCGGAUUUCUACUCCUAUAGCCUUGUUAGUCAACAUGUAUAGUUAUGAUAUCUGCGUUGGUAUUGUUUAGCUCAGAUUCAUGUUUAUGCAUUGUUCUAGGCCUAUAUAUUGAAUUUGGAGCAUGUUACUGUUUAUUAUUAAUUAUACAUAUUGGACUUGGAUAAAACAUAGGAGAAAACCAGUGUUCGGAACCUGUCAUAUGUUAAACUACCUGAUUUAGCCUUAGAGGCCGUUGUACUUUUAUACAGUUGCAGUGUUCUUGUGAUGAGUACCCCAGGUAGUCUAAUUUACUGUUACACUCGUGCUGGGAUGCCAAGUCUAUUUUUACAGUAGUGUUUAGACUGUUCCGGCUAGUGGGUGCCGUCGCGGUUGACGAUGGACCCGGAUUUGGUCAUUUUGAGAUCCGAUUGUGCCGAGGGCACGUGACUAGUGGUUAGUAGCCAAUUGGACUUAUUUUCUUGACUUUAGCCUGUGAGAGCCUGAUUGAGCUCGACAGAGAUACGCUUGCAUAUUCGGUUGGAUCGCGCCCACGAGUUGCCGCUCCGGAGUUUGGCUUUGUGCUUUCGCGUUGAUGUCACUGACUAGUUUUACUAUCCACGGACUGUUUUGCGUGGAGGUAGCGUAGCUUAGACAGGCGGGACGGGUGCGUUCACAAUCCCCGGGACGAGUGUGUUUACAGUCCCUAUUGAGAUUGGGUCAGAUUUGACAGUUACUACAGUUGGAUAGUAUAGUGGCAGGUAGCUGUAGAUUUCUUUCCAGCUUUAACUACUAGUUUGUUUCUGACUGUAGUCUUAGUGGGUGGACCGAUGAUGUUGAGGGCGGUACCUAUUACUUUAUAUAAAUAUUUCUUUGUACAGGAGAUUAUGCAUUCCUUAUAUUAGUGUAUACUAUAUUAGUUUUCUUACCAAUUCACAACUCACCAUGUAUUAGCUUGAUCUCUGUUUAUAUAAAGAGGUCUUUUGUAAUUUAUCAAAUCAGAAAGAAAUAUAUUUUCUUCUCCAAUUAUUCUUUGUUUCAUGGUAUCAGAGCGCGACUAGCUUAAUACGCAAAAGCUCGUCGUCACAAGAUCGCCGUCGGUAUCUCUCGACCUAAUUCUGUCAUGACAUCCGCACCUCCAUCGAUGCCGCCUGUACAGGUUCCUACACCGACACCUCCAUCAAUGCCGCCUGUACAGGUUCCUGCAUCGACUAUUGCCCAGCUCGAUGUUAAACUCUCCGGGCCUAAUUAUCGUGAAUGGUCGGUGUCCAUUCAACUCUUGUUUGAUGCUCUCGAUCUUACUGGACAUAUUGAUGGUGCUGGUCCACCAACCGAUGAUUCCAAACUCAAGGACUGGCUCGUUGCUGAUCGACGUGCUCGUGGAAUUAUUUCUACAUCGGUAAACAUGGACAUUCGGAUGCAGCUUAUCAAUUUGUCCACCGCUCAUCAGAUGUGGUCUCUUCUUCGGCAGAUGUAUGAGCAGUCUAGUUAUGCUCAAUCAUAUGCUGAGUUUCAAGAGAUCUCCAUGGCUCAUCAAGGUGAGCGUAGUAUCCAAGAGUUUUACAGUUUUAUGCAGGCUCGUUGGCGUCAACUGGCGACCAUGGAUGAACCCUUGUGUCGCACUUGCUCAACUUGUCAGUGUACUGUCAAGCAAAAGCAGGUGCGUGAUCAACAACGAUUGUUCUAGUUUCUUAUGCGCCUACGACCUGAGUUUGAAGCAUUACGUGGCCAACUACUCCAUCGAACUCCCUUCCCUACUAUUGAUGUGGCUCUCGCGGAAUUGAUUGCUGAGGAGACACGUCUUCGAGUUUUGAGUUCCUCUUCUUCCGCAAUGCCUAACGUUCUUGCUGCUCAUGGUCCUGCAAGUCCACCUCCCGUGCCAGCGCCUACUUAUCAUCAACCGCCUUCUAGUUACAUUCCAAAUCCUGGUACUAGAAAAGACAAACGAAGGAUUCAAUGUCGUUACUGUCAUCUUUGGGGUCACUCAAUUCAAGAUUGCCGGAAAAAGAAAUGGGCAGAUCAGCAUUUACCAUCCUCUCGUAAUAUGCCUACUGUUGCAUUUGCUCCUUCUGUUCCUCCGGUCAACAAUGCGUCAUCUACAGAGCAGCAACCUUCAACUAUUCAAUUGAGUCUUCCUCAACUACUGAAGAUGUUUCAGCAACACCAAUUGACUCCAUCCACUUCGUCAGGGCAGUCCUCCUCUAUCUUUUCAUCUACGCAAUCAGGUUUUGGUAUGACUGGUCCUGGAGGUACUUCGGAACAUUCCUGGAUUUUAGACUCAGGCGCAUCAUUUCAUAUGACACCACAUGCUUCUUUACUUUCUUCACCUUCUCAAUUAAAUUCACCUUCACAUAUUUUUACUGCUGAUGGUACCUCUCUUUCUGUCAAUAAUAGUGGCGUUGUUUCACCUAAAUCUGAUACUUCAGGACGCUUUACUAUUCCCUCUGUCCUACAUAUACCUCGACUCUCUCUUAACUUACUAUCUGUCAGCCAAAUUACUGAUCAUGAUUGCACAGUGACCUUUGAUUCUUCUUCUUGUCUUGUGCAGGAUCGUCGGACCGGGACUUUGAUUUGACAGGGCCAUAGACGUGACUGCCUGUACUACAUGGACUAUCUGCAUCUUCCUCCUAAAAUUAAUUCAGCAAAUAUUGCUACAACUUCAAAUUCUGAUCUCUGGCAUUGUCGUCUCGGUCAUCUUUCUUCUGAUAAGUUUGCUGUUUUAAUUCGUAGUGGUGUAUUAGGUCAUGUUUUUAAUUCCGAAUCUGUUUCUUGCAUUGGAUGCAAACUUACUAAACAUUCCAUUAAACCUUUUCCUGUUAGCAAUUCUAUUUCAAGUGCACCAUUUGAUCUUAUUCACUCUGAUGUUUGGGGACCAGCACCUAUAUCAACUCGUGUUGGAAAUAAAUAUUAUGUUAUUUUCGUUGACGAUUACUCACGCUUUACCUGGGUUUAUUUUAUGCAUAACAAAUCUGAACUUUUUCAAUUGUAUCAAAAUUUCGCUGCCAUGGUUCAAACUCAAUUUGGUGCCACUAUUAAAACUUUCCACUCUGAUUCUGGUGGCGAGUAUCUCUCAAAUGAAUUUCGCCAACUUCUCACUAAGCAUGGUACUUUGCCGCAACUCUCUUGUCCUUAUACUCCUCAACAGAAUGGUGUUGCUGAGCGUAAACACCGACAUAUCCUUGAAACCGCUCGAUCUCUUCUAAUUGAUGGGUCUGUGCCUAAACAAUUUUGGGCAGAUGCGGUUUCUACCGCAGUUUAUCUGAUUAAUAUUAUGCCCUCCAGUCUUUUCUCCGACGUCUCUCCUAGUGAGCGAUUGUAUGCUAAAUCACCAUCUUAUACUCAUUUGCGUGUUUUUGGAUGUACUUGUCUUGUUCUUUUGCCUCCGCAUGAACGAACCAAAUUAACUCCAAAAUCGUCAAUUUGUGUUUUCUUAGGAUAUAGUCUUGAGCAUAAAGGGUACAGAUGUUAUGAUCCUACUGCUCGCCGCAUGCGAAUUUCUCGAGAUGUCAUUUUUCUUGAACAUGUAUCAUAUUAUGCUCAAUCUAAGUUAAGCGUUGAUACUUCUGCCGUUUCUUCACCUUCUGUUAUUGAUCUUUCAUUUCUUGUUAAUUCUUCGUCGACCACCACAUCUUCUCCCGAAGAGCCCCAACGAAUUGUCGCUCAGCCCACUGAAUCUUCGUCUUCUGCAGAAGUUUCUAUAGUACCGGCACCACAUGACGACCCACCAAUUACUGUUCCUUCCGACGAUCAAACGACUGCUGAGCGCCGCUAUCCACUGCGUACUCGCCGCCCCACACAAUUUUUUGGUUGUCUUGCCUCUCCUUCUUUUUCUCCACGAUAUCAUGCUUUCUUUGCAGCCAUUUCUAAUAUCCAGGAACCCCGUACAUAUCGCCAGGCCGUUUCCAUUCCUGAAUGGCGAGAUGCAAUGACCACAGAACUUACUGCCCUUCAUCGUACUGGUACUUGGGAACUAGUUCCUCUCCCGCCGGGCAAGACUCCAAUAAGUUGUAAGUGGAUUUAUAAAGUCAAGACAAAUUCUGAUGGCUCAAUUGAUCGCUAUAAAGCCCGUUUAGUUGCUCGAGGGUUCUCUCAAGAAUAUGGCAUUGAUUAUGAGGAGACAUUCGCCCCUGUUGCUAAGAUGACCUCUGUUCGCAUCCUUAUUGCUCUUGCUGCCUCUCGUAGCUGGCCUCUUUAUCAACUUGAUGUCAAAAAUGCCUUCUUACAUGGGGAUCUUCAUGAAGAAGUUUAUAUGCAACCACCUCCUGGUCUUUCCCAUUCAUCUGGUCAUGUUUGCCGGCUACGGAAGGCUUUAUAUGGCCUUAAACAAGCUCCCCGAGCUUGGUUUGAAAAAUUUCAGUCUGCUAUUCUUUCCUUUGGAUUUCAUCAAAGCGAAAAUGAUCAUGCCUUAUUUAUUCAUACAUCUUCUCGCGGGCUCACUGCCUUACUUUUGUAUGUUGAUGAUAUGAUAAUUACUGGUGAUGAUCCUGAUUAUAUUCGUUCCGUUAAAUCCUAUCUUCAGCAACAAUUUGACAUGAAGGAUCUUGGUCCUCUUCGAUAUUUUUUGGGGAUUGAAGUGGCAUAUAGUCCUCGAGGAUAUAUAUUGUCUCAACAAAAAUACACUGCCGACUUGCUAUCUCGUGCUGAGCUCACUGAUACUGACACUGUGAGUACUCCUAUGCAGCUCCACCAAAAACUAACUCCAACUAUGGGCGAACCUCUCACUAAUCCUACACGUUAUCGUGAGCUAGUUGGUGCAUUAGUCUAUCUCACUAUAUCUCGCCCCGACAUUGCUUAUGCGGUUCAUAUUGUUAGUCAAUUUAUGCAGGCGCCUACUUCUGUUCACUAUGCUGCUCUUUUACGCAUCUUGCGCUAUUUACGAGGAAGUAUUCAUCAAAGUCUAUUCUUUUCUUCCUCUUCCAAGCCUCAACUUCGUGCAUAUUGUGAUGCUGAUUGGGCUGGAGAUCCUACUGAUCGUCGAUCUACGACUGGCUAUUGCGUUUUCUUUGGGGAUUCUCUGAUUUCUUGGCGUUCAAAGAAACAAGAUAGUGUCGCAAAAUCUAGUACGGAAGCUGAAUAUCGUGCUAUGUCCUCUGCAGCCUCAGAAAUUGUAUGGCUUCGCCGACUCCUUGGUUACCUCGGUGUCCAGUGCUCUAGUCCAACACCUUUAUAUUGUGACAAUCAAAGUGCUAUCAAAAUUGCGAAUAAUCCUGUUUUUCAUGAACGUACUAAACAUAUCGAAAUUGAUUGUCACUUUGUGCGCCAUCAUUAUAUUAAUGGAACGAUAUCUCUGCCGUUCGUUCCCUCUGCUCAACAACUUGCUGAUUUUUUCACCAAAUCUCAGACUACUCAACGACAUCAGUACCUUCUUUCCAAACUCUCAGUGUUUACUCCACCUUGAGUUUGCGGGGAGGUGUUACUUUAUAUAAAUAUUUCUUUGUACAGGAGAUUAUGCAUUCCUUAUAUUAGUGUAUACUAUAUUAGUUUUCUUACCAAUUCACAACUCACCAUGUAUUAGCUUGAUCUCUAUUUAUAUAAAGAGAUCUUUUGUAAUUUAUCAUAUCAGAAGGAAAUAUAUUUUCUUCUCCAAUUAUUCUUUGUUUCAGUACCCACUGAGGACUACUUGUUUUUACAGUAGUUCUCACGCCCAGUUGUUACCACUGUUUUGCAGAGCCACCAGUUGUUACCACUAUUUUACAGAGCCACCGGUUUCAGUUGCUGCGCCUUCCGAGGCUGAUCGAGGCAAGGGUGUCGCGAAUUAGAGCCCUACCCGACGAGUUGCUGAGAUAGAGGAUCCACCACUGCAGGUAGUUUCGGUUUAUUUUGUUGAGUUCAUGUUCAUACAGUUGUUAUAACUCGCUGGAGCUAGUAUCUUUGUAUAGCGUUUUGUUGUAUGUAUGUGAGACUUGUUUUAUUCUAUCUGUUUGGUUUCUUUACAGCUCUAUACUACUGGUUGUAGUAUUGUAUAUUUUCAGUUAUCGAUACGCUUCGUAUACAGGAAAAAUUCUUUGUAUACGGCGGAUUUGUCGACGUGCCCAGGAAUUGUGUAAUUCGGGGCGUGACACGUUAAUGUUAAGUAAUUAGUAACAUUAAAUAAAUGCCGUUAUAGAGAUGACUAUUACCGACAUUAUUUAAAUGCUUGUAUUUUUUAGUCAUUUCCAGCACUAAUAAAAUGCCGGUAAUUAUUAUUUAAUUUGCAAUAUUAUAUAAAUGCUAGUAUUCUAUUUUUGAUUCCAGUAUUAAUAAAUGCCGGUAAUUCUAUAUUAUUUUGCAAAUAUAAAUAUUAUUUAAAUUAUGCCUUUUAAACAGAUAAAAAUAAUAUAAAUAAUAAUUUGUACUAUCAUAUUUUUACCAUAAUAUUUAAAAAUAAUAUAUUUUAUUAAAUAAUAUGUGAUUUUAGUAUUUUUAUAUAAUAAGAUGUCACGCCCCCGACCGCACUACCCGAAAACAGUAUCAAUUUGGUCCGUUUCGAGGGCGGCGUGCGUGAUGCCGAACGGACGGAGUUUCCCCUGUCUGCCCAAGGCUAAGCAACGGAUUGUGUACAACAAGUCUCCAGGAAAAACAACUUGCAUUCAUACACAAUCAACAACGAAACGAAAGCACAAACAGUGCUACAACCAACUAGAGCAAGCGAUACAAGUAAAACCAUACAAGUAUACAAAAGAGAGAAACUUAGCUAUUUAACAUAAACUAGGACAUAUAAAAUCCUUCCCAACAUCAUUAGCUUUAAACCUUUAAAUACAACUUGUGUUCUUUUCAUCAAAAUAUAAUACAUCAAAUCUCUCCAAAACCUCACCCUAUACAACAUCUACUCUCAAAGGUAUAAAACAAAAGUACAGGGUGGUGCUAAUGCAAUAGGAAAGGUAAAAUAACUAUCAAACCGCUAGGGCGCUAAGCCCUUGCCGCGAUCCUCCCGCUCAGUCGGGGCGCUCGAGCUAGUAUCUGCAACGAGGGUGUGAGAACUACGAAUAGUUCCCAGUGGGUUCGGCCGCCGACUCUGCCGAUCUACCCACUAGAUCUUAAGCAGGCAUAGAGAGAUAUUGGCAAUAUAUAAAACUAAGCUAAACUGAAAGCAGGUAUGUGAAACAGGUAUAUCAAGCUAUGCCUCAAUCUGACAUCAUGGAUGCAUGAACAAUAAGUAAAGCUGGGUAAGUAAGCAACUAUGAAUAUCUACAAAAGCUAUCAUAGUAAGCUCUAAAACAUGCUACUAGGAAAGCAAAUAAGCUGAUAUGAACAACGAAUGGCUACUGUAAACAUCAAUCAUGGGUAAGACUCACUGGGUAACCCAAUCUCCAAGUGAACAUAAGGUUCACAAGCAAGACUCACAUGUCAACCUCCGAAGGAUGCCUAGCUGGACUAUCCCUGAGUACGCCUGCGGAUAACAAGCGGCUAUCCGAGCAGCAAGCAGGCUGCCUCCCUAGUGACCAACUCCGGAGCGCACAACUUGAGGGGAGCGACCCCACCAAGCGCAGACAGGCAAUGUGAGCAUGAUCAACUCACGAGCAAAAGCAACCCUUUGAGGGUAAUAUUAGCAUAGAUCAAUAAGUUCUUGUACCCAAUCUCUUAGUGUCUCGACCACACUAAUAAGAUCAUCUCAAGUAAACAUCAAACAUGUGCCACUCGUUCAUAGUUUUCUAACUAGAUGCCACUCGUCAUUUAGACUCAUCAACAAUGUUAGCUCUUUAACAUUAUAAGUUCUAAUCAUCUCAUAUAGGGUUGAAUUUCAUCAUUAAACUCUAUCAUUUAAUCUCAUGCAUACUAGUUUAUAACUCAUUCAAUCAACCAUAUCUAUAGCUACUAGCAUGCAAAUUGAAGCAACAUAAUAAAUCUUUAACCCUAUAAGAACAUGCACAAUAUGCAACUUGAUCAUAUUUUGACUUAGACAUAAUGAGUAGCCCGAUGACUUCGGGAUGGCACUCCCCCACCUUAGGUGAUGCCAAAACACUCCGAGACGCGUUCUCGUGCUAGUCCUGUCGCCGCUUAAUUUUUGUUGGGUUAGCUUUAACCCUAUAGCACUUCAAAUGGUGAUAUCUUCGCGCUCGAUUUUCGUAUCGACGAACCGUCUUCGCCUAUGCGUUUAUAAGUAUAAGAAUUAGGUUUCUAACCCCUCAAAAGAGAUCAAUCCCUCAUAUCUUCAAAAAUCUCAAAAUCAAGCCCUAGAUUUAGCACCCAUGGGAAGCAAUGGUUUCUAGCUUCAUUCUGAGCUAAAUCCAUCAUCUCUAAACCCAAAGGUUCCAUUAGAACCAUUAAAACCAAAUAAAAACCCUCAAGUCCUAGAAAUCCCAAGUUUAGGGUUUAGGCUUACCUCUAGGGUUUGCUCCAAAGCAAGCCCUAGCUUGAAAACGUGGAGGGAGAGAGCUUUACUUUCCUCUCCUUGACAUUCUCCUUCCUUUCUUCUUCUUCCUCUCCUUCUUUCUCUCCUUCUUUUUUUCUUCUCCUUCUUCUACGGUUAGAGAGAGAGAGAGAGCAAUGUGAGAGGGAGAGAGAGCUAAGAGUGAGUGAGAGAGGCUGAGAGAGAGGUGUAUAAAACCUCUAUUGUAACAAUAUCCAAAAGAGCCCCUCAACUUUUCUAUUUUCUAAACUGAACCUGUUGUUCGGGUGCCCUUGUACCGGUACACGGGACCUUGUACUGGUACAAGGUCUGGGUGACAGCAAAAACAGAGCGCAACCCGAGAGCUCGGGUUCUCGAUUUCGCAGAACUUGUACCGGUAUAAGCCCCUUGUACCGGUACAAGCCCUUUGUACCCCUUGUACCGGUACAAGCCCCUUGUACCCCUUGUACUGGUACAAGCCCCUUGUACAGUACCUGGAGCCUUCGAACCCGAGAGCUACGCAGCCUGGCUGCGAUGGUUGUACCGGUACAGCCAUCACCCUUGUACCGGUACAACAGUUCCAGAAUGCUGUUUUAACUUUGUUUCGGCUCCACUUCGCGCCGAUCGAUAUCCAAACUAUUCCAACACCUUUAGAAGUCAUUUUUGCUCUUCCAAACUUGUUGGAAUGCCGAAUAGAACUUGUCCAAAUCGUUUAAUCGCCCACUUUGGCCCAUUUGGCCAAAGUUAGCCAACGUCGUCGAAUUUCAAUAUCUUAUAUUCUCCACCCCUUAAAAGGAGUUUCGUCCUCGAAACAACUAACUCGUAAAUCGAACUUAAACUCUUACCUCAAUCCUCAAACAAGUGAGGAUGAUUCGCUUUCAUCUGGUCCUCGAGUUCCCAAGUGGCUUCGCGAUCGUCGUGAUUGCUCCACCGAACUUUAACAUAGGGGAUUUCUCGAUUCCUUAGCUUACGCACCUCUCGAGCCAAAAUCUCUACCGGAAACUCUUCAUAACUCAAAUCAUCUUGAAGUUCCGGCGACUCAUAUAGCAUCGCAUGCUCGGGGUCGUGAAUAUACUUGCGGAGGUUGGAGACGUGGAAGACAUUGUGCACAACCGCAAGCUUCGGGGGCAAUGCAAGUCGAUACGCCACCGUCCCAAUUCGCUCCAAGAUCUCGUAGGGGCCAAUGUAAUGAGGACUCAGCUUUCCUCGCACCCCAAAUCGCCUCACGCCUCGCAUCGGCGAAACCUUCAAGAAUACGCGGUCACCCACCGCGAACUCCAAAUCUCGCCGGCGUCUAUCCGCAUAGCUUUGCUGUCUCGACUGCGCCGUAAGCAAUCUUUUGCGAGCUAGGCGGACUUUCUCUUCCGCUUCUCGCAACACAUCUGGGCCGAACUCCUCCAGUGUAUAGGAGAUAACACCAUUAUCUAGCAUAGCAUGGACAUCCUUUCCAACAACUUUUGCUCGAUAACCUUGCAUUCAAAUAUCGUAUAUGUUGGACAUCUAUAUCGAUAACCCCAUUAGAUUUUGCCGCUUUUUCGAAGUUUUGUUAUUCUCCACAUUGUGAAUACAUGCACUAUUCGUAUAUUUCACUAAGUGAUUUUACUUUUCUUGGCGUUGUCUCUGGAGAAGUUUCUGGUGAAAUUCGCGGUGAAGCAUGUGGUGUUGUUUCUGUGCUUGUCGUAAUUUCACCAUUGUUUCUAUUUUCAGUUGCAGUUUCAUUUUCUAAUAUCGGAAGUGAAUUAUCCUGCACUUUUGCGCUCCAAUCCAAAGCUUUUUGUUCAUCAAAUAUAGCAUCACGACUUAUAAUUAAAGAGUUAGUAGCAGGAUUAUAAAAUCGAUAGGCUUUACUUCUUUCGCUUAAUCCAACAAAAAUACACUUCUGACUAUUAUCAUCCAAUUUUUGCGUACUUUGUGAUGGGAAAUGAACAAAAGAAAUCGAUCCAAAAAUUUUAAAGUGUUUUACCUUCGAUUUCCAGCCGCUCCAUGCUUCAUAAGGUGUAAUAUUCUCCAGCGCUAAAGUUUGACUUCUAGUGAGAAUGUAUGCUGCAGUAGAUACUGCCUCUACCCAAAAAUUAUUCGGGAGAUUUUUCGCUUUCAACAUGCUUUUUGCCAUCUCGACUAAACUUCGAUUUUUGCGCUCUGCAACACCGUUCUGCUGAGGCGUGUAACUGGUUGUCAACUGCCUGUGGAUACCAUUAGCCUUACAAAAAUUUUCAAACUUAUUAGAAAUAAAUUCUCCCCCUCGAUCUGUUUGGAGGGUCCUAAUAUAAUAACCGGAUUCGUUCUCAACCAAAUUUUUAAAUUUCUGAAAAACAUCAAAAUCUUCGAAUUUAUUUUUGAUAAAAUAAACCCAAAUCAUCCGACUAUAAUCAUCAACGAAAACUACAAAAUAGUAAUUGUUGCUGAGCAACGGUGUCUGCAUUGGUCCACAUACAUCUGCAUGUAUCAAUUCUAAUGGUUCUUUGGCUCUCCAAUUGCUCUUUUCGGAAAAGAGUCCCUAUGAUGCUUUCCUAGCACACAACUUUUACAUAUAGAGCCAUUAUUAUAUACCAAAGGCAAACCAUCAACUAUAUUCUUUUUAUGUAAUAGAUCAAAUCCCUUAAAUCUCAAGUGACCAUAUCGAUAGUGCCAUAACCAAUUAUCAUCUAGCACUACUUUCAUUACAACAUGAACAGGAAAAACUUUAUUUUCUGUCAUCGGAACUUCAAAAAGUAAAUUCUUUUUAUUUUUAUCUCUAUAAAUUGUGCACUUAGAAUUUUCAAAAAUAAGCGAAUGACCUUCUUCCAAAAAUUGACCCACACUAAAAAGAUUGGAAUUCAAUCCUGAAACAUUUAAGACAUUAUUUAUUUUUUGCAUUCCAGAAAUAUUUACUACAAUUGUACCUCUUUCAUGCACGUCAUGGACANGUGUAUCUAGCAGCGCGACCUAGUAUACAGUAUAACAAUAGACGCCUAUGUUCUAAAUAAACUGUUAUAACUAUGUUCAUAACGACCGUAACACUCUUUAAGUAUAUAAGGGUUAUAAUGUAGAUAUAAAAAAUAAAAAAACAAGAAUAAUUUUUAUAGACUAGUUUUAAACAAAUCCUUUAGCUAAAAACAAAGAAACUAAGUAACUUUCAAAGCGCCACGCUGUUAAAAACUAUUUUAUAAAACACUUCUUUUUUACCUACAGUCACCACCUUCGCCUCCCGAGCCCGGCUGUAUACCUAGUCUAUUUAUUAUUCAAUUUAAUAUUCAAAAAUUAAAUUAUUUUCUUUUUGGUUUUUUUUUCGGUUUUCCGUUUUUUUUUUUUUUUUCAGUACUCGGUUUUCCGUAGUGUUUUUCUACAGUUUUUCUAUUCUACUACGGCACUCUGAGCCACCCCAUAUCUAUCGGGGGGACAUAGCACGGGGGAAGAACCCUCGUGCCGUGCGGGGCACGGCAUGCCGUACCGUGCCCCGCCGUGAAUUAAGGAACCGACGAACGUAUAUUGUAACUUGUUCAAGCGAGAUUGGAAAAUUUAUAUUUAGGCCUUUUCUGGGAAUUUUGAUGCGAACUUUGAGUACCUGUUCAACAUAAAGGGAUCGAUACUUUGUAUUUACUUGACAUCAAAGAGUAAGUUUUCCACUAUGUUUUGUUCAAUGUGUGUAUUUAAAGCGGAAGUGAAUUCAGCUUCUCGUUAAUUACAAAGCAGUGAACUUAAACUUGGUAUUUUCUAUUAGCAGUUGUCUACGUAGUAUCUUUUAUAUGGACACCGGAUCAACGUACUGUUCAACUGACCAGUAGGUGAGCUGUUCUUUUAAGAAGUUGUUUUUCUCCGUAAACCGUACUUCUUAUACUUGAGUUAAGGAGGUUGAAGAAAACGUCAAGGUACUAAAGCAACAGGAAGAAAGGUUACCAAAGAAAAUCUUAAAGUUACCGUGGGAGUCUAAGGACAACUGUAUUAAUUAGUCGUAUUAUAUUCUCGUCGGUAAAUUUGUCUUUUAAUGUUAACUUCGUUGAUCUACGUAGUUGUUAAAAUUCAGAAUUUUCUCAAUUUAGUCGUCGAGUUCCUUUGUUAUUUAAGAUUAUCUGGAUAUGAUAUUUUUGUUCUUCAAUUUUUCUAAGACAAGCUUAAAGGGUUGGGUGGAUUCAUUAAUCCGAUUAUUGGGAUCCUUUUGAAGCAUUUUAUAGCCUAUGAAUCACGCACACCCAAGUUCGAUCACGAAGCCGUUUUCACGAUAAAUCCAUCUCAAGUGAUUGUCGAAAGAGUAAUUUUUGAGGAUUCGUUCCUAACGGGACGUUCAGUUGUACGGAACGUGAGUACGUCUAUUCAGGCGCGGCGGGCACGGUAGUAUAUUUUAGUCCCCACCCGGCUCCACACACGGUACGGUUACCAUGUGGUUGUACGGGGUUAGAUCACCUUGCAGUAAACGACAAGGAGUCGUUGAAAACGACUUCUUCUUCGUCUUUACGUUUAAACCUGGAAGUCAAAACCCCACAUCUUUGAGAAAUUUUUUUUUUUUUUUUUCAGAGUAUUAUAAACAAACAGUCUGCAGAUCGUUGAAGAAAACCUUCUUCUAUCCGGUCAAGUUUUUGGUUCGUUUUAUCCGUGGAUUAGUACUAUUUCUAUUGUACUAUUGCUAACUUACAUGUUUUGUUUCAACCUAUAACGGUUUAUAUCAGGGUCUUCAAUGAGACGUACUAUUAAUUCAGAAACAUAUCAUUAUAACAGAGUUUUUCCACGGGACGGUCGUGAUAAUAAUUUGAACGAAAAAGUACAAUCUUUAAGAGCUCCUUUAAUUCUGAAUUCAGUUUGAAGUCACUAAUUUAACAACUAUAACUUGAGAAGCUUACUGUGACUUUAAACUUAGUUUGAAAUUGUGGAUUUGAAAGUCUCAACUUUUGAACUUUAUGUUUCUACUUUAACUUACAGUCCAGUUUUAAUUCUUUCUUUUAAAUUGGUUUAUUUAAAAUUACGUUUACUUGACCGGUCUUCCUUUUCACGUUGUAUGCUGUGUUCAUAAUGGUCUUCAAAAACAAAUAUGACGAAAUCUUGAACGGUAUUUCGGAACCGCUUUAAAGAGUACUAGUAAAGUAAGGACCACUGAGCAACGUUAACACGUAUCUCCAGUAGUAUUACAGGAUGAAAUGAUAGGUUACAACGUUCUCUGAGGCUUCUUGACAAAUUUUGAACACUACCAAGUUAGAGAACUUCGAAGAGACUUAGUAGUUGAUGUUACAGAGUAAACAACUGUUCGUUUUUGGUAUUAAUCUUAUGUCUUUAUGUAUUUAUUUCCUUGAGUUUCCUGUUUUGAUUAUUAAGUGCAUUAGUGACCCUCUAUUACGUCGUUGAAGUUCUCUUCUUCAGGUUUUGGAGCGAAUCUAAGAGCCCUUAGGAGUAAACGUGAACGCAGUGUUAAAAGUUGUCGGACGUUUUCUUUCGUUGACUUUACUUUGUUAUACGGAGUUUGAAAAUGUCACACUACGAGUUUAAUUUGGUACAACUCCGUUCUUACUAAAGAGUAAACACAAAGUGUUACCAAUCACCAGAAUUCAGUCAAUUCGUACAAAGAUUCUCAAAGAAGAUGGCAGUAGAAAUUUUCCUCGUCUUUAGCAACCCAACAAUACUACCAUUUGUAUUUCUUUUCAAAUUAAUACUAUUUGGUUGUUGAUUUGAAAAUUAGGAUAGAGUUAAAAGUGGUACGUAAAAGUUAACUAAGUUUAAAUUUGGAAUGUUAAAUAAGCAGAGUUUAUCUAGGUUCUUAAAACUGGUAAAGAGUUAAAUCUACGACUAGAAAACUCUUUAUCAACCGUUUGCCACAAUCAAUAUGUAUCAACUAAGAAUUAACUUGUUUAUCGGGUUAUUAUCUGAUAGAUGCAUCGAAGUCAUGUUCCCUUCUCGGGAAAAAACCCCGGAAUUUAGAUAACAGAUCUGACGUCGAAUGUACAUACUAGUUUACAUCUUUGCUGUAAUAUACGGUUAGGUAAGAACACUUCAAACGGAGGUUUAAAGAUUUAAUAGGGUUUAAAAACCCGGACAAACUCUGCUCGUUUUAUCUCACAACUUUAACUUCGUUCUGUACAUUAUCCCAUGUCCUCUGUCUACUUUAAUCUUCUCACCGAAAUCUUGAACCGGAAUUUUAUUAAUAUAAAUACACCUACAUGCUAAAACGUAUUGUUGUAUUGUACUUCUCACCUACUUGCUUCACCUUAUUACACCCAUAUUUAGCUGUGUAAACUUAGAAUUAUUAUUUUAACUUACUAUCGGUUUUGGUCGUCAUGUUGGCUGUUCAGUACUCUAUUAAAUUCUAAGGUGUCAUUAAUUAGAGAUGUACUGGCAUUUGAAUAGUAAAAAUUUGUACCAUUUUACUCUAGAUAUAGUCUUAUGUGUACCUAUUAAGUUGGUUUUUAUGGACGCUAAUUAGGUUUUUUUUUUACUUUCUCUGACUGUUACUCCCGGAACUUUUUCCAUCAUGGUUAAGUUCCAGUAAUUCGAAAGAAGAGAAUUUUAAGAGCCCCGUUUAUUCACAGUUUAAUGAAGAAAAAACUCUUCUGUCUGGUCUCUUUAGUAGUUCUAAUCUUAUGGACUUAUUUCUUCCACUUCUUUUAUUUCUUUGAAAUUUUUCCGAGUAUUUAUAUUUUCGUCAUAAAUGAUAUAAAUUCCGUAAAGUUUACAACGUAUUAGUUACAUAAAAUUUAGGUAGAUGUUUUUUGGUUCAACAGUGAUGAAUUUUGUAUUCUUUUUGACUACUCUCGUUUAAUUUAAACAAUAACUUGAAAGUAAAUCAAAGGAAUCGUAGACACAAGCGUUGAUCGAUUAAAUACACCUAGUAGUGUUAAAAACCGUGAAGAAAGGGAAUACGGGAACCAUAAAGGUAGUAAAAAAGGACGUUCUUAAGUUAACCGUACCUAAAGUGAUUCGUUUUAUUUUUCGAUUUAUGUGUAUUGUAACUAAUGAAUGUAGUACCGAUCGAUAGUUUACGAGGAAGUUAUUCUAGUAAUAUAUGAACAUAUUGAACAAGUUAUGUUGUUAUACAACAAACUUGUCUGAAUCCCGUACAAACUAAGUACUCACCUUAGCUUUAACAUUUACCAUAACCUAACGUAACCUUACCCUUAACCUCACGACUUAAAAGAUUUUAACAAACCAAGUAAUAAUCUUACCUUUAGUCUUACUUGUAAAUCUUAAAAUCCUCUCCCAAAACCAAUUCUCUCUGCUCUCAUUACUUCCCUCUCUUCUCCCUACACAAACAUUCUCUCAAAACUCACCAAAUGAUCCUUACCCGGUUAGUCCCUAGGUUUUGGUCUAACUCAGUAUUUACGUAAGCCAGAAAGGUAAGGUAUCACCUUACCCUUAACCUUAGACUAAGGACAUUUUGUUUGUUGUUGAUAACUUUAAUUAUUUAGAGUAAGGCUAAGGUAUCAGAUUUUAUCCACUUGGUUUGUUCAGGAAUCACAAAUUAUUUAAUAAACUGAAUUAUAAUCAAAUAGGAGUUUGGUGUCUAGACUUUCAUGUACUAGGAAGGAAAUUGUCGUUGAGAGUUUUAGGUUCCUUUUAGUUGAAUAUCGAACUCGAAAAAUACGCUUUGUGGUUGAUCGAGUGUUAGACUAGUACGCGAGUUAAUACUGGUAGUAUCAUAGUCCGAACUACGUAUGAUAUCCCACACAAACCCUAAACUACAUCGGAAAUCGGAGCUUGGAUAAACCGUAUUUUCUAUAAUGGUUAUAUUUACCAACGGAAAACCGUUUUAGUCGAAAAAAACACUUUUACAAGUACCGGAUUUUCGAUAAUAAUUUUACAUCUUCAUUAUGUAUUCGUUGAGCUGUUGGCAGGUUUGUCUCUUCCGGUAACGUAAAUCAGGGUUUUCACUAAAGCCCGGGUGGUUUUACGUGUUAGUUUGUACAUACAGGUAACCGUGAUCGCACCCGGAACAGAGUUGAACCCACGAAACCAUCCAAAUCAACAAGAUGGAUAAUCCCAAUGUUUUGUAAGAGAUGUCAUGGUAAACCAAGCUCUUGUUCGAUAAGAACGAAUAAGGACAGAAGACCUUAUUCGUCUUUAAUCUGGUUAAAAUACAAACCUUCUCUUAGUUCUAUAAUACUCCUUAUACUUUUUAAUGUAAACCCACUAACCCAACUUUAUCAUCCUUAUUCUCAUUAAUAUUUUUAUUAAUAGAUUUAUUAUUCGUAGAUUUAUAAUCAUUUUAUUAUAAAAUUGUUCAAUUAUUUUAUUAAUUCAUCCUUAUGAUAUACUCUACUACUUCUAACUUCUUGCUGUAAUUAAUCACUUAUCGAUAUUUUUUUUUCAGUCAUACAAUUAUAAUUAAUUAAUAAAUUAGUUAAUAUUAAAAAUCAAUUAGAAAUUAAUCUAUUUAAUUUUGUUAUAUUUAUAAUCAAUUACUAACUUAUUCGUAUAGUUUAUCCAUUAAUAAAUUAAUCGAUUAAUAAAUAUUUAUUAUUUAAUUAAUGAUAAAUUUUAUAAUUAAAUUGUUCAGUUUACUAAUUAAUCGAUUAAUAAUUUUUUAAUUAACGUAAUUAAUUAUUAUAAAAUAUUAAUAAAUAUUGAAUUAAUCAUCUCCUUAUUCUAUCUUUUAUCGAACAAGGUGGAUUAUCCGUCUUAAUGAUAAGAGAAGAGAAUUGCCCAAUAAGGUCUUAUUGGAUAAUUCUCCUCUUAUCAUUAAAGAUUACGGCAAACCCUCUUAUUCCUCUUAUUUAGAAAAUAAGUGGGAAAUAGGGAACUUGGUUUGUACCGGAUACACCAAAUCAAUCCGAGUAUUAUGACGGAAGGGAAUAUAUCUUAGAUGACAUACUAUACAUAUUUCAAGUUAAAUACGCACUGAUUAUUUCAUGAUUUGACAAUACUACGUUGGAUGAGAACCUAUACAGCCACUUAGACGGGUGGUGAUUAAGGUGUAAAUAAGACGGCGGCAAUGUAUUGAUGCGUUAUUUGUUAAUUGUGGUGUUUGAUAACCCUUAUAAAUCCAGGACUCUACGAGGAAUGAGUCACUUACUCCCGAUACAUACAUGAAUUAACAGAGACUAUCUGGAUUUGGCGUUUCUUGAUUAAUGCUUUCCUUUGUGAUUUCACUAUAUGACAUUACUAGUACCAUAUGAGUGAAAUUUAAAAAGACGAUAAUAAGAUCUUAAAAAAUAACUUUUUUUUUUAUUUUGAGGUAUGUAACUUCCUUUGAUGGUUUUAGUGAUCUUGAUACGUUUCUUCUCAACCCACGACGAUACGACGAGUUUUUCCUUGUAUCCUUUUAGUCGUUUAUAUUUUUGGAUACUCUGCUAGUUAUUCCCAUAGUGGGUUACGAAGAAUUUCCAUUUCUACGCGAUCGUUGAGCAAAACUAAUGAGUUCAAUGUUGGAUUAAUAGAUCUCUAUCUUUACAUAAUUGUUACUGUACAACUCACGGAUCUAUAAGUUGAAUUGGUACGUUGUGUAAGGUCUGGUUACUAGUUACAAUUCGAAAAAAUGUUAACUCCUACUGUCAUGUUAACUUUUUACUGUUCUCGAAUACACAAUGUAGAAGGGUCCAAGUUCCUAGAAAUUCUUAGUUUCGAACUUUAGUAAAAGUUGGAAUCUUUUAGGUUUGUCGCUAGAAGUUAUAAAAGAGAUCUGAAUUAUGAAAGUCAAACGUAACCAAGUUUGUUGGAAAUAGUGUACGAAAUGUAGGAACUCUGGUUUCGUACGGGUAUAACUCGUUAAUUCCUACUGUACUGAUAGACAUACACAAUGUACAAGACUCCAACUUCCAGAUAAGUCCAAACUUCAGAGUCUGGUAAAAGUUGAGGCACUUUAUCACACAAGAGUCAAUAAAAGGGAGAUGUAUGAUGGAGUUGAAACGUAAACAAAUUCGUGAGAAAUAGUUUACAAAUUCUGGGUUCGUACUGGUAUUCUCCACAGACAAGUGACCAAACAUCGUAAAGACUUUGCGAAAUGUUAAGGAUAAUGAUUAUUGUUCUAACAGUGGUACGUUAAACUCGGCCUUCUCCCGUUCCUCGAGAAUCUCAGUACAACCACUCAACACAAGGGAUCCUUAGAGUGAUGUUUACCCAUACCCUUACUGUUUUGAGAGGUGUGGUACCAUUGUAUUUUAACGUCGAUCAAUCCUUAGAACCUGUUAAAGUAGUUCAAAUAACACAGGAGGGUUUUGCUUGACAUAAUAUUGUUCGAGCGGUAAAGUCGAUGUUUUAAUCCGUAAGUAUUUUAUAAUGGUUAACUACUUUACUUACGGGGGAUUUUCUAACUCUUUAUUUGAUGACCUUAACCGGAGGUAAUAGAUUUUCGGAUAUAUUUCUUACUAUUUAAGCCUGCAAGAACAUUAGUAGGUUCAAAAAAUGGAGUUGUGUCAAAAACGUAUGUUAUUUCUAUCUGCUGUUGUUAGUAAACUGCUUUACAGGAUUAGUUGUACUUCUAUAAAUAAAUAUUUUUGGUCAGUAAAGUUCGUAUUACUUUACAUGUGUCGUAUCUAAGUGUUUUUAUGAUAUAAAAAGUCCUUCUGUUUAUCCUAUUUCCCACUCCCGACCCUUCACUUUUCUAAGUCCUCACUAUGAAAUAAAAGUAUAUUCCGCUGCGGAAAGCCUCGUUUUUACUACAUAGUUCCAUUAGUAGAAGGGGUCCAAAAUGACAAUUUUAGACGUAUUUACAGUUUUCUUUAUCAGUUCACAAUAUGUAAAAAGUUAGAAUUUUCGUCAUUGACAUGUUGGAAUUUUGGUUUUAUUUAUUUAUUUUAUUUUUUAAUUUUUUAUCAAGACGCAAGGGAUAUUAGGGAUUCUUGUUUCUUUUUCCUAAUAUAUAAAACAGAUUUAUAAAUUUAUUUUAAUCGAACAUUGAUUACCUCAGGAUCAAAACCGGACUUUGUCUUAAGUCAACAACAUUAAACAUCUUAAUGAUCAACUGCCGUGUCUGUCAGAUGAUCCUUCUUUCUUUUCCUUUCCUUUCCUUUUUUUUCUUCUAGUAUUCCCUCUUCCCUCUUCUUUUUUCUUUCCUCUUUCGGUUUAUAUGGGACUUUCUCUGAUUGUGCUGGUUUCGAAGUGCUCACCUUCUUCUUAACUCGAACAAAGAAAGAAGAGUUCUUUGUUCACUCCAUAAAGAAACGUUUUAACACGAAGUUCUUCUUUCUUGAUAAAGAGAAAAGUUGUCAAAAUUUAUCGGCAACGAUACGGGUGGUGUCGUCGGUGAUAUCGCCCAAAUGAUACGAUAGCGAUUCGGUAUUGUAAAUCUUGCCCUAAAUCGCCUUACCCAAGCAUCAUCGUCGAAAUCAUCGUGAUUCCAGUGAUUUCGUCCGCGAUAUUUCGCCCCAGCUUCAUCCAGUGAUACACGGGUUCCGAAUCUUUAACACCCAAAACUUCAAUUUAUUUUUACUAGUUAUGGGAUAUGAACCUAAUAUCAAAAAGAUAAAAAAUAGAAGAACCAAACCAUUCAGUAUUAUAAAGUUUCAAUCAGUAUGUUUAUUACCGUAAUUUACACAUAUGAAUUUUAUUCUCUAACUUCUCGUGUAAACAACCUUAAAUUUAGGAUAUUAAAGCUAAAUAAUACACAUAAUACUUAUUUUAUUUAAUUAAUAUAAUAUACAUUUUAAUUAAUACUUAUUUUUAUUAAUUAAGUAAAAUCUAUCAAAUCUUUAAACUUUAAACUUUAAACUUUAAACUUUAAACUUUAAAACUUCAACUUUUACACCCUUAUUACUUAUCACAUGUUAAAAUUUUGGGAGAUAUAUAUCCAUCCCCUCUCUCCUACUCUCCCAAAACCUCCUGCACAAUGAAACUCUUGUGUGUUUGGGAGGAAAUUACAGUUUUAUACGUUUCUUGUCUACGUGGCUUCUAGGGGGGUACCUGGUAUGUAUAUAGGUGUUAGUUGUCGGAUACUACGUGAUCCUCGUGGUUUUCGUCGGGGUCCUGUGCACGCCAUAUACCACGUGGUCCACGUGUCUUUCAUUGGGGUGAUUUGCACCGUGAUAUAAUUGGAUUGAGACGCCACAUGCCACGUGGUCUUUCAUCAUGCUUCCGUGUACCGUUGUGUCAUUACAUUGAGGUGCCUGAAAUCAUAUAUCAUUAUCUAUUAUCUAUCCGAACGUUAUGAUGUUUUCUAUUACUAAUCAACAUAAAAGAAGUUGAAUUCCUUAUAUUUGAUAAAUCAAAAAAAACACUUUGGCCGAUAUGUAAGCAUCAUGAGCGGUACCGUGGGUGAUAGGAGAAGGUGAUAUUCUGGGGUUUACAGUACACGAGGAUAGACGAAAAAUGUUGGAAUGAAAAGUUAUCUUUAAACAUGAAGUUAACUUUUUUUUUUAAGGAAAAAAAUAAAAGAAGUGUUUUACUUAUACUAUUGUUCUUCUUCUCGGGUAGAGAUCAUUAUCGUUGGAUCAAAAAAAGGUUUAGAUGGUCCCAUGUAUCCAUAUGAGUGUAUUCCCAAUUCAUAUUAUUUUUGAUUUUUAUUUUAAAUUAACCAAUUUUUGUACUCGUUUUUUGAUUGGAUGAGUUAACUGUUUGAUGUUAUCAAGUUGGAGUUUGAUCUGGUUACACUGAGGUUUUGUGAAGUUAUUUAAAAGUUUAUCGAAAUUAAAUUGACUUUGGGUACCAUAAAUCCGUACAUUUAUCCGGUUCGCCAAGCACGAUAUUGUAGGUACGGUACUCGAUCCCGGAACAGGGUUCCCGUACAGGGUUCCGGAGAGUUCCAAAAUAGUUCAGGCGAUAUAGGUUAUCUAUCGACUCGAUAUGUACCCCGAUAAAACUAUGUUUUACCUAGUUUUACGGGAACGGUUGUAGGUUUUAUACACGAGUCCUCUACCUCAGCCAAAUAAGGCCCAAGAAAAGAGUCUUAUCUAUAUGAUUCUUCUAGCUUGACCGGUAACUUGGUUAAGUGUCAAUUUGGAUAAGCUAGCCGACCAAUCACCUUUUCAUUCCCUUCGCACCCAUCACCUUCGUUACCUGGGUACUCAUCACCUUCGUACCCAACUAAAUUAUCUCUGCGAAAAGCUCCUGAACAUGUAAGAUCCGGUCCUCUUCCAGGUAAAUCAACGGGUGACGAACCUUCCGCUCCGGGUGCUAAUCAGCUUAUUCAUCCCUACGUUUGCCCCGCCUAGGUCCCCGCCCUCUCAAGAAAUUAAGCAGUCAUCUCUAUGUAAAGAUAUAAAUUUAAAUAAUUAUUGUACUAUGAAUUUUAUUAUUAUAUUUUAAUUUCUAUUCUAUAUCAGGUAUAGCUGUAUUUUACUUACAAAAAGUUUUCAUGCAUGUUAUUUGAUGAGUAUAGUAAGAUGUACAUAAUAAAUAUUCAUAUUAUUUUAUUUAAAUCUUUCAAAAUAAUAUUAUAAGAGUUUACUGGAAUCAAAAAAGCUAAAAUAAGUCCGUGCCAAAGCGUGCCAGCAGGAGGUCGUGCGUAUCUGUCGGCACGCAAGCGUGCCCGUGCUGUACCGUGCCAGGGACGUAACGGCACGCCCCCGUGCCACGGCACUUUAAACCUUGGUCCAAAUUAAUAAAGUUUUCUUCUUUUCCUAUCAUGUGACUGCUACAAUCACUAUCAACAUACCAAAUAUUGUUAGCAGUUUUUUCUAAUGAACGACAUGCAAAAAGUAUAUUAUCGUUUUCAUUCUUUUCAUAAGCAAAAUUAGCAUUCUGUUGUUUCAAUCGACAAAAGCACUCGAUAUGACCAAAUUUUUUACAAUAAUAAUAUUUAAUAUUUUUUUGAUUGUGGGAUUGAUCGUUACCUCCAUAGGUUCUCUGAUUUUGAUUACCUGAUCUUUCAUCGUUUCUGUUGUUAAAAUCACCCGAUCUACCUCUGCAGCCUCUGCCUUGGCCACGACUACGGCCUCUACCAUGUCCACUAUAUGCUGAAGCUUGACAAUUAAGAGAAUCUGUACCAUCUUUUUCAUCGCUUUUCGAUUCACUUUGAAAAGCAUGCUCAGAAAAAUUUUCAGUUCUAUCUUUUCGUUCCUCAUGUGUUAAAAGAGAACCAAGAAGUUCGCUACAAGAUAAUUUAAAUAAAUCUUUUGCCUCUUCUAUGGCAGAAAUAACAUAACCAUAUUUUUUCGUUAGACUUCUUAAACUUUUUUCGACUACUGUUUGAUCAGUAAUCUGUUCACCAUAGGUACGCAUCAAGAUAACUAAUUCCAUAACUUUAUAAUAAAAAGUAUGAAUAUUUUUAUUUUCUUGCAUAAAAGAAGCUUCAAAUCUUCUUUUUAAAGUUUGAAUCUUAACUCUGAGUACUUUUUCGUUACCUUGGUAUUCCUUCUGUAAUAUAUCCCAUGCUUCCUUUGAUUGAGUAGCGCCGGCAAUGCGGGAAAAUAUAGAAUCGUCAACUGAUUACUAAAUAAAGAAAAGCGCCUUUGCAUAUCUUUUUUCAGAUUCUCUCCAGUUGUUUCCUUGCAUCCUUUUUCGACAAAAUCCCAUAAAUCUUGAGAUCGCAGCAACGUCUGCAUCUUCACGCACCAAAAAUCAUAAGAGUAAUGCUUCUAUACUUUUUUUUUUUGUUACCGUUCAUUCAUGCGUAUUCAACAACUCAGAUUUAGUUUUUUUAAAAUUGUGACCUACAAUAGCAGGUUACUUUGGGAGAGGUACCAGUUAUCAAGUACCUCAAAAAAGGGCAUUUUUUAUUUUUAAUAUAUGAGUAAUUUAGUCAUUUUACCUUUACUAUAUUUUACCUCAAAAUUUUUAUUUUUUCUUUGUCUCCUUUUUCUCUCUCUAUCUUUCCUUUCAUAAUUUGGCAUUUCAUAUAAGAAAAUUUUCAAAUGAUUUGACAAUAUGAUCUUUUAAUUUUUCUUUUCUCUUUGUUUAUAUGUUUAAUAUUGCAAAUCAAUUUAAUUUUAAGAAACUAUGCAUUAAAAUUUAUUUCCAUACCUAUUGCUUUCUAAAUUUUUUUUAAUAAAAUAAGAAUGAAAUUUAGAUUAUUUUGUGAUUUAAUUUGUUAGUUAAUUUUUUUCUAGUUCAAUCUGAGAAUUUUCAAAUUUUAUCAUAUUGUAGGAUAUUAAUUUUGUUUAGUUUUGAUAGUAAUACCUUGUAGAAAUUUGCGAUGGCUAAUGGAUCAAAAAAUAAUAUUCCGAUGGAAAAGGUGUGUGGCAUUAUAAACUUAAAAUUUGUAAUAUAAAUUUAUUUAUUGAUAAGUUCCAGUCGACCCCCCCCCAAGAUCCCAAUCCCAAUCGAGUUUUUUUGGGAUCCAAUUGGAUAUAUCCAUACCUUUUGAACGCCUUUUGGGGGAGCUUUCCUCAGCUUAAUUAGGGUCGAGAGUUGGUCGUCAGCGUGUUUCGCGCUAUCAGGGAGACUCAAGCUUUUGAGCGUUAAGCUGCGUAUUUUAUAUCCCGGAUAAGCGCUUAUUAGGCUAAUGAGUUUAGUCGGGGAAGCGCCUGAAAAGCGCUAAGGGCUCCUAGGCAGGCAGCCUAAAGGCUAGCCUAGCGUGGUCGCGCUAGUCGUGCUGUCUCCGUAGCUUAGAUCGUAGAGCAAAGUAGGCUUUUCUAAGGGCUAAUCGCUGUUUUGGAAGGAAGGAUCCAAGAUGGUUUGUGGUGUAUAUCUGUUAAUAUACGUUUUUGGUAAUUUGGGGAAAAAGAGCUUUAGGCACGGAGGUUUAGGUUUAGACAUUCACGGUAACCCAGGUCCUAUCAGCUCGCCAACUUUUGCUCGAUAACCUUCCGAUAUAAGCCUCAGGCUAUGCGCAGCUUUCAGGUGAAAUGAGGCGCCGGAGAGGCCUUUUGGCCUCAAUGAUAAGUGAAUUCAGUCUGAAGGCCCAGCGCAUUGAAGAGGCAAAAUUGAGCAAAAGAGGACUUUAAACUGCCCAUGUGAAUAUUAAUAUAAUGUGUGUUCUUGUAGUAAUUUGUUUUCCCAAAUUAGUUAUUUAGUUUUAGAGUCAAUAAUGUUUAAAACAUAUGAUUAAAAUUUUUUAAUUUACGCCCGUUUAUAAAUUUAAGUUAUAUAAAUUAUACAAAUUUUUUUAAAUUAUUAAAAAGAUUAAACCUAUCAUUAAGAAAUAGUGAUAAAUUUUUUAAAUUACAUCUAUUAACUAAUCUUUAUAUCCCAUUCCCAUAUUAAAUUUAAAUAAAAAUAUUAUCUUAACAUAUCUGUUUUAAUUAAGUUUAAAACCAUCAUUUUUAACUAAAAAUUUUUAUUAUUCUAGUACAUAACAUUAAAUUUUAUAUUCGGCUUUUGUUUUAUUUAAAUUUCAAAUCUUGGAUUUUUCAUAUCUCUUUAGAAGUUAUUUAGAUUUAUUAUAUCAUGUCAAACNNNNNNNNNNNCCCCCCCCCAGCUGACCCAGCCGCCCCUGUCACCAGCACCACCCUGCCCUGCCCGUGCUCACGUUCCGGCCGCCGCCGAGCUGCCCCGGCCGCCGGAAACCGCCUGCGACCGGCCUUCCUCCUCUCCUCAGCCAUCUCUUAGAUCGAGGGUUUGUGGGAGGGUCUCCACCGCCUCUGGAAGCAAGCCCCGGCCUCCUUCCACCUCAGGCACCCUCUCCCGCCGACCCCGGCCACCCCUGAGCGUCGCCGGAGCCGCCGGAAGAGCUGCAGCCAACCGGGUCUGCCCUGAACCGAGCCGGGCCGAGCUCGGGUCACGGGCCUUGGGACCGCAUCUCCCCUGCGGCCAAGCCUCCCUGUCGACCCCGGCGACCUCCAGCAACCCGGCGCGUGCGUCCCCGGCUGUCCCCGCGCCUCGCCGGCUGCCGCCAAGGUCUCCCGCCGCCGCUCGGGGUCUGUGCGGGCCGACCUUGGAGCCGCGCCACUUCAGAGGGCUGCCGUUGUCCUCUGAGGUGAGCACCACCUCCCCCUUGGUCUCCGGCACCGGAUCCUUGCCGCCCUGACCUUCCCCGGUCGCCGCCUCGCCGCCGGCAAGCUCCAACCCGAGAGGAAGUCGGUGGGCUCGAUCUCCGCCGCCGCGCCACCGGCUGCUGCCCACCGCCGGCCAGCACCUUCCCCGGACCUCCCCGACCUGCUGCUCCCAUCACCGGCCGGAGUUCCCGCCGUCCGAUCGCCGGCGGCCAUCCCUAGCUCCCACAGCUCCGGUGAGUAGCCAUUUAUAGUUCCAGCACUGUUGUUUUGCGUUCCGGUCACUUGUCCGGUGAUCCGAGGACUCCCUGGCACCUCGGGAGGUGAGCCCGGUGAUCGUGGGCUCGUGCUGAACACGAUGCUCACCUCCAUUUAGAUUAACGGUGCCCUGGUUAAUGGGUAGUGUGCGAUCUUCGCGCUGUGCGCACUGAUUCGCUGAGGUUCGCGUCGCUCGUGCGCGCGUGGUUGCUGCCGGCAGUGCUCCGAAAGGUGAGCACGGCCUCAGGCAUACCGAAACCUUGCAGCAAGUGCGAUGGCAACCUCCGUAGAUCCCUGGUUUGCUGGUACGACCUGUUAGAGCCAUGAAAUCACAUAAAAUAAUGUGAUUUCAUGGGCCAUUAAGGAUCCGUUUGCGUUUCGCUUUGUUGUGGCUGCUGUUGGCAGCAGGUAAAGGCUUAAGAUAACCUCUGGACUGAUCGUCCAAGGCCCCAAGCCUUUGCGGAAAUCUAUCGGGCAUUUCCGGAGCGUUUUUCGGCGAAAUCCGCCGAUAGAACGCGCGUUCGACUCGGAAUUCUUACGACGGUGCCUCGUGGUUGACUGUAACGUCGCUGAGCCUUGUUGGCUGGUCACCCGUGUCGUCUCGAAGGUUCAGAAACGACGGGUGAGCGACGGUGGAGUUCCGGUACGGUUUUCGGGACUUCCGGCUGAUUCGGAAGUUGCAUUUGAGAAACCGAUUUCAGUGGGGUUAUGAUUUUGGGAUUUGUGUGAGAUUGGUCGUGUUAUUGUGUUCGUGGGUUAGACUCUAACCCGGUGGACCCUUCGUAGGUCCGGUCGCUUCGUCUCCGCCGUAGCGAGACCAUUUCAGCUUUAUACAGGUGGGUACUUCGAUCCGAAGUCGGUACAGUGGUGCACGCUCGGUGAUAUCUCUUCUAUCCCUGUUCUUCUAUUGCUAUUUUCGUAUUAUAUAUUGAGCUUGCAUCCCCGUUGUUUCUAUCAUACUCUACUCAUAUGUUUCUAUGCUUAGUAUCAUGUGUAGGAGUAGAGUAGUUUAUCCCUAUGUGAUACUGGUGACCUGAUUGGUCGGUUCUCGUACUUCGUUCGGUGACUUGAUUGGUCGGUUCUUGUACUUCGUUUCGGUGACCUAUUUGAUCGGUGCUUUUAUCUUAUAUCUGUUGACCUGGUUGAUCGGUUGUUGCACUAUGUAUUGGGUUGGUCUAUUUCUUGACUUCUGUCGUUCGAUGACCUUUGAGGUCGGUGUACCCUGAGGGGUAGGAUUGUCGGCUGGUGCUGACGGUAGUUCUGGACUAUAUCGAAUACACUCAUGUGACAUAUCGGUCGGUUCUUGUGUUCGUACUUUUAGUUGACAUCGAGCAGUAUCUACAUACUAUCUUUAUUUACCCUGCCUAGUUGUUCUAUGUGUAGUAUCCUGUAUAGGGGUAGAGUAGAUGGCAUUCGUAUAUACUAUACUUGUGACCUGGUUGGUCGGUUCUCCUGUUUGCAUCGGUGACCUGUUUGGUUGUUCGUUACUUUCCGUAUAUUGACCUCUCUUGGUCGGUUCACGUUGUUACUUGAUGACCUACACGGUCGGUAUGCCCAGAGGGGCAGUGAUUGUCGGCUGAUUGCCGACGGUUGGCUAUUGAUCAUAUCCGCAUUGAUCGCCACAGCUCGAGUGCAUUUCACGUACACCAGCGGGUUGAUCCCCCGCAGGAGGGUGUUCUUUUCCGGAAAAGUGGUCGUACAUCCGACCCGUGAGCCCAGCGGUGUUCUCUUUGUGCUAGGGUUACAUGCCAGGUGUGAGCAGAUAGUGGCUUUUGCCUGAGGUCCUUAGACCGACACGGCGGUUUAGAUUGGGUACUUUUGGGACUUCUCGUCCGGUUGACGCAUAUAGCUAUAGUAGCGGUUGUUGCAUAUGUACUUCUAGAUCUUUCUUUACAGUUGUCUUUCUACUAUAGUAUUGAUAUCCUUGUACGUUGCAGUUGUACAUUACAGUAGCGGUAGUUGUGUUUUCAUAUAUAUAUAUUUCAUUCGUUCAUUAUCGUUGCUACAGUAUUUUACUUACCCAUACUGUUGUUUAUCUCUUCCUGAUCCGGUGAGUACUCCUCGCCUUCUUCGGCUUGCGGUACCCACUGGGAGGGGAGACAUGUUUACAUGUUCUCACCUCCCCCACUAUUUUUCAGGUACUGCAGACGUUGAGUUUUGGGACGAGACGUGAGGUACGUUAGUAGCGGUCGAUAGAGCUUCCGACCCAGGUUAUCGGUUUAGUUUUAUCCCUACUAUUCUGUUGUUGUAGCUUAGUCAGUUUAUAUGGUUCAGUAUUUUUUUUUAUUACAUUGGAAUAUAUGGACUUUCAUGAACGUAUUAAAAGGAUUUCUGGAUUUGGUAAAAUAAAAGGUUUUCUACCCCUCGUGGUAGCUUCUAUAAAAGAUAAAAGUUUUCGUGUACGAAACAGUUUUCAAAAGAUUUUUCAUGGACUUCUGUGUAAACAUCGAAUGUAAAACUACGGUGUGAAUGGUGAAUGUAUGAAUGUAUAGCUAUCUGUAUAUUCAUUUGAUUGUGGUUGUAUACUGUUCGUACUUUUGUACUUGUGUGACGCCGUGCAAGUACAGGGGAGACUCUGUCCGUGUGAACAGUGGAUUUCCUGUAUUUGUGGCGGAUCUGGCAUACUCUGGGGUCAGGUUUUCAAAAAAAAAAAAAAAAAUUCAAACGCUUUUCCGCCGUGUUUCAAACAAAAAGGGGACCCCGGGGCGUGACAAAAUUAAUGAUUAAGAUGAAUUCCUAAUUUUGUUAAACAUAUUAAAUAUGUUAAAUUUAAAUAUUUACCAACAUUACAAAUGUUUUUAAAUAGUCAUACAAAAUUAAUAUCUAAAGUAGAACAAUUCUAAAUUUUUUUUAACUUAUUAAAUACAUUUAAAUUAUAAAUAUUUUAACCUACAUUCAAAAUUUUUUAAAUAAAUGAUACAAAAUUAAUGUCUCUAUAGGAAUUUAAAAGUUUCUUUGACAUAUUAAAAUGUUGAAUUAAAAUAUUUACCAACAUUACAAUUUUUUAGGACCUCAAUUAAAAGUUUCUUUAAAUGUUGUAUUGUUUAAUUACCAAACUAACCUUGAAUAAAAUAAUCCUUUUACCUGCUAAGUACUAAAAUUACAUUUUUACCCUCUAUUAAUCAACGGUUAAGAUCUUUUUUAUUUUUUUUAAAAAAAAGUACCGAAUCAUUUCUCAAAUCAUAAUUGUUCCCCUUGAAUAUCGGGAAUCCUUGUGCAACUCCAUUAGCGCUGUUAAACGCAAUCAACACCUUCUCCUCUCGAAAUCCAUGCUCUGAUACCCUUGUUACGGCAGUGGGCCACCAACAAAUACAUUCUCUAUACUUGUUAUGGUAUAUAGAGAUAUCUACAAAAAGUAAAAUAGAAAAGAUAAGGAAGGAAAAAGACAAAUCAAAGAAUUUGGUACGUUGUCUUGAAAGCAAAACAAAACUAACAAUAUUGAAGAAAAUAACUCAUCAUCGUAUGCAACUUUCGGCGAGCGCUAAUUAAUUAUGGCGACGUACUCUCGGCUUCAUUAACAAAAUAAUUCUGGCCUACCUAUUUAUAACUAAUUAUAUAGAAUCUUACUCUGAUUCUAUUUCAUUUUAACCAUAAUCUAAAUAACCGAAUACAAUAAUGGAUAAUAUCAAAUAAUCUAAUCCUAAUCUCAUUAACAUUAUCUUUAACAGCAACUAGUUAUCUAGCCAGUACUCAUGCAUUCGGAAGAUUUUCUCUUAUGAUGGUACUUGAGGAGCUUGUCCUUAUAAGGUUUUGGCAAUAAUGAUCUACUAAAACAAUCUAUUUUAUCUGCAACAUGAAAUAUUAUCACUUAGAAAAUAACUCAAUAUUUGAUUAUAUUUCUCGUCUACUAAAUUCUUCAAGCAUUUGAAUAAAAUUAAAGAGAUAUACUGAUUAAGAUAUUUAUGCAUCAUAUAUGAAGUAUUUUUUAAUGUGCAACUUAUAACUCUUUGGUUCCUUGCACUAACUUCUAAUUUUCAACACUUACCUACUAAUAAACAAUUGCUAAUUACAAAAGUAAGCUCACAUAUCGUUUCUCUUUUGAAAAUGGUUGUCGAGUUAUGAUCAAGUUUUGUAAAUUAUUACUUACGCUAUACGAUACUUAUGAGUUAAACCGGUCUUCUUGUAAAUUAUUUUAACCAUUUAAUAGAGAUCUCCAAUAUGUCAACAUAUCAUUAAUACAUUCUAUAUAUUGGUAUGGUAUUAUUAUUAGUUUUUGAAGUGAUUAAUAACCACUAUGAGGGGCCGAUCUAAUGGUUGAAUAAAGUUUUUGGUCACGCAUUUUGCCUGCUCCUAGAUGAGCCUCCUACAUCUAUCUUCUUUUUUCUGCGCCUUUUCUCCUCUUCUCACGCUUGGUUAAGAGGUGCAAAUUUCAAUGAAUUUGUUAUUGUUUCACUCAAAACACGCAUGAAGCUCUCCAUGUGCAACACUAUUCGAUGUUUGGUUCGAAACUAUUUUUUUUAAGCAUAUAUUAUCAAAGAGAUAAAUAGUUAUAGAGAUGCUCCUAUAUAUACAUCAUUUUUAAUGUCACCCUUUACCCAGCAUUAAUAUACUUUAUUAAUCCAACAGUAUAAAAUAUUUGAAAUCACCAGUGGUACCAGCUGUGCACUCAUCAAUAUUGGUCAAUUAGUAUCAAUCUCUUUUUUGAGAAAUAGGUAAUAAGCUACCUGCUUCAUUCAUUAAGCAAAAUGAACUAAGCGUACAAAAUGGAAGCAGCCAGGGCCUCCGAAAGAACAGGCAAAAAAGGAUGAAAUAAAAUUGAAAGGCAGAAAGAAAACAAAAAAAACGAAAAGAGGAAGGGUGUUAAUAGGGAGAGAAGGGAUACUAAUUACUACUACAAUUAGUAUCAAUCUCAAGAGUAAUUUUAUCCAUAUAUAUAGCUCUACAAAUUACCCACCUUUCUUUGGUAUUGUUAGAAAUAGUUGCCUACGCUCAGUGUAUUGGUCAUAUUAAUUAUAAUUUUUUGAUUGUUAAUGAUAGUUAGUUAAUUCGGAUUCGACAAAAAUUCGGUACGAAUAUAAUACGCAUAAAAUUUAUUUUCUAAUUUUUAAAUUCGUUGAAAAAUUCGGCUUAAAAAAUGGAUUCGGUAUAAAAUAUAAAAUAUUAGAUAAUCUAUAUUUAAAAAUAAAAAUUAUAAGUUUUUUAUUUAUAUUUUCAAUAAUUCGGAAAUAAUUCGCGAAUAAUUCGGCUGACCCAAAAAUUCACAAAUAAUUUUCUUUCUUUGAAAAAAAUACGUAAACGGACCGUUUAAUUCUGAUUUUCAAUAAUUUGCAAAUAAUUCACGAAUUAACUAACUAGGUUGUUAAUACAAUUUAUAUAAUAAUAGAUAAUUAAUCUAUGAAUGAAAAAUCAUAAGUUUUAAAAAUAUAUUACUAAUGGAUCAAGAAUCUAAAAAAUCGCGGUCUAAAAAUAGGCAUUGCUUAAUUUAUUAAAAAAUAUCUAAACUUUACAAUUUUUGAUACGAAGACAUUCUAAAAUAUUACAAAAUAUAUUCAAUAAACUUUUUGCCUGUUUUUACAGCGUUUGGUAAAUUUUUCAAAAAAUUUGACUCCGAUUUGUAGAAUUUGAUUUUUUUUUAUUUUUUAGGCCCCAAAAAUAGAAACAGCUAAACCUUGCUUUCUAAAAUCUGAUUCCGAUCUUGGAUUUAAAUUUUAAAUUUAAAUUUAGUUUCAAAUUCAGAUUCUUAAUGUAUAAUUUAUAAUUUAUAGUUAAAGUUUUUAAACUUUAAACUUAAAUUUAAAAUUUUAAAAUUUAUAUUUAUAUUUUAAACUUAAAAUUUUAAAACUCAAAUUUACAUUUAAAUUUUAACUUUCAAAAUUUUAAUAUAAAAAUUUCAAAAUUUAAAUUUAUAUUACAAAUUUUAAAUUUUUAAAUUUACAUUUGUAUAUAAAAUUGAAAAAAUUAUAUAUAUGCAAAUAGCAAAAGAAAAAUUUGCUGAACGGCUUUAAAAAUUACUUCAAAAAAAAAAAAAAAUCUUUUUUGCAAGAUUUAGCCAAAUGAUCUACAACUUUUAGUGGAAAUGAUUCUUCAAGUCAGAAUCAAUUCUUCAUAAAUCAUUUUCUCAAUAAUUAUAUAGGCAAAAUAGGCCCAAAUUUGCAUGCAAUUUGAUUUGAUCGUUGUUCAACCAAAGCAAAGGGUAGAUGACGCAGAUUCAGGGGACUAUGAGCUUAUAUGUAACUCAACCUAUGAUAUUUUUAAUCAUGGAUUCUACACUGCAAAAUUAAGAGCUUAUUAUAUGUAACUCAACCUAUGACAUUUAAUCACGGAUUCUACACUGCAAAAUUAAGAGCUUAUUAUAUGUAACUCAACCUAUGACAUUUAAUCAUGGAUUCUACACUGCAAAAUUAAGAGCUUAUAGGUAACUCAGCCUAUGACAUUUAAUCAUGGAAUCUUUUUCUUUUUUCUUUUUUUUUUUAAAAAAAGAUAAGUAGCACGCUACCCGCUUCAUUUAUUUCAUUUAGAACUAAACUUAGCAAGAAAUGUGAAUCAACUAGGUUUCGAACUUGGGACCUUGGGUACCAACUAUGAAGUCCUUUGCCACUUGCUCUAAUGACGGUUGGUGACAUUUAAUCAUGGAUUCUACACUGCAAAAUUAAUGGUGGUGAAACAUGAUCGAUGGGUCCGAGAUGGCCUGCUCCGGAGCCUACAUAUCCACGGAUAGAACUGAGCCCAACCCAACAUACAAGUAUGAGUUGUGACUUAGCCCAACCUGCCAAAGAGGGAGAAUUCUGAGCUGAGCAUCAACUCAGAUGAUCAAAUACUAUUGCAGUUUGAUAUAUAUCUACAUGAUUAGGUCAUCUUUCUAAUAAAUAAAAUACGUCGCAUGCUACCAUUUUCUUAAAAAAAAAAAAAAUUCAAAAUGCAUAAUUCUGUACAUAUAUACCAAUUAGUAAAAAUGUAUUAAACUUACAUAAACUAUGACUUCUUUUGAUCGGACUAUCUAACUUUUUUAAGUUUUAAUUUUGCUAUAUGACGUUUUAAAAUAUUUGAGUUUAUCUUCGAUUUACUUCCAAAGAAUAAAAAUCAAACUUCAAAUUUUCAAUCAUAAAAAAAAAAAAUUAUUCCCAAUAUAUUAUUACCAAAAAAAUUAUUUGACAACCAGAAUCCAAAUCCGCAGGAUUUUUGUGUUUUAUAUCUGUAUCCGAAACUAUAUCCAUUUAGUAUCAGCUAAAUGCCUAAAUCCGCUAUGUUUAGGUUUGGAUUUAGAUAAAAUUUCGGGUAUCUGUACCUAUUAACAUCCCUAGUGAGGAUGUGGGCCGAAAUAAGGUUGUCAUUGAAAUUAUGGUCGGACCCAACCCAAAAAAAAACCCAACUUAUAAUUAUUUUUUCAAUUGAUUUUCAUGUGUGUCGACCCAGCCCAUUGGUUUCCCCAGUCCAACUAAUUAGUCAUUAAUUAUUGAGUUAAUUUCAUUAGUAUUAUUUCUCAAACCCUUAAUUACGUAGAAACCUCUCUAAAAGUAUUAAUAUAAAAAAUACUCCUCUAAUUUAGAAAAAAGGUCAUAAAUAUCUAUCUUGACAAUAAUUCAUCUAAAAGAUAAAUAUAAUUNGAUUUAAUAAAUUAGUUUUAUUUAGUAUAUGUUUAACAAGACUGUCAAUCAGAAGAUAAGUUUAUUAAAAAAGGUCAUAAAUAUCUAUCUUGACAAUAAUUCAUCUAAAAGAUAAAUAUAAUUCUCAUUUUGCCCAUCAUCUAUUAUUAAUACUUUUUUAAUAAACUUAUCUUCUGAUUGACAGUCUUGUUAAACAUAUACUAAAUAAAACUAAUUUAUUAAAUCAAAUUAAACUAAACAAGCACUACAACAAAAGAGAUAUUUAGUGGCGACUUUUUGGUGGCGACAAGCACUGUCGCCACCAAUGUAUUUAAUAUGGUGGCGACAUUUAUUUGUCGCCGCCGAUUCAUAGGAAAUGGCGGCGACAUUUUUUCGUCGCAGCCGAUUCUUGGGAAAUGGCGGCGACAUUUAUUUGUCGCCGCUGAUUCUUAGGAAAUGGUGGCGACAUUUAUUUGUCGCCGCCAUUGCGUAGAAAAUGGUGGCGACAAGGUGUCGCCGCGAUAUAUCCUUAUGAAGCGCGCCGGAACUUCCUUCUCUUUUUUUCGCCACUCACCAACCCAUUCUUGCAGAAUGACAAUUUUACCCUCACUUAUUUAACAUCUAUUACAUAAGGCCUUGGAACUUUAUUGUCUUUUAACAUAAAAAAAAAUUUAAUAAAAUUACAACUGUAAAUAAAAUUUUACAUUCCCUAUUACUCUUUCUCUCUCUCUCUCUGCAAGUUUACCCAUCUUCGUCCCCUCCGCCUCGCCACUGUGGUCUUCAUCGGGAGCUUCCAUAGCUGCGCCGCCUCGUCCUCCAGCACCCCCACGAGCGGCUUCCAACCCCUCACCAACAUCCUCCCUCGCCGUGGGCAAACGCGCGCCGCCUCGUCCUCCCCUGCGGCCAGAAGCCGCAGGUACCCGUCUUCUAGCCAAACCCGCAGGUGGAACCGCCUUUGAGGUUGACCUCAAAACCCUAAUCCAACCCCUUACCAACAUCCUCCCCCGUGGCCAGAAGCUCAUCUUCAAAGGUGCGUGCCACAAACCCUAGAUCGCUCAUCCUUGAUAUCUUCCCGACGGCGGUGGAUGCUCGCAGCUUGUUAGCUCGCAGCUUGUCACCCUGCACUCUACGCCCUUUGUUAGCUCGCAGCUUGUUUCACCCGUUGCCUCUCGGUCGCUAGUUCAUGUGGAUGCUUCAUUGUCUCUCAGUCAUCGCCGCAGCAGCCGUUGCCAUCCCUAUCGUAAUUUUUUGAGUAAUUUCUCUCUUUACUAAUUAAUUGUGUAUUUGCCACAAUGCAUAGGACAAGAGUUCUUGAAUGAUAACAUGAUAUUAAUUGGGAGCAAUUACUGGACAUCUUUGAUAAUUUGCACUAUAAUUUUAUUGUGUUUUGGACUUACAGAUUACCAAGUAAAUGGGGGAAAAAAGAAAUUUUAUAUAUUAAGAAAAAUUAGAUAUCUAAAUUUCCUGUGAUUGAUGUUGUAAAAUUCCUGAUACUUUUGCGUUCUGUUAUUUGGCAAUAAGGAAAUAAAGGGAAUGGUGAAGCAGAAGGGAGAUGGAUAAUUUUUCUUCAUGGUCUGAAAUGUAUUUGAUAUAGACAAGAUUGACCUGGACAAAUGAGGGGAAGUUUAAUACUUAAGGGUUGUUUGCAACUAGAAUAGAUUGCUUGAUGUAUUGGUUGCUCACUAUAUGAAGUUCUUGCUUUAUUGGAUGGGAACUUACAUUCAUCAUGUCUCUUUAUCCCAGGCUUUUGGCUCGUUUACUGCUAUAGUUGGAACUUCUAUUGAUUAUAUUACAAAUCAGUUCUAAAUUUUGGCGAUAGUGAAUUUGUAAUUACCAAGUCUAUUUACUGAACAAAGUUUUGUUAAUAUCCAUGCUGUUGCUUCUCUGAAUUUUACUUAAUACUCCAUUCAUUUAUUGAAAUUAAUUAGAUUUUAUAUCUAAAUUAGAUAGAUUUGCAGACCAUUUUGCUCUGUGGUAUUUUUUACCAGAAUUCACUGAGUUUCCUCUUUAUCCCUUCCUGCAGUGUUGUUGGACGUGCUGAAGCUGGAUAGUAAUUCCUUUAUUUUUUCUGUAGUAGCUCUGCUCGUCCAUCAUAUUGAUAGUUUUCUUAGUUAAGUUGUCAAAUUGUAAACUGUUCUUAUAAUUGAAGAGUUUCUAACUGCCCCUUAUCUAGAACCAUAGAACUAUGUUGGUCUUGUGGUCACCUUGUGAGCUCUUCCAUUUAAAGGUUAUGUCAUGAAUACAUUAGACAAGCACUUUGUCAUUCUGAUUGCUAUGUCCAUUCUUCAUAUAUAAUAUCAUCCCCAAUGCUUGAUUCUGGUUGUGGUUUACUGAUACCAUUUUAAUUUUCUAACUCUUUUUUGCUUCUAGUAAAAUGAUUUGUUGCCUAACUUUUACUGAAGCUGCAUUUAAUAAGUUGUAAUGGAACUACUAAUCUUCCACGAGUGAUAACUCCAGAGCUCUACAAAUGGACGCUCUUUCCAUUUUGCCAAAGCAGAGGAAAUGAUUUAGUUGAAGCCAGUACACUUAUUGUCAGCUGGAGCCUUACUAUCUCCACCAACUAUUUGUUACAUGUUAAUUAGUACAGUAUACAGGUUGGUGGCAAGUACUAGAAAAGAGGUCAAGAAACCAAGCCAUAUAAUCAUCACGUUACUUAAUAAGUCACAAAUUAACAAUCGCUGAUGCCCAUUUACUUUGGGUAGGUAUGCGACUAAAGUUAGGUGUAAGACAUUAAGGAAUAGAAUAGGAUAUCACCAAUUGAAUUUGACAACCUCGUAACUAACGACAAAAUUGCCUACUAACAGAGCAGCUGCCUCCUACUUUUUCUCUCCGUUCCUUUUACAUUUUUUGACCACUUUUCGUUGUGCAGCAGUGAUUUCAUGAUGUGUAAUUUUGGAAAAUUGUCUUCAAAUUAUAAUAAUCUAUGAACUUAAAUGUGCAACAAACUAUUGCAAAAUGAGGCGGUAUUGAGGGCUUGCUCUGAAUCAGAAGCACCAAAAACAUCGGCGACGAGUGCUUCUGCAGUUGAAGGUCAGCACUAGCCUAGAAACUGACAAUUAUGUGCUUCAACAACUUCGACAAGCCUUUGGAAGUUCUAACUUUUAUUACCACUUUUUUAAUGUGGGCAAAAAUAUCUUUCUUUGUUAAUUUCCCAAAAUGAAAAACAACAUGUUAUGUUCUUGUUUUGAACGAUGGAAUACAGAAUGAUUGUUCAUCAUACUGAUUUGACUCUUGCGUCUCUAACCUCUGUUGUUUCGUUAGCAUCAUGCGGUUCUCACGUAGAAAUUUUUGCAUGACAAUUCGUGGAGAACUUCACUUCAGUACUCACUGUAUAUACUCAAGUAAUCUAGUCUCUGAACUUGUAGAAAGUUUUCAUUUCAGCCAUUUGUUCCAACUUAGUUUGUUUUCGUGUCGAAGCUCCAUUUUUAAGGCAGGUUAAGAUUAGGAUCUCAACAAACCUGAGCUCGAGCGAGUUGGGCUUUUAAUUUUGAUGUUAAACACUGUAAUUUUUUCUAUCUUUGCUUUUUUUAUUUGUCCUCUUGAUUUUGACUUUGAUGUUAAACGCUAAUGAACUCUUUGUCAAGUUGCAAAAAGUUUGUCCUUUUUAUUAAUAAAAAGAAUUUCCAAUUCAGUUCCUGUAUGUUUAAAUACUUAUUAGGCAUUCUUAAUCUUUUUGAUGUGAAUGAAUUCUAAACUAUUUGAAUUUGAGAGUGCUGAUGAGAUGUAUGAAAUCAUCAGGGAUUUUUAUGAGUUGCUUAUUUGCUUUAUUAUUCAAAAUCUAUUUGCAUGAUUUACGUUUACAUUGUUUUAACUUUUAUUCUUUUUCUCUUUUGUAGGUAGUGCAUGAUGAUUCUUGGGACAAGAAAGACAAUGAACUGCAAGCUCCUCUUUUUGUUUCUAAGCUGACCUUUUUUUCCGAAAAAAUUUUCGGCGUGGAAAGAUGCUUAAGAGAAUCAUUACUCCAGAUCACAACUGGCACAACUUAGGAACUAUUCGUUACUUAUGAAAAGAGUCUCCAUAUAACUGGAAGCACAAGAUAAAUGUAGACGGUAAAGGUAAAGUUGUCUGAUGGAACCCACUACAAUUCCAUUAGCUCUGUUCAAUGACUUGUCCUAACUAUAAGUGGCGAUUCAAGGUGCAGCGUUGUUUGAUGAUGCAUUUUUUAAGUAGAAAAAUGCAGGAAUAAUAGUUAUUAUUUGGAUUAAGUUUCAUAAUUUAGAAUUUUUAGGUUACCCUGCUUGAGGUACUUUCCAUUUUUUGUAUUUGUGCAAUACUGUUGUCAAGUAACUAGGCUUCUGAAUUAAUCUUGAAUGUUGCUUAUAGUGGAAAAGAUGGUAAGCUUGUCACUUUUCUGUUGCAGGUUUAAUUGUUGGAGGACUUGCUAAUUUUUCUUUAUUUUUAUUUGCAGAUUUAUAAGAGGUGGUGGCGAGAAAAAUUUUGGCAGUAUUUUGACGAUGUAUUGAAUCAAGUUUAAGUAAACUUGACAUAUUUUGAAAACUUUACAUUUGAUAGCAUGUAGAAAUGACAAAAACACUAUUAUUGUGUUUUGUUUUUUGGUUGUGUUGGGUGUAUUAGGUGACAAUGCAAUGAUACUCUAACAUUUAAAGUUUGAUUCAGUCUUUUUUAUUUGCCUUAUAUGAUUAUUUAUGCACUUUUUUACAUUUAAAGUUUGAUUCAGUCUUACUUAUUUGUGUGGAUUAAUUUUAUGAUUAAAUACUUAUAGAGAUUCAAUUAGAUUUAAUAUAUAUUGGUUCUAAGGUGUUUGAGCCAUAGUGUUUGGGUUUAAUUUUGUUCUGAGAGGAUUAAAUUGAAAUUAAAUGUUAAAAUUUAAGAAUGAGAAAUUAUUUUAAUUAUAGAUUAUUUUUAGCAAUUUAUAUUAAAUCAAUAAUAUCUAUUACUAUCAAUUAUUUUUUCUCAAAAAAUAAUUUUCGAUCAGAAAAAUAGUGGCGACAAUAGUCGCCACCAUAUAACUAGGCCCCGUAGGUAAUUAUCUAACUUUUAGUGGCGAUAAAUUGUCGGCUCCAAAUAUUUAGCAGUGAUAAAAUGUCGCCAUUAAUUAUCUAAAUUUUCUAAUUUUUAGCGGCGACAUCAUGUCGCCACUAAUUCUCUAAUUUUUCGCGGCGACAGGUUGUCGCCGCUAAUUAUCUAACUUUUAGCGGCGACAUUUUGUCGCUACCAAAUAGUUUUACCGACGGGGUUAUAGGCGGCGGCAUGCGGCGACGAAUUGUCGCCGCCAAAACAUUUUUCGUGGCGACAAUUUUGGCUUUGGUGGCGACAUUUGUCGCCACUAAAUCUUGUAUCUGUAGUGGUGAAGUUAUAAACAAAAAAUACAUACUAAUUUAGACAAAAUAGAAAAUAGAUUCACAAAAAAAAAAAUAAUAUAUCUUAGUUUUCACUUUUCAUUGAUUUUUAAUUAAAACUAACAUGCCCCGACUUCCCAGGGGUCACCUAUACCAAAACUACUCCCGUUCUAACACGAUUAACUCUCUUAACCUCUUGGGUCUUCCCACCACCCAAGAUGCAUGCUUAAGCCAAGUUAAAAAUAUUAACCCUAUUAUAUCAUAUACAUAAAACUAUCUGGGGUCUCACAUUCUCCCCCCUUUAAACCCUAAUAUUCUCGUCAGGCUCAAACUCACAAGUACUCACAAGUUCCAAGCGAUGUGAGACUGUCUCGCUAGCCUAAACCUACUUUAUGGUGAGCUGCGCUCCACCUACAACAAUCAACAGUAUGAGCAUCUCGCUCUUCCCGUUGUAUAAUCUUGGCUCAGGCGAGACUUAUCUCACAUUUCUGGCUGGUAAUUGACUCUGAUACCAACUAUGACGCCCCGACUUUCUAGGGGUUCACCAAUUCUAGAACUAUUUUCGUCCUAGCACGCUUAAUUCUCUUAAGCUCUUAGGUCAAGCCAUCGCCCAAAAUACUUAGACCGGGUUAAGAGUAUUAUAUAGCCCUAUUAUAUCAUAAUAUAGGACUAUCAAGAGUUUCACAUAUCCACUCAAUAUUGAAUUAAAAAAAUAAUAAAACUACGUAGACGUAAAAGACAUUCAUAAACUAAAUCGAAGAAAAAAAUCCGAGUUAUUGUUUCAUGAGAAACCAAUUUAACAGCCCCACAUAACAUCAAAAUAUUAUUUAUAAUUAGGCAUACCUAAGGGCAAAUUAUUCUAAAACUCUUUAUCAAUGUUAUAAAUAAUCAAAUUUUCCACUUCUUCUAUAAAUGACCUUUCAGGUUUGUUCACUUGAACAGAAAAAAAUAAGUUAUAAGUAUAAUACUACAAUUAAACAUCAAAUUUAUUAUCAAAAAAUAUAAAUAAAAAUACAAUAUGAAAUCAAAUCUAACAAAUUUAUGCACAAUAUUAUUAUUAAACACCCAAGAUAACAUCAAAUUUAUAAAAACUUUAAAUAUGAAGUUGGAAUUUACCCUAAUUUGAAAAGAGCUCUAAUGAAGCUUAGUUCCUCUUCAAAGCUUCAAACUUCUUUCCUAAUGGAUAGAAUCUCCAAAGAUAGAGAUAGGUUUUGAUGGUAGAUGACAACCUCUCCACCAUAAAUGAAGAAAUGCCUGGGCUCUCCUUCAAUAAGUUAGGAUUUUUAAGUGAGGAAAAAAGUUAAUUUGCAUAAAAAAUUUAUUGGUUUAACAUUUUUAUAAAAAUAUGUCAUUUUUUUAGAUUUUGUAGAUUAUAUAUAUUUGGAUUUUUAGUAAACUGGCCAAAAUAUUUUGACGACUCCUUUUUCCUUCAUUUUUUUCUUUCAUAUUUCUCUGCCUUCUUCGACUCCUUUCUUCUCAUUAUUCCUUUAUCUCCUUUUCCUCCUGCUUUUUCUUCUUUUUCCUCGUCCAUAUCGAUGCUACGCUUCUUUCUCCUAUUUUGCUCAAGCCUUUGCCAACGCCGGUGGCGCCGACAUGGAUUUGGAUAUAACACAGAUCAUGGAACUAAGGUUGCGCAAAGGGUAUAGCAAUGGACGAUGAUGGCAAUGAGAAUCCCACAGGAUUUGAGGACGAUGAGGAGGGAGAGUGUGUCGAAGAAAGGCAACCAUUGCAGUAAAAGGUGAAGGAGGGGGCAACGUAGCGGAAAAGAAUGUAGAGUACAAAAUAAAAAGAAAAAAAUAAAAAAAUAUUUUUUUUUCUUUUCUUUGGGAAGGCCACCACCUGCUAGGGACGAAGCUAUGCGAAGGCCCAAGGUGGCCAUGGCCCCCCUCAAUUUUUCAAUAUUUGCUUAAUGGUCUUUCAAAACUUUUUUUUUGGUGGACCAUGGAUAGCUUGGCCCCCUAGUUUUUCAAUAUUUAUUUACGGUGCCAACAUAACUCUCUCUCUCUCUCUCUCUCUCUCUCUCUCUCUCUCUCUCUCCCUUAAAGGGCAUACUCUUUUUAUGGGUGGAAAUAUAUUAAAAGUUUUUUGGUUUUAGUCUUUUGUAAUAUAUUUCUCUACUCUAAAAAUUUUAUUUAAUAAUUUCUUAAAACUUUUAUUUAUCUUAGGUGAGCUUUUUAAUUUGACUGAAUCAAGAAUUGUACUAAAUUUAAUAGCUAUGUUAAUUUUAUUUACUAAAAAAUUAAAAAAUUACUGUUAGAUUUAGUAAAAUUUCUAAGUUAUUUUAAUGUAAUAAUAUAAAUAAAAUAAUUAGAAGUUAAACAUCUGAAAAUUAAAAAAAUAAAGUUCAUACUUUUACAUUAUUUAUUUAAUUAAUAAUUUUUUAAUAAAAAUUUUUUAAUUAGGAAAAAUUUUGUUUAUUAUUUAUUACUAAAGUUUCUAUUUAAAUAUAUUUUUGCCCCGUUUAUUAUUUAUUACUAAAGUUUCUAUUUAAAUAUAUUUUUGCCCCCCUCAAGAUUGAAUCCUAACUUCGUCCCUGCCACCUGCCACGACAGGUACAAAGAGGCCCAACAAGCUGAGAAGAAAGAAGAAGAAGAAAAAAUUGUUUUCUUUGAAAUGAAAAGUUGUAGUAUUUGAGAUUCAACUGUACUGUUUGAAACUUAAGUUACAUCAAUUAAAAUUAGUUGGUCAAUGAAAAUAUCUAAAUGAGAUAACAUGAGCUAGAUUGGUUGAGCAUAUAAUCAUGGGUUAGGAGUAUAGGCAUAUUAUUGAUAAUGAGGCAUUAUAGUUUUAAUUAAAGUUACUGUAUUUCUUUAGUAGAAAUAUCUAUUUAUAACAUGAUAUUAUUAAAUAUAUAUAUUAAUGUCUCCUUUGAAUCGAAUGAGUGUAAAACGCUAUUUUCAGCUGUUGCAUCCAUUAGAAACUAACUAUAUUCUCUCCUCUUUGUUGUUUAUAUAUCCUUUUUCAAAGCCUACGAUUGUCGUUGAAGGCGCGUGACCACGACAAAAGUUGUCUUGGAGUAGAGAACCUUGGGAGAGGUCUAGAUGUACUCUUUGUUUUGGGAAAUUGACACUUUGUAAUAUUUUGGGUUCGAAACAUAUAAAGUCUAAUGUAGUUUAAUUUUUAGAAAAUGGUUUCAAUAGUUAUAGACUUUAAAGUUGUUUAUAGUUAAAUAUUUUAAAUUAGUUGUUAUAUUCUGAUAUUGCAUGUAUCUAUAUCAUGUAUGAAUGUACAAAAUGGUAUAUGAUUCUGCUUUAUGUGGAUAGAAAAAAUCUUGUCCAUUCAGCGGGUUUAUUGCAUAUUCUCGGGAGGACCCAAAUUGUCAGUCUUAGGACGUGACACAAAGGCUAAAAUAAAUUACCUUAUAGAUAUAUCAAUAAUUGGCAUGAAUAAAAGGGGAAUGACAGGGCAUCUGAGAAUAAUUAAACGAUUAAUUUCUAUCAAUAAAAUAGCUAAUGAUCCAAAUCAUAGAGCAGUUACCAUAGGCGCCACGGAGAGAUAUAUUUUUAGAUUUUGCUUUGAAAAUUCCCCAUCUUUAUUAUAAUGCAUAUAUCGUUAGAUGAUAUAGGUUAAAAUUAUUUUUAUUUAUUUUUACGCGGAUUUCCUAACAAAAAUGGAUAUGUACAAUGAACUAAUAGAUGAGAUUUUUUUGUCACUAAAAAAGAAAAAGAUGACCCCUUUUUCCUGAGCAUUACGGAUUAAUAUUCAUAUGCUAUUCCACCUAACUGUAAAUGUGAAAUUUAUUAUGGAGCAAAAAUUAUAUUCCUAACUCUUUCAAUUAAUUGUAAUUAAAAAAAAAUAAAUAGAACUACUAUACUACAAAUAGUAUAUAAAUAGUGCUUAUGUAAACUUGUAGCCCUUUGAUCUAUAUUAGUACAAUUACAAAUUAGUAAAUUUUGGACAUCCAAAGUUUAUAAAGUCUAUAGUAGAAAUAUUAUUUAUUGAGCAAUGCUACUCAUUCACCCAAAAAUAUGUGUAUAUCUUACAAUUUAUCCAUCCAUUGUGUGAAGACCACUCACUAGUCAUUUGAUGUUACUAAUAAAAAUUUAUCAUCCAUUGGAUGAGAUAGAUAUAAGAUAAAAAAAAAAACUCCGAUUAAGAUGUACAAAUAGCAUUUAGCUAAUUUUUUACCAUCUAAUAGUACAGUAGCUCGGUUUUAUAUUAUAUAUCAAACAAGUUACUAAACUUGACAAUUUCAAUUCAUAUCCGCAGGUCCUUACAGUUUAUCCAUAAAUUUGUAGGUAUUGGUACUAAUUUUUCUUACCCAAAAAAUUAUGAAUAGAACGAGCGACACUACAACAAAAACGGUCUAUAGCGACACUUUUAAAUGUAGGCACAUGUCAAAAAAGUGCUGCUAGCUAAAAUUACCGACACUUUUAAAAAGUGUUGCUAUAUGUGGGGUCGCUAGGUAUAUAGUGACAGUUAAAGAGUGUCGCUAUAACCUAAAAGAGUGCUGCUAAUUUAUCAACACUUAUUUAAGCAUUUAGCAACCGUCGAAACUCUAUCUCGUUGGCUGCGGUGGCGGAGGAGGACGACAGUAAAGGCUCUUCGUCUAGAAUUUCAGUGGAUUGAGUGAUGAGAGAAGAAAAGAUGGUAAUUGAUUUUUCUUUUUUUUUUUCUUUUCUGUUUGUAAUCGGGCCAAAUGGACUGGGUGUGGUGGGUUGAGUAGAGUAAUCUUUUAUUUUUGGUUGAAUUGGGCUUUAUAUUUAGGUAUUAGUAUAUGUGUUUUUAAGUUUUAGCAUAAAUGGGAUACUUACUCAAAAGUGUCCCAAACAUGUGUCCCUAUAACCUAAUUCUGUUGUAGUGCGAGUAUUCAUUAAAUUAUAAAAAAUUUGGACAACCCACAUGUACGUACCCACAAGUAGUACCCAUAUAUAUAAUAUCUUUAAAAAAAAUGAAAAAUGAAUAAUUCUUUUGUUUUACUCGUCUCUAGAACCCUAACACUAAUUUCUGUUAAUGUUAUUUUUAAAUUUUUAUUAUGUACUAUCUGUUGGGAUAUUGUACACAAUAAGAUAACUUUUAAUCUUAAAACUAAUUAUAUAUUUAAUUUGUAUAAUUGAAAAAUAUAAGAACCGAAAAGGGAAAAAAAUUGUGAGUAAUCUGCAUACCCUGGUCGAUCCGCGGACUAUUGUGGGUAAGAAUGAAUGAUGACUGCACUGAAUUUAGGCACUUGCAUAAUUCGCAGGUAAAGAUGGCUCGUCCUGUCGUCCACUGAUUGCCCAACCAACACUACAUGAAACAGUGUCGUUUCAACGUCGUAUUCGAACUACGUGGACCAUCGGAUACGUGGUGUAUGGAAAUGCGCACCUGAUCGUUGUCAAAAAUUUGUCGUGUAAGAGCGGAAAAACUCGGUGUGUUUCGACCACACACCUGCUUGGUUCGAGGGCAGCGACAAAGAGAGCACUGUCUCGUCGUUUCUUCUUUUCUUAUCGCCUUCGCCCUCGACACGCAAAGCUCGUGCAUUUCCUUCGUGAAAUGAUUGCAUAUGAUCGAUGUUCACGCAAACCCAUGUGACAUGUCAAUGAAAGCUACAUUCUAGCUAGGAAGGGAAAACUUCGUAGCCCCUUGUGGUUUCGUACUUUUUUAUUUUAAUACCUUAUGAUUUAAAGUGUAUCAAAUUAGUACCCUUUGGUUUCUCACUUCAUCAUUUUAAUACUAUGUGGUUUAAAGUGUAUCAAGUUAGUACCCUGUGGUUUUAUUUUUGUAUCAAGUUAGUACCCUGUGGUUUAAAGUGUAUCAAGUUAGUACCAUGUGGUUUCUCACUUUAUCAUUUUAGUACACUGUGGUUUAAAGUGUAUCAAGUUAGUAUUUUAUAAUUUUAUUUGUAUCAAGUUAGUAUCCUGUGGUUUUAUUUUUGUAUUAAGCUAGUACCAUGUGGUUUAAAAAACCACAGGGUACUAAAGUGAUAAAAUGUGAAACCACAGGGUACUAACUUGAUACACUUUAAACCACAGGGUACUAAAGUGAAAAAGUGCAAAACCAUAUGUACUAACUUGAUACAUUUUAAACCACAGGGUACUAAAGUAAGAAAAAGUGAAACCACAAGGAUAAUAUAGGAUAAUAUAGGAUAAUAUAGCCUAAAAUUAAAUAGGAUAAUAUAGCGUCAUAAUAUAUAAAUAAAUUAUAAGAUAGUAUAUUGUUAUAAUUUAUAAAUUUUAUAAUAAUAAGUAAAACUUAUAUAUUGAUAAAAAUUGAGCUUCUAUACUUUUAAAAACAUAAAGUCAUAAGUGCUCUAGAUUUUCGGCCUUUUGAUAAAGUUUUGUAGGGUUAGGAUAAUAAUAGUUGGCUCCAAUAGAGUUGAAUGAUUGGUUGAUGGAAUAGCAUACUUUAAGGAGUAAAAUUAGUCGAAGGAAUAGAUCUAAUGAUGAAAAACUUAUAAUUAAUCAACAAAUAGUUUGUGCUUUUAAAAGCAUCGUAGCCGGACUCUAUUAGUAAUAUGUUAUAUUUUAUUAUUCUAUAAUUUAUAAAAUAUGCACUUUGUAAUUAGGGAUGCAAAUGAAACCCAAUUGAUAGAGUUCCCGCUAUGAUAUGUAUAAGGCGGCAAGUGAAGGCCAAGCGAAAUCUGAUUGAUAGAGAUCCUAUUAUGAUCCACCUCGAAUAUAUAAGGCGGUAAGUGGAGACCAAAAAAAAAAAGGAAGAAAGUCUUCUAAUUCGCCCUAAUCCGCUUAAAAAAUAGAGAGGGAGGCGGAAGAGCUCUUUCUUCCAUUAUCCGUACCUAAUCCAUUAAAAAUUCGCUCAUAUCCGGACCCACCCCGAAUGUAGCAGUAAUUAAGUAGGAGAAAAAGAUUGAAUAAAAAUCAACCCGUCUCAAAACAGUCCGGACCGCUAAGAAAACGAGGCAGAAGGUGGGGGGACCUGAUCUCCCCCUUUCGGCUCCAACCAGUUUUCAACCCUACUUGUAAUUUGUAAAUUGUAAUACUUUACUUAUUUAUUUAAUAAUAGAUUUUUAUGAUUAAAAAUAAGUAUCAAAUUGAAUCUCUUCAAAUCACAAUUCGCAAAGUAAAUUUGUAGUAGACUAUAAUGGCUAAUUGAAGUUACCCAGAAAAUAUUCUCAGCCAAUUUUGAAGUGAGUGGUGUUAAUAAUAGAUAGUAAUUUACUAAUAGCAAUUAAAUUGGUUUAGUAAAUUUGAUUAUCAUGCACAUAAUUAUUGAUUUUGAUUGGAUUUAACAAAUCUAAUUUGCCAGAUAAAAUCGUAUUGAAUUAAAAUAAUUAAAAAUUAAAAGCAUUUUUUUUUUACAUACAAGUUUAUAUUUUAAUUUGACAUUUCCAAAAAUUUAGUCACCAACCAAUAAACUGAAAUUGGUGGCCUGAAAAACUGAAUAUUAGUUUCCAUUUAACCACUCAUUUUUGUUGUAAAUUCUCUGUAAUUUUUCCAAAAUAAAGCAUUUCGUGAUGCUUGAUUCAACUCUACUUUGGAAUCAUCUUUUAGGGAUAUCAUGAUAAUCGAAUUAGCUAAUUAGAGAAAUUUUACCAAAUUUAAUAGAGCAGCUUAAAUGAAAUAAAAUUUUUGUUCAUGUAUCAAUUAAUGGCAACAAGUUAAAAGAGUUUUUACUUUUUGACAAAAAAUUUUUCACUUGACCUAUUGGUUUCCUUGAAAUUGAUCUAACCUUACUCUCUAAAUGAACAAUUAAUCAAAAUGGAAAUUAACAUACCAAAUUAAUCAAAAUUUUUGUUCAUGUAUCAAUUAAUGGCAACAAGUUAAAGAGUUUUUACUUUUUGACAAAAAUGUUUUCACUUGACCUAUUGUAUUCCUUGAAAUUGACCUAACCUUACUCUCUAAAUGAACAAUUAAUCAAAAUGGAAAUUAACAUACCAAAUUAAUCAAUCCACCUAAUUUGUUUCCAUUCCAUUACAAUUAUAAGCUUUACAAAAACAAAGCAAGCUUCCUCAUCACAUCACAUGCAUGUACGUACACUCCAUGUACAACAUCUAGCUAAUUUAAUGGAGGAAAUUAACAACAUGCAUGUACGUACGUACGUACGUAACACCCAAACCUGUGAUCCCGAAUCUCAAAGCGCCGUCAAGGAGUUCAUCAUCAUCAUGGCCUUAAACUCCUCAAAAUCGACCACCCCGUCCCCAUUCCUAUCCACCCCUCUUAUCAUAAGCCGGCACUCUUUCAGACUACACCUGCGCCCCAACCCGGCCAACACCCGCCGCACCUCCUCUGCCGAAAUGUAUCCGUUGCGGUCGGCAUCGAACACGCGGAACGCCUCCCGGAGCUCCUCCUCCUCGUCGACGCCCGCGCCCCUUUCCGACACCGCCCGCAUGAACUCGUCCAAAUCGAUGAACCCGUCGCCAUCGCAGUCCGCCUCCCGCACCAUCCCCUCCGCCUCCCGCGCUACCGUCGACCUUGCGAAAACAACCGACCCAUCGGUCCAAACGUAGUUUCAGCUACGUACUAAAUAACGGUGUUCAAAUAUUAAACUUGUAAUCGAUAUUCCGCCUCACAUCUGUGUUCAAGAUUUUUUAAUUUGCCUAAAAUAUGUACUUUGUUAGUUAAUUGGAUUAUUUCUGAACUAUUGCCUAUCAAAUGGAUCUACUAGGCAGUAUUAUUUCAGAGCAGUAGGUGUUAAAUUUGAAUUUCAACCCACGGGCAACCUCAUUUAAUUUUAAUUUAAGCUGUUAUUUUGAGCUUUUCAAAAUAUUUUGAGUCUAGCUAGAUAUGAGAAAAAAUAUUGAAUAUAUAUAUAUAUAGAGAGAGAGAGAGAGAGAGAGAGAGAGUGCGGCUAGGAUGCUUAUGGAAGUACGGAGGGCUCCGUGCUUCCACUUUGUUUUCGAUGUUCGGACUUUCGAAUCGACGAUCGGCUCCGUUAGACUUGAUCUAGAGUAUUUGAAGUAUCUAGAAAAUAAAUUUUGCGAUUUUUCGAUAUCAUUUGCCUAGUGAUCGAAGUGGCUCAAAAUCAACGGCUGAAAAUAAAAAUCUUACAAAAUAUGAUGAUAAGACAUUAAAAUUUUAAACCAAAAUUAUUAAUCUUGUUUUAUAUGGUAUAAAUAAUUUUCUAUCAAAAUUUCAUGUGAUUUGAAUAUUUCUAUACCGUUAAACUUGCAACCGGCUCACCACAACCGUUAAAAUUAUUGAUUUUGAGCCCCUUCGAUCACUAGGCAAAUGAUAUCGAAAAAUUACAAAAUUUAUUUUCUAGGUACUUCAAAUACUCUAGAUCAACUCUAACGGAGCUGAUCGUCGAUUCGAAAGUCCGAACAUCGAAAACGACUUGGAAGCACGGAGACCUCCGUGCUUCCAUAAGCAUACCAGCACAACUCUCUCUCUCUCUCUCUCUCUCUCUCUAUAUAUAUAUAUAUAAUUAAGCUUCUAUGCUUUUAAAAGUAUAAAGUCAUUGGUGCUUGUAAGCUUUCGACUCUUGGAUUAAGAAAUGUGCGAUUAGAAUAAUGUGGGCCCUCUAGGGUUGAGUGGUUAGUUGGUUGAAUAGUAUAAUCUAACGGGUGAAAAUGAUAUAUAUAUAUAUAUAUAUAUAUAUAUAUAUAAAUUGUCUAUCGAGCUAAAGAUUUUAGGGCACGUUUAGUUCAAAAUAGCAAUUGAAAUCGGCAUAGACCGGAAUGGAAAUGAGUUGUAAUCGAAAAGAGAAUGAUAAAAAUAAUUAACAAUUUGUUUGGUUCAUUAAAAAAAUCGAAAUCAAAAUUAUAUUCAAAUUAAAAAAUUUAUUAAAUUUAAAUUUGUUACUCAAAUGUAUAGUCAAAAUUUGAAUUCAAAUAUGAACUUAUAAUUUUAAACUUAAAAUUUGUGAAUAUACAAUUCAAGUUCAAGGUCAAAGUCAAAAUUUAAAUUUAAAACCAUUAAAUUAAAAUUAAAAAAUUAAAUUUAUUGAAUUUAUUUUUAAAAUUUUAUUUGACUUCAAAUAGUUAUUAGUGGAAAAAAAAAAACAAAAAAGAAUCCUCAAUCGGAAUCAAAACUAACUCCCACCUGUACGGUGGGAGUCACUUUUGACUUUCGAGGGAUUCGAAUCCACCGUGAUGAUGAGAAUCCAAAAUGCUAAAUAAAUCCCUCCAUUUAAAUACUAAUUAACAGUAAGAAGGGUACUUAUUUCAAUUUUCAUUCUAAGUCUCAAAUAUUUCAAAUCAAACCUACCCUUAUUAAGAUUAUUUCUGUGCUUCACAUAUUUGAAUUAAAUAAAAAUAAAUUGAAUAAAACUAGCUAGGAGUAAAAUUUGAGCUCGAAAACACUGACUCUGAUACCAUAUUGAAAAACGACUUAUUAUUACUCUAAACUUAAGCUAGAUACCGGAGCAACGGUGUUUUAAUAUUUUAUAUUCAACACGCGAUACCUCUCGUGGCCGAGACGGAGCAUGAUGUCGCGGAGCUCCCCCGCGGAGAUCUUGCCGUCGCCGUUGGAGUCGAUGAGGUCGAACACUCGCCGCAGUUGGUUCGGAAGCUCCGCCGCCGCGGCGGCGGCGGCGGCGGCGGGGGAGGCUGCUGAAGAGAUCCACUUGAAGUUGCUGCUGGCUCUUCUCCCCCUCCUGCUCACGGCCUUGAAUUUUUGCAAAAAACCCCCUACCUUUUCCGGAGAGAACAUUUUCCCUUCAAGGAUGAGGAGGAGUUGUUAGGGGGGGAGAGAGAGAGAGAGAGAGAGAGAGAGAGAGAGUAGAUGGGCUAGAGCCUAGAGGGAGGAAGAGGAGGAGAGAGAGGCCAUGGGAGGAGGAGUGUGAGGAGUGGGUGGUGGGUGCAUGUGAGAGGGAUUGAAUUGGUUGCUAGUUUUAUAAGAGAGAAAUUAUUGCCGAGACCUGAUCCACCAUGCUAACAAAAAAAAAAUAAAAAAAUAAAAAAAAGAGUUCAGAAAUAGUCUUUUAAUAAUAGAUCCCACUCAUGUGCACAGCGAAGAUCAGGUGAAUAGCACGCACAAGCAGAAGAAGCAGUGAGAAAAAUUAUACUAUUUUGUAUCACCCUCAAACGACAGAUAUAAUUAAAAGAUAGGAGGCAAUUAUUUUUAUGUUCUUGAAAAGUUUUCGAUUUUUUAAUUUUUCUCUCUUAGAAUGCUAAUAUUGAAAAAAAAAAAUUUACAUUACAAUUUAUUUUAAAUAUAAAAUCUGUUAUUGAACUAUUAGUAAUAACUGUUAUUUAUAUAAAAUUACUAUUAUACCCUUUCAAAUAUACCCUUCUACUAUUACCAACUUUUUUUAAAUUGGGGACACAAAAAGUAUUUUAUUUUUUGAUUUUUUCAAAUAUGCUUUUGUACCAUCACCAAUAUUUCUUAUUUGUUCUUAAGUUAAGGGCAAAAAAGAUAUUUUGAUUUUUUUAACUCUGAUAACUAUUAAACUCAUGUUUAAGCUAAGUUAACUUAAAGGGGUGGUAAUUGUAGGGAUAUUUUGAAAUAAUAGAGGAACAUAUGACGAGUAUAUUGAAAAGAAAAAAAAAACAAAAGUAAGGACACAUGAAAUAUUUUCGAAGUUUUAAGAAGUAUAUAGGCAAUUAUCUCUAAAAGAGAUAUCUAAAAUCUCCUUAAGGGUGCGUUUGGUUCGCGCUAUCCUUUUAAGAUUCCUAGUAAUCCAAUAGGAAUAAAAAAAUAUGACGGUAUUUGACUAAACGCACUAAAUAAUCUAGUUAGUAAUACUAGAUUUACUUGGAAAUGAGAUGCAUCCUAAAGUACUAAUCUCAUUUCUUUGAGGAAUGGUGGGUAUCCUUUUAUUAAUGGAUUAGAGUAAUUAUAAUAUGUCUAAUCUUUUUUUUCUUCCCACCCGCCAGAUAGUUGGUAUUAUUUUUCUUUACACUCUAACCUCAUCUCUCUAAACUUAUCUUUUUUUUUCUAAACUUCAACUCUUUUUCUCUCUCUAAAUUAAGCUAUUUCUCCCUCUCCUUUUCUAAAAUCUCAACCCUCUCAUUCUUUCUAACCUUGACUCUAUUUCUCUUCUAUUUCUUUAAUUAUGCUUUUUCUUUCUAACCUAUAUUCUCUCUCUAGGAAUAAAAUUCUCAUAUAUCUUUUUACUUCUCAUAAUCUUUCAUAGUGCGAAUCAAACGCACCCUAAAAAUAGGUGGUUUUAGAAUAACUGAGAUAAAAGAAAGAGCAAUUCAGAAAUAUAUAUAGUCUUGAUAAAAAAUAUUGAUAAAAUCUAACAUUCUAUACAUAUUGUUGAGCUUGUUGAAAAGCUCCAAUUACUAGCUAGCUAAUCAGAAAAACUAGUUCGGAGACUAAUUAGAAAUUUUUUUUUAAAAAAAAUAAGGCAUAAAUUAGAGUUUGCAUACAAUUUUAAAUUUAUUCAAACCAAUCCAAAACUUAAUUUACGGAGAUGCUCUUACACAAAAGGUUUUUUUGAGAAAUAGGCAGCAAGUUACCUGCUUCACUUCUCUUACACAAAAGUUACAAAUGACCCCACCCAAUGAAUAGUGAGAGUGGGCUGGUAUGCUUAUGGAAGUACAGAGCUCUUCGUGCUUCCAAGUUGUUUUCGAUGUUCGGACUUUCGAAUCGACUAUCGGCUCCGUUAAAGUUGAUCGAAAGUAUUUGAAGUACCUAGAAAAUAAAUUUUGUGAUUUUUCAAUAUCAUUUGCCUAGUGAUCGAAGGGGCUCAAAAUCAAUAAUUUUAACGGCCGUGGUGAGCCGGUUGCAAGUUUAACGGUGUAGAAAUAUCCAAAUCACAUGAAAUUUUGAUAGAAAAUUCUUUAUACUAUAUAAAACAAGAUCAAUAACUUUGAUCUAAAAUUUUAUUGUCAUAUCAUCAUAUUUUGUAAGAUUUUUAUUUUCAGCCGUUGAUUUUGAGCCACUUCGAUCACUAGGCAAAUGAUAUCGAAAAAUCGCAAAACUUAUUUUCUAGAUACUUCAAAUACUCUAAAUCAAGUCUAAUGGAGCCGAUCGUCGAUUCGAAAGUCCGAACAUCGAAAACAAAGUGAAAGCACGGAGUCUUUCGUGCUUCUAUAAGCAUCCUAGCCGCACUUGAAUAAUGAAUAUAUAUACGGAACUACUAUUCUUAGGACCUGUCCACAGUGGACCUGGCCCACGCAACAGUUUCUACUUAUUGAAAAGCAAGCGCACUUAUUGGAUGGUACUCGAUGGGCCCCACAUGGGCCAGCAAAUUAGGUACGAAGUUUGGUGGGGUUUUGAUGGAGAGGAGUAAAAUUUUUUAAAUUUUAAUUUUAAUUUUACGUCCGGGUGUUGAUGAGGGUCUUUUGGUUGAUUGAUGAUCUUCCGAUGCUUGCUGGAUUGGAGAAAAGUGUUGGCGAAAGUGACGUUGGCAGAUCCCACCGCCGUAGGGGUAGGUGUUAUCUUGUUCACGGUCAAAAUGCAUGAAUGGUCCUUGUCCAACCCUGAUAUUGCAAAACCUCUCUUUUUUUUAUAAUUAUAAACGAUGCCAGGGACUAAAUUUAGUAUAUGUGAAAAUAAGCGAGAAAAGUUUCUUUUUUUUUUUUUUGAGAGAUAGGUAGCACGCUACCCGCUUCAUUUAUUUCAUUUAGAAAUAAACUUAGCUAGAAAUGUGAAUCAACUAGAAUUCAAACUUGGAUCUCGGAUACCAACCACCAAACCUUUUGCCAAUUGCUCUAGGGACGGUCGAUGAGAAAAAUUAGUAUAAUAUUUUUCAGUCUCCCUGAAGUACCUGAAGUAACAUAGAGGUAUUUUUCUAUAUGUUUUUGGUUAGAUAUAAUUAUAAACGCAGUGUAGUUGAAGAUAUAUGCAUGUAGUGGCAAAGGGCUUGAUAGUUGGUAUCUGAAAUUUUAAGUUCGAAUUCUAGUUGAUUUAUAUUUCUAGUUAAGUUUAUUUCUAAAUGAAAUAAACGAGCUACCGAUCUCCCUUAAAAUAUAUAUAUAUAUAUAUAUAUAUAUAUAUAGAUACGAUAGAGAGAGAGAGAGACGAGAGAGAGAGAGAGGAGAGAGAGUGAGUGAGUGAGUGAGUGAGGCUACUAUGCUUCUAAAAGCACGGAGCUUCCGUGCUUCCAAGUUGUUUUGAGUGUGCACUUCGAAUCGUCGAUCGGCUCAGUUAAACAUCGAUUAGAGUAUUGAAGUACCUAGAAAAUAAAAUUUGCAUUUUUCGAUAUCAUUUGCCUAAGUGAACUAAGGGCUCAAAAUCAACGGCUGAAAAUAAAAUCUUACCAAAAUGUGAUACUAUGACAUUAAAAUUUUAGAUCAAGAUAUUGAUCUUGUUUUAUAUAGUAUAAAGAAUUUUCUAUCAAAUUUCACGUGUUUGAAUAUUUCUACAACCGUUAAACUUGCAAACGGCUCACCACGGCCAUUAAAAUUAUUAAUUUUGAGCCCCUUCGAUCACUAGCAAAUGAUAUCGAAAAAAUCUAAAAUUUAUUUCUAAGUACUUCAAAUACUCUAGAUCAAGUUAAUGGAGCCGAUCACGAUUCGAAUGUCCAACAUCAAAAACGACUGAAACACAGAAGGCCCGUGCUUAAAGCUCCGUGCUUCCAGAAGCAUAGUAGCCUCACUCUAUAGUAUAUAUAUAUAUAUAUAUAAUAGAAUAGAAUACUUGUAAAAGUCAACCACAAGUGAUACUUGUGUGUUUUUAGCCCUUGGAUGGAGAUGUGAGGUUGAGAUGAUGGUGGUAGGUGGAUGGUAGGUGGAAUAGUGUUUGAUCCAGGACUAUUAGUAAUCCAAAAAGUAGAUCCAAUGGCUAAAAACACACAAGUAUCACUUGGUGAUACUUGUAAAAGUAUUCUAGCCCUACUCUAUAUAUAUAAUAUAUAUAUAUAUAUAUAUAUAUAUAUAAUAUAUAUAAUUUUGAAUAUAGUAUAAUAUAUAUAUAUGCAUGCAGCUGAAAAUAUAGUAAUUACAACUACAUGUAUUCUGUUUGGUUGGAUGUACUAGAAAAUAGUGCAAUUACAAAUAAUUUGUUUGGUUGAAUGCAGUUGAGAAAUAAUUUUUAAAUUAUUAUCAUUUUAUAUAUAUGAUGGUGAGAUUAUCUCCAAUGUAAAAAGAAAUUUUUUUUUUGUUUAAAAAAUAAUUAGGGCGGUAAGCUUACCUUUUAUUUAAAGUUAUUCUCUCCAACUGUUGCAAUUAGAACUGCGAUCAAUUUGAGCAUAGUUUCAACUGUUGCAAUUGGGUCUCCUCCAACAUGCAAUUCCUACUGCAACAGUUUGAGUUAAAUAUAUCAAACUAAACAUCAAAUUUGUAUUUGUAAGUACAGUUGCACGUGUAACCAAAAGAUCACUAAUUACAUUAGCUCUACAGCAGCACAGAAGCUUAAGUAAAAGAUGUAAAAAUUAUUUCUUCAGGAAUAAUAUUUAGUAUGACCUCUAAAAGUUAAGAAUUAUUUAAUAUACUUUUUGGUAGACCAAAAUGUUGUUUGGAUUUUUAAAAAAUUUCUUAAAAUAUUACAAAAACUUAAAGGUUCUCUAAUAGAAUUAAAUUUUAUCAGGGUAUUUAGAAUAUUAAAAAAUAUAUUUAAAAAUUCUGAAUAAUAGUGGGUGAUAAAUAAAGAAAAGCUUCUCUCUUUCAGAUAGCAUGGUACCAAAGUUGGUUUACAUUAUGGGUGGCAAUCCAGCUCGCUGUUCAUCAGCCAACUCGUGUUCGAUUUGAAAUGAGCUUGAGAUCGAAUCGCUCAUUUAAUAAAUCAGCCAAAUACGAACUAAAUUUUUCAGCUCGUUUAAUAAACAAGCUGAACACAAACUGGAAUAAGCUCGCUCAUGUUCGGCUCAAUAACAACUCGAAUAUAUAUAUUUUACAUUUAUAUAUUUUAUGCUUAUAUAUAAAUAAAUCAUUAUGUAUAUAAUACAGAUUUUUAAUGUUUCAUCUUUAGUCCAAUCUAAAUAUAAAAUCCAACUCAAUUAUAAAAAAGACUCAUUUAUAUAUAAAAUUUCAACGGUUAGAUCAAAGUCUAGUGGAUGAAAUUUUAUAAAUUUAUUUUCAUACAUAUCCUUUCUAAUCCUUUUAGUUUGUUGUUCGUGAGCCAGCUCGAACAUAACCUGAAUUUUUCAGCUCGAUACUUUAAAGUUCGGCUUUUUUUUGAAAUGAAUCAAACACGAGCUACCCCAGCUACCUCGUGUUAGGCUUCUUUUCCUUCUUUUUUUUUGAAAGAUAGGUAGCAUCCUAUCCGUUUCGUUUAUUUCAUUUAGAAAUAAACUUAGCAAGAAAUGUGAAUCAAUUGGGAUUUGAACUUGAGACCUCAUGUACCAAUCAUUAAGCCUUUUGCCACUUACGCUAGGAACGGCCGGUCGUGUUAGGCUUGUUGACACCCCUAGCUUACAUCUCGCCCAGGUUUAGUGACCAAAAAGUAGAGGGACCAAAUUAUAAUAUUGCAACAAUUUAGGGACUAACCACACAGUUUAAAAAUUGUUGCAACUUCCAACCUGCCCUACCGGAUCUCAAAAUUAGGAUGUGGGUGGAUACAGGAUACCCGAAUUUUACCUGUAUGCAAACCCAAAGGAUGCUUAUUUAAUAGAGAUACUAAAUAGAUAUAAUUUUGAUUAUAAGUAUAAAAAAUAAAAGACAGGGAUUUACUUAUGGCUUCAAUCUAUACCUGAUUUGAAUCUAAAGCCGAAACCUAACCUGAAUCUGAACCAAUUCAGAACGGAUUUUAUACAAUAUAAUAUAUAGAAAUUUAAAUUUAUACUUUAAAAUUUAGUAAAACUAAAUAAUUGCUUUCGGAUUCGGAUUUUUGGAUGCGGCCUAAGGUAUCGGCUUUUUUUUUUCUUGUAAUUCAAUUUUUGUUAUGUACUUCCGAAAGGUUCGGAUUUGAAUUUCAUCUCAAAAUAGAGGCAUUAUUGUUGCCGGACAAUAUUUUAUGGAUAUAUUCUCCGAAUAAAAAUUAUUUGGGAAUUUGUCCGAAUGGACAUCAGAUGGCGAGUGGCAUCCAUCCCAACUGUCCAGUAAAAAAUAAUUUUAUUUGAAAACUAUGUUCAUAAAAUUUUUGUUAAUUAUCGCACACAAUGGUUGUAUGGAUAGAUCUCAUGUACUGUUGCUGAAAAUUACUGCAAUAGAGACCUCAUUUUAAAUUCUAAUUUAUUUAUUUGAAGCACUUUUAUGUAUCAAAAAAUUAAAAAAUUUGGACAUCAUAUUCAUAUGAAUCAAAUUCUAAAUUCUUGAUUUAUGUAAAACGCGUACCCCAAAUGAUUAAAAAAUUCAUGUCCAAAUCCUAACCCAAACCCAAAUGAUUAAAACAAUUCAUGUCCAAAUCCUAACCCAAUGUAAAAUCGAAAAUCCAAACCUGAAUCCAAAAAUUCAAGUCUGAAACAAUUAAUUCUCUUUACCAUAUAUAUUAAAAUUUAAAAUUUUAAAACACAAGUUCAAACAUAACAUCAAAUAUUUAUAUAUAUUAUAUAAUCUAAAAUUAAUUUUGACCUGAAUUCGAAUUAGAUUCCAAUUUGAGUCAAGUAGAGACAAAAUCAAUACUCAAAAUCCGUUGAGUUUUUAUUUUUUAUAUCCAUAUAGGAAAUCAAAUUCGUCUAGUAACUAAUAAAUCCACCCAGUUUAAAUUAGAGAUGAAAUUUCACAUAUCUGUAUUUAUUGACAUCGCUUGAGGCCACGGGAUGUCAUGUCUUAAUACAGCUGUUGGGUUAGUCUUAUGAAAUGGAUUUAUGCUAUGGGAACCCACAAAAGUACCCUAAAAAGUAUCACUAAGCUAAUGUGUUAGCUUAAUGUUUAGGAUAAACUACCUGAUUAAGUUAAAAAAAUCCACUCAUCAAAAAUAAACAUAUUUGGGAGUUUAUUGCAAACGAUAAACCUGGUGUCAAAUCAAUUAUCUAUUUACAUCUAUUUAUUUAUUUUUUUAAUUUUUUAAUUAUUAUUAUUUUUACACUGAGAAAUCAUUGCCUGCAUCCGGUCUAAAUUCAUUAUACCCACCAAAUUUAUUUUUAGGGUUAAUUUUAUAUAGAUCCCUACAAAUAUAAUAAAUUAUAAAUAUAUUUCUACAAAGUUCAACUUUUAUAUAUUAUUGUAAAAGUACUAAUGUUUUCAAAUAUGUCUCUCUGAUUUGUUACCGUUAAAAUACUAUCUAUUUUAUAAGUGAAAUCACCUUUUUAUCAUCACAAAUAUCUCCAUCCAAAAGUCCCAACUAUUUAAGAGCGAUAAAAAACUCAAUUCACCUCGUUAAUGUCACACUCCGGGACCCAGCGGAAGCCCACUCAGCACGUGCACAGACCCCCCAUGUAUACCAAACAACCACGAUGCACACAAGGCGUCUACUAAAAACUAGAAAUGAACAAGAUAAAGUCCUAAUAAGGCUAUCAGAGCGAGUAUAUAAAAUCACUAAUAUUCUAGUACAAAGAGAUCCACAAAUAUACAAAGUGUAACAACUAAAUCCAAGAGACUAACAAUAUCUCUAAAAUCAAAUACAUAAUACAUUUUUCUACAAGAUACAAAAAAGAAAGAUGAUAACGGGUCCAUCUAAAUAACUCCGUAGGAGCUCUAGCUAGUCGCUAACCCUUUGCCACGAUCCCCAGCCUCUCCCGCCGCGGAAGGCUCUGAAAUAAAAACCAACAACAAAUGAGGAUGAGAACUAUUAAACAAUAGUUCCGAGUAAGUAAGCUGCAAAGAAUGACGAAAUACACUACUAGGUCAACUGAGACAUGCUAUAAAGAGGUAAAUAAAUAGCAUAUAUAAAAGGUAAAUAAGUUAAACAUGUUUAAUCAUAGUCAUGCCUCUAUUACAAGUUUAACUAUCAUGUAUAUGAUGUUCUAAUCUCAUGUAAUCAACUAUAUGUCAAUGUUAAAACACAUGCAUGUUCAUUAUUUCAUAAUGCUACAUGUUAGUCAUUCAUGGCAUUGACACUCUAGUGGUAGUAUAUUUACAAUCGAUGUAGAUAUAAACAUGUUUAACUUNUCUAAUCUCAUGUAAUCAACUAUAUGUCAAUGUUAAAACACAUGCAUGUUCAUUAUUUCAUAAUGCUACAAGAAUAAUUAUACUUUCCAUUAUUAUUCUAUCCAUGAGUCCAUACAAUCAGUGUUGAUGUAAAUAUACUACCACUAGAGUGUCAAUGCCAUGAAUGACUAACAUAAGAUCCACAAUAUGCACUAUCAUGCAUGUCCACUAGUCCAACUAAUAUGCACCAUUCUAGUAGUAGUUUUCACAUUACGCUUUAGGUGUCAUUUUUCAAAUCCAAUCAAGGACCCACACUAGUAUAGUCCGGCUUGUGCCGACUAAUUACCCGUGGUAGCUCCAACAUUUUCACUCUAGAAAUGACUCGAUCCCACGCGGGCCCAGUACUUACACAAGUAUAGUCCGGCUUCUGCCGCCUAAUUGCCCGUGAUAGCUCUAACAUUCUCACUCUAGGAAUGAGUCUAUCCCACGCGGGCCCAGUAGACGUAUGUCGCAUAAGCUAACUCCGGAGUGCCGGCUUGUGAAGAGCGACCCUCACAAAUAUGUGCGAAUGAGCAUAAAUGGCAAGCAAGCAUGAUCAUCGUCUCAAAUACAUGGUCGUCAUGUCUCCAACAUGGUACAAAUUCUAACAACCCAAAAGUUUAGAUCUAUGUCAUAAUAUAAAGGUUAACUAUUUACUAAAUCGAAUGCCACUUAAUGACAUUAAUGAUCUCCAUGUUCAACGCAUGUCCUUCUUCAUGAGCAUGUAAAAUCUUGUCAUUUUACUAAAUAUAACAAGACUUCCAACAUAAUAUAAAGAUGCUAUUUCACAUGCAAAUUUACUAUACAAUUCUCUCUCUCUACUACAUAGAGACUAUAAUUGUGACACGUAACACAUAUGCCUUAAACAUUCAAACAUUUAUGAUGCAUCUCAUGCUCAUGCUUUUUUACCAAUGCCUCCACUACAUGAAGUGAUAAACUAUCAUACAAGUGAUUUCAUAUUAUAAUAUUUACAUGCACAUUUUCCUCCUGUCAUUCACCCAAGGGCGUUCGAAUCUCAUAUCACAUGUCCAACACAUGGAAUGCAACUAUCGAUGCCUAGAUCGAAUGCAAUAUCACAAUGUUAUAUACUAGUUGUUCCACUAGAUGAGAUUCAUCAAACAUAGUCUCAUGUUGACCCUAACAUGCUCUUUCAUCACAAUGUCAUAUUUGCCUUGUCUACCACAAGUAUACCUCAACAUGCAACUAAGUACCAAUUCUCCUUUAUUUUACAUGUCAAAGUCAUGAGGCGUAGCUAUCAAUCUCUAAGGCAAAUACAAUAUCAUAAUGUCAAACCCUAGUUAUUCCACUAGGUUAAAUACCACAUGCUUAAUUUCAUGUUUAGCCUUGUUAUUCACUAGGUCACAAUGUCACAUUACUUGUCUACACAAGUACUUUGCUCAUCAUGUGAGAUAAUCACUUUUCUAACUCAUUCACUAGUUACCCUCCAAGGUGUGUAUCAUCACUCAUAUUCUAACAUGCUUUCUAAGAUUGUAUAAAAGAGAGUUCAUUAUGUAGUGUCACUGUGUGCUCAAGUCCACAUAUAUGGCUCUACUACAUAGAGUAUGAAAUUUUUACUACACCUAACAUAUACAUAUUAUGUUCUCAUAAAUUCUAGCAUGUCAUAAUGAGCAUGAAAAAGUAUCUAUUUAUGUCUUAAAACCCAAAGGAAGACAUAGGGGAGUUCACCCAUUUUGAUGAGGUCAAACACACCGGAAGCACUUCGAACCCUUUCGUUCCUUCGAACGAAAUUGCCCACCGAAUUUCUAACACCCUAAGAGAAAUUCUAAAGGGUUAGAAACUCCAAAACAACUAUUUCGAAAAUCUUCGAAAAACACACACACAAUAAGGUGAAAAGAAUACCUUUGAUCAAAUUACACUUGUCCAAAGCACAAAUCGAAGCUUCCAAACUUCAAAUCCAACCUACAAGAGUGUUCUACACUCAUUAAUUCCAACUCAAAAGCUUCCAAAUAAAAAGGCCCAAACAAAAUUGUGACACCCCAAUAAUCCCACAUCGAAUGGGAAUGGAGUUGUCAUUGGAUUUAUAAGAGACUUAGACACUAGUAAUAAUAACUGGGCUUAAGUAUUUUGGGCUGUGGUUGGGCCCAACGAGUUAUUAUUGCUAGUGGGCUGGGUCGUUACAUUUGGUAUCAGAGCCGAUUCACCAGCUGGACAUGUGUGGCGAGUCUCGGCUGAGCCAGGAUCUGGAUGAUGGGCUAGCGAGAUAAAUCUCACAUCGCCUGGUGAUCUUGGGCUGUAUGUGUGAUUGGACUGACGAGGACGUCAGGGCCUUAACGGGGGGAGUCUGUGACACCCCAAUAAUCCGACAUUGGAUGGGAAUGGCGUUGUUAUUGGGUUUAUAAGAGACUUAGACACUAGUAAUAAUAACUGGGCUUAAGCAUUUUGGGCUGUGAUUGGGCCCAACGAGUUAUUAUUGCUAGUGGACUGGAUCGUUACAAAAAUCCUAGUUUCUACAAAAUUAGGUUUCAUCACAAGAAAUCCACUAAGAGGUGAAUCAAAGGGAAGAUUAAACUACUAACCUUUCUUGAAGCUCCAAACCAAGUUAGAAGUGAGCUGGAAAGGUCACCAAAAAGUAAAGAGAAGCAAAACAGGUGAUUAAUCCUCUAAAAUCCAAGCAAAAAUGGAAGGAAAUCAAAGAGGGGAUGAGAAGAGGCUCCUUACCCUUCUCUCCUCAUGUUCCAGGCUCAGGGAACACAAGAGGGAGUGUGGGGUAUUUGUAGAGUAGUAACAAUUUCAAAAACACCCCUCAAGAACAAACCGUCAGUAAUCUGCAUUGCGUACCGGUGACACAGGAUGGGGUACCGGUACCAGGCAGCAUCACACGCAAACCCGAAUCUCGGGUUGGCUAGAAAACACACUGGGUACCGAUACCAGCGCAAUACAGUACCGGUACCAGACCCAGUACCGGUACUCGGGCAAUGCAGUACCGAUACUCUACCCUACAGAGUCCAACCCGAGAACGGCCCAAAUUCUACAAUUUAGAGAUUUUGGUGCUAAGUUUUCAUUCUCGCUCCUCGGGAUGCGAGUCAUAGGUCGGAACACAGUCAACGACCAUACAGAAAAUCUAAAGAGGCUGAGAUCACCAAUCAAACACUCGAACCUUACAAUUUGCUAAAUUUCAGUGUGUUACAUUAACUAACUAGGGUUAAAUAUUUUACCUAUUGUUAACUAAUUUUUUCUAACGGGUCCUACCGGCACUGACAUAUUUGAAAAUACUAGGAAUUUUACAGAAUAACAUAUGAAAGUUGAACUUCGUAGGAAUUUAUUUGCAAUUCACUAUAUUCGUAGGGACCUCUGUAAAAUUAAUCCUUAUUUUUACAACUAAUACGAUGAAUAGGAUCUAUAUUUUAAUAUAACUAUUCAAACACUAUUUUUUUAUUUCUGAAAACAAUCUAAUUUAAUCCAAAUGUAAAAUUAAUCUUAUAUUCGUUCAUUUUUGAAGAAUUGUACCAAUAUCAGGAAUAAGCAAAAUAAUUUAUCCUGAAACAAACAAUACCCAGGUGCAAGCCAUACUUUCUCCUUCAAUUAUUAUAAAUUCUAUGGUUAGUCCCUGUACUGUACAAAUAUUGCAAGCCAACCCUUAUACUUGUUACAUACACAUAGAAUGCAAACAGGGCGGAUCUGGCGGAGGACCCCAGCCUUGCCUCCCGCCCCAACUAUCAGAGUCCUGCCUUCCGUCCAGUUCCGAAUAUGCGACAGGUUAAAAAUAUAUUUUAUAAUCCGCCUCACCUCAUAACUCACCUCCCGCCGACGUCCUGAAUCCGCUCCGCCAAUUAAUAUUUUUAAAAAAAUUAUAAUAUUAUUAAUAUUUUGUAAAAUAUAAAUUAAUAAUUUUUAAUAAUAAUAAAUAAUAUUAUUAAGUUAUAUAUAUAAUUAAUAAUAUUAAUUAUAAAAAUAAAAAAUAUCAAUCACAAUUCGAAGCAAAAUUUAAAAGCUUCAAAUAUAUGAGAAAUGAGAGCGCCAACUUAUUUGUAUUUUACACUUUUUUUAUAAAUAUAUUAUGUUUUAGAAAUAUUUUUUAAAAAUAUAUACGAUUUUCGGAGUAAAUCAUGACAGAGCGGAUUCAGAGCAAGUCAAAAUUUUUUCGUUUACUGUCCCGAAUCCGUCUCGAAUUAUAAAAAUUAUUCUAUUUUUUAGUCGGAAUUCGUUUUUUUUUUUUUUUAUUUACUACUUUACUCAGAACGGACCGGAGCGGAAACUCCGCCAACCCUCAACCCUAAUCCAUUGGCAUCCCUACUUACACGUCCUUGGAUCAAACUUUAGGGCACACUUUACAAUUUAAUUAAAUUUAAUAAUAUUUUUUAAAUAAAAUUAUGUAUACAUCAAAUCAAUAUAUUUGAUGUGACAAUUGACAGCUGAGACAACAUAGCAUUAAACUCUAUACUAAAGUUGAAACUAAAUGUCGUUUCCCAUCGAGCCACAUGGUGGAUUUUCUCUCUCCCUCACAUGUUCUCUCUCCUUCACAUGGACCCACAUGGGCUAUAUUCAAGUGACAUGCAUGGACUCACAUGGGCUAUGAGUAGAAAGAGUUGGGGGGAAGAUGCAUGCAUUGUAAUAAUAAGAAAGAUAGCAAAAGUACAAAAAAUAUUAUAUGUACUAUGCAAUUUUUUGUUUUAUGAAUGAUGUUAAAUAAUAUUGCUAUAUAUAAAGUUAAGAAAAAAAGCAAGAGGGCAAGGAAUAUGCUGUGUAGUAUGAAAAAUUUUGUAAGAGAAAAGUUUAUGUUGUGCGUGAGAUACUAUUUUUAUUGGAGUUAGCAAAGUAAAAACAAUUUACAAAUAAUUCAUAGUGUAAUUGGAAUCAAAAUAGGAGAUUUAGAAUAACCAUAUUGCAAAGGAAUUUAACAGUGCGGCCACUUCUGAAAAUCAACUUAUUAUACCUAUUAAAAAUAGUGCUCAAGUGGAAAAUACUAUUGGCGAAUAUAAUCCUACCGAAAGCCAAUCAAGGUAUGAUUAAUAAACAAGUUAAGAACUGAUUAUAAAUUAAUGUUCUGUCUGUGGGAAAAAAAAUCUAAUAAUUAAUGUUCUGUCUGUUCAAAAAAAAUAAAAUUAUUGACUUGCAGUAUUUUGUCAAGCAACGAUAGUGAUUUGCCUAUUGAAACAUCUGCUGUAGCAAAAAAAUUACGUUUGUAAGUAUUAAUAUUUUUAAAAUAUUAUUUGUAUUUUUUAUUCCACCAUAUAUAUAUGUAUAUAUAUAUAUAUAUAUAUAUGUAUAUAUAUAUAUAUAUAUAUACGUAAUAUAUAUAUUAUAUAUAUAUAGAUAUAUAUAUAUAUAAUAUAUAUAAUACGUAUAAUAUAUAUAUAUAGUAUAUAAUAUAAUAUUAUUUAUAUAUAUAGAGCGAGGCUACCUAUACUAUCGGAAGCACGGAGCCUUCAUGCUUCGAGCUCGUUUUCGAUGUUGCGACUUUCGAAUCGUCGAUCGCUCGUUAAACUUGAUCUAGAGUAUUGGAGUACCUAGAAAAUAAAUUUUAUUAUUUUCGAUAUCAUUUGACUAAUGAUCGAAUGGGCUCAAAAUCAAUAAAUUUUAAUGGCCGUAGUGAGCCGUUUGCAAGUUUAACAGGUGUAGAAAUAUCCAAAUCACGUAAAAUUUGAUAGAAAAUUAUUUAUACAUAAUAAAACAAGAUCAAUAUCUUUGAUUUAAAAUUUAAUGUAUAUUAUUACAUUUUGUAAGAUUUUUAUUUUCAGCCGUUGAUUUUGAGCCCCUUCGUUCACAUAGGCAAAUGAUAUCGUAAAAUUAUAAAAUUAUUUUCUAGGUACUUCAAAUACUCUAGAUCAAGUUUAACGGAGCCGAUCGACGAUUCGAAAGUCGCAACAUCGAAAACGAGCUGGAAGCACGGAAGGCUCCGUGCUUCUAUAGCAUAGUAGCCUCACCUAUAUAUAUAUAUAUAUAUAUAUAUAUAUAUAUAUUAUAUAUUAUAUAUAUAUAUAAUAUAUAUAUAUAUAUAUUGUUCAUACUUAGCAGUUCGAAGACUGGAGAAGGACCAAGCAAAGUUAACACCCGCAAGAAAUCAAGUGGAACCGAUAGGCCAUAAUGAUCUAAGAACUGUUUUAUCAAUUAUAUUUGCAUUAUCAAAAACAUUAUAUCAUAUUAGAUAAUCUAUAGUAUAUAUUUAGUUAUCUUACAUAAUGUGAAUGUUAUAUAUAUCUGUAAUUUCGUAAUAAAUAAAUAUAAUUACAGUCAUAUUAUUAGCUCUCAAUAUUACGACCUCCGCCGCGAAAUGCGGGUCAUUACACUAGUUUAAUAUAUAAAAUAAAAAGUAUCACACUUGCGACAAUGUGAAAUACAUUUAUUAUAUAAAUGAACAUCAUAUGAAGGGCAUUAUUCCUAGGAUCUAGUAAAUAAAUUAAAAAAAUUAAUAAGAUAAUUGAUAUUUGAUUUGUGAUGAUAAUUCAGUAUUUUAUAAGUAAAGGAUAUCAUACCUAUGUCAAUUUUUUUUAGUUUUCUUAAAAGAGAGAAAUAAUUAGCUACUUGCUUUUCUCUCUCUAUUUUUUUUUAUUUUAUAAAUGAAACUCCAUGAAAAAUAUAAAAUAAUAAAAUUUCGAGCUUGAAAACUCGAAUACCAAUUACUAAGUCAUUGUAAAUAAAUUUAACAUACCAUUUGAUAAUUAUUUUAAGGUGAUAACUUAUUAUUUAAUAGAUAAGGUAUGCCAUAUAUAUAUGCCAAAUCAUUAUUAAUACGAUAAUAGUUUUUUGCAUUCUUUUAAUUCCUUUUUUAUAUUAUAUUUUAUUUUAUGAAAUUAAUAAUAACAUUUUUAUUGAUGAUAUAGAAAAUUUUAAAUGAUAAUUGAAAACGGACAUGACUGACAAUGCAAAUAUAUUUCAAAACCAUUUAUUUUUAUUUGUUUAAUUUUAAAUAUGUGGUAUACAAAACCAAAUCAAAAUAAUAGAUCAUUUUUAUAUUCAUUUUUAUCUUAUUGAAAUUAUGGUAUAAUUUAAGCACACCGUUCUUUUUUUAUUUAUAUUCUAUAUUAUUUAAUUAAUAAUAUAUUUUUGGGCUUUUUUUUGUAUUUGGCCCCUUUAAAAAAAAAAUUUUACAAAUAGUCCCAUCAAAUUUAUAAUUACAAAUUUAGCCCUAUUUUCGCCACGCAGGUAUCACAUCAGCACUACGUAAGCUAGAGGGGUGCUAAGUUGAACACGGUAAAUCAUUCACAAUGUUCAAAUGCGGUGAAUGAUUCACCGUGUUCCACACUUAUAUUCCCGUGUUUAAAUACGGUGAAUAGUUACCGUAUUCGUAUUUAUAUUUUUCUUAUUUUUUUAGCAAUAUAUAUAUUUGUAUUUUCUCCAAACACAAUAAACCAUUCACCGUAUUCAACUUAACAAACUGGCCCCAGCCGCGCUCACGUGGUGCUGAUAUGCUGCCUGCAUGGCAGGAUUAAUUAGGGCCACUUUUGUAAAUAUAAAUUUGCCGAGACUAUUUUUAAAAUAAAUUUUUUUCAAGAGGCUAAAUGCAAAAAAAAACCCUAUAUUCUUCAUAUUAUUUAAUUACACUCAAAAUUUAACAUAUUCUAUAUAUUACAAAAUAAAGAUUUUUUUUAGACAAAUUUCACGCAUAAGGUUAGAGAUCCAUAAACUUAAAUUUGUAUAUAGUAAAUUCGAUCAUGACGUAUGAUGUUGAAAGCCUGCCGAAUUUUGAACUCGGCAAGUUAUGUUACAUUACCCAACAAAUUUUUCUAACCUAUAAUUUAACAUAUUUUUUAAUAAAAUUUUAUUUUUUUUUAUAUAUAUUAUUAUUUUAUUAUAUAACGCUACAACAGAAUUAGAUUAUAGGGGCACAUGUUUAGGACACUUUUGUGUAAGUGUCUCAUUUAUGCAAAAAUUUUAAAAAAAAAUCUACUAAUGCCUAAAUAUAAAGUCCAAUCCAACAAAAAUAAAAAGUUACUCUACUCAACCCACCCCACCUAGCCCAUUCGGCCCAAUUACAAAUAGAAAAGAAAAAGAAAAGAAAAAUUGAUUACGAUUUUUCCUUCUCCCCUCAUUCAAUCGAUUGAAAUUCUAUAUGAAGAUCCAUUCCUCUCGCCCUCCUCCGCCACCGCAGCCAACGAGAUAGAGUUCCAACGGUUGCUAAAUAUUUAAAUAAAUGUUGGUAAAUUAACAGCAUUUUUUUUAGAUUAUAGCGACACUCUUUAACUGUCACUAUAUACCUAACGACCCCACAUAUAGCAACACUUUUUAAAAGUGUCGGUAAUUUAGCCAGCAAUAUUUUUUUUGACCUGUACCGAUAUUUAAAAAUGUCGCUAUAGACCGUUUUUGUUGUAGUGUAAUAAUAUGUAUAGAUAUAAUUUUCAGCAAAGGGUGGGUUUUGCACUACUGUGAUAUU
rnacentral:lncRNA from 1 species